rnacentral:lncRNA from 1 species
GCUUCUAUCCCUCUUCAAACCCAAAAAUCCAGAAACCCCAACACCUUCCUCGUGUUGAUCUCAAUCUGAAAAACCCAAAUCCCGUCAAAAACGGACCUCUUAUUUUCCCAUAUAUCCCGGAAUCCCAAGAAUACGGUGAAACCUAACCCUAACCUCUUCUUGUCACAACUGGACGACGCAGAUCCAAGGGCGUGGGAUACCCAUCAUCAUCGGCUUCUUUACAUGUGCUUCAGUGGCACUGCACUUUCCAAGCUCCUUCCUUUCCAUCUCCCCUCGUCCUCUCUCUCUCUCUCUCUCUGAAUUGUGAUGGAGCAGCAGCACCGCCAGCAUUCUCAGUUUAAACCUUCUCGUCGAAGGACAACUGACUCUGCCUUUUUUGUUUUUUAUUUUUCUUUGCCCGUCCACAGGUAUGCUUUUGUUGCCUUUUGUCUUUUACCAUAGUAUCAAACAUGUCCAAAUCUGGGGUUCCCGUUUGGAUUUCUAGUUUUCUUCAAUUCUUCAACCUAUUUGUGCUGUUUUCUUUUAGGGUUUUUUUAUUUUUAUUUUUUUAUUUUAUGAAUUUAUGUUUUUUUUGGUAUGUGUAUUUUUCUUCCAUUGCUGUGGAAAUCACAAUAUUGAGUUGCAGAAUUAGGGUUUUGGUAUUAGGAUUUGGAUGUCAAAAUCACGAGAUUUUGGUGUUUGAUUAGGGUUAGGGUUUUUUUGUGUUCAUGCCUAUUUUAGCACUUGUAUACGUAUGUUUAGAGAAUGUUGUUUAUUUAUGUAUUUUUCUGUACAUUUUUGUUAAGAAAUUCUUCUUUAUAUUGCGAUUCCUAUCGAAAUUUAAGGAAAAUAAAUUUUCAAUUUUACAGUUUUCAUGCAUAAAUACUUGAAUUUGGUCACAUGGAGAUUGAGAAGGUAAAUAUGUAGUAUUUACAUUGAUGAAUCACAUGGAGAUUGUUUGAUUUUUACUUCUGUUUGUCUAAAUAGUUUAAGAAGACAUUUCCUUUUCAUAGCUUCUUCUUAUAUAAGCCCUUUGCUCAGCAUGAUCAGAAUUUAGCCUCUCUUUAUAUAGAUGUUGCCCUUAAAAUAUAUAUGUGCACUGCCACUAUAACCGUCGUGGUUUGGAUUGAUUCAGGAUUUGUUUUCUUCUUUCAGGGACUUGCCUAACCACAGAGGACUGCCUCUUGAAUAAAAAUAGGAACCCACAUUUGACUAAGGAGCAAAUAGAGGCUGAGCUUAAGUCCUAUCUUGGAGUCAAGAAAGUUAUUUGGUUGCCUCGCUGAUUAUUUGGUAAAUAUUUCUCCUUUGAUUGUUAAUUUCUGCGUUAGGUUUAGAACUAGUUGUAAUGAAGCACCCCACCCUAAAUAGGUCAUUCUUUUUUCUUAUAUGAAGGUCUACAUGACCCUUGUAUUUUGCUGGUAUGUUCAUGUUGAUUCGGACAAGACCACAGUCAUAGACCUUUGUUUGUCUUCCAUUUUUUAAAUAUAUUAUUAGCUUUCCGCCAAAUUGGUCUCAUGAACUCUAAUGAUAGAAAUGGAACUCUCCAUUUGAAGCUCUGAAUUCAUCUUACAAUUAUAGCUGGUUUUCUCAGUGCUUUGCAAUUAAUACCUUUUGCUAAUCUUUGUUCAACUUCUAGCAAGUAAAAUCCAAAAUUCGGUAGGGCAGUGAAGAAUUGACCACGCAAAAUUGUUUCAUUUCCUGAAAUGUAAUUAAAGUUCCAUAAUUUAACUAGUUUUUUACCUUUCAUAUUGAUCCUUUUUCUUUUCUUCUUUGUUUGGUUUUGAUUUCCUUCAUUAUGGAUCUUGUACUGCUGAAAUGGUAUUCUUCUGGGGCCACACACAUAUCAUUCAUGAGCAAUGCUUUUUUUGCUCAUAUUCUUUGAGCUUAUCACUUUUACCACUGUUCGUAAUUGGACAUCUGGUAGCCUUGCUGUAUGUGAGGCUGACCCAUAAUAACCAAACAAAACUGGUGGGCAUACAUUAUUUUUGCAUUUCAAAAUUGUAAAGAGUCAAGCUCUAGAACUAUUCAUUUUUGCCACAUUUUGGUUCUAUACAACUGCCUUCAUGGGCUUUGGUUCGGAAUGACAUUAUGGGAAGCAUCUGUAGUUUUAGACUAAAAUGGUUGGGAUAGAACCAGUAAUCACAAAGGGAUGAUUUAUCAUUAGCCAUUACUAUAAUUUUAGCCAAAAUGCUGUGAUUAGGACAUCAUCCUGCUAUAAUAUGUGUACCUGCUCGUCCAGCUAUAUAAAUUUUCUUGGUAACUUUAAAUUUUCUUAUUUUUUAGCUUUCUUUUAUGGGAUAUUAUUACGAAAAUUGUAAUGAGCAAAUGAUAACCCAAUAAUUCAUUACUUUCUAGUGGACCUUCUGUAAUUGAAUUCUAUGACUACUGGUGGCCUAUCAUCUACUACUCAAACAUAGUACUUACUAAGAUACCAUUGCUUGAAAAACUUCACAUUCAUAUUUUCUAGAAAAUCAUUUCCUGUUUUUGAGGAUAAUGGAUCUUCGAAGCUGGUAUGGAGGAUUUAAUGGCAUUGGUCUGAAAAAAUUGUUCUCAUUAAGGGUUUUGUUUGGAUUUUAGAACCAAUACAGCUGGUGGGCACACCGUGAGGGAUUUAUAUGCUGGUGUAGUUAGCUUACAGGUAACACCAUGACCAAGAGGAAUUUUGUUUGAAAAUAUUGACAAGAGAAGCUGGCUUUUUGAGUCACAGAUGCUUCAAAUAUGAGAAAUGCAAAAAAAAAAAAAAAUUUCACUUGGUUUAUGGCAUUUUUCUAGUCUUAUUUGCAGAAAGUCAUCUUCUCUUUAAUAUUUUUUGUAAUCUUAGUCUUUGGGAUUUUUCUAAUUUUGAUGUUAUAAUCACCCAGAGGAGCACGUAAGUGAAGAAAUUUUUUUAAAUCGUCCUACUGCUGGCACACUCUUCAUGGAGGGACAGAUGCAAGCAAGGGAUCAAGAUAACAGUGGGGAAAUGCAUGACUUCAAUUUAACUACUAUAUUGACUGCUAUGAACCGCUUCUCUGAUGCCAAUAAGCUUGGAGAGGGAGGUUCUGGGCCUGUUUACAAGGUCAAGAAAGAACUUAAUUUCCUUAGAGAAAAAGGGUUCUAAGAGAUGCUACACGAUAUAUGCACAUUAAACUCUGUGAAUCUUACUUUCAUGACAUACAACAAUGCUUGGCCACUACUUGUUUGAUUGAGUUUGAAAUGCCUUCAGGUUAAGCUGCAUAAUGGGAAGAGAUAGCGGUUAAAAGGCUUUCGAGGAAAUCAGGGCAAGGUCUUGAAGGGUUCAAGAAUGAAGUUAUGUUAAUUGUUAAACUUCAACACAAGAAUCUUGUGAGGCUGCUGGGUUGCUGCAUAGGGAGAGAGGAAAAGCUCCUUGUCUAUGAGUACAUGGCCAACACUAGUCUUGAUGCCUUUCUAUUUGGUUUGCUCUCUCUUUCUCUUCUUCUCUCUCUCUCUCUCUCCCACACACAUGUAGCGUCAUCUUCUUAAUACUUUGCUCUUCCAGUAUCAUGAAAAACCUUCUCAAGAAUGGUCUAAACCUCAAAAUUAUUAUGAGAUUUUCCCCUGAAUUUUUUUUUCUUAUGUUCUUACAAAAAGCAGGCAACUAGACUGGGCCAAGCUUGCUGCCAUUGUUGGGGGAAUAACAAGAGAGAUUCUGUAUCUGCAUGACGACUCUCGGCUCAAAAUCAUCCAUAGGGAUUUGAAAGCAAGCAACAUUUUGUUGGAUGAAGAGAUGAACCCAAGGAUCUGAGACUUUGGAACUGCUAGGAUUUUUGGUAGUAAUCAGCUUGAUGCUAACACAAACAAAGUUGGUGGUACAUUGUAAGUCAUCUCCUUCUCUUGCCAUGCUUUGUUUAACUGUUAAGCCCAAAAGAAAAAAGGAAAAACUGCACAUACAUAUUCUGUUUCUAUUAAAAAAAUAUUCCUUAUCAUCUAACUUGUCUAGCAUGAGACGCGCGCAAUCUUAAGUCCAAGAAAGUACUACUAUUCCUAUCAAUCAAACAUCUCUUUCUACUAGUUUUAUGUGAAAAUAGUCAUUUUAUAGAAAAAUAUAUAUAUAAAGUUUAGUCCCUUUGUAAAACUUAUGGUCAAACUAGUCUCUUUAUUACCAAGUCAUGUCAUAAUUUUUUUUCUUUUCAAAAUUUAAGUUAAAAUCUCAAUUGUUAACCAACGUUUCAUUAUUUAAUUGAAACUACAAUUAACAAUUGAGAUUUUAUUUUUGAACUAAAACCUUAAUUACUAAUUGAACUUCAUUAAUUUUUUUAAUUAAAAAAAUAUUAAAUUAUGUUGGAAUUAAAAAUAUAUAAUUUAAUAAUAAUAAAUUUAUAUAUUUAAAUUUAAUGAUCUAAUAUUAUUUUAAUAAAGAUAAAUUGAUAAAUAUAAUAAUAAAUGAAUAUUUUAUUUAUUAAUAAAUUAAUAAUCUUAAAAUAAUAAAAUUAUAUGAUACAUAUAUAAGAUAUAAAAUUAUAUAAUUUAUUAAUUUAAGAUAUUUAUUUUAUUUUAUUUUUAAGAUAUAAAAGUAUAUCACAUGUAAUACUUGCCACUAUUAGAAAGGGGUUUUUGGUUUUUUUUUUUUUUCAUUAUCUAAAUGUUUAGUAGAUAUUUUUUUGUAACUUUGAUGAAACUAUUGAAAAUGAUAUUUUAUAAUAGACUUUUUCUAAGUAAUUUCAUUAACUAAUUUCAAAAUGUAUCUUCAAGGCAUAUAUGUUAUGUGUACAAAUAAUAGUAUUUUUUUUUACGUAAAAUUAUAAACAUAUGUUUUAAAAUAAUAAAAAAAUCUAUAUAUGAAAACUUAAGAAUAUACUAUUAUUUAAAUAAAGAUAAAUUUUUUAAAAUACAAAUAAAUUAAUAUCUUAAAAAUAUAAUAAAUUAAAUAACUUAAAUUAAUAAAUUAUAUAAUUUUAUAUCUUAUUUAUAUAUCAUAUAAUUUUAUUAUUUUAAGAUUAUUAAUUUAAAAUAAAUAAAAUAUUUAUUUAUUAUUAUAUUUAUCAAUUUAUCUUUAUUGAAAUAAUAUUAGAUCUUUAAGUUUAAACAUAUAAAUUUUUUUAUUGUUAAAUUAUACAGUUUUAAUUUCAACAAUAACUUGUAAUUUAAUAUAUUUAUUAAAAUGUCACGGUGUAGACCCCAAAAUUUGUUACAAUUUUAUCUUUACAUUAAUUUUGAGUCCAGUUUUGAAUUCCAAUUACAUAUAUUUUUUGGCCCACUCACUAUUUCAUAGUUUUUAUUAUUUUGUAUAUCAUUUUAUUUUAUUUUAUUAUUAAUACUUUUAUUUUAUUAUUAUUAUUAUUAUUAUUUAUUUUUUUCUUUCUUUUCUCUCUCCUCUCUCCUCUCUCCUUCUUACUCCCCAACCACCCCACCCUCUUCUGCUCUCUCUUCCCAUUCUUCCCACACGAUCCCCCCCGAACAGACUGGUUUUUUUUUUCUUUUCUUCCUCCAUUCCUCUUCUUCCCACAACCAACCCCCAUUUUUUUCUUCCCUUUCUCCAUUUUUUUUUUCAGUUUUUCUCAUCUUGUUUUCUCAAGAGAGCCGACCCCCAUUUUUAUUUUAUUUUUUAUUUUUUCCUUUUUCUUCUUCCCCCAAAAGCACCCAACAGCCUGCUCCCCCAUUCCUCUUCCAUUUUUAUUUUUUAUUUUAUUAUUUUUAUUUCAGUUUAUUUUAUUUUAUUUUAUUUGUGAUUCCUAAAAAAAAUCAUCCACUACUGUCGGCAAGAUCGUCGGCCAGCAACCCCUUUCCCAUCUCAUCCGUUCCCGUUAUUAUUAUUAUUAUUAUUAUUAUUAUUAUUAUUAUUGUUAUUAUUGUUAUUUUAAUUUAUUUUAGUAGUAAUUGUUGUUUAUGAAAUUUGGAUUGUUGAAUUAAUAUGAAAUUUGGGGUUAAUUUGUUAUUGAUAGAUUAAUACAUAAUUUGAUUUAAUUUAUUGUUAGUGAAUUAAUUUGAAAUUUGCUAAUUUGGGUUUGUGGGCAUAUUAUAUUGGGUGAUUAAUUUGAGGAUAUUUAGAUUAUAUCAAUUGCAUAUUGUUUAUUUGGACUUGGGUCUAUUGUUAAAUUGUUAUUUGUUUGGGCUUAUUGAAUUGAGCUUGAAAUAUUGUUUCUUUUGACCAUGUGUUUUUUUUUUAUGUGAUCUUGUUAAUUGAUGUGAAUUUUGGGGCACAUAAUGUGGGUGGGAUUUGUUGGAUUAUUUGAAUAUUUGAUAUGGGUUUGACCAAUUUAAAUUGUUUAAUUUGGACAUAGGACAAUUGUGGUGUAUAUUAAACUAGACUUAGAUUAUAAAAUAUUAAGUUUAGGUCUAGUAGAAUUUAUUUUAAUUUAUCCAAUUUUAGGUUUGGUUGAUUGUGUUUGUAUUUUUUGUUAUUAAUUUGGAUGUUCUAGGUUAAGACCUAUAGUAAUUUGGGUUCAUUUUAAAUUGAUAAAAUUUAUAGGACUAAUUUGAAAUUGGGAUUUGGGUUUAAAUAUUUGUUUAGGAUUUUAUACAUCUCUGAAUAUUUACAUUUACGUUGUUUUUGUUUUUGCAUGGACCCAUUCUGCAAUCUUGUUGGCUGAGUACGAAUUGAUAACAUGUGGAGCUUGUUGUAAGUUUAUUUGGGUACAUAUUUUAUUUACCACUUUUAUUUGGUUUUAUUUUAAUUAACUCUUGUAAAUAUUUGUUCGUUUAUAUUUAUUGAGUGUACAGAAUUGAACAUCGAACAAAUUAGAAAUUUUGUUUAAAUGAGAGGAAGAAUUUAGUAAAUAUUCUAAUAAAAUACUAAUUUCAAAAUAUCUUUUUUAAUAAAAGAAAGUUUUUUUAUUUUUAUUUUAUUAUUAUUUUUAUUUAUUAUUAUUAUUAUUUUUUAUCUAUUUAUGAAAAUUCAAAAAAAUGCAUUUAGAAAAAUAAUAAAAAAAUUGUUUUUAAUAGAAUUCGAAAAAUUGUUUUUAAUGACAUUGUUAAAAAAUUUCUUUGUUUAAUAAAAAUUGUCCAAAACUUGUUUUGUAAUUAAAGUUGUCCCAAAAAUUAAUUUUUAGUAAAAUUAUCUAAAAAUAUUUUUUUAAACGAAUUCUUUUUCUUCCUUAAUUAAAACAAAAUUAAAAGUGUUUUUCAGAAAUAGAGAAUUUAAAUCUUUGUUUUUCCUUUUAAUUAAAAUUUCUCUUGCAAAUAAAGUUGUGUCAUUUUAAAUAAUUUAUAAAAAUCACUCUUUUAAAUGAAAAUGAAUCUAAAUACUUUUGUAAAUAAAAUUGUAAAAAUUCAUUAUUUUCUAGUAAAAGUAAGUAAAAAUAAUUUUUGUACCCAAAUUGAAAUUUUGUAAUAAAUUCUUUUGAUACAAUAAGUGUAAAUAGCUUUUUUGAAAAUUGAAUACAAUUGAAAUUGAGAAAAUAAAUUGAUUCUUUUUUAUAAGUAAAUAAAUGGAAAUCACUAAUUCAAGAUCAUUUUUAAUAGAAUCCUUUGAAAUUUCUUUAAAACUUUUUUUAAAUAUCUUUUAUUUAUUUAAUUCAAUAAAUCAUUUUGCAUAAUCCUCUUAUUAUUUAUUUUGUGUAUUUUUGUAAUUAGAUUUCAUCAUCGUUUUUGUGCAUAUUAAUUUUCACCAUGACUUGUAUAUUGAUUAUUUUUCUUGAUAUCCAUAAUUAAUUAAAUAAUUAUCAUAAUUUCCUUAAUUCGUUUAGUAGAGGUCGUACGUAUACGGGCUUAGAGGGGUGCUACGGCUCACCAUCGUACCUUCUCAAUGAGUAACCUGACCCCCGGACCCAGACUCGGUUUUUCACAAACCCGUUUUUUCCUUCAAGAGUCACACUUAGGGUUUUUCUUUCUUAUUUUGUUUUUCCUUUUAAAAAUAAAACAAAAAUAAGUGGCGACUCCAAGUCUUUUUUUAAAAAUCGAAUUUUCACCAAACAAAAUAAAAAGCGAGUUUCACCAUCGAGUGGGAACGCAUCGAGAAAAUACAGGGUCCAUAAAAUGGCGACUCCACUAGGGAUUUUUAGAGGGUCAAACUUGAACUCAAGUUGAAGGGAAUGUGACGUUUGAUUGGUUGAUUAAUGGAUACCCCUCUCUAUGUGUCUUGGUAUGAUUGGUUGUUGAUUACACAUUGAGAGCUUUGAUAUGUUUGUCUGUAAUAUAUGUUUGGUUGUUAUGUUCAUUUGUGAUGUUGAUAUGUUGAUUACAUCGAUUGAUUCUCUUACCUACUUUAGAAUAGUGACUCUUCUUGUUGUAUGUUUAUCUUGCUUUCCUAGACAUGUAUAUUAUCAUUUUUGUAUCUUAUUCAUCUUGGCAUGAUUGAUUCAAUUUGUUAUGUAUUAUCUUGUUUAUCUCGACAUAUUGUCUAUUCUUGUUAUAUUUCUAUCUUGCUUAUCAUAUUCUUGCUUAGCUUGUGUGUAGAUAUGAGUUAUAUACCUGUUAUUUGCAUGACUGCUUUGGUGCAUGACUGCUAUUCUUUUAUGUGAUGCAUGUAUUGCUUGUUUGUGUGGGACACACAUCUAUCCCCUUACCUUCAACUCCCUAGACUCGGUCAACCUUGUUUCACUUGAUAUCGUAUUCGAUAUGAGACUUGUUACUUUGUUUGCUCUUUGACCGAGUUAGGGGUUAGGAGUAGGGUCUAGCGACGGGCUAUACCGAUGUUUGGGAGCAUUGUGGAGGAAAGCGACACUUUGAUGUCGAUUGUAGUCCGAUCAUUGAAGACCUGUAUAGCCCGAAGCUAGGUUUCAUGGAUAUUUGUGUAGUCAGUGUGUUUCUUUUUCUAUUUUAGCUUCGUAAGGUUUUUCGGAUGCACCCACACCAUCACUGUGCACUCUAGCUGACCAUUGAGAGUUGAGAGUUUUAAGAGGUUUCACUAUAGGAAACCCCCUAGGAUGUCGAGGUAGUGUAUGUGUGGAGGUGAUGACCACCUUGCAUGGAAGCACCCCGCCUCUUCGGAGGCGUGCAGAGGGUUGCGUACCGUCAGAGGGUAUGAUCGCUUCUGCUAAAGGAUCUUUUAAAGUCCACCCUUAUCCUUUUAGAGUCACUUUGACCUUGUAGGUUGAGCCGUAGAUUCUUCAAUUAGGACUCCCUCCCUACACCUGGGUGCAUCUGAGGGCCUUCAGAGCCUUUUUGAUCAUAGUUGGGAUUCAAUAUUCCCUCUUUUAGUCUCUAGUGAGAGUGCACCGAGAUCAGUACGAGUUUGGGUAUGGUCAGACGGUCCGUCUUCGUUUUUGAUGCCCUGCUCAUUCCAAUUCAGACUAGCAUUUCUUCCAUGUUUUCCCUAUGCCUACCAUAUCUCAUGCUUCAUGCUUUUCAGGAUUAGUUCUUCAUUCUCAGUGUGGAUUUACCAUCUUGGGUUAAAGUACAGGGGAGCUUAGUUUGGUUUUCCGAGAGGUCAAGCAUAGAUCAGUAGACUGUCACAGUUGGCUAGUUCACAGACGCCAUGGAUUCUAUUAAGGUAUCUUGUGAUUCAUGCUCUUCAGGAUUGGUUUUUCAUUCUCAGUGUGGAUUUGCCAUCUUGGGUCAGAGUAGAGGGGAUAUUAGUUCGCUUUUCCGAGAGAUCAGACAUGGAUCAGCGGGUUGUCACAGUUGGCUAGUUCACAGAUGCCAUGGAUUCUAUUCAGGUAUCUUGUGCUUCAUGCUCUUCAGGAUUGGUUUUUCAUUCUCUAUGUGGAUUUGUCAUCUUGGGUCAGAGUAGAGGGGAUAUUAGUUCGCUUGUCCGAGAGAUCAGACAUGGAUCAGCGGGUUGUCACAUUGAUUAGUUCACGGCCGCCAUGGCUUCUAUUUAGGAGGCCUUGGCCAGUCUCAGGCAGGAGAUAAACAAUCAGCAGAGUAGACAGUCCUUGAGGAUACUCAUUCAUGUAUGGAUCGUAUUGAGUAGCGUAUCAGGCAGUUGAGAGUAUCUGAUAGUUCAUCGACUUGGGAUGAUCUUGAUAGUAUACCAGUAGCCAGUCUACCAGCCAAGUUCAGGAUGCCUGACAUUGAGAGGUACACGAGCGUUGGUUGUCCAUGUAUUCAUCUUCGACUCUACAGUACUGUGAUGAAGGUCCAUGGGUUAGACGAGUCACAGAUGAUCACCAUGUUUCUUUUAUCUCUGAGUGGCGUAGCCCAGCAUUAGUUCGCAUCUUUGGAGUCCUCGCGACACAGGACAUAGGAUGACCUAGCUUAGGAGUUUUUGUGACAGUUUUCAUUUAGUACUGUCGUAGAUGUGUCGAGGAGAGAGCUUGAGGGUUUCAGACAGAGAUCAGAUGAAUCCAUUUCUUCCUUCAUCUCCCGCUGGUGGGGGAAGAUAGCAGAGAUUAUUGAUUGACCAUUAUAGAGAGGUGACUUAGUCUUGAGGUUCAUCAGAGGAUUGAUUAGAGAUCCUAGAGGGAAGUUCGGACCCAACUGGAGCAGACUUUAUUUCAUCAGGGAGUUGACCCCAGAGGGCGUUGCAUGGUUGAUGGAUCUAGAUGGAAACCGAUUCUCAGAGUUGACCAAUGUGGAUCAGCUAAAGAGGAAUUAUGUUUGAGACCAUGGUUGCAGGAUGGGUGGCCAUCAUUUCGGUUAGCCAUAUACCCUUUCACUUUUUUGAUACAUAGACCGUUGCUAGCCCAUUGAGCCUCACAUGUGCAUUAUAACCUUUCUUUCUUAUCGCCUUGCACACAUUUCUACACCGGGAUAGGGACCCUUUAGUGUAUGCAUGCAUUGUUUGGGAGUCUCAUGAGUCUUGGACCUACAGGUGCAUCUUUCUCUCAUCAUUUUUUCCUACCAUCACAUUACUGCAUUCCAUCGUAUCUUAGUGGUUGUCCUUCAUCUUUUCUUCUUUGUUCUAUCUAUUGCUUGUUUUGUUUCAUAUGCUCUCCACCUUGAGUGGUGAUCCUCCUCAGUUCAUUACAUGAAGGAUAAUCACAUCAUUUCCACUAUUUAUUCUAUGAACACUGGUUCAGAGAUUCUUAGUUUGAGAAGGUCAUCUUGUCAGAGAAAGUUUUUGUUACCUUAGUUUUGAGAGUGUGUCUAUUCAUCGUUGAUAUCAUCUUUGGGGCCUAUUUUGUUCAUGUUCAGGGUGUGUACAUUUGUAUAUAUGUAAAAAAAAAAAAAAAAAAAAAUGAAUGAAAAAAAAUUGAAAAGAAAAAAAAGAAAAAGAAGGAAAAAAAAAUUGAAAAAAAAAAAAGCGCAGGUGUGUAUUAUUUUUUAUCAUUGAGUGUGUAUAUUGAUAUUCGAGGGUCACUUGAUUGAGUAUGUUUGUUGAUGGGAGUUCGUAUGUGAGCUUUCCGAGGCCCUUCAUGCUUUGUAUUCAUUUUUAUUGUAUAUUUCGAGAGUGAGAUGAGUGACCUUCUCCUAGGAGCUCUGGGUCAUUGUCUCUUCCAUCAUUACGUUCAUUAUUGAUGUGACUUCACUUUAUGUCUGAUUUGAGUUGAUCACUACUCCUAUUUGUGUUAUUUGUUCCAUCAUCAUCCUCGUUUUUGCUUCUGAUUCAUCAUUUUCACUUCACAUCUUAUUCUUUUCUUACAGCAACCCAUCUCGGGUUUGAUACUCUCUUCGCAUCAUCAUUACACAUAUCACUAUCAGUUCAUUUGCUUCAUUUGUCUCCUUAUCGACAUCAUAUUCACAUUAGGCAUCCUUAGGUCUAUGGCUCACGAGAUUCACUAUACAUGUUGCAUUUCAUAUACGAGGGUAUGAGUUUUUUAUCAUUGGGUAUUUGAGCCUAGUUUUCCUUUAUUUCUAUCACCCUAUCACCUUGGCCUACGUUACGUCCUGUGUCUUAAGACCACCCUGAGGCCAUGGGAUCAGAUGUCGUCUUCGACAGCCUCUACUUGGACAGGUGUUUGAGAUCUGGUUGAUAUUUGAAUAUCGUCAUGCUUCUUCUUCUGGGAGUCGUCUCUUUGAUGUUUAGAUCUAAUUCAGCUGUGUUUGGAUUACCUGGAUCAUGCACUUGACGAUGGAUGAUUUGAUGUCACCUGAUUUUUCAGAUUUAUCACAUAUUCGAUGUCAUACUGGGGCAUAUUCCGUUUCGGGCGAGAUCUAUAGGUCUUCAGGGAGUUGCAUGAUUAUCCCCACUUGUGAGAUGUACGUUGAGAUGAUUGAUUGGUUCAUUAUUUUAUGAUGAUCCCUUAGUGGAGCCUCUGUGGAGCCAUUCAGUCAAGCCCACAUUUCUCGGCAUUUGGUUGCCGCCAUGCUUCUUAUCCAAGGAGAUGUUCCCUAGUUGUUUGGCAUGUUCGAUGAUAGAUGAUUCCAUGUCACCUGGUUUCUGACUUACCGUACAUUCGACGACAUACUAGGGCAUAUUUUCGACUAGACGAGAUUUAUAGAUCUUCACGGAGUUACAUGAUCACUCCCACUUGCGGGAUGCACACCGAGACGAGGACGUGUUCGUUAUCUUAUCAUGAUCUCCCAGGAGAGCCUCUCUUGAGUGAUUCAGUCAGGCACACACUUUUGACAUUUAGAUGUCCUUAUGCUUCUUCUUUUGAGAUACGCCUUUUGAUAUGUGGGUUGGAUUCAACUAUGGAUUUAGAUGAUUGGGAUCACACAUUUGAUGAUAGAUUAUUUGAUGUUGUCCGAUUUUUGGCUUAUUCCACAUCUGAUUCUAUACUGGGGUAUAUUUUCAUUUUGAUUGAGAUUUAUAGAUCUUCAUGGAGCUACAUGAUCACUCCCACUUGCGGGAUGCACACUGAGACGAGGACAUGUUCGUUGUUUUAUCAUGGUCCCUCGGUGGAGCCUCUCUUGAGCCAUCUAGUCAGACCCGUAUUUUUUGGCAUUUGUAUGUCAUCAUGCUCCUUAUUUCGAGAGACAUUUCCUUGAUGUUUGGGUUCGAUUUGGAUUACGGAGAUCACACAUUUGACAAUUGAUGGUUCAUGUCACUCAAUUUUCGACUUACCAUACAUAUAUACAAAUGUACACACCCUAAACAUGAAGAAAAUAGGCCCCAAAGAUGAUAUCAACAAUGAUAAGAUUUUCCCCCCAUUUUUUUUUCCUAUUCUCUUCUCUCUACUUUUUCCUCUUUUUCCCUCAUCGAAACACGCCGGACCCCUCGACUUUGAUUUUUUUUAUUAUUUUUUUUCCUUUUUUGGCUGCAGUCGGCCAUUGAAGAGGUUUUUUUUUUUUUUUUGGGGGGGGGGGGGGGGGGGGGGGAGGGGGGGUUUUUUUUUUUUUUUUUUCCCUUUUUUUUUUUUUGGCCCCCCCCCCGGAAAAGGGGGAGGGGGCAUUUUUUUUUUUUUUUUUUUUUUUUNNNNNNNNNNNNNNNNNNNNNNNNNNNNNNNNNNNNNNNNNNNNNNNNNNNNNNNNNNNNNNNNNNNNNNNNNNNNNNNNNNNNNNNNNNNNNNNNNNNNUCGGUGGAGCCUUUCCUGAACCAUUUAGUCAAGACCCGAUAUUUUUGGCAUUUGAUUGUCAUCAAGCUCCUUAUUUUCGAGAGACAUUUCCUUGAUGUUGGGUUUGAUUUGGAUUACGGAGAACACACAUUUGACAAAGGAUGGUUCAACUCACUCAAUUUUCGAAUUACCCUACAUAUAUACAAAUGUACACACCCUAAACAAGAAGAAAAUAGGCCCCAAAGAUGAUAUCAACAAUGAUAAGAUUUUCCCCCCCUUUUUUUUUCCUAUUUUUUUCUUUUUACUUUUUCCUUUUUUUCCCUCAUCGAAACACGCCGGACCCCUUGAAUUUGAUUUUUUUUUUUAUUUUUUUUCCUUUUUUGGGUGCAGUUGGCCAAUGAAGAGGUUUUUUUUUUUUUUUUGGGGGGGGGGGGGGGGGGUGGGAAGGGGGUUUUUUUUUUUUUUUUUUUCCCUUUUUUUUUUUUUGCUACUCCCUCUAGAGACGGGGAACGGACCAGUUUUUUUUUUUUUUUUUUCUUUUCUUCCUCCAUUCCUCUUCUUCUUCCCAUAGCCAACCCCUAUUUUUUUCUUCCCUUUCUCCAUUUUUUUUUCCUUUUUUAGUUUUUCUCCUCCUGUUUUCCCAAGAGAGCCGACCCCCAUUUUUAUUUAUUUUUUAUUUUUUCCUUUUUCUUCUUCCCCCAAAAGCACCCAACAACCAACUCCCCCAUUCCUAUUCCAUUUUCAUUUUUUAUUUUAUUAUUUUUAUUUCAGUGUAUUUUAUUUUAUUUUAUUUGUGAUUCCUAAAAAAAAUCAUCCACUACUGCCGGCAAGAUCACCGGCGAGCCACCGUCGGCCGGCGACCCCUUUCCCAUCUCAUCCGUUUCCGUUAUUAUUAUUAUUAUUAUUGUUAUUGUUAUUAUUAUUAUUGUUAUUGUUAUUGUUGUUAUUUUAAUUUAUUUUAGUAGUAAUUGUUGUUUAUGAAAUUUGGAUUGUUGAAUUAAUAUGAAAUUUGAGGUUAAUUUGUUGUUGGUAGAUUAAUACAUAAUUUGAUUUAAUUUAUUGUUAGUGAAUUAAUUUGAAAUUUGUUAAUUUGGGUUUGCGGGCAUAUUGUAUUGGGUGAUUAAUUUGAUGAUAUUUAGAUUAUAUCAAUUACAUAUUGUUUAUUUGGACUUGGGCCUAUUGUUAACUUGUUAUUUGUUUGGGCUUAUUGAAUUGGGCUUGAAAUAUUAUUUCUCUUGACCAUGUGGUUUUUUUUUUUUUUUUUUUUUUCCUUUUUUUUUGUUGCUACUCCCUCUAGAGACGGGGAACGGACCAGUUUUUUUUUUUCUUUCUCCAUUCCUCUUCUUCUUCCCACAGCCAACCCCUAUUUUUUUCUUCCCUUUCUCCAUUUUUUUUUUCUUUUUUUAGUUUUUCUCCUCCUGUUUUCCCAAGAGAGCCGACCCCCAUUUUUAUUUAUUUUUUAUUUUUUCCUUUUUCUUCUUCCCCCAAAAGCACCCAACAACCAACUCCCCCAUUCCUAUUCCAUUUUCAUUUUUUAUUUUAUUAUUUUUAUUUCAGUGUAUUUUAUUUUAUUUUAUUUGUGAUUCCUAAAAAAAAUCAUCCACUACUGCCGGCAAGAUCGCCGGCGAGCCACCGUCGGCCGGCGACCCCUUUCCCAUCUCAUCCGUUUCCGUUAUUAUUAUUAUUAUUAUUGUUAUUGUUAUUAUUAUUAUUGUUAUUGUUAUUGUUGUUAUUUUAAUUUAUUUUAGUAGUAAUUGUUGUUUAUGAAAUUUGGAUUGUUGAAUUAAUAUGAAAUUUGAGGUUAAUUUGUUGUUGGUAGAUUAAUACAUAAUUUGAUUUAAUUUAUUGUUAGUGAAUUAAUUUGAAAUUUGUUAAUUUGGGUUUGUGGGCAUAUUGUAUUGGGUGAUUAAUUUGAGGAUAUUUAGAUUAUAUCAAUUACAUAUUGUUUAUUUGGACUUGGGCCUAUUGUUAACUUGUUAUUUGUUUGGGCUUAUUGAAUUGGGCUUGAAAUAUUAUUUUUCUUGACUUUUUUUUUUUUUCCUUUUUUUUUGUUGCUACUCCCUCUAGAGACGGGGAACGGACCAGUUUUUUUUUUUUUUUUUCUUUUCUUCCUCCAUUCCUCUUCUUCUUCCCACAGCCAACCCCUAUUUUUUUUUCCCUUUCUCCAUUUUUUUUUUCUUUUUUUAGUUUUUCUCCUCCUGUUUUCCCAAGAGAGCCGACCCCCAUUUUUAUUUAUUUUUUAUUUUUUCCUUUUUCUUCUUCCCCCAAAAGCACCCAACAACCAACUCCCCCAUUCCUAUUCCAUUUUCAUUUUUUAUUUUAUUAUUUUUAUUUCAGUGUAUUUUAUUUUAUUUUAUUUGUGAUUCCUAAAAAAAAUCAUCCACUACUGCCGGCAAGAUCGCCGGCGAGCCACCGUCGGCCGGCGACCCCUUUCCCAUCUCAUCCGUUUCCGUUAUUAUUAUUAUUAUUAUUAUUGUUAUUGUUAUUAUUAUUAUUGUUAUUGUUAUUGUUGUUAUUUUAAUUUAUUUUAGUAGUAAUUGUUGUUUAUGAAAUUUGGAUUGUUGAAUUAAUAUGAAAUUUGAGGUUAAUUUGUUGUUGGUAGAUUAAUACAUAAUUUGAUUUAAUUUAUUGUUAGUGAAUUAAUUUGAAAUUUGUUAAUUUGGGUUUGUGGGCAUAUUGUAUUGGGUGAUUAAUUUGAGGAUAUUUAGAUUAUAUCAAUUACAUAUUGUUUAUUUGGACUUGGGCCUAUUGUUAACUUGUUAUUUGUUUGUUUUUAUGUGGGCUUGUUAAUUGAUGUGAAUUUUGGGGUCCACAAUGUGGGUGGGAUUUGUUGGAUUAUUUGAAUAUUUGAUAUGGGUUUGGCCAAUUUAAAUUGUUUAAUUUGGACAUAGGACAAUUAUGGUGUAUAUUAAAUUAGACUUAUAUUAUAAAAUAUUAAGUUUAGGUCUAGUAAAAUUUAUUUUAAUUUAUCCAACUUUAGGUUUNNNNNNNNNNNNNNNNNNNNNNNNNNNNNNNNNNNNNNNNNNNNNNNNNNNNNNNNNNNNNNNNNNNNNNNNNNNNNNNNNNNNNNNNNNNNNNNNNNNNAUUUAGGCUCAUUUUAAAUUGACAAAUUUAUGGGACUAGUUGAGANUGGGAUUUGGGUAUAUUUGUUUGUGAUUUAUACAUCUAUGGAUAUUUACAUUUGCGCUGUUUUUGUUUUUGCAUGGACUCAUUCUGCAAUCUUAUUGGCUGAGUACGAAUUGAUGACAUGUGGAAUUUGUUGUAAGUUUAUUGGGGUAUAUAUUUUAUUUACCACUUUUAUUUGGUUUUAUUUUAAUUAACUCUUGUAAAUAUUUGUUCGUUUAUAUUUAUUGAGUGUGUACAGAAUUGAACAUCGAACAAAUUAGAAAUUUUGUUUAAAUGAGAUGAUGAAUUCAGUAAAUAUGUUCUAAUAAAAUACUAAUUUCAAAAUAUCCUUUUUAAUAAAAGAAAGUUUUUUAUUUUAUUUUAUUUUUAUUAUUUAUUUAUUUAUUUUUACUAUUUUUUAUCUAUUUAUGAAAAUUCAGAAAAAUGCAAAAAAAUUGUUUUUAAUAGAAUUCGAAAAAUUGUUUUUAAUGACACUGUUCAUGUUUAAUAAAAAUUGCCCAAAAAUUGUCUUGUAAAUAAAGUUGUCCCAAAUAUUAAUUUUUAGUAAAAUUGUCUAAAAAUAUUUUUUUAAACGAAUUCUUUUUCUUCCUUAAUUAAAACGAAAUUAAAAGUGUUUUUCAGAAAUAGAGAAUUUAAAUAUUUGUUUUUCCUUUUAAUUAAAAUAAAGUUGUGUCAUAUUAAAUAAUUUAUAAAAAUCACUCUUUUAAAUGAAAAUGUAAAUACUUUUGUAAAUAAAAUUGUAAAAAUUCAUUAUUUUCUAGUAAAAGCAAGUAAAAAUAAUUUUUGUACCCAAAUUGAAAUUUUGUAAUUCUUUUGAUGCAAUAAGUGUAAAUAACUUUUUUGAAAAUUGAAUACAACUGAAAUUGAGAAAAUAAAUUGAUUUUUUUUUAUAAGUAAAUAAAUGGAAAGAUCAUUUUAUAGAAUCGUUUGAAAUUUCUUUAAAAUUUUUUUAAAUAUCUUUUAUUUAUUUAUUUGAAUAAAUUAUUUUGCACAAUCCUCUUAUUAUUUAUUUUGUGUUUCAUCAUCGUUUUUUAAUUUUCAUCAUGACUUGUAUAUUGAUUAUUUUUCUUGAUAUCCAUAAUUAAUUAAUUAAUUGCCACAAUUUCCUCUUUAGUAGAGGCCGUACGUAUACUGGCUUAGAUGGGUGCUACGGCUCACUACCGUACCUUUCCAAUGAGUAACUUGACCCUCGGACUCAGACUCGAUUUUUCACAGAUCACACUUAAGGUUUUCUUUCUUAUUUUGUUUCCUUUAAAAAUAAAAUAAAAAUAAGUGGCGAUUCCUUUCUAAAAAUCAAAUCUUCACCAAACAAAAAUUCGCAAUUGAGUGGGAAUGCACCGAGAAAAUGUGGAGUCCACACACGGUUUUGUAUUUUAAAAUUUAUACUACUUUGAUAUUAAAAAUAUGGUUUUUAAAAAUAUUUAAUAAAAUAUAUUAAUUUUUAACUAUUUUCAAAUAUAAAUUUUUUUUUUAUGAUAUUAAUAAGAAUUUUUAAUAAAUAAUUUUAAUUUAAAUAUGAAAAUUUUUUUUAACGGAAAAAAAAAAAUAUGAGUAUCUUCAACAAUUCCAUUAGGUACGGCAUUGACGUGCAGUAUAAGGCACCGUGGGAAAAAUAUCUUGUAAUAAGCGGCUAACUUCCCCAUAACUUGGAAAUCCAACCCCCAACUUGGGUGAUUAAUUUGAGGAUAUUUAGAUUAUAUCAAUUACAUAUUGUUUAUUUGGACUUGGGCCUAUUGUUAACUUGUUAUUUGUUUGGGCUUAUUGAAUUGGGCUUGAAAUAUUAUUUCUCUUGACCAUGUGAUUUUUUUUUAUGUGGGCUUGUUAAUUGGAUUAUUUGAAUAUUUGAUAUGGGUUUGGCCAAUUUAAAUUGUUUAAUUUGGACAUAGGACAAUUAUGGUGUAUAUUAAAUUAGGCUUAUAUUAUAAAAUAUUAAGUUUAGGUCUAGUAAAAUUUAUUUUAAUUUAUCCAACUUUAGGUUUGAUUGAUUGUGUUUGUAUUUUUGGUUAUUAAUUUGGAUGUUCUGGGUUAAGACCUAUAAUAAUUUAUUAAAUUGACAAAAUUUAUGGGACUAAUUUGAGAAUUGGGAUUUGGGUAUAUUUGUUUGUGAUUUUAUACAUCUAUGGAUAUUUACAUUUGCGCUGUUUUUGUUUUUGCAUGGACUCAUUCUGCAAUCUUAUUGGCUGAGUACGAAUUGAUGACAUGUGGAAUUUGUUGUAAGUUUAUUGGGGUAUAUAUUUUAUUUACCACUUUUAUUUGGUUUUAUUUUAAUUAACUCUUGUAAAUAUUUGUUCGUUUAUAUUUAUUGAGUGUGUACAGAAUUGAACAUCGAACAAAUUAGAAAUUUUGUUUAAAUGAGAUGAUGAAUUCAGUAAAUAUGUUCUAAUAAAAUACUAAUUUCAAAAUAUCCUUUUUAAUAAAAGAAAGUUUUUUAUUUUAUUUUAUUUUUAUUAUUUAUUUAUUUAUUUUUACUAUUUUUUAUCUAUUUAUGAAAAUUCAGAAAAAUGCAAAAAAAAUUGUUUUUAAUAGAUUUCGAAAAAUUGUUUUUAAUGACACUGUUCAUGUUUAAUAAAAAUUGCCCAAAAAUUGUCUUGUAAUAAAGUUGUCCCAAAUAUUAAUUUUUAGUAAANNNNNNNNNNNNNNNNNNNNNNNNNNNNNNNNNNNNNNNNNNNNNNNNNNNNNNNNNNNNNNNNNNNNNNNNNNNNNNNNNNNNNNNNNNNNNNNNNNNNGCAAGAUCGCCGGCGAGCCACCGUCGGCCGGCGACCCCUUUCCCAUCUCAUCCGUUUCCGUUAUUAUUAUUAUUAUUAUUAUUGUUAUUGUUAUUAUUAUUAUUGUUAUUGUUAUUGUUGUUAUUUUAAUUUAUUUUAGUAGUAAUUGUUGUUUAUGAAAUUUGGAUUGUUGAAUUAAUAUGAAAUUUGAGGUUAAUUUGUUGUUGGUAGAUUAAUACAUAAUUUGAUUUAAUUUAUUGUUAGUGAAUUAAUUUGAAAUUUGUUAAUUUGGGUUUGUGGGCAUAUUGUAUUGGGUGAUUAAUUUGAGGAUAUUUAGAUUAUAUCAAUUACAUAUUGUUUAUUUGGACUUGGGCCUAUUGUUAACUUGUUAUUUGUUUGUUUUUAUGUGGGCUUGUUAAUUGAUGUGAAUUUUGGGGUCCACAAUGUGGGUGGGAUUUGUUGGAUUAUUUGAAUAUUUGAUAUGGGUUUGGCCAAUUUAAAUUGUUUAAUUUGGACAUAGGACAAUUAUGGUGUAUAUUAAAUUAGACUUAUAUUAUAAAAUAUUAAGUUUAGGUCUAGUAAAAUUUAUUUUAAUUUAUCCAACUUUAGGUUUGAUUGAUUGUGUUUGUAUUUUUGGUUAUUAAUUUGGAUGUUCUGGGUUAAGACCUAUAAUAAUUUAGGCUCAUUUUAAAUUGACAAAAUUUAUGGGACUAGUUUGAGAAUUGGGAUUUGGGUAUAUUUGUUUGUGAUUUUAUACAUCUAUGGAUAUUUACAUUUGCGCUGUUUUUGUUUUUGCAUGGACUCAUUCUGCAAUCUUAUUGGCUGAGUACGAAUUGAUGACAUGUGGAAUUUGUUGUAAGUUUAUUGGGGUAUAUAUUUUAUUUACCACUUUUAUUUGGUUUUAUUUUAAUUAACUCUUGUAAAUAUUUGUUCGUUUAUAUUUAUUGAGUGUGUACAGAAUUGAACAUCGAACAAAUUAGAAAUUUUGUUUAAAUGAGAUGAUGAAUUCAGUAAAUAUGUUCUAAUAAAAUACUAAUUUCAAAAUAUCCUUUUUAAUAAAAGAAAGUUUUUUAUUUUAUUUUAUUUUUAUUAUUUAUUUAUUUAUUUUUACUAUUUUUUAUCUAUUUAUGAAAAUUCAGAAAAAUGCAAAAAAAAUUGUUUUUAAUAGAUUUCGAAAAAUUGUUUUUAAUGACACUGUUCAUGUUUAAUAAAAAUUGCCCAAAAAUUGUCUUGUAAAUAAAGUUGUCCCAAAUAUUAAUUUUUAGUAAAAUUGUCUAAAAAUAUUUUUUUAAACGAAUUCUUUUUCUUCCUUAAUUAAAACAAAAUUAAAAGUGUUUUUCAGAAAUAGAGAAUUUAAAUAUUUGUUUUUCCUUUUAAUUAAAAUAAAGUUGUGUCAUAUUAAAUAAUUUAUAAAAAUUAAAUAAAAUUGUAAAAAUUCAUUAUUUUCUAGUAAAAGCAAGUAAAAAUAAUUUUUGUACCCAAAUUGAAAUUUUGUAAUUCUUUUGAUACAAUAAGUGUAAAUAACUUUUUUGAAAAUUGAAUACAACUGAAAUUGAGAAAAUAAAUUGAUUUUUUUUAUAAGUAAAUAAAUGGAAAGAUCAUUUUGUUUUCUUUCUUAUUUUGUUUCCUUUAAAAAUAAAAUAAAAAUAAGUGGCGAUUCCAAGUUUUUUUAAAAAUCAAAUCUUCACCAAACAAAAAUUCGCAAUUGAGUGGGAAUGCACCGAGAAAAUGUGGAGUCCACACACGGUUUUGUAUUUUAAAAUUUAUACUACUUUGAUAUUAAAAAUAGUUUUUAAAAAUAUUUAAUAAAAUAUAUUAAUUUUUAACUAUUUUCAAAUAUAAUUUUUUUUUUUUUAUGAUAUUAAUAAGAAUUUUUAAUAAAUAAUUAAAAUAUGAAAAAAAAUUUUAACGGAAAAAAAAAAUAUGAGAUACUUCAACAGUUCCAUUAGGUACGGCAAAAAUAUCUAGUAAUAAGCUUGGGGGUUGGCUUUGAAUAAUUAAUUAGCCGAUCUUACAAGGUUUGUUUUCAAGUUGUCAGGAAUAGCGAAAUAGCGACUUUUGUCUUAAUUGAUAAAAAUUGAGUAUCCGGUGGGAGUCCACACACGGUUUUUGUAUAAAUUACUCACUACACCGUGGGAAAAAUCCACUAUAACUUGGGGGUUGGCUUUUGAAUUAAUUAGCCGAUCUUAACAAUUGUUUUCAAGUUGUCAGGAAUAGCGAAAUAGCGACUGCUUUGUCUUAAUUGAUAAAAAUUGAGUAUAAAUUACUCACUGCACCGUGGGAAAAAUCCACACACGGUUUUUUGUAUAAAUUACUCACUGCACCAUAUAUAUAACUUGGGGGUUGUGAAUUAAUUAGCUGAUCUUAACAAUUGUUUUCAAGUUGUCAGGAAUAGCGAAAUAGCGACUGCUUUGUCUUAAUUGAUAAAAAUUGAGUAUAAAUUACUCACUGCACCGUGGGAAAAAUCCACACACGGUUUUUUGUAUAAAUUACUCACUGCAUCAUAUCUAUAACUUGGGGGUUGUGAAUUAAUUAGCCGAUCUUAACAAUUGUUUUCAAGUUGUCAGGAAUAGCGAAAUAGCGACUGCUUUGUCUUAAUUGAUAAAAAUUGAGUGGGAAUGCACCGGAGUCCACACACGGUUUUUGUAUAAAUUUUACUGAGGACUUUCUAAAGAUUAAAAUUUGAUAUUAAAAAUAUGGUUUUUAAAAAUAUUUAAUAAAAUAUAUUAAUUUUUAACUAUUUUCAAAUAAAUUUUUUUUAUGAUAUUAAAUAAAUAAUUUUAAUUUAAAUAUGAAAAUUGUCUUUUAAGAAGAUUUAACCUUUUAACGGAACGCAUCGAGCAAAUUGACGUGCAGUAUAAGGCACCGUCUGGGAAAAUAAUACGGGUCAAAUAUCUAGGGAAGCAUCCUUAAAAUCCCCCCAACAAUCAUAAGGCUAACUUUUCACUUGUCCUUAAAAUCCCCCCAAUAUCAAUCAUAUUUUUUUCAUUGAUGAAUGUCUACAUCAUCCCCAAAACUUGGAUGGGACAUGGGCUACGUCAUCCCCAAACAGAAUAAGACUGCUUAUGGGCAAGCAAAAAGACGCCCAAGUUACCAUGCAUUCAUCCUCUAUUUGUGUCCAAGAAUUGCAUCCAUAAUCCCUUCAUUCCUAUUCUUUUUCUUCUGGGCUGAUGAAGCUGUUUGGCGUGGAGAUGAUACCGCAUGUAAAAGGCAAGACAACAAAGAAGAGGAAGUCCAUAAGGCUAUUUGGAAAGGAUUUGGUGCCUCAGAGGAGAAAGAGCAGGAUAAAGAAAACCGGAAGCUCAUCAACUGCCUCCCCUCCAGAUUCGCUGCCUUUUGCAUUACUACAGACUGCUCAAGGCAUGGGGGGGCGUGAUUUUGUUUUCCUGACAAGAAAGAUAUUAGAAAGAUCCGACGUAGAUGUGCAUCUCAACCGCCUUUUCUUACCCAAGACUCUGGUGCUGUUAGGGGUGCUGUCGCCUGAGGAGAGGAGAGAGGUGGGAGGAGGAGGGGUGAAAGAUACAGUAUGAUGUUGAAGAAGUGGCCGAGUUUGGAUCAAAUUGUCUUUAAUCGUGGGUGGAGAAAGCUCGUUGAAAACAAUGGGUUGAGGGCAGAACUCGACACUAUCGAACUAUGGACUUUUCGGGCGGAUUUGAAGCUGUGUUUUGCUUUGAAUGUCAAGAGCGAGGGAGACCACCAUUAAUCAUUGAUCAUUUUUGAAGAUGAAGCUAAUAAUGAUGUUAAGUGCAGUUGUUUUAGUUACCUUGAUAUGGAGUUUUAAUUAUUGUUUUCUGUUAUUGUCGAGUCUCCUGUAGUUUGUUUUUUGCAUCUUUGUAGCAGUUGUGUUCGUGUUUGUUUUUGAAUUAUGGUUCAAUGGAUUUCAUGUGGCAUUUGAAUUCUUGUUUUUGUUCGUCUUUUUUUGUUUUUUUUUAUUUUUUUUUUAUUUUGAUGUAGUUUGGAUGGUAUAAGAAAAAACGUCAAUAUAAACAUAUGACAACCUUAGCUUGAAUAAUCACAUGCUAAUAUCAAUUUAUUUGAUCGGGAUUUAAUAUAUGAACUAUAUAUAUAUAUAUUUUUUAUUAUUUGUCGAGGCUCUCUAAUAUAUACAAGGGAAGAGUACUUAUGCUUUGCCUAUUAAAUUCCCUAAAAAACCUGGAAAUCACACUACCCUUCAAACCCUUGUUCACUAAAAACCCAUCUUGACUUAAAUCGCCAAGUUAAACCAAUCCAACCUCAAGGUUCUUCGGUUUGUUCUUCAAUUUAUCCAAAUUUGCAGCACAAGAAAGCCAUGGAAGCAAGAUCUAAACUUGCUAGGGUUCUGCAUAGGAGCUGUUUCGAGGAUGACGAUGAUAAGCUUCAGUGGCUGAAUUGGAAUUUUUGUGGGUUAGAAGGCUUUAAUAUCAAAGUAUUGUUGUAUAAAUUUAGGGGGCCUCCAGAUUGGGAUUAGUGAAUAGUAGAACUCCUUCUUCAUCUUUUGACCAUGGAAAAUAAUCUCUCUCCCUCUCUCUUCUUCUUCUUCUUGGAAUGAACUCCUUAACUCAGAAACAAACUAACACAAUGAUCUAAUUUCUUGGGAUAUUCAAACAGCCCAAAGAUGAAUUUGUCAUCCACAGCUAGCCUUUGAUGAUGGCAUGCUGAUAAGGAUAUCAAACACUGAUAAUAUACCCAUAUUACAAUGAAAGAUAUAGAAGCUUGUGGCAUUCAUACAUGCUGACUUGCGCUGGCUGUUCUUGUCCCCGCCUGUUCUAGGACACAAAAGAACACGGAAGAAAAUUUGGUGGCUAUAGGGACCCCUCCCCCUAGUGACACAUGACACACAUUUCCUGAUGACACGUGACACGCAUUCUUAUCCGGAUUAACCCCAUCCGGAUUCCCCCCAAGAGUACACGUGGCGUGCUUCUCCUAUCCGGACUCCCUCAGGGAGAGGCACACGACACUCACAAACAUAACAUCCGGACGACCGCCAUAUCACAUCCGGACGACCGACAUAUCCUAUCCAGAUAUGUUUGUCCGGAUCAUUGACAGAAGUAAGCAAGUCUUGCACGUCAUUACAACAGCCUGCCAUGGUCCACGUUCCGCCACCUGCAGAGUGAAAGGACAGGAAUGAAAUGAUGACAAGUCACCUCCAACGAUCUCUAACAACCGCGACGCCUCCCACGAUCUCUGUCAGCCGCCCGUAGGGUGAUGAUGACCCUGCCACUCCCUAGAGGCAUCAUGACAAGCCAAAAUAUCUCCCUACCAUUAAAGAGAGAGACAGAACUUCUGAUACUAUAUAUAUGGACCUUCACACAAGGAGGAAGGUAAGCUUGCUAUACUUAAUAAAAGGCCAAUUGAUUUAUCUCUCUAACCAUGGCUGACAAAACCAUCGGAGGGUGCGUUCGGACAGGGUGUCCGGACGCCUUUUGCAGGAACGACUGAACCAGGAAUCUAUAUUGGUUAAGAUCGUGCGUCCAUCCAUUUGGCAAUUACGUGGAUCACCAGGGACGCGAGGCCUCAACAUUGGCGCCGUCUGUGGGAAAAUCACUGAUUCAGUCACCGGUAAAGAUGACCACACUUUCCCGUAGCCGAUCAUCUGGUAGGGGAGAGGAAGAUAAUUCUGAAUGGCGCCAAGCCAUCGAAAGAAGAUAGUUGGCAAGCGAACGACAACUACAAGCUCUCCUCCAGGAGACAAUAAGAUUAAGAGAAGAAAACGUGGUGCUACGCAUCCAAGCUUCAUCGACGGGGCCUCCUCGUCGUCAGCAUUCAAGAGGCCAGGUAGCAAACUCAAGGCCAGACCUAGAGUCAAUAUACCCUGGGAUGGCAGGAGCCAUCCCAGAAACAGGCAACAUUAGACCGCAUGAGCCACACACGCCCAUGCACCGAGCUCCCCAUGAGGAAAGCUUGGAUUCUACUCAUUUUUCAACAAAAAGACAACACGAUAAAAAAUCCCAGUUGUCAGACUCAAUGCGCGCGAGGCUAGGUCUACAGGAGACUGGGAGACCAAAGCCACCAGUAGCCACAACCUGGGCAGCGCACCUUGACCCCAUGGUCACCCCUAGGAUGCAGAAUGUUCUCCCGCACCGUGACCCUAUGGUCACCCCUAUGGUGCAGAACGUUCAUCCGCACCUAGCGGUACGACAAGCUGGGAGAAACCUCCCAAACGAGCCACCCAUUGGCUCCAUCAGCAAAAUGCUGGACGACAUGUUCUCCAUGCCUUUUUGCUCUCAUAUCAUUCAUUACGAGCCCCCAAGGGGAUUCCUCGUGCCAAAAUUUUCCACAUAUGAUGGGUCCAGUGACCUCUUCGACCAUAUCAUGCAUUAUCGAUAGCUCAUGACUCUCGAUAUAGGCAAUGACGCGCUGCUAUGCAAAGUAUUCUUCGCCAGCCUACAAGGGCAGGCUCUCUCAUGGUUCCAUCGCCUACCUCCCAACUCUGUUGAUAAUUUCAGAGACCUAUCGGAAGCCUUCGUGGGACAAUACUUAUGCUCCGCUCGACAUAAACAGAAUAUCAGCACUUUGCAAAACAUAAAAAUGCAAGAUAACGAAUCCUUAAGGGAGUUCGUAAAACGGUUUGGUCAGGCCGUACUACAGGUAGAGGCUUACAGCAUGGAUGUUGUCUUGCAGAUCUUCAAGCGAAGCAUCUGUCCAGGCACCCCAUUUUUUGAAUCACUUGCUAAAAAGCCUCUUAUAAUGAUGGACGACUUGUUCUGACGUGCGAGUAGCCACCCAGCAAGUCUUGGUUGUUGGACAGGCAUCCAGAAAUGGCGCAGAAAGAAGUGCCAAACUUCCGGACCGGCCAAGGCCGUUCGAUCGAAGGCAGGAAGGGCCAAGUCGCCCGGAAAGGCCGCCCCUCACGCCCCUUUCCAUAUCCUAUGAGAAACUUCUCCCUAUGAUCCAAGACAUGUCUGACUUCAGGUGGCCUAGACCCCUCGGAACGGAUCCAUCCAAAAGAGAUCAUAAUAAAAAAUGUGUCUUCCACAAGGAACAUGGUCACACAACAGAGACAUGCAGGUGCCUCCAUUAUUUGGUCGAAAGGCUCAUAAGGGCGGGACAUUUAAAGCAAUACCUCCGCUCAGAGGUUGGAGGUAGAGACGCUUCUCGAAAUCACAACUCUGGAGCCCCUAGGGCCCAACCGCCCCCAAAGCCGUUAUAAACUAUAUUAACGGAGGCCCAUCUGACGAGGAGUACGACUCCAAACGAAAGAGACAAAAGUUGUUGCGGGCAGCAUCGGUGCGCGAGCGUGUCAACUCCAUCCGGCCUGGGAUAACUAGGGGAGGCCCUCGCCCCAUAGAUGGGACAAUCAUUUUCCCACCAGUAGACCCCACCCGGAUAUUGCAGCCGCACCGCGACGCCCUCAACCUAUCCCUAGAGAUAGGAGACUUCGACAUAAGACGCAUCCUGGUUGACCCGGGCAGCUUGGCCGAUCUUGUACAAGCGUCAGUCAUCAGCCACAUGGGACACAGUCUCACAGGCCUCGAAAACCCUGGGCGAAUCUUGUUCAGAUUCAACGGGGCAUCAACUACUUCCUUGGGAGAUAUUGUACUACCGGUCCAAGUUGGCCAAGUCACUCUCAACGUACAAUUUUCGAUGGUACAAGAUUUAUCACCCUUCACUGUUAUCUUGGGAUGCACAUGGCUGCACUACAUGAAAGUCAUCCCCUCUACAUAUCAUCAAAUGGUAAGCUUCCUUACCAAGGAUGAGUAAAUUGACCUAUAUGGCAGCCAGUUAGCCGCUCGCCAAUGCUACCAGAUAGCGCAAGAAGCAGAGACCAGUCAGGAGGAUGCAUCCCUCCCUGAGUCCAACCAUGCACGUGACCAAUAGCAAUUAUUGAGUUCGGCGGACAAAGAUCCCCCGGCAACGGAUCCCUUGCGGGCGAUCCAAAUUUCGGAAGAAGGUACUCACCUUACGAAUAUCAGUUCCCUCCUGACACCAAAAGAAACCCGGAACAUGCAGAACGCCCUCAGACAAAACCAUGACGUCUUCGCAUGGGCACAUUCUGAUAUGAAGGGAAUUCAUCCCUCCAUUACCUCUCAUAAGCUUAACGUCUUGCCAACAGCCAGACCCAUCCGGCAGAGGGUUAGGCAUUUUCACCCGGACAGGCAAAAAAUUAUCCUGGAUGAAAUAGACAAGUUGCUGGAAGCCGAAUUCAUCAGAGAAGUGGAGUACCCGGACUGGUUGGCAAAUGUAGUGGUGGUACCCAAAAAAGAAGGCAAAUGGCGGGUGUGCGUCGACUACACCAACCUCAAUAAUGCAUGCCCAAAAGAUAGUUUCCCUUUGCCGCGGAUAGAUCAAAUUAUGGAUUCCAUUGCUGGGUAGGGGAUGCUCUCCUUCUUGGACGCCUUCUCUGGAUACCACCAAAUCCCCAUGUCCCCGGCUGACGAGGAAAAAACAACCUUCAUAAUGCCACACAGUCUUUACUGCUACAAAGUCAUGUCAUUCGGACUCAAAAACGCUGGCGCCACUUAUCAGAGACUGAUGACAAAGAUCUUCAAACCUCUGGUCGGCCGCACAGUAGAGGUAUAUAUUGACGAUAUUGUGGUUAAAAGCAAAACCCGAAAAGAACAUGUCCUCCAUUUGCAAGAAGUCUUCCACCUCUUAAGGAAGUAUGACAUGAAGUUGAAUCCUUCUAAAUGCGCCUUUGGCGUAAGUGUUGGCAAAUUCCUGGGAUUUAUGGUCAGCCAAAGGGGGAUAGAGGUUAGCCCGGAUCAAGUCAAGGCAGUCAUAGAAACACCACCCCCCAGGAGCAAGAAGGAAUUACAGCGUCUCACAGGCAAGCUCGUCGCACUAGGGCGUUUUAUAACCCGCUUCACUGAUGAACUGCGUCCCUUCUUCUUGGCAAUACGAAAAGCUGGAGCAAACGAAUGGACAGACAGCUAUCAAAACGCUUUUGAAAAAAUCAAACACUGCCUCAUGCAACCGCCCAUCCUAAACAGUCCCCUCCCUGAAGAAAAAUUGUAUAUGUAUUUGGCUAUAUAGAAGUGGGCAAUUAGCGCUGUUCUAUUCCGCUGCCCAUCGCCCAAGGAGCAGAAACCUAUCUACUACAUCAGCAGAGCAUUAGCGAACGUAGAAACUAGAUAUUCAAAGAUGGAGCUAACGACCUUAGCUCUUCGAAGUGCCGCCCAGAAGCUCCGUCCUUACUUCCAAGCCCACCCGGUGGUCGUGCUAACUGACCAGCCCCUUCGCAACAUUCUACACAAGUCGGACCUAACCGGGAGAAUGCUUCAAUGGGCCAUAGAGUUGAGCGAAUAUGGAAUCGAGUUCCAACCCAGGUUAUUCAUGAAGGGCUAAGUGAUGGCUGACUUUGUGCUGGAAUACUCCCGAGAGCCUAUCCAACACAAAGAACCAAGUGAAAAAGAAUGGUGGACUUUGCGAGUUGAUGGAGCCUCCCGAUCAUCAGGAUCCGGGGUAGGGCUCCUGCUGCAAUCCCCAACAGGAGAACAUCUGGAGCAAGCCAUCCGACUGGGGUUCCCCGCCUCUAACAAUAAAGCGGAAUAUGAGACCAUCCUAUCCGGAUUGGACCUCGCCCUGGCUCUAUCCAUAUCCAAGCUCCAGGUCUAUAGUGAUUCCCAACUCGUGGUAAGACACGUCCACAAGGAAUACGAAGCUAAGAAUGUGCGCAUGGCGCGAUAUCUAACUAAAGUAAGGGACACCUUACAACGAUUCACCGAGUGGACGAUUGAGAAAAUUAGACGAACUGAAAAUGGGCGCGCUGACGCCUUGGCAGGCAUAGCUGCCUCCCUUCCCAUAAAAGAAGCCAUAUUGUUGCCUAUACAUGUGCAAGCCAACCCUUCCGUCGCAGAAGCUUCCACUUGCAAUACCAUUGAAGCAAAACAAGCAGACGACCAAGAAUGGACGAACGACAUUAUAAGGUACCUCUGGACAGACACUCUGCCCAAGGAUCCCAAGCAGGCACAUAAGAUCCGGGUGCAGGCCGCCCGUUUCACCUUGAUCGGGGGGCACUUGUACAAACGGUCCUUCACAGGUCCCUACCUUCGGUGUUUAAGCCAUUCAGAGGCCCUGUAUGUAUUAGCUGAAUUGCACGAGAGAGUAUGUGGAAAUCAUUCUGAAGGACGAUCUCUGGUGCAUAGGGCCCAUUCGCAAGGAUAUUACUGGCCCACGAUGAAGAAGGAUACGGCAGCCUACGUCAAAAAAUGCGACAAAUGUCAAAGGCAUGCCCCCAUACCACAUGUGCCGUCGGAGACAUUGAAACCAAUUUUAGGCCCCUGGCCCUUUGCACAGUGGGGCAUGGACAUAGUAGGACCCCUACCAGCCGCACCCGCCCAGAAGAAAUUCCUGCUCGUCGCCACGGAUUACUUCAGUUAAUGGGUGGAAGCUAAAGCAUACGCUAGCAUCAAAGACAAAGAUGUCACCAAGUUCGUGUGGAAGAACAUCAUCUGUCACUUUGGAAUCCCCCAAACCAUUAUAGCUGACAACGGUCCACAGUUUGAUAGCAUCGCUUUCUGGAAUUUCUGUUCGGAACUAAACAUCCGGAAUUCAUACUCCACACCGCGUUAUCCCCAAAGUAAUGGGCAAGCAGAGGCCACAAACAAGACUCUAAUCACUGCCUUAAAGAAAAAGCUCGAGCAAGCCAAAGGAAAAUGGGUGGAGGAGCUACCCGGCAUCUUAUGGGUUUAUCGAACCACACCCGGACGUCCGACAUGAAACACUCCCUUCGCCCUCGCAUACGGUAUGGACGCAAUCAUUCCUACUGAAAUAGGGUUACCCAUUAUCUGGACUGAGGUAGGAAGGCAGGACGAUGCAAAUGCAGAGUUAGGAAGAAACUUGGACUGGGCAGACGAAGUAAGAGAAACUGCAUCCAUCCGGAUGGCAGAUUAUCAAUAGAGGACAUCCGCUCACUACAAUCGCAAAGCGAGGCCCAGAAGCUUAAAAAAUGGUACGCUGGUCCUUAGAAAGGUUUUCGAAAAUACUGUUGAGAUAGGAGCAGGAAAGUUUCAAGCCAAUUGGGAAGACCCCUAUAUAAUAUCUAAGACAAAUGAAAGUGGAGCUUAUCAUUUACAAAAGCUAGACGAAACCCCAUUGCUCCGAUCAUGGAAUGUAUCUAAUCUAAAGCAGUAUUACCAAUGAAAGAGAAAUAGAAGUGCAAUUUGAAUAAGUAUGUUUUAUUAAUACUUGUCAAAAUUGUAUACAAAGAGUUCUCCGGACUACAAAAUACAGGGAAAGGAUAGCAGUAAAAAUUACAAAAAGAAAAGUUCUCAUUGGGCAGGCUUGCCGCGUAGCUUCUUCUCCUUACCUGGGGAAAUCGAAGAGACGUCCCGUUUGAUACCAUGUUUUUUCAUACAACAACGAUAGCCGAAGAAGUACAUUUCGUCUACCUGCUUCUGGUAGUCCGCUUCAAGUUCCUCCCUUUCCACAACAAACUCAGCCUCCAACUCUUCUUUUUGUGCUGAUAAAUGCGACUGUAAAUCCUCUCUCUGCUUUUUCUCGAUUGACACCUCUGUCCGGAGUUGCCUCACUUCUCCCCUCAGCUGGGCCAUCUCGCCCUUCGCCUCAUGCAGGCGGGCGUCUGUAGAUUCCUCCCGGAUCUUUGCCUCAGCAAGCUCUAUCCGGAGAGCCUCGUUGUCCUCUCGAGCAGCGGAUAAACUGGCUUCAACCUGCUCUAGUCUCAAGCGUAGCUCCUCUUCACUGUUUUUGCGCUGAGAGACGAAGGCCUUCGUAUAAUCAGCAGUCUGCAGCAGACUAGAAAAAAGAUCACGUUGUUGAGCCAUGCCACGAAUACCGCUCACCAGCUGCAGAAAAACCCACAAACAAGAAGUGCAAAAUUACAACCCAUAUGACAAACACAUUAGUAUGGCAAGAAAAAUCAAGAAGUAAACUAUACCAUUUCCGCCGCUUCAAACAUCUUUACUGAAGGCACAUCAACAUCUGAGCCGGAUGGAAUCCGUUUCAGCAUCUCUCCCAACUCAGCAUAGCUGAAAGGACUAGCGGAGAUGCAAACUGCAUCAUCAACGGGACUCCCCCAUGAUGAGGCAUUAGGGAGUGACUCCUCCCCCGGGUCCAGGGCCCCAUCAUUCUCGACUGGCUGGGUCUCUCCGGGUGAACCCCCAUCCGGGACCAGCACCGGGGCGGUUAGGUUCUCUUCUGCCAUCUCCGUCUCACUCCCCUCCGGAUGAUCCUCCUGGAUGGACGAGCAGCUGACUUCGAUAGUUUCCAGAAAACGUUCUUGAAGCCGCCCAAUGAGGCCAGACUUUAAGUCACGGGCUGGACGAGACCUCCUUGUAGCUGGCCCCUUCACCGGUGCAAAGGCAAGGGGGCUUGGCUCGCAAGGAGGCAAACCUUGACUUUCUGCCCCCGUUUCUUCCGUUGGGGGUGCCGUAGGAGGCAAUGCUUCAGCACGAGAGGCCCCGGCUACAUCCGCGUCCGGAUGGGGAGAGCCGGGCUGGUUCACUGAAGUCGCCUCCUCAAAUAGAAGGGUCAGCCGUCCAGCCACUGGCAUCGAAGGCCCCGAAUGGUUGAGACCCCCGAGACGUCCGGAGCCGCUUGAAACAUAAGACAAGAUGGGGAGAUCUGGCAUUCUUAUUAUUAUUCCUCCCCUUACGAAAGUUGGAGCUGGUAUUACAACUUCCUAUGGGGGAGUUGGGAGUUUUAUUUUUUUUCCCUUAUUUAGAACCAACUUCUUCUUCUUUUUUGCUGGAGCGCCAACAGGUGGAGAGGACGCGGGGCGUUUAUCACCAAGAGCCUUCCGCAAAAGUCAUUCUUGUCUUUUCUUCUCCCGUUUGUUGAGGCAGGCUUUGCGUGACCGGGCGUCUGUCUUCCGCACCGUCGCGUAGAAUGGGAGAUCUUUGAGAACGAAGUGCUCCCCAGCCACCACCUCUUUGGGCAGCCGCCUCGGAAGUAUGUUCAGCACGUACGGCUGGGGCUCCUGGGUGACCGAGCGGAGAUUCUGCACGGAGAGAAGCAUUUCACAACUCCGCUCGGCCGCCGCAAUCUCAAAAAGCCUGUUCAAACGGUCGAACGAGGCUUUCUCCACCCAUUCCACCAGCUUCCCCCUUUUAUCCUGGCCUGCACCCAAGAAAGCAAAGUAUGUCAGCCACCUAACAAUGCUGACCUAAACUCACAAACCACGGAAAGACAGGAAGUAAUUUAGUCAUACCUAGGACCUUAAACGACUGGUUGGGAGCGAACAGCCUAUCCGGAUGCGCCGCCAAACCCGCCCAUAGGCCCUUGACCAGCACAUGUCCCCUGGCGGCCCCCUUGGUUAAGUCCGGAAGGCUGGUCACCAACUAAAGCGAUGGAAGGCUCGCGACAAAGCUGAAGAUGUCAUUUUUCACCUCUUGAUCGAAUAAAUGAAGAGAACCUCCAGCAGUGAGAGAUCCAGAUUGAACAGCAUGACCAGAAUGCUGCACCCCAUCAACACCCGGACCAUGUUGGGAUGAAUAUAAGCCGGAGGAAUCUGGGUGAAGUGAAGAAACUCCUUGAACAACGACAGCAGGGGGAACCGGAGCCCAACAUUGAACUGCUCAUUGGUGAAGAAGAUAGCGUUGUCCUCAGUUUUCUCAGUCGACACGGCCUCUCCAUCCGUAAGUUCAACGAAUACGCCAUUUGGGAUGCAGAACCGUUCGCGAAACUCCUUCACAUUCAACUUAUCCACGGAUUUCUCAGCAUGAGCAUCUCCAGACGAGCUAGAUGAAGUAGCUUCCUUGUUCGCAGACAUUUUUUAGGUUGGGGCUGAAAUGGAAUCUGCAUGGAAGAAUGCCAACAGUCAAACACAGUAAUCCGACCCCACAACCUUAAACUCUACCCCAAAGAAGAAUCGAUGGCCCACAAAAGGCACAGGAGGGCAACAGAAACCCUAACCACACCCAAAACACGAUCAAAACCCCCCGAAAAAAGCUCUAGAAAACCAAUACCGACUCCCAAUCGCAAAGAAACUUGCCCAAACAAACCAAAAGCAAAACCACAAAGCAAACACAACGAAGAUAAGACAAGAAUAGCGAACGUACCGAGUGUAAACUGGAAAAAUGGGAUGAAAUCCGCAGUGCAGUCACCGUCACGACGCGAAUAUUGCAGGCAGAAAACCCUAGAGCUUCACUCGAAAACGAAGAUACGCAGAAGGUAGAAGAAAAAACACUAACAGGAAAAAACGCAGAAGGAAAAAUGCAAGAGGAGGCACAGUCUGCUAUUUAUAGUGAGACAACCCCUCGGUAUCCCAAACGCUCAGCCACACCAUCAUUGAAACGACACGCUGCCUAGGAAUACCUAGAGACGACGACUCAUCAUAAAUGUUCUUCCCUCUCUCUUCGCCCCCGCUCGCCACGUGGCCCAAUGAGCACCAAAAAGAAACCUCAGUUUCAAAAAACAAUUAUUUUUAACCCGCCCAUUCUGCUCAGGCAAAAUCGGCAAGUUAAAAAGGGGGGCAUUUUAGGGACCCCUCCUCCUAAUGACACAUGACACACAUUUCCUGAUGACACGUGACACGCAUUCUUAUCCGGAUUAACCCCAUCUGGAUUUCCCCCAAAAGUACACGUGGUGCGCUUCUCCUAUUCGGACUCUCUCAGGGAGAGGCACACGACACUCACAAACAUAACAUCCGGACGACCGACAUAUCCUAUCCGGAUAUGUUUGUCUGGAUCAUUGACAGAAGUAAGCAAGUCUUGCAUGUCAUUACAACAGUCUGCCAUGGUCCAUGUUUCGCCACCUGUAGAGUGAAAGGACAUGAAUGAAAUGAUGACAAGUCACCUCCAACGAUCUCUGACAACCGCGACGCCUCCCACGAUCUCUGUCAGCCGCUCGUAGGGUGAUGAUGACCCUGCUACCACUUAGAGGCAUCAUGACAAGCCAAAAUAUCUCCCUACCAUUAAAGAGAGAGACAGAACUUCUGAUACUAUAUAUAUGGACCUUCACACAAGGAGAAAGGUAAGCUUGCUAUACCUAAUAAAAGGCCAACUGAUUUAUCUCUCUAACCAUGGCUGACAAAACCAUCGAAGGGUGUGUCCGGACACCCUGUCCGGACGCCUUUUGCAGGAACUACUGAACUAGGAAUCUAUAUUGGUUGAGAUCGUGCGUCCAUCCAUUUGUCAAUUACGUGGAUCACCAGGGACGCGAUGCCUCAACAGUGGCCACCUAAAGCAAAUGCAAAGAGGAUGUCCCCCCAGUCUUGGAUGAAAAAAGACGAAACAAAAAGCAAGAAUUUAGAGAGAAUGAAAAGUUUUUUGGCAUGAGGCGUUGAGGCCAGACCAUAAAGCUUUGAUUAGAUAGUGUCAAGCGCGCUGACAGCGGUGUUACGUAUGUCACAUUGCUUUUAUUUUAUUUUUUUAAUUAUUAUUAUGAUAUUCGUUGAAAGAUUCUAGAGAUAUGAUGAUGUUAUUGGCUGCAUGUUAGUUAGUAGGGGAAUGCUGUUCUGGUUUGUCCUUUUGGGAAAAACAAAAACUAGAAUAGGACAAAAGAUGAUUCUUCUGGGAUGAGAAAGGACCAAGCAAAAAGCAAGAAUUUAGAGAGAAUGAAAAGUUUUUUAGCACGAGGCGUUGAGGCCAGCAGACAAACAGUGACUGUGUGGUGGGCCCGGGUGAUGAAUUCUCUUGUCUCGUGCUUGGAAGAAGGUAACGCGUGUGUGAUCGGCCUUAUCUAUCUUAUUUGUUCUAUUUUCUUCCAUUAAUUUCAUGUUUUAUGUUUUUUUUAAAAAUUAAAAUGUAUUUACAAAAUAUAUUUGAAACAUAAAUAUAUUUACAGCAAUCAACACUCUUCACUUUUUCCUCUUGAAAUUUUAUGUUUUAUGUACUUUUUUUUUCUUUUAAAAAAUGUGUGGGAUUCUCUUUCUUUGAAACGUGUGAGAAUAAUGAUGAAUAUGGACUUUAGAUGAUGUCAUACGAUGUUCUAAUAUAAAAAGCUGAUUGUUGGCACUUAAAUUUGUCCUUUUUCCUUUUCCUUCCCUCUUCAUUUGCAUAGAUUAAAAAAAGCUUAGAAAACAUUAUGAAGUGGAGUGAAAUCAGGCCUCACAGUAGUUGUAAUUCGUUGCACUGGUCUCUCCGAACGAUCUAGAAGAAGGGAACGCGUGUGCGGUUGGCCUUACCCAUCUUGUUGGUGCUAUUUUCUUGUUUUAUGUCAUUUAAAAAAAAAAUGUGUGGGAUACUCGUCUUUUGGCUAUAAAUCUCUGAAUCUUAGUUCUCGCAUGACUUUGGAGAUGUCACCUCCACUUUUUAAAUCAUUAUUGGCGUUCAGGUGAUGUUGGUCUAAGCGACACAAAAUCUUUUCUUCUGCCUUUAGUUCUCUCUCUUAUUUGUCUUCUCCUACAACUUUUGGUCUUUCAGAUCAGUUUUUCUGAACUUUUCAAGAAAGCAUCUCUAUAUCAAUUCAAAAUUAAUUGCAGUGAGAAAGUGGAUAUCCCUCUCCUUUUGGUGGCUGGUGAAAAGUUAUGAAAUCGAGGUAUAUUAUAAGUUUUUGACAUGAUUUCUCUCUCUCUCUCUCUUCUCGUUUUCCAACAAUGCAAUCUUCCACUCUUAAAAUUAAUUCAAGAAAAUGUGAAUUAAUCAUGCCAAAUAUUCAAAUAUGAAUGGGUAAUUUUAAUAAAAUAAAAAUUUCAUUGCCACCUUUAUUGAUAAAAAAAAUCAUUUUCUUUUCAAGGGAAAACAAAAUUAAAGAAUUUUAGGUCAAACAAGGAAAGAGGGACUCGGAUGAUCCGAGUAUGCUUUUAUAUAUAUAUAUAUAUAAUAAGGGGUCAUUAUCAGAAUGUCAUUAUCAGAGAGAGAGAGAGAGAGAGAGAUUUCCUCUAAAAAAGAAGGAGAAUUACCCCAAAAGAGUGGGUUAGAAAAACUAAUGACUAUAAAGGCUCACUCUUUUGGAGGACAAUUUUACGCUUUAAUAUGUUUUUUAUAUUAUUUAUAAAUAAAUUGAGAUUGUCAAUGAUGUGGGGCUCAUACAUGAUGAUAAGUACAUGUUGAUAGGCAAUCAACAGUACAUUUUUCAACUUAAAAAAAUUGUUAUCACUUUUGAACAAUUAACUAUUUAAAAAUUUGUUUUUUUUUUAAAUUGAGAUUUUUUAAAGAAUCUUGUAAAAAAAAUAUAAUUUUUAAUGUCUCAUAAAUAAAAACCAUAUCCUAAAGUUAUUAUAUCGUUUUAUAUAUAAAACAUACAAUUAAAAAACUUUGUUAUCAUAAUAUAAUAAAUAAUUCGUGAAAAAAUUAAAUAAAAAUAAAUUAAAUUAUGUUAUAAUAUAUUGUAAUGAUAGUGUAUUUAUAUUGUAAGUAUAAUGCAUUUAUAUCGUACCUAUAUUUCAUUAUAAAAGUAAUAAUUUUAAAAAUGUUUAUUCAUACCCUAUUGGUAUUAACAUAUCGUAUUAAUAUAUUAACAACAUUUAUUUAGUGUUUUGAAAUUAUUUAAUAAUUUUUGUAUAUAUAUAUACAAACUACGUGAAUUCAAAUUAGUAUUUCAUUUUAUUUCAGAAAUUAUUUAUGGUAUAGGUAUGUUGUGAAAUAUGGUAUGAUCAUACAAAAUUACCAUUUUUAUAAAAAAAUUCAUAAAUUUCUUAAUUAGGUUUUAUUGUAAUGUAUUGUAAUGUAAAUGUAUUUAUAUUGUAAUUAUAAUAUAUUUUUUUUGUGCUUGUAUUAUAUAAUAAAAGUAAUAAUCUUAAGGAUCACUUUUUGUACCUUAUUAAUAUUCAACAUAUCAAAUAUAUUAACAUUAUCCACUCGAUGCAUUGAGAAAAAAAAUUUAUAUGAAAAUUUAAAAAAAAAACACUAUGCAAAGGAAAAAAAAUUAUAUAAUUUUUUUAAAAUUAUUUUAUUAUAAAAAUAAAAAAUGAUUAAACAUUUUCUAUCAUUUUCUUAUUAUUUUUAGAGAAUCUGAAUGAAAAAUUAAAAAUUUUAUCUUCCUUAAAUUUAAUACAAAAACAUAAUUUAUCAAUUUAAAAUUAUAAUAUAUAUAUGAAAAAAUCAUCAUUUUUAUUAUAUAAUUAUAAAACUUAUUUUUUUCUUCAUAAAAUAAAAAAUUAGAAUAAAAAUAAAAUAAAAAAGUAAAAAAACAAUAAAUGAUAUUUUGAAAAUAUUUUUUAAAAGUAUUUUUGUUUUAAAUAGUAAAUUUAAAUAACAAAUUAUAUAUAAUUGUAAGGGUUAAACCCAAAAUUUUGAUUUAAAAUUUAAAUAUUAAUAAUUACAAUAAAUGUGGAACCCAUAUACCAUAAAUGUAUUGACAAAUCAAGUGAAGUGCUUUAAAUGCUUUGAAUUUUAAAAGUUUUAGUUAAAGGGCAGUUUUGGUAUAUUAAGCUUACUAAAGUCCUCCCCAAUAAUUAUUAAAAGAUACCACCCUUUCUAGUAAUUGUUUUACCUAGCCUACCCUUUUAGGUAAUUCUCCCAAAAAAAAUUAUGAGAUUGAAAAGACAGGUAGAGUAGGUCUAACUUCUUCUAUUGCUGUCCCUGCUAACACAUGGCUCUUUGCUGCCGCCUUUUUUUUACCAUGGAAAAUAAUCUCUCUUUCUCUCUUCUUCCUGGAAUUAACUCUUUCACAACUCAGAAACAAAUUUUCUUUUCAAGUUGAAAACAAUGUUCUAUUUUCUUGGGGUAUUCAAACAACUCAAAGAUGAAUUUGUCAAUAUGUCUUUGCAAUAUGUCACCCACAGUUAAGGCUAAAAUUGUUAGAUGGAGUUGGAGAACCUAGGGCAUUGGCUAAAGUAUUACCCUUUGAUGAUAGCAUGUUGAUAAGGAUAUCGACACUGAUAAGGAAGAUAAUGCUUGACAACUGCUAUCUUACCAUUAACCUUUUAACACAACUCUAGUAGGGAUUGACCGUUGAUUCCAGGACCUGUAUAAAAGUUUUCCUUUUUACCUCUCUUGUAUAUGUAUAUAGUAUAUACAAAAGCUUUUAUCAAUCCGCUGGCAUAGUCAUGUUGGGCUUUGUGGAGCCUAGUUUUGUUUGAUCUGGUUUAACGACCCGACCCGAAUAAUAUUGCAUGGCUUUUUAAUGGGAGAUUUAUUGAGGCCUAUUGGGCCCGUUUAGCCCAUCGUGGAACCACCUUUUGUAAUUAGGAUUUUUUAGUAUAGUGGGGUUGCCGUGUUAUAUAUAUAGAGAGAAUAUUAUAGCCGCUAUAUUGUACUAUGUAUUCUUCCUUGAUAAUAGUGAUAUCCCUGCAACUCCGUGGAUGUAGGCAAAUUGCCGAACCACGUAAAUACUGUCUUGUGCGUGUGAUUGUUUUUCUUUGGCAUGUGUUUUCUCUAAUUUUUUGUUUCUCACAGGUUGGGAAUUCGGUUUAAUUCCCUACAACUGGUAUCAGAGCCUAGGGUUAGGUUUGGGUGGGAGCAAUGGCAGAGGAAGCAGGAAAGACGUCUGGAAUAGAAAAGUUUGAUGGCACAGACUUUGCGUAUUGGAGGAUGCAUAUUGAAGAUUAUCUCUAUGGAAGGAAAUUGCAUCUGCCUUUUUUGGGGACAAAACCUGAGAGUAUGAAGGCUGAGGAAUGGGCGCUUCUUGACAGACAGGUUCUAGGAGUUAUUAGGUUAACUUUGUCUAGGUCUGUUGCACAUAAUGUUGUAAAGGAAAAGACCACAACAGAUUUGAUGAAGGCUUUGUCCAAUAUGUAUGAAAAGCCGUCCGCAAACAAUAAGGUGCAUCUGAUGAAGAAAUUGUUCAAUUUGAAGAUGGUAGAGAAUGCAUCAGUAGCACAACAUCUGAAUGAAUUUAAUACAAUCACAAAUCAAUUGUCGUCUGUAGAAAUUGAUUUUGAUGAUGAGAUUCGUGCUUUGAUCGUCUUGGCUUCUUUGCCAAAUAGUUGGGAGGCAAUGAGGAUGGCAGUAAGCAAUUCGACGGGAAAGGAAAAGCUCAAGUACAAUGACAUACGAGAUUUAAUUCUGGCUGAGGAGAUUCGCCGAAGAGAUGCAAGUGAAACCUCAGGAUCUGGUUCUGCCCUAAACCUUGAGACAAGAGGCAAAGGUAAUGACAGAAAUUCAAAUCGGGGUAGAUCAAAUUCCAGAAAUUCUAAUCGAAACAGAAGCAAAUCUAGAUCAGGCCAACAAGUACAAUGCUGGAAUUGUGGGAAAACAGGUCACUUUAAAAGGCAAUGCAAAAGCCCUAAGAAGAAGAAUAAAGAUGAUUCUGCUAAUGCUAUAACAGAAUAGGUACAGGAUGCAUUACUUCUUGCAGUAGAUAAUCCACUUGAUGAUUGGGUUUUGGAUUCAGGAGCUUCGUUUCAUACCACUCCACAUCGAGAAAUCAUACAGAAUUAUGUUGCAGGUAUUUUUGGUAAGGUGUAUUUGGCUGAUGGUUCAGCCUUGGAUGUUGUGGGUCUGGAAGACUUCCGGAUAUCGUUGCCCAAUGGGUCUGUUUGGUUACUGGAGAAGGUUCGACAUAUUCCUGACCUGAGGAGGAAUCUGAUUUCUGUUGGACAACUUGAUGAUGAAGGACAUGCAAUACUAUUUGUUGGUGGUACUUGGAAGGUUACAAAGGGAGUUAGGGUAUUGGCUAGUGGAAAGAAGACUGGUACUCUGUAUAUGACCUCAUGUCCAAGAGACACAAUUGCAGUUGCUGAUGCAAGUACUGAUACAAGCCUAUGGCACCGUAGACUUGGUCACAUGAGUGAGAAAGGGACGAAGACGUUGUUGUCAAAAGGAAAACUACCAGAAUUGAAGUCCAUUGAUUUUGACAUGUGUGAAAGUUGCAUCUUAGGAAAGCAAAAAAAGGUGAGCUUCUUGAAAACUGGCAAGACACCAAAGGCUGAAAAAUUGGAACUAGUACACACUGAUUUGUGGGUGCCUUCUUCAGUUGCAUCCCUUGGUGGUUCAAGGUACUACAUCACUUUUAUUGAUGACUCAAGCAGAAAGGUAUGGGUUUAUUUUCUAAAAAAUAAAUCUAAUGUAUUUGAAACUUUUAAGAAGUGGAAGGCCAUGGUUGAGACAGAAACGGGUUUGAAAGUAAAAUGUUUGAGGUCAGAUAAUGGAGGAGAAUACAUAGAUGGAGGGUUCAGUGAGUAUUGUGCUGCACAGGGAAUUAGGAUGGAGAAGACUAUUCCUAGGACACCACAACAGAAUGGUGUGGCUGAGUGCAUGAACAGAACUCUUAAUGAGCGUGCUAGAAGUAUGAGGUUGCAUGCUGGACUACCAAAAACUUUUUGGGUUGAUGCUGUUAGCACUGCAGCUUACCUGAUAAACCGAGGACCAUCAGUUCCCAUGGAGUUCAGACUUCCUGAAGAGGUUUGGAGCGGUAAAGAGGUGAAGUUUUCACAUUUAAAAGUUUUUGGUUGUGUUUCUUAUGUUCAUAUUGAUUAUGAUGCUCGUAGUAAACUUGAUGCAAAGUCAAAAAUAUGUUUUUUCAUUGGCUAUGGUGAUGAGAAAUUUGGCUAUAGGUUUUGGGAUGAACAAAAUAGGAAAAUCAUCAGAAGUAGAAAUGUGAUAUUUAAUGAACAGGUUAUGUACAAGGACAGGUCAUCUGUAGUGUCAGAUGUUACAGAGAUAGAUCAAAAGAAAUCUGAGUUUGUCAACUUAGAUGAAUUGACUGAAAGUACUGUCCAAAAAGGGGGUGAAGAAGAUAAGGAGAAUGUAAAUUCAUAGGUAGAUCUAAGUACACCUAUAGUUGAAGUUCGCAGAUCUUUUAGGAACAUUAGACCUCCGCAGCAUUAUUCACCUGUUUUAAAUUAUCUCUUGUUGACUGAUGGUGGUGAGCCAGAGUGUUAUGAUGAAGCCUUGCAAGAUGAGAAUUCAAGCAAGUGGGAGUUAACCAUGAAAGAUGAGAUGGAUUCCUUGUUGGGGAAUCAAACAUGGGAACUAACUGAAUUACCAGUAGGAAAGAAGGCUUUGCACAACAAGUGGGUAUACAGAAUAAAGAAUGAGCAUGAUGGUAGCAAACGUGACAAGGCCAUAUUAGUUGUUAAAGGGUUCCAGCAGAAGGAAGGCAUUAACUACACUGAGAUAUUUUCACCAAUUGUGAAAAUGUCAACAAUCAGACUUGUACUGGGAAUGGUGGCUGUAGAAAACUUACAUCUUGAGCAGUUAGAUGUGAAGACAGCAUUCCUUCAUGGUGACUUGGAGGAAGACCUUUACAUGAUUCAGCCAGAAGGGUUCAUUGUUCAGGGACAAGAGAAUCUAGUCUGCAAACUGAGAAAAAGUUUGUAUGGCCUUAAACAAGCUCCUAGACAGUGGUACAAGAAGUUUGACAGUUUUAUGCAUAGAAUUGGGUUCAAGAGAUGUGAAGCUGAUCAUUGUUGCUAUGUUAAGUCUUUUAACAAUUCUUACAUCAUAUUACUGUUGUAUGUGGAUGAUAUGCUUAUUGCAGGGUUUGACAUUGAGGAAAUUAAUAAUCUGAAAAAGCAAUUGUCCAAACAAUUUGCAAUGAAGGAUUUGGGAGCUGCAAAGCAAAUCCUUGGUAUGAGAAUCAUUAGAGACAAGGCUAAUGGUACAUUGAAGCUUUCACAGUCAGAGUAUGUGAAGAAAGUUCUCAACAGGUUCAACAUGAAUGAAGCUAAACCAGUGAGCACACCCUUGGGGAGUCAUUUCAAACUAAGCAAAGAAUAGUCACCAAAGACAGAAGAAGAAAGGGACCAUAUGAGCAAGGUGCCCUAUGCCUCAGCUAUUGGCAGCUUGAUGUAUGCUAUGGUGUGUACAAGGCCAGACAUUGCACAUGCAGUGGGAGUUGUGAGCCGAUUCAUGAGUAGGCCUGGAAAGCAGCAUUGGGAGGCAGUCAAGUGGAUUCUAAGAUAUCUGAAGGGUUCAUUAGAUACAUGUCUUUGCUUCACAGGUGCAAGUUUGAAAUUGCAGGGUUAUGUAGAUGUUGAUUUUGCUGGUGAUAUUAAUAGUAGAAAGAGUACUACUGGGUUUGUUUUUACUCUAGGUGGUACAACUAUAUCAUGGGCUUCAAAUCUACAGAAGAUUGUUACUUUGUCUACUACAGAAGCUGAGUAUGUUACAGCAACUGAAGCUGGAAAGGAGAUGAUUUGGCUACAUGGUUUCUUAGAUGAAUUGGGUAAGAAGCAGGAGAUGGGCAUUCUACACAGUGACAGUUAGAGUGCAAUUUUUCUUGCCAAAAAUUCGGCUUUUCAUUCAAAGUCGAAGCAUAUACAAACAAAAUACCACUUUAUCUGUUAUCUUGUUGAAGAUAAACUGGUAAUACUUGAGAAGAUUUGUGGAUCUAAGAACCUGGCAGACAUGUUGACUAAGGGUGUCACUAUUAAGAAGUUGAAGCUGUGCGCAGCUUCAAUUGGUCUUCUAGCUUGAGGACAGGAGAAUGAGUUGUAGGGAUGAGGGAUUGUUUCUUAGAGGAUAGCGGUUUGAUGUUGGUGAUUGGACUAGUCUCCAAGUGGGAGAUUUGUUGGGCUUUGUGGAGCCUAAUUUUGUUUGAUCUGGUUUGACGACCCGACCCGAAUAAUAUUGCAUGACUUUUUAAUGGGAGAUUUAUUGAGGCCUGUUGGGCCCGUUUAGCCCAUUAUGGAACCACCUUUUGUAAUUAGGGUUUUUUAGUAUGGUGGAGUUGUCGUGUUAUAUAUAUAGAGAGAAUAUUAUAGCCGCUAUGUUGUACUCUGUAUUCUUCCCUGAUAAUAGUGAUAUCCCUGCAACUCUGUGGAUGUAGGCAAAUUGCCGAACCACGUAAAUACUGUCUUGUGCGUGUGAUUGUUUUUCUUUGGCGUGUGUUUUUUCUAAUUUUUGUUUCUCACAGGUUGGGAAUUCGGUUUAAUUCCCUACAAGUCACACAUGCCCACUUGCGCUCACUCUUCUUGUCCAAAGUUCAUCGCACUCUUGCUCAUCUAAUUAGCUCAUAAUUUUCUUUUUACAUAAAUAAUUAAAUAGCUGACUGUUGUAAGAAGGACCUGAGUCAGAAUGCUGCUUGGACUCAAACCAUGCAUCUUUUUCAUGAUGACCGACGUCACUCCCACAUCUGAAUGGAAUUUGACACAUUAUCUGAAGGGAUAUUUGGUUAAAAGGGUUAAAAUAAUACUCAUAUUUGCAAAACUAAUCUAUCCCUUGAAAAACAUAAAAAACGAUCCUAUUAUGAUAAAAAUAUCCUUUUCUUUUGCCUCGCUCUAAAACUUAACUUUUCUUCUUCUAUUUAUUCUCUUUUAGAUGUAGAGAACGAAUUUCUCAUUCUUCACAAACCCUAGAGAAUAUCCUAUUUAUCAUUCUUAAACCUCGAAAAACUUCUUACCUCUCAUUCCUUUUUUCAAUUCAAAUCUUAGAAAACCCUAGAAAUUUUCUUGUCUAUCAUUCCAAAACCCUAAAAAAUUUCUUAUCUAUCAUUCCUAACCCUAGAAAACUUUUCACCUCUCAUCCCUAUUUCAUUUCCAAACCCCUAUUUUCUUCACAAAAAAUGAGUUCAUUGAAGACUGAUGAGCCAAAGAGGUUUAAAAUAGUGGUGAUAAAACAAAAAUCUUAAUUACGAAUGGAAGAAAAAAGUGAAGCUACUCAACAGAAAUCACAAUUGCCAACGGAAGAAGAAAGUAAAUCUAUUGAGCUCGUGAGUGUAGUUAUCACAUUUCAUAAAAUUUUGAAAUUUUUAGGGAUGUUAUACAAUAAUGUUUGAGUAGGGUUAGUUUUGUUACUUGAAGAAUUUAAAAUUUUGGGAACUUAGGAGAAUCGAUGACUUCGUAUUAAUAUGACUACGUAUUAAUAUUGCAGAUAAUGGUUACCAACCAUUUCAUGCAAUUACAUAUGAUUAAGGAUGAGUUUUUUAACGAAUUUAUGAAAUUUUAGGGCUUUUAGAAUUUUUAGGGAUAUUAUGUAACGGUGUUUGAGUAGGGUUAGGUUUGUUAAUGAAUGAUUUUACAAAUUUGGGAACUACAAAAGUGUGUUGAAAAUAAUAAAAUUGUAUAUUAAUAUAUUUUUUUAGUUUUUUAUAUUAUUAUUAUUCUUGUAUUUAGACUUAAUUAGAUAUAUUCAAUGUAGUGAUAUUUGAUUAGGGAUAAGUUUUCACAAAAUUUAUGAAAUUUUAUUGAUUUUAGGGAGAUUAUGCAAUGGUGUUUGAGUAGAGAUAAGUUUGUUACUUGAUGCUUUUAAAAUUUUGGGAACUAUUGAAGUGUAUUCAAAAUAGUAAAUUAUAUAUUUAUAAUUUUCUUAGUUCUCUAUUGUUGUCGGUUAUGUAUUUGGAGUGAAUAAAAUAUGUAAUAAUCCCAUGCAAUGACAUAUGAUUAAGGAUACAUUUUUAGAGAAUUUAUGAAAUUUUAGAGAUUUUUGGAAUUUUUAAGGAUGUUAUGCAAGGCUGUUUGAAUAGGGUAAGGUUUGUUAAUUGAUGUUUUUAAAUUUUUGGGAACUAUUGGAGUGUAUCCAAAAUAAAAAAUUUGGGAAUUAAAGAUGAAAAUGUGGUCAAGUUAACCUUAUUGUACUUUCUCGAGCAUGUUUUACUUGGGAAAGAAGGAAAAAAAUUAACAGACAUGCAAUGCGUUAGUUUUGUUGAUAGUUUGGAAGGUUUAAGUAAAUAUCCUAAGGUAGAGUUUUUGUAAAAGAAUAUUUUUUUGGGCAACAAUGGGCCUUGGAGAAUUGAGUGUUAAAAUAUCAAGGUAAGAAGAAACAAAGGGAAAUAUAGCACAAGAGGGCAAAAUGAGCCAUGUGUUUUACAUAAUACAAGAUUUUCAAAAUCUAGUAUAAAGGGAAAAGAUAUCAAUAUAAACUAUGAUUCACAAUAUGACAAGUUUGAGAGUGUCAUGGAAGACAAGGAGGAUGAGAAUCACGCUUGUAUGGAUGUGAAAACCAAUAAAAAAUAUAUAACAAAUAUUGUAGUUGCAGAAAAACACAUAAUAAGGAUAGGAAAGGAUGAUGACGUGAGUUUUGAUGCAGUUGUUGAUAUUGCCAAAAUAUUUGAUACCCUUAGUUUAGUGGGUAAUUUUUCAGUUUAUGUAUUUCCAAAGCAGUUGUCCUCCAUUAUAUUUAAGCAAACGCGCAAGUUAAAGAAGUCCUAUUUUUUGCAACCUCCUUUGAUAAACCAUACAAAGAUAAGGAAAAUAAAAAAUGAGGGAGAAACAUCAUCUGACUUUAAUAAUUUGUAAUCUAUUUUCGAGGAAGCCAGAAAAACCUUUAAUAAGUGGUUAAGUCUUCUACAAGGGUAAUUUAUUUUUAAUUCAAACUUGUAAAAAUUUGUUUUUGGCAAGUUUUUAGUUUGACCAUGGUUUUUUUUUAUAUCAAUACAAUAAGGUCUAUGGUUGAAAUCGAUUACUUGCAUGCGGACCAAGAAUGGUUUCAAUUACUAGUUCAACAUGGUGCAUGGCUUAAAGACACACAUUGUAAAUGUUCUUAUUGUCUUUGCUUUUACUUAUCAUUAUAUUGACAUUUCAAUCAAAUAGUAUAACUAAUGUAUUUUUGUAUAUAUUGUCUAGCAUAUUGAUAUUGCUUUCUACUUUUUCCCUAAGUAGGGAAUAGAAAAACCACAUGCAUUUUCUCAAAAUUUUACAACCGUAGACACCAUGUGUUGGGUAUGCAUAAUUUCUUAUUAUUAUUGAUCUUUAUAUUAUUAGAUAAAUUAUGUUAUUUUAACUAUUUUAACCUUUUUUAUAUAACAAAAUGUUAAAGCAAGGUGAGAGAAACAUGCUAAAAAAUGGAAUCAACUCUAAAUGCAAGCCAAUGAUGUUCUUGUUGACUAUGCUAAUAAGCUUCACCCAAUUCCUUCCACAAAACGGUCUAAGGUGGACAUUAUCUACAUCCUUAUUAAUAUUCAAAGUAUGCAUUGGAUAUUAGGAGUAGUUCAUCUUACUUAGAGGAAAAUUUUAUGUAUGACUCAUUGAUAGACAUUAAUAAUGAUAAUUGAUCGAAGGGUGCCAUCACAGUUUUAGCUAGAUUGUUAUGGCAUAUACUACAUGUCAUAGCAUAUUAUGAGGAGAAUUGUGAUCCUAAGGGUGACCAAUAGUGGGACAUUGAAUGGUUGCAUGAUGUUCCUCAACAAGAAUAUUAGUAAGUAAACAAAUAUCUAAACAUUCAUCUUAUCAUUUUACUUUUGUCUUAUACAAUAAAUUUUUUAUAAUGAUCUUAAAUUUGAUUCUUUGUGUUUCAUGCAACGGUAAUUAUGGAAUAUUCUUAAUAAAAUAUGUCAAGUACUUGAUGCAAAAUCAUCCAUUCAUCUCACAAACUGGUGCCUGUAUGGAUUGGUUUUGAGAGAAAAUGACAACUAAAUUAUUCUACUUCAAAAAUUUGCCUCUAUAGUGGGUUUGACUUUGACUAUGUAGUGGAUUUAUAUGUUGUUGAGGAUUGACUAUUAGUUUGGAUGAAUUUCACUUGGUGCUCCAAGUUAUAAUUUUUUUUUAAUGUAGCUUAUUAUGUUCUAAGCUUAUUUUGAACCAAAGUGGACAUUGUAAUUAUAAUAUUAUACAUUUUGUUAUUAUCACUUUAUGUGUCGUUGAGAGAUACAUAACCAAAAGUUAUGUGAAUUGUUUGAUUUACAAAACUUAAUUCAGUUGUUCUUUAUAAAUAAAUCUUAACUAUAGUUAAGUUCAUGUGAAAUUUUAGACCUCAAAACUUAACUGUAGUUAGGUUUAGGUGAACAUCUUGAUUUUGGGAAAAGAACUUAGCUAUGCAAUUUUUUUAAAAUGAAAAUCAUAAGGAGGUCAAAGUAAAGAUUUUAAUUCACAAUUUAAUAUAGGUAAAAUUAUCACAAUGAAAUACAAGUAAAGAUUUUUAAGUGACAAUUUAACCAUAUAGGUAAACAUUCUAAUUUUAGAUAACUUACCUAAUAGUUCCUUGCAAAUAAAACUUAUCCAAUUAAAGUGUAAGCUCUUUCUAAGAAAAAAUCAAUCAUAAGUUAAAAGGUUACAUAAACAUAUUUGUUAGAAAAAUUAGGCUAAUCCAACCUAUGGUAAUCACCUUAGAGGAAGGGGGGGGUGAAUAGGGUGAUGGCUUUUUUCUUUUGUAAAUUUAAAAUAUGUGAAUGGAAGAGACAAUUAUAUGCAAGUAUAUAAUAAAAAAAAUAUAAAGACAAUUGUAUAUAAAGUAAAAGAGUAGGGAAGAGAGAAUGCAAACACAAGAUUUUAUAGUGGUUUAGCGCAACCCGGCCUACAUCCACUCUCCUCUAGCUUCAAUCCCAAGCUUGAGGUUCCACUAAUUCAAGGCUUCCAAACCAAGCCUUCAAGCAAUACAAUUGGAUUAUAGUUCCAAGUCACCUUCUUGGACUUUUGGUUCCAAGCACCUUUACACUUCUCAAGAGAUACCUCACUCUUGAACAACCCCUCAAGUGAUAUCACACUCUUGAGAAACUUCCUCUCAAAGAUUUACAAAUAAAUGAUAUCACAAAAUCAUAGUACAAAAACUUUAAGCUCAAAUGAUACAAGAAAACUAGGAUUGAAAGGUGCACUAAUGAUAUGCAAGUUUUAGAACAAUGAUGCACAAAAAAAAAAAAAAAACACUCUUCCAAUGCUAAAAUAUAUUCAAGAAAGGUUUGGGAAGGUUAAGCUUAUGAAACAAUGAAGAUUGAAGCAUUUUUAUAGAAGAAAAAUACCAAACUAGCCAUUGGGGGUUCGGCCGGUAGAGUUGGGGGUUGACCUAUUGACUAGUCGUUAGCAUUUAAUGUUUGGCAGGUGACCGUUGGACCUCCACCACCCCUUGACCAGUUGAGGUAGGGGUCGACCGGUUGAACAACCGUUUUGGAAGAUAGAGAGUUUUUUGCACCCCUCGACCGGUUGAGCUGGGGGUCGACUCGAACUUUGAUCGGUUGAGCUGGGGGUCAACCUGUUCCUCGAUCGGUUCAACCGGUUGAGCCAUUUUUUUGGCUCAACAACCAUUCUUUUCAACUUAAAACCUUUUAAACAAGUUUGGAAAACAUUUGACACAGGGUUUUAGUUGAAAACAUGAAGUCAUCCAAUUUUUAAAAAAUAUUUAAAACAAAAUAACUCUUGGAUGAUUUUGGUGCAUAAGUAAAAAAUGUAAUGCAUGAAAAACCUAGUGCACCAACAACCUUACAAAGAGAUCUUAUGAAGCUUGGGUCUUGAAAAAUACUUCUCUUUGAGGUGGUCUUUUUCUUCAUGAUUUCUCCUUUACUUGAUUUGUCUUUGUGAUUGCCACUUUGGAAAUCAUCUUGCCUAUCACACUUGAAAUAUAAUUAUUAGUUCUAAACCUUAUUUUGUUAUCAUCAAAACCGAGAUUAACCAAACCUUGAUUUCACAAUUUUGAUUAACAACUUAAUUAGAGUGUAAGUACUCAGUUAAUGUAACUUAACCAUAGUUAAGUUCAGGUGAAAAUUGUGAUUGAGAACUUAACCCUACUUAAAUUCUUUGUUAAUGUAACUUAACCAUAGUUAAGUUCAGGUGAAUAUUAUGACUACAAACUUAAUCCUAGUUAAGUUUGUUGUUAUUGCCACUCAAUUAUAGUUAAGUUCAGGUGAAAAUUGUGACUGUAAACUUAACUAUAGUUAAGUUAUUUGUUAAUGCAACUCAACCAUAUAUAGUUAAGUUUAGGCAAAAAUUAUAACUGUGAAAUUAACCUUAAGUUCUUUAUAAAUGCAACUGAUUCGUCCCUAGCAACGGCAGUGGCAAUGGCACCAUUUGAUUCGGGGUUCGGUCCCCGGCAACGGCGCCAUUUGAUUCGUCCCUAGCAGCGACAGUGGCAAUGGCACCAUCUGAUUCGGGGUUCGAUCCCCGGCAACGGCGCCAUUUGAUUCGUGCCCAAUUGGUGUCUCAGCUGAUUCGUGUCUAGCUGGUGCUCCUUGAUUGAGGGAGUAAUCAACAAAAUUUAUAACCUAUUACACCAUAUACUAGGGUAGCAAAGACAAAGCUACUAUAGCAUAGUGGCUCUAGGAUCGUUCACUGGGAUGGGUUUUCACUUUGCAAAUGAUAUUAAUUCAAAGCUGAAUUGGUGCCUUUUCAUUUCAAGGUUAGCUUUAAAAGAAAACAUAAAGAUGUUUGAAUGAAAAAGGUUUAGAUUUAAACUAACCAAAAAUAGUAACUGAUUUUACUUACAAAGAAAAGUGUUUCUUGGAGUUUAGAUCACUAGGCUCAGGUUCCUCAUACAAAAAGGAGAGUUCCGGUCACUUGUUUCUUUUCCUCGCAUUAGAGAAUUAACAUAUAGUUCUUUCUCCAACCGGUGUUGUACAAAUGCUUCCCAUUAAUGGGUUCAAACACUAAAUCCCUCUCACUGAUGCACCUUGCAAUGGCGCAUGCCUCUCACCUAGCACUUGCCAUUCAAGAUGAUCUUUAACCUUGGAUUACCCGUCAAAAGCUCGCAAGAGAUAACUAAUGGAUGUCUCCUUGGAGUCCAAAAGCUUACCAAGUGUUGGCGAUUCUAGAAAAUCCUACCUUUAAACCACCUACCAAAGGCUCGCAAGGGGUAAACUAGUGCAUCUCUAUGGUUGGAGAUCACUUGCCUUACCAAGUGUUGGCCCAGGUGAUUUAAAGGCGUUUUAAGUUAACUAAAAAGAUAAAAACCAUUAACGGGUCACACUUUCUCUUCAUUAAAAACUAAAACAACAAAACUUCCAAAUUAUGCAUGUGGAAACUUACCCGGCUUUCCUCACUCCAAGAGACAAAGAAUCUAGCCUCUCAUCCUCUAAGGAAAAAUCCUCAGAGUUUGUUUGGCUAGCAAGAAAAAUAACGAGAAAACAAGAAUAUAUAUGAAAAACAGAGCAAGUGCUCUAUUCGUUGAUUCUAUAUAUGAUAUAUCUAUCUAUUUUACAUAUGAUGCUCUUACAGUGGAUGCAAGAGAAUAUAUAUAGAGACGUUUUUCCAACCUUCCUAACUAAGAAAUCUUAUGGUUGGUGGAUUACAAGGAGAAUAAUGGAAAUUCAUACAAAAAUAUCUGAAGAAAAAUAUCCCAAAGUGUCGGUAGCAAAUAUCGGGAGGCUUCAGGAACCAUUUCGCAAGAGAAAAUGGUGUCUGCGAGAUUUCGCAGACACUCAAGAGGGGCUGCGAAAUCACUUCGCAACAACAUGCUAAACUCGCAGGGCUGCGAAGUUGGCUCCCACCUUGAGGUUCCCAGCUUCCUUCUCGCGGUAUAUGUCGGGCAAAUUCAGAAGGAAAUACACCCUACUGUACAAAAAGGCUGCGAAAUCAUCUCGCAACAAAAGGGUGAUUUCGCAACACUUUGCAAAUUUCUUCCUUCAACUUAGAGUGAUCGACUUGCAGUGGCUGUAACUUCUUCUUUUCAACUCCAAAUUGCGCACUGUUUGAAGCAUUGGAUUGUUGACUUCCUGAGCUUUGAAAUGGUAUAUAGCAUGUACAAAAUGGACUUCGGGAAGUGCUCCAAAAGUGUGCAAGAAGACUGCAGCUGCUGUCCUCUGUUUUCUUCACUCUGUUUUUCCUCUCUCCUUUGUUCUUUCCUUGCAUACUUUGAACGACUAAGGCAAAGGAAUAUGAGGCUCCAAAGCUUGGUUCUUCAUGAAUUUGAGCUUCCAAAAGCUUUGUCAUAACUUGUCCAAGUAGCUCCUCCAUCAUUUGGCAUGCUUGAAUUGAUUCAUAAGCUGAUAAAAACAUGUAAACUUGCCAUAAAAUGGUUAAAACCAAAUACUAAGGACCUUAAUGAAUUAAUUGGGUUAAAUGAAUAUGAUUACUACUCAAAGGUGCUUAAAACCAUUAUAAUUAGGUCUACAAAAUAGCACUUUUUGGUAGUAAUCAGCAACCCAACUAUAGUUAAGUUCGAGUGAAAAUUAUGACAAUAAACUUAACCAUAGUUAAGUCUUUUGCAAAUGCAAUUGAACUAUACUUAAGACCAGGUGAAAAUAAGAUCAUUUUCUAUAUUCAUGAUGCUGUGAAUUUCUAGUAUCUAAGUUGUUUUACUACUUGAAUCCCUUGUCAUAUAAAUAAAGUUAAGCCUCCAUUAAUAUAGUUUAUAACGGCCUUGGGGGCGGCUGGGGCUCUGGGGGCUCCAGGGUUGUGAUGUUGGGAAGUGACUUUUCCUCCAGCAUCUGAGCAGAGGUAUUGCUUUAGAUGUCCUGCCUUGAUGAGCCUCUCGACCAGAUACUGGAGGCUUCUGCAUGUUUCUGUCGUAUGACCGUGUUCUUUGUGGAAGGCACAUCUCUUGCUAUGAUCCCUUGUGGAUGGGUCUGUUCCUUGGGGUCUGGGCCACUUGAAGUCGGAUAAGCCUUGGAUCAUAGGGAGAAGUUUUUCAUAUGAUAUGGAAAGAGGCGUGAGGGGCGGCCUAUCCUGGCGACUUGGUCCCUCCUGCCUCCGAUCGGACAACCUUGGCCGGUCCGGGGGUUUAGCAUUUCUUUCUGGGUCACCUCUAGACGCCCGUCCGGUAACCAAAACUUGCUGGGUGGCUGCACGCACAUCAUCUUCGAGCAUUGAAUAUUUGUUGGCACGUCUGAACAAGUCGUCCAUCAUUGUAGGAGGCUUUUUGGCUAACGAUUCGAAAAAUGGGGUGUCUGGACAGAUGCUUCGUUUGAAGAUCUGUAGGACAACAUCCAUGCUACAAGCCUCUACCUGAAGUACGGCUUGAUCAAAUCGCUUCACAAACUCCCUUAAGGAUUCAUUAUCUCGCAUUUUUAUGUUUUGCAGAGUGCUAAUGUUCUGCUUGUGUCGGGCGGAGCACAAGUAUUGUCCCACAAAAGCUUCGGACAGGUCCCUGAAAUUGCCAAUAGAGUUGGGAGGUAGGCGAUGAAACCAUGAGAGGGCCUGUCCUUGCAAGCUGGCGGGAAAUACUUUACACAGUAGUGCGUCGUUGCCAAUAUCGAGCGUCAUGAGCUGUCGAUAAUGCAUGAUAUGAUCGAAGGGAUCGUUGGUCCCGUCGUAUAUGGAAAAUUUUGGUACGAGGAAUCCCCUUGGGGGCUCGUAAUGAAUGAUAUGAGAGCAAAAAGGCGUGGAGAGCAUGUCAUCUAGCCUUUUGCUGAUGGAACCAAUGGGUGGCUCGUUUGGGAGGUUUCUCCCAUGUUGUUGUACCGCUAGGUGCGGGUGAACGUUCCGCAUCAUGGGGGUGAGCAUGGGGUCACGAUGCGGGAGCACGUUCUGCACCAUGGGGUUUAUCAUAGGGUCGGGGCGCGUUGCCCCAGUUGUGGCUACUGGUGGCCUUGGUCUCCCAGGCUCUUGUGGGCCUAGUCUUGCGCGCAUUGAAUUUGACAACUGAGAUCUUCUAUCGCGUUGUCUUUUCGCUGAAAAAUGAGUAGAGUCCGAGCUUUCCUCACGAAGAGCUCGAGGCAUAGGCGUGUGUGGCUCAUGAGGCCUCACGUUGCAUGCUCCUGGGAUAGCUCCUGCUGUUCCAGGAUAUAUAGACUUUGGCUCUGGCCCCGAGUUUGCUACUUGGCUUCUUGAACGCUGACGACGAGGGGGCCCUGAUGUUGAGACCUGGAUGCGUAAUACAACGUUUUCUUCUCUUAAUCUUUCUGUCUCCUGGAGGAGAACUUUCAGUUGUCGUUCGCUUGCCAACUAUCUUCUUUCGAUGGCUUGGCGCCAUUCAGAAUUAUCUUCUUCUCCCCUACCAGAUGAACGGCUUCGGGAAGGUGUGGCCAUCUUUACUGGUGACUGAAUCAGUGAAAAAAUUUCCCACAGACGGCGCCAAUGUUGAGGCCUCGCGUCCCUGGUGAUCCACGUAGUUGCCAAAUGGAUGGGCGCACGAUCUCAACCAAUAUAGGUUCUUGAUUCAGUCAUUCCAUCUGCAAAAGACGUCCGGACGGGGUGUCAGGACGCACCCUCCGAUGGUUUUGUCAGUCAUGGUUAGAGAGAGAGAUAAAUCAGUUGGCCUUUUACUAGGUAUAGCAAGCUUACCUUCCUCUUUGUGUGAAGGUUGAUAUCUAUAGUAUCAGAAGCUUUGGUUCUUCUUUAAUGGUGGGGAGAUAUUUUGUGUUGUCAUGAUGACACUAGGUGGUGACAGAGCCAUCAUCACCCUACGGGCGGUUUUGACAUAGAUCGUGGUAGGUGAUGCGGCUGUUAGAGAUCGAUGUAGGUGAUCAUGUGAAAUGAUCAUGGGAAGUGACUUGUUGUCACUUCAUCUUGUCCCUUCACUCUGUAGGUGGCGGAACGUGGGCCAUGGUAGGCUGUUGUGAUAACGUGUAAGACUUGCUUUACUUCAGUCAAUGACCCGGACAAUCAUAUCCGGAUGACCUAUGUUGGUCAUUCGGAUGUAUUGUGAAAGCCGUCCAGAUGUCUAUGUUUAUAAGUGUCGUUUGAACUUCCUUGAGUCAGUCCGGAUAUGAGGGGCGCAUCACAUGUAUCCGGAUGGGGGUGAUCCGGAUGGUAAUGCGUGCCAUGUGUCACCAUGAGGUGCGUGGCACGUGUUCUCAGGAGGAGGGGUCCCUACAGUUUACAUCCCUUAACAUCUUUUUGUGGCCAACAAUGAAGAAUAGAUGAAAGAAUAGUGAGAACUUAGGUUUUUCUUGGGCACGGAAACAAAAAGAAAAAGCAAAAUGAUGAUUGAAUAAAAAAGCAAAAAAAUGAUAUAUAAAAUAGAGAGAAAGUUGUGUUGGAGGAAACAACAAGAAGGGACAUUUUUGUCCUAUUCAAGUCAUUUUUUAUGUUUUUUGAGAGAUGGGUUAGUUUUACAAAUAUGAGUGUUAUUUUAACCCCUUUAACCAAAUAACCCUUAUCUAAAUGCCAAGAGGAUUGGGUCGAUUUUCAUUCACCCUAGCAAUGGCAUGAUGGUUCAAACUUCAAAGGACCUAACUAGUCUUUACAAAUCAACCACUCCUUCCAAGUUCACACAGCGUGUAGUUAAUGUUCCAUAUAAAUCAUAACUAACAUACAUCUAAAAUGUUAUUUUUAUUUUUUUAAUAUCAUAUCUUUUAUUUCUGGUAAAAGUGAAAACAAAUUAUGAAGUAUUUUGCACCUAAUUUUUUUGUAGAUUUAGCUUUACUAAAGUUUAAAAAUAUGUGUGGCUUUGGUCUAACUUCUUAUUAAAGUUUAAAAAUAAAAAACUAGCUAUCCCGGGACUUAUAACAUAAUCAAAAGGGGUCUUAAUUAACAAAAACUUUUUGUUCCACACAACCCUAAUUUAUAUUCCCAUAAUAAUUAAAAAAAUCAACUACUAAAUUAAUAAAAGUAAUAAAGAUUGUUUACAUAUAUUGAUAAUCAAAUCAACCUUCUCACUUUAGACAAAAAAACCCUAAGACGUCAUUCUGUUGAGUUGAUCAUCAAGAACUUAACACAGACACCACGCCAAGAAGUACUAAACACAAUUGAACUUUACACCAUUUUCAUCUUCUUCUUCAAAGAUUAAUUACUGGACUUGUCUCUUGACAUUCAAUGCAAAACACAGCACAACCUUACUUAAACUAACCCACUUCUUCAACCCCAUACUGUACUUCCCACCUCUUGGAUCCACUACCAUUGUUUCAACACCCUCUCCUCCUUCCACCUCCCUCUUCUCCUCCUCAGAUAGCACCCCCCAUAGCACCUCACUCUUUAGAAUGAAAAAUUAGUUCUGACUCGCAUCAGUGUUUGACCGUUCUAGUAUCUUUCUGGUAACAAAACCUGAUCCUUCCCCUCCAUGUUAUGAAUCACCUGCAGCAGUGGAAAAGGUAAUGAGGAGGGAGGUAAAGGUGGUGACGUCGGGUUUUCUUGAUUGCGCUCCUCCUCCUUUCAGGAACAAGGUCGUGUCCAAAUAUCCUCAUGGACUUUGUCUUCUUUGUUCUCUUGGCUUCUCGUUCCUUUUCAUGUGGCUCCAUUUCCGUUUCUGGUUUUUUUUCAUUCGGCUUACACUCCAUCUUCAUUUCUUGUUCUCUUGGAAUUCACAGCCACUAGUUGUUCAUCAAUGGAUUCAGGUGCAAAAAGAAGCAACUCUUAUAUACCUAAAUACGUUUGAAUGAACUUGUGAAGAGCUGGAUAUUAUUUCCCAGAACAUUUUGAGCAUGGACUUGAAUACUAAUGAGACCAAUGAAUGCACCACCAGCUGUUUUGGUUCAAUUCAGAUGCUCUUUUCACUUGUUCAAACGCAGUUCCUCAUUGCCCCUGACCUGAAUUUCCCAAACCAAACAUCAAAUAAUGGAGGUGGAUCAGAUAAGAUCCAAUAUCAAAUUGCUGCCAUGAAUCCCUAAAAGAAGAGAUCUAUUAGGUGUAGGGAAAAUGAAUAUCUUCUGCGACUGAUAGAGAGAGAACCAAAACUCAAAGAUCUGGAACAAGGUGAGACUCACCCCCUAAUCACCCAACUAGAUCGAUAUAUGUAUAUGGGGGAUGGUGGAAGAACAGAGAUAAAUUGGGUGGUUCUUAGCCGAGCCCUUCACUGUGUAGAUCAAUAUACUUGUCUUGUUCAAUUCUUGCAGCUAUUCCUAGGCCUAUAGUGCUACAAAAUCAAGAUAUUUUAUAGCCUGUUUAAAAAUUGUAUUAAAUCUCCAGAACUUCAAUUGAGAAUAACCUCAUGAAAAGAGAAAGAUCUUUCUCUCAAACUUUGCUAAAUCCAAUACAGACCCAAUGUCAUUAAAAGGUGAAUCCCUACUUCAGAGGUAAAGGAAAUGGCAAUAGUAGAAGUUAAGCAACUGACUUAAAUGGGAAAAUAUUGUAACAAGAUGUUUGUCUGCAAAGAAUUCAUCUCCAUCUCCCACAACCUGGAAAAAGAAGCUAUUAGUAAGGAGCAUGAGUCACAAAGAAUGGAACAAUAAGAGAAUGAUGAUAACCUGGUGCAGAUGACAAAUAAGGUCCAUAUCAUGCUUCUUUAAAGAUCCUGAAACUUUAUCUGGACCAAAGGUGCGUGAAACUCCCCUAUCAUUCAUUCGCCAACCCUUGCUAUCUCUACCGGGACGUGGCCAAAGUAAAUCACAAAGCAAACUAGAGUCUGGAACAUCAGUUGGACGGGAAAACUUCCUAAUUUGAUCCAAAUUUGUUAGUUCAGGGGAAAGACCACCAUGCAUGCACAAUAUCUUAUCUAUAAGAGCAGCCACAAGGAGACAAUUAAAACAAUCUGUGUAGUACGAGGGUUUCCAAAGUCUAACAUUGAACCAGGGUUAAUUGACUUAGUGAAAGAGAUACCAGAUUGGGAAGGAUUCCCAAAGCUUUUUUGUAGGAGAGAAGGUUCCAAAUUAGCGAAUAUAAACUAGCAGCAAAAAUACAACGAGGUAGGUCUUUAACAACUAGCCUAAAGUUCAUGCAAAAGAAUCUCGACCAAUUACACCCGUAGAUACCUUAGAGAACAACAUGUUCCAAGUUUUUAAACUCAAGAACUCAGCCAUAUUGAGUAUUGAUAGGAUAGGGAGUGAAGUAUCCACCAUAGGCUCCAGAAGCAGAGACGACGCCUGCGUAGACAUUCAUUUCAGAGACUGAGACUUUCACCCUAUUCAUCUCACAUCUCUUUUUUCCAAAAUUAAUGGACCAGAAACCUAUCCUCUCUCAUCAUCCCAUCACCAGUCAGAUUUUGUAAACAUUUCCAAAUUCAUCUUCAUUGAAGGAAAGAUAAGAGGUGAUAAGAAUCCAAGCACACAGUAAAUAGUAGAAGAAAGUUGUUUUAACUUCCCAUAAAUCUUUUCUACACAAUGUGUGAAAGUUUUAUUGUUUAUAUUAAUUUUCUUAAACAACAUCAUUCCAGAAGGUGAAAGAAGAAUAACACAGACCAUCCUCCUCAUCAUGGCAAAUGAGUAAUCAAUAAACAGUAAACACCCUCUCUUAUGAUAACUAAAAACUAAAUAAUAUAUCAGAAACAAAUCUUUGAUAGAUAAGACAAUGAAAGGCCAAUAUAUAAUAUUUCAUUACCUUCAAUUAUAAUCAAUAAUAACUUUGUGGCAGCAUUAAUAGAAACCAAGAAUUUGCCUGUGUGGUUACAAUGAAAAGAAUCAGAAAAAAUAUUUUCUACGUUAUGAUUUAAAGAGAGAAAGCACACCUUGUUUCUGAAGCAAGCAAGAAACAGUAGGAGCCUUGGUGUUCAUUUCCUACCUCCAUUACUGUGAGGGUGCAUGGGCAUUGCUUUAAAGGGUUUUACUGCAAAUCUAUUCAUACAAUACAAACAGCUUACUGGGAUUACAUAUACUAACUGCCAUUCAUCAUCUCAGUUUCCAGUUGCCACAAUGGAGAAGCUCUCAACUACCACAAACUUCUAAUAAAUGAGACAAAAUCUAGAAUAUUGAUGAAGGGCAUUGGAAAAAUGCUAGUCUUACAACCUUCUUUACCACUUGCUGAUGUGUGUGACAUUAAAUGUCACCAGAUUAAUUUACAUUUGAAUGUGCAUUAAUUAGUACAUUCAAAAAGAGACUCAAAUGAAUAUCUAUCAGUAAUUUAUAUUGUUUUUCUGGUUAACCAAUCAGUAUUGAUUAAAACAGAAACUAGAGCUACAGAAUCAAGGUUCAAGUUGUCCAUAUUGAAAUGGUAAACCGUUGAUCUCCUUCAUGAUCAAGUUAACAGUAGGUAAGUGUAAUGGCUAAACAGGUUCUUAACUUCUAGAAGCAUAAUCUUUAUUAAUUUCAGAUGGCAUAGGAAAGAGAAAAGACAAAAAGAAAAAGAAAAAUGACACCAAAAGGAUUUAAAACGGAGAAAAAAAAGAGAGGCAGCAAAUUCAGUUACCUUGUUGAUAAUAAGCUCUGCAUGUUUCACAAGCAGCAAUAGUGUGUCACCUGAAGCAGUACCAAUAGUGGCAGUGCAGUUCAUUUUUAUCAUACAAUAGAUUUCAAGACAUAAAUCAAUUAUCCACAUUAGACACAAGUACAACCAUGCUCAUGAAAGGUCAAAGACCACUUAUCCAUCAUCACAUGCAAUCAGAAUUAAUACCUGAGACUCAGCUAUUAAGCGAACCAUGGGCAGAACUAUUGGUUACAUCACAAAAUUUCGACGUUUCGUACAAACAGGUGGAAUUUGGAAGCGCCUCCAAAAGAAAUCAAUCGAGAGGUUGAGAAAAAUUAAAGAAAAAAAAAAGAAAGAAAGAAAUACAUGCAGGAAGCAGAGGAGGGCACAGUCUGGGGCUAUGCACUGAGGAUGGUUGUUCCUUGCUAGCACUGUAAUGAUCACUUCCAGUUCUUCCACAUGGACCUAUCAGAAACCCUAACCUCAAAAUUGAUGCGAACCUAGAAUUUGAACUGGAGUCAACUCUAAAUCGCUUGGGUAAUCUGGGUGAAUUCUCAUUCAAAAACAUGACCAAGCUAUUCAACUUAGCAUUAAUAAGAUACUGUGGUGCAUCAAGUUCUGCCCAUCGAAUCUUCAGACAUAGAGACUUCACGUAAGAGCACCCAUAUAUAAUUCUUCCCAUUAAAGACGAAUCCUUCUGCUGAAAUUUCUCCAGAAUGGUUACAUCUUCAGAACCACCAUAUUCAAGGUCUUGGUCCUUGUCUGGGUUGCUCCGUUCAGUGUCUCAUUUGAUCCAGUUCUGAAUCUAUUCAUGUCCACGGGUAUUUCCACCAGAUGCUUCAGCAGAUACAAGUGCGGAUACAGUGCUCUCAAUCACAAGAGAAUCACUCUGACGCCUUGCAUGUAGAAGGCCAAUCGUUGUCUCCAAUUUUCUUCAUUAUAGGUUCAGUGACGAGAUGACAUUUGAGAAUCUGGUACUGAUCAAACUUUUUCCUGGAAGGAGCAUUGAACGAGUCCUCUUCAUGGUCUGCAUUCCCGGCAGCUGUGGGCUUUGAAAAUGGCGCACCCAAAGGUGGCCAUGCACUCUUAUGCAGAAGUGGGGGCCCAUGGUGCUAUAGUUGAGCAUUGAAUAUGGACUUCAGGUCUUCUAAUCUUGGAUAGACUUCUGAUGCUUCAUUCAAGCACAUGACAUGGCAUCUCCUGCUUUAUUUCCCUUGUACAGGGCAGCCAUACCUGGGAGGAUUCCACCAUGGUCCUUUUGCCAUUGACGAAAAUCUCCAUGCAGCUGGUGAUACGACAUUCUUAUUCAGACUUCGACAAAUUGCUCACAGACAGUUUCCUUCAACUGAGAUAUCAUGUUGUCAUUGAUCUUCAGGUGUUCAGUUUCACAAAUAACUUUUUGUGCUUCAGACGUAUCAAAACACCCAGAAUCGAAAAUUAAUCCCCAAUCAAUUGGAUUCAACAACUUCUUUGCAUGUGUGAAGGCAAAAGAACAAGAAGCCUAAUGCUUUCUGGUUCUAAAAUAUCACAACCUACCGAAAAUUGCAAAUUCUGCAGGGCUAGAGAAACAUUAGGCGGAACCAUUUGCUUACAGUGGAGAUGAGGGUGGAAGGAAGGCAAGAAACAUGGAUGACUUGUUCUCCUUUGGCUUCUUGCUUAGUAACUCAUCAGUGAAUUCUAGCUCAACUGUUGUUUUCAUUGUGGGUGUCUUUGAUUCACUCCUCUGAUCCGAAGUGGGUAGCUGUCCUUGCUCCAGUAAAUCCGGAACCGAAAUUUGUCAAACAAUCUUGCAAUAGGAGCAGCUCCUUUUUCGGGGUCUUUAAGCUUCACACAGAGGCCUUGAAUGAGAGAGUCCCAUUUCUUCAGAAAAACCUCCAAAUAAAUCAGAAAAACCUCCAACCUUGAUAGCUUUUGCAUACACUGCUGCUGCAUCACUUUCUUCUCAUGUAAAGACUCGGCACCUUUGGCAAUGCCAUUGCACCAGAGCCACUAUACAGACCUCUGAAAAUGAAUGGUGAUCUAGCCAUACACCAUUAACGAGCUUCUCACCAAACUGCUACUUGUUGAAACUGUUCUUUGUCAUGUUAUGGCCAUGUCUAGCACCUUCCAUUCCAUGCAUGACCUGAUUAAGUCCUUCAAGUAAGUAUUCAGACCAUAGCUUAGCAAAAAGAGAGUCCCCUGGAAUCCCUUUAAGACCGGGUAUGCUGAAGUGAUUUGAGUGCCAUGAAGGACAGGUGAAGGACGGACAUUACACAAUUGGGAUCGCAGUACCUUCUCAGCCAUGGUAACACGAAGUCUACACAUAGUUCAUCAGUUGAAGCGUGCUCAUGCACAAGACUUGGGCACCACAGAUCUUGGAUUAUCAGCAUUUUGGUGACUGCUCAGAACCUAAACUUUAUAUCAUCAUCUAUGACUCCCAUUUCUGGAGACUUUUGGGGUUAGGUUUCUUCAUUGGCUACUCCAGAAAGGACCACAUAAAGCCUCUCUGGAAAUGGUUUUAGUUCUCCAUCUGAAAAUUCACUCUGGUUUGUUAGCAUCAAGGUAGGGACCUGUGCAAGGCUCCAUAUUCUUGUACCAAGCGUCUCUGCUUCUUCAGGCUGGCAAAAUGCAGCUCGAACAUCAUCUUGUUUGCCAUUUCAUGCAUCGACGUUCAUUCUCCCCUACCAAGUUGGGAUUUCACUUUGCUCAUACUUCUUUCCCCAACAAAGAUAUCUCAGACCCUGCUAGGAUCAAAGCUUGAAGCAGUGCCGUGAAAUAGAGGUCUAGUUUGUCCACACCUUCUCUCGGCAAUCUCAGUUUCCUUGAAAAUCUGGGGUGUGCCUUCCAGCAACUGCAUGAGCACCAGUGUACCGAACAAGCUUCAAAACUGCUCCCUGGCGAGCAGCAACAAUCUCCGUCUUACUAUCCACCAUUGUCUUAGGAAAAUUCUCCACAAUUAUGGUAUCCUUCAAAACUUUAUUGAAGCCUGAAGAAAUACCCUUUGUGAUCUGAUCCUUAGUGCAGGCUCUGGGGGUUCUGGAGAUAUCUCCUCUGCAGGUAAAUUAACUUCCCAUGCAAUCGCAACUUGAUUUUGAUCCUGCUAGUUCCAUUCUCGGAUUUUAUUGGAAGCACAGAGCCACGAACUGAUCCUUUCCUACAAACACUUGGUGAGAAAAUUCUAGUGUAGAAAUGAACCCAUGCUCUUUCCAUGGAACGAAACCCGAAAAUUGUAGAUUCAUCUAUCAAUCAUGCAAAGCAACACAAACACCAGAGAAACAUCUUCAUAGUGUGAGCCCACAAACAUCCAACCACAAACUGAGAACUCUCUUAAACGAAGACCACCUCUGCAUCUGACUAACCAUAAGCAGCCCCCAUUGUACCCAAUCUUCACAAAGUUUCCACCUCUCUCGAAAAUAUUCUUGUUAUUAUGAUCUCCAUAGCCAGGGCACCAAAGAAGGGAAGGGGAAGAAACACAGAUGCAGAAGCAUAGAGAUGAAAACCAAGAAAAACGGAGAAAAGGCAGACAAUGGGUGAGUAAUCAAACAAGCCACAUGUCAUUAUUUGUCAAUGGGCUUGGGCUGGUAGGAAGGACACUAGCAGAUUCCAAAUAAGAGAAAGACGGUCAAUAUCUUUAAAUAAUACACAAUGACAUAGGGCCUCACUGAGUUCAAACAAUGCUAAAAGAUAUAAAAUAAAAAAAAAAAAAAAAAACGAAUGAAACAAUAACAAGAAGCUUAUGAACAAAUAAAAAAUCAACAAAACUCACAUGUGGUCUGUGUCAUCCACAACCAAACAAGCAAACCAAACCCCAAACAGCAAAAAGAGAAGAUAAAUGACAUAGGAAAUGAAGGUGAACAAGAAAAUACCCAGUAAACUUCCCUGAGAAGUCCUCUAAGCAGCAGAGUUUGUUGAAUUUCUCAAUGCUCUCCCUCUAAUAGUCAUUCUUCCUUGAGCCCUUCUUCCUUUCCUUUCUGGUGUUCUUCUCUCUGCCUCUAACUCACUCCCUUACUGCCCAAACCUCCUCUCUAAAACCUCCUCAGGACUCCAAAACUCCUCAAAACCCAUUAGAAGAAAAGAAUCAAUCUCCCUACUAACAGCUCCCAAAAACCAUCAGCAACAGAGUGCUUUCCCCUAUAGCUCAGAACCCUCCCUCUGUUUUUUUUCUUCUCUCUACUCUAAAACCCAGAAAGUUCCAGCUCUCUUCUGCUUUUCGUUUUCUUAGCAGCUCCCUCACAUUUUCAUGUUCUCUCUCAUCUUCCUCUCAAAUUUCCACUCAACUCAUUCUCUACAACCUAGGAAAGUCAGUAGGCUCACCUCCUCUCUCCCAGCUCAGUCACCAAGUUCACCUCCUUUCCUUCUCUCAGCUCCCGCACCUGAAUAUCCUCUACCCGGAAUAUCCUCCUGACCACCACCAUGUCAGACAACAGUGUCCUUUGCUACGUGUCUCUUACAUCUCACUCCCCUGCAGAGAUUGUCCCCACUCUCUUUUCCAAAAACGUGCUCCAAAAGGGUGGGCCCCACAAAGGGCCAAAAAUGUUGAGUAAAGACGGAUGAAUAAAGAGUGAUGAAAAGGUGAGAAAUAAAAAAAUUAAAAAAAAAAGUCUUAAACACGCGCUAAAAAAGAAAAAGAAAAAAAAAAGGUAUAAUAAAAAUAAUAAUAAAAAUACAACAAAAUAGAGGAUAUACGAUAAUACAUCCCUAUAACAUGACAAAAGUGCUUUAUCUAUUAGAAUCAGAUCGAAUGGACCAAUUGAACUGGCUCGAUUGUCAGCAUUGAAACCAACAAUUUGGUUUCUUAAUCCAUCCAAUUUCCUCCAUUGGGUUUUUUGUGUUGCCAAAGUGAGCCUCUUAUUGCUGUUCAUUAGUCGCUGAUCGCAUUGCCCUUGAUGACCGAAAGGCCAGGUUGAUGAGGUUUAUAAACCUCUUUUCAUCCUCUUGAAUUUCUGAUAUGAGAUGAGAAGUAGCUUAUUUAAACAAAAUUUAAAGCAUGUGGAACAACCACUUUGUUGCUUACCAUGAUGUUAAAAAUUGUAAAACUAAAAAUAAAUUAUGUAUGUUAUUUCAAAUUCAAUAUAAGUAAAUAUAUAUAUAUAAAAGAUAAAAAAAGAUAUCAUUGAUUUGUAAUUAUAUAUAUACAUAUCAACCAAUGAAUCAUGAAUGGACAACUCUUAUGGAAUGAUCGGUUUUUAUUAGGUGUAUGUGCCAAAUACUCCAUCAAAAAAGUGCUAUGGGUUAAGAAUUUUAAAAUAUUUUAAUUUUUAGGGGUUUAACACUUGAUCCGAAAAGAUAUAGUCUUAUCUUUGUGCUAUAAAUAGGGAUAACAAUGAAAUAGGUUACUCUUAUCUCAACCUCGCUCAAUUUAUUCAAAAUAAUUUUCAUUAAAAAAAAUUAAACAAAUUAAACAGGUGGGGCAAGACGAAUAUGAGAAAUUCCUAUACUUAUCUUGCCCCACCUUGAACCUGUUCCAGGUUUUUUCUUUUAGAAAAAAUAUCAAAUCGUUUUAAACAUAUUAAUUUCAAAUUCAUCCUAUUAAAGACGAAACGAGCUUGUAAUAAAUAUAAAAAAAAAAACUCGGAUCAUUAACCUUAGCUUUAAAAGACAUAAGUACUAAAUAUUUUGAAGGGCCCAUAUGCACUUGGUAGGGGGUCUUGAAUGGAGCCUGAUGUUGGUCCUAUUUUCUAACUUUUAUACUAGUCUAAGAAGCAAGUCCUCUUGGGAGUGAGUUUUAUUUAAUUCAAGUGUCAACUUCAAUACUUGUCUUUCUCUAAGAAGUUUACGAGCUUCUUAAACAAACAAGAUGAAUGCCCAAGAUGAAACAAGUGUCAUAUCUCGUCAAACAAGAUGAAAGAUAGAGUAGUUGUGCCGAGGGAUGCAUGCUAGAUUGUUGUGUUAGAGAUGAAUGUUCAAUUUAAAAGGUUUUUCAUAAAUAUUAAUCUUUUCCUUUAUAGUUUCUUAAAAAUAAUUUUUGAAUUUGAAUAUAAAAUUAAAAUAAAAUAUUAAAUUUGAAUAUAAAAUCAAAAUGAAGUUAUGAACAUAUAAAUUUUUAUUAAGUCAAGUAAUUAAAACUUUAAAUUAAAUCUCUAAUAAAAUAGUUGAUGAAAUACAAAUCGGAAGCAAAUGAAAAUAUUAAAUUUUCAGUCACCUUUUAGGCUUAUAAGGACAAUGUUAUAAAUGACUUUUAUUAUAUUAAGUAAUUAAAAUCUUAUCUAAAUGAAAAGAUUAAAUUCUUAUUUAAGUUGAUGAUGAAUAUGAAAAAGAUAAAAUUUUAAAUUAUCUUUUAGGUUUGUGAUUUUAGUCUUUAUAAGGGUAUUUUUUGAAAUAAAAAGUGGAAAACAUAAAAAUAGCUUCUACUUUCAUUGGUAGGACUGUAGGAGACAUGACGGGAAUUUAAUUAUCUAAAACUCAUAUUUUUUUAGAUUUCUUUUUGCAUUUUUAAUAUGCUUUUUCUUUGUUUAACGGGAGAAUUUAAUUUUAUUUAUUUAUUAAAUUGUAACAAUUUUGAGAUUGUUUUCAAAUUUAUAAUACUUCGAUAUUAAAAAUAUUUUCAAAUUUAUAAUACUUUGAUAUUGAUUUUUUUUUUUUGAAAUUUACUAUAGUUUUGAUAAAAAUAUAGUUUUUAAAAAUAUUUAAUAAAAUAUAUAAGUUUUCAACUAUUUUCAAAUAAGAAACCUUUUUUAUGACAUUAAAAAGAAGUUGUGUUUUGAAUAAAUAGUUUUAGUUUAAAUAUAAAAGUUGACUUCUAAAAAAAUAAUUUCAAAAUUCAAUUGAAAUUGUUUCUAAUUUUUUAACCUUAAAGGGAUUGGUAAUUUAAAAAGAAUUAUGAUAUUUAAAAUUUUUUUUUUUAAAAAAAGUGCUUGUUUAAAAUAAAAUUAUGUAAAAGGGACACCGUUGGGGACCGUUGGGUAGACACCGUUGGGUACCUAGGGAGACAGGGACACGAAUCACUCCACUACUGGGGUUCACUUCACUCGCUCUACCCUUUUCCACCCCUAUAAAUUUGAGAGGGAAAAUAACAUGGCUCAAUUCAAGGCUUCCUUGUUAUUUCCUCGUUUAUAUCAACUCCUCUCUUCAUUCUAUCAAUUCCUUUUUCUCUGGUAAUUAAAUGACGACCUUCAAGCUCUUUGGUACUGAGAUAUCGGUGCCGAAGGAAAGAGAAAACAAGAUACCACCUCUCUCCCAACUGCCUUGUGCAAUCCUGCAUACUAAUAAAGGCAUGAAGGAGCGUGGCCGGGUUUUGGUGAUGAGAAAGACACUGACAACAUCCGAUGUGUCCGUGCAUCAGAGUCGGCUUUUCAUCACCAAUAGUAAGGUGCUGUGGAGCCAGUUAUUGGAGGAGGAGCAGAAGAAGGUGAAGGCAAAAGAGCACGUUGAAGUUGAGGUCGUGGAUCCCAAGGGGGGGAGGACUAGGAUGAAGUUGAGGCGGUGGCAGAGUUUGAAUAUACUUGUGCUGAAUUCCGGAUGGGUAAAGCUUGUGAAGGUUAACAAGCUGGAGGCGAAGGUGCAUUGUAUUGAGUUGUGGACUUUUAGGAUGGUGACAAGCUGUGCUUCGAUUUGAAUGUCGAAAGACAACGACAAUACCAUCCAUGAUGAUGAUAUAUCAUUCAUUCUGAAGAAUCUAAAUCUAGCUAUAAUGGUAUAAGUGUGUUUGGUCCGUCAUAUUUAUUGAUUUUGGUUUGCUUAAUUUGCUUUGUAUCUUGACUUGGAGUCGACCCUGUUGGUCUUUUUUUUUCCUUCGGUUUCCUUUGAAAUGUGCAUGUGUGAGUGAAAUAUGCGAGAAUGACGAUGAAGAUUGUAAGCUAUGGGCUUUAGUCAUGAUUUCCCCUCUUGUGUGAGUGGAAGUGUGAACACCUUUUCCAUGGGACUAUCACUAUUGUGGAGUAUACUCUCCAUGUAGAUUUUGCUUGUGAUAAUGAUCACUCUUGCCCCUUCAGCCAUGGAAAAUAAUAUCUCUCUCUCUUUCUCUCUUCUUUUGGUCCUCUUGAUUGCGCUCCUCCUCCUUUCGGGUCGCUUGGCUUCUUGUUCUUUAGGAGGCUCCAUCUUCAUUUCUUCUUCUAUUUUAUUCGGCGCCAUCUCCACUCCAAACAGUCCGAUGAUCUUCACUUCUUCUUCGUUGAGGCCUGACUCAAUCGGCAAGGGAUUGGUGUGGGAUGUGGGAACAGAAAAAAAAAAUUAUAUAUAUAUAUAUAUAUAUAUAUAUAUAUCUUUUGUUAAAGUUGCCAGCAUCUUUCAGAGGUUUUGUCCUUACUAAACUUGAACGUUGAAUUUUUAGGGGGAAAAGCCAAGAUGUUAGGACUGUGGGUCCAUGUCACGUGUGCUUGGUUUCGGCCUGAAGUUAUUUUCUAACACUACAAGAGAAUAUAUUUACGGCUGCAGCUAGAACCCCCAGCCAAGGGUAACAUAAGCGUGACUCUAAUAUACAGGUGCAGAUAUGGAAGACCGCAGCUAAGCGUCACCAUAGAUGGCGCAGAUAAAUCUUAUAAUUGCGGCCUCAUACAAUUGUGCGAAUAUAAUGUUCAAGUUAUAGCUGGACCAAUCUUUUUCCACUACCAAAUCGCUUAUAUAGCUGCUGCUCCUUGUAACCGCGGCCAUAAGGCUGCUACAACAUUGCCAGAGUGCCCUAUGGCACAAACAAAUACUGAUUCUAAUGCCCUAUCAUGUUCAAAUUUUGCUCCUUGGAUCUAUAUUCUGGAGCGUUUGGCAUGACAAGUUUUUCUAAUCUUUUUUUUUUUGACAUCCACAUCAUUUCUUAUGAUGUCAAUAUCCAUUGGAAAGAAAAUAUACUAUCUAUCACAAGAGUAUUUCAAUCUCAUUUUUCUCCAUAUAUAAAUAGAUUAUCGAGAUCUUAUCAUUAUCACCUACUUGUACCCUUUUAGGAGCGAAUUGUAAAAUAUAUACCUUUUCGGGGGUUAUUUGUUUAAACUAUACCUCUUUAGGGGUUUAUAUGCAAUUUCUUCAAAAGUGUCACUUUUUAUAUAUCUUUCCUUGUGUUUUCCUCUUCCACGGAAUGUGUUUGCCUCUUCAAGGUCUAUCACACUUCAAGUGUGCCUUAAACUUAUUAUUUAAUUGUCCUUCAGGGAUAUCAACUCAUUAUUUAAUUAUCUUUCAGAGACAUCAACUCAUUAUUUAAUCGUCUUUUAGGGACAUCAAUUCAUAUUGAAAUAUUCUCAAUUAGUGAUAAUGAUUGUGUCACUUUCCUUGCAUCAAUGAAAGCAUUUGGUAGUUAAUUUGCAAAUCCUUACAAAUGAAUAAUCUUUUGAACUUCUAGUUCACAUUAAUUAGUAUAAGGAUCAAGAUGAGUCAAAGUCAAUGCAUUUCAAAUAAUUUCACGUCAUUCUUUUGGAAUGGACUUUUCUCCCUUUAAAAGUGGGAAAAUUGUCUCAUUAAAAUGACAAUAUGCAUAACAUGACAUUAUACCUUUCAAGUGAAUAGGUAGACUAGUCACUAAAUAAAAACUUUUGGUUUUAUAAUAUACGUUUAUACGACUUUACAAAUAAUUAAUGCAUUAUCUUUUACCUCAAAGAACAAAGUUGAUCUUACAAGAUUCUUUUAUAUCUAACAUAUUAUAAAGUGUCAUUCAUAUGGAAUUAAAUACCAGUGACAUAGUAUAAACUCUUUUAGAACUUUUAAUAAGGUUUUUAUCACCUGAUAGUUUUAACAUUGUUUGUCAUCAAUGUUGUGCAAUUAAUGAGAUAAGAGUUUCAUCAAAAUAAUAAGUUAUAAAACAUGUCAUAAAGACCUCACCUUUAUAGAGUUAAAGAAAUAUUAUCAUAAAGGAAAAGUUAAAAUUAACAAGAAAAUAUUAAUCAUCGAUGAUGACUUAGCUUAAUAAGUUGUGUAAAAACAAUUAGAGCAUAUAUAAGACAACAAAACAAAUAUGAAAAAAAUAAUUUAAGUAAUAUACUUUUUAAAUAUCUAACACAUUUAAUUUUAUAAGUGUGGAGCAAGUUACACAUGAAAUAACUAAGAAGUAUUUUAAUAGUCAAACUAAUUGUAAUGAUUGAUCAAUAAUUUUAUUCAUAUAUCAUUAUGAUUUAAAUCAAUAUACAAAAAUUAAUUCAAAGGUCAAAAUUUCAAGUAAGCAUAUAAGGAUUUAAAGUAUCUUACAAUUUUUCCAUGUCUCAAAACUUUAAUUGAAACACUACAAAUCCAUCUAAAUAUAUAUGUAAAGAUAUAACAAAAUAUGUUAAAACCAGUAGUUCAACCUAUUGUAAUUUCAAAAUUAUUCUUGAAUAAUAAAAUUAUUGCAUUAAUAAAAAUACGAAUAAUACAUUCAAAUCCAAAUCAUAGAAAAUUAAGGACUUCAAUAAUUAAACUCUUGAAAAAAAAAUUCAUAUUUCAUAACUUUAGACUAUAAAAGUAUAUAAAAUUCUUAUACCUCUAGACUAUAGGGGAAACAACAAUGUUUAUAUUAUAAUACUUAUAAUAAUCUUUAUUUAUAUAUAACAUAUAUUUCGUUUCACAUAUAUGACUUUAGGUCACAAAUUUUCUAUAUAUUAUAGUCAUGAAAGAUUAUAAAAUUAAUUAUUCCACUUAGGUCUUAGUUAUAAGAAAUUAUAUAAUAUUAAUUUUAUUUUAUUUUUUGUAUAGCUUUUAGCUAUAAUAGGAUAUGAAAUGAUAAUCUCUAUAGUUUUCAUUUAUAGGAAAUACAUAUUUUCUUUCACAGGACUUCAAGAAUAAAUUUAUCAGAACUCCUAGUCCUAAUUUUAUUACGAUAAAAUGAAAAUUUUGCAUAAUAUCAAAUUAUAAAAUAUUCUCUCUAUAGCUUCUAGCUAUAAAAUUUCAUAAAAUUAUUAAUUGACAAUUUAAUUUGUAUAACUUCUCAUUAUACCAUAGCUAAAUUUUCUAUAUAACUUCUAGUUAUACACAAUUAAAAUACCAAUCUUUUCUUGUUUCUAUCUAAGUACAAAAAAAUAUGUUUUAUACAGCUUCUGGCUAUGAAAACAUUUUUUGUAUGGUUUCUACUAUACAUUCUAUUUUAUUGUACUAUAAAUUUAUAAAUUUAUACAUAACUUCAAGUUAUGAAAUAUUCAUUGUAUAGUUUUGGCAAUAAAAUUUUGUUUUGUAUAACUUUCGGCUACACAAUGUAAUUAAAAUAAAUUUAAAAGUUAAUAUCUUUCAUAACUUUAGGCUAUGAUUAUUUUGUCAGAACAAGAAAAUGUGUAAAUGUGUAAAUGUGUACAUAACUUCAGAUUAUGAACUAUUUUCAUGUAAAUUUGUACAUAACUUUAGGUUAUGAACUAUUUUUAUGUAAAUUUAUGCAUAGCUUUAAUUUAUGAACCAUCUUUUUAUGAAAAUUUGUGCACAACUUUAGGCUAUGAACUAUUCAUUAUAUAAUUUUGUACAUAACUUCAGAUUAUGAAUUAUUCACUGUAUAGAUUUAUACAUAACUUUAAGUUAUGAACUAAUUAUUUUUAUAACUUCUAGCUAUAAAAUUUUGUUUGGUAUAACUUUCAAUUAUAUCGUAUAAUUAAAAAUAAACAAUUAGGGAUCAUAUACAUAACUUCUAGUCAUGUAUUUAUAAUUUUGUAAUUUACCCUACAACUUUUGAUUACAAAAAUUGCACACAUUUUUCAUAACUUUUAGUUAUGAAUUUACUCCAUAAUUUUGUAAUUUACCUCAUAAUUUCUAGUUAUAGGGAUUACACAUAUUUUUUAGCUACAUACCUAUAAAAAAUUUUGUAGAUGAAUUCUUUUCUUUUUCUAUUUCGAGAUUCUUCUAUUUUUCUACAUACCUAGAGCGUCGUGCUGAUAAUGUGUUGUAAAAUAAAAGAAUGAAAAAAAGAAAAAAAAGAGAAAGAAAUUCUCAAAGAAAAGUAUAAUAAAAUAUAGGGAGAAAAUUGGAUCAUUUUUUAUUAGAGUCUAAUCCUUUUAUAGGGAGUUACAAAGAGAUAUACAUCAAUAUAGAUGAUUAUUACAAGUUACCAUUAUGCAUGGUACAAAGUCUCAUAAUUUAGAACAAGAAUGACUUUAUUGGAAGUCUUCUAUUUUUAGACCAAUAUAGAAUGUAACCAAGUAAAAUUAUAAAACUUGAGGUUGGUUUAUAAUUUACGCCUAAUUUAAAUUAAAAGGAAAGAGCUAGAUUGUGGUUUUUUUCCAUUUCUCAUUUAAUCUAGUGUAUUUAAUUUAGAGUAUGUAGAUUUUGUAUAUAUGGAUUUUGGGAAGUUAAAAAUAGCUAAUUUUAUUGGCUAAUUAUGAAGAUAUAAGUUAGAAAAUGAUCUAUAUAUCAUAUACAAAUCUUUGAUAGAUAAGACAAGGAAAGGCCAAUAUCUAAUAUUUCAUUAGCUUCAAUUAUAAUCAAUAAUAACAUUGGUGCAAGCAUUAGAAACCAGGAAUUUUCCAGUGUGGUUACAAUAAAGUGAAUCAAAAAAAAUAUUUUCUACAUUAUGAUUUAAAGAGAGAAAGCACACCUUGUCUCUGAAGCAAGAAAGAAACAGUAGGAGCUUGGUGUUAAUUUCCUGCCUCCAUUACUGAUGUGUUUUUUCAGCUUGGAAGGUGGGCAUUGCUUUAAAGGGUUUUAUUGCAAAUGAUUCAUAAAACACAAGCAACUUACUGGGAUUACAUGUACUAACUACCAUUCAUCAUCUCAAAUACUAUUAACUUCUAAUGAAUGAGACAAAAUCUUGAAUAUUGAUAAAGGGCAUUUGAAAAUGCUGGUCUUACAACCUUCUUUACCAUCUGCUGAUGUGUGUGACAUUAAAUGUCACCAGAAUAGUAAGUAGUAAUUUAUAUUUGAAUGUGCGCUAAUUAGACAUUCAAAGAGAGACUCGAAUCAAUAUCUAUCAGUAAUUUAUAUUAUUUUUCUGGUCAACCAAUUAGGGUUGAUUAAAACAUGUAGAAACUAGAGCUACAGAAUCAAGGUUCAAGUUGUCCAUUUUUGAAAUGGUAAACCGUUGAUCUCCUUCAUGAUCAAGUUAAUAAUAGGUAAGUGUAAUGGCCAAACAGGUUCUUAACUUCUAGAAGCAUAAUCUUUAUAAAUUUCAAAUGGCAUAGGAAAGAGAAAAGACAAAAAAAGAAAAAGAAAAAUGACACCAAAAAGAUUUAAAAUGGAGAAAAAAAAAAGGCAGCAAAUUCAGUUACCUUAUUGAUAAUAAGCUCUGCAUGUUUCACAAGCAGCAAUAGUGUGUCACCUAAAGCAGUACCAGUAGUGGCAGUGCAGCUCAUUUUUAUCAUACAAUAUAUUUCAAGACAUAAAUCAAUUAUCCCAUGCUCAUGAAAGGUCAAAGACCACUUACCCAUCAUCACAUGCAAUCAGAAUUAAUACCUGAGAGUCAGCUAUUAAGCGAACCAUGGGCAGAACUAUUGGUCACAUCACUAAAUUCCGACGUUUUGUACUGAUAAGCCAAGAAAAGAGGAGUUAGUUAUUGAUCUCACGAGAUGAAGCCCACUUGUUAUUUGUUAGCUUUAUUGUUAUUGGUUUGUUAUUUUACCAACUGUAUUUUAGUUGUACCAGUUGUUAUUACAGCUUGUCUCCAUCUAUUGUAACAGAGUUCUUUGAACAAUAUAUAUAUUCAAUUUCUCUCUCCUGCUUCAAAAACAAAGAGAGCAAAGUUUCAGUUGCAUCUUUUCUAUCUUGGUAUCAGAGCUCACGUUCAAGGUGUGAAUUUUUCUUCUCUUUCUCACUUUCUCUCUGUUUCUCUCUAUCCAAACAUGGCCUCUACUUCUACACAAUCUUCUUCUUCCUCUAGUUCGAUUGGAUCUGGACAAAGCUCAACAAUGGCGUCCAUUCCUUCCUAUCAGAUGCUUAAUCACACUCUGGCUAUGAAACUUGAUUAUACGAAUUACAUCCUGUGGAGAUCUCAGAUUGAUAAUGUCGUUUUUGCUAAUGGCUUUGAGGAUUUCAUUGAUGGAACCUCUAUCUGUUCGGAGAAAGAUCUGAGUCCAGGAGUGAUCAAUCCAGCUUUUGUUGCUUGGAGGAGACAAGAUCGAACAAUCCUCAACUGGAUCUACUCAUCGCUCACACCAGGUAUCAUGGCACAGAUCAUAGGCCAUAAUACUUCUCACUCUGCUUGGAAUGCCUUGGAAAGUAUUUUUUUUCAUCUUCUUCAAGAGCUAGGAUAAUGCAACUCAAACUCGAAUUACAAACCACAAAGAAAGGGUCAAUGUUGAUGAUAGACUACAUAAUGAAGAUCAAAGGAGCUGCUGAUAAUCUAGCUGCUAUUGGAGAACCUAUCUCAGAACAAGAUCAGGUUAUGAAUCUUCUUGGAGGUUUUGGAUCCGACUACAAUCCUGUUGUUACUGCUAUCAACAUUAGAGAUGAUAAGAUCUCUCUUGCAGCUAUACAUAGUAUGCUAUUAGCCUUUGAGCAUUGUCUUGAGCAACAAAGCUUGAUUGAACAAAUGUUUGCCAAUUAUGUCUCUUCCUCUAAUAACAGAGGUGGUGGAAGGAAGUUUAAUGGAGGUCGUGGACAAGGCUACGCUCCAAAUAACAAUAAUUACACCUACAGAGGUCGUGGAUGUGGAGGUAGAAAUGGACAAGGUGGAAGACAAAAUUCUAGUCCAAGUGAGAAACCUCAAUGUCAGUUAUGUGGUAAGUUUGGCCAUACUGCUCAGAUCUGUUAUCACAGGUUUGAUAUCUCUUUUCAAGGUGGUCAGAUUACUAUUUCUCUUUCUUUGAAUAAUGGGAAUCAAAACAAUAUACCUACUGUGGUUGCUUCUUCUUCUAAUAGUCUUGCAGAUGAGAGUUGGUAUUUGGAUUCUGGAGCAAGUCACCAUCUGACUUAGAGCCCGUUUGGCAGUGAUUUUUAAAAGUGUUUCUACCCUUAAAAACACUUUUAAGUGUUUUUGAGAUGAAAAUAAAGUGUUUGGCAAAUUUUAAAAAACACUUUUGAAAAUCUGGAAAAAACACUUGAAGUGAUUUUUAGAGAAUCACUUGACAGGUGUUUUUUUAAAAAAAACACUUCAAUUUUUUUGAAAUAUUCCAAAAAUGCCCCCAGUGAUAAAUCAAUUAGAAAAAUCUUUUUUUUUUAUAGAAAUUAAUAGGUGGUCAUAUAUUGUUUUACUUUUAAAAUUAUCUUUUAUUCAAUGUUCUUUUUUUUUUAUUAUUGAUUUAGAUGUUUUUUGUAAAUAUUUUUUAAAAUUUUAGUAUAGUGAUAAAAAAAUUAUUAUUUUUAAUUAGAAAAGUCUUUUUUUUUUUUAGAAAUUAAUAGGUAAUCAUAUAUUGUUUUUAUUUUAAAAUUAUCUUUUAUUCAAUGUUAUUUUUUUAGUGAUUUAGAUGUUUUUUCAUUAAUAAAAAGUUUUUUUUGUUUAUCAUACCAUUUUUUUAAUUAAAAUUGUAUGUCCUUUUUGGUAAUUUAUUAAUAUUAAAAGUGUUUUUAUAUUUAUACAAUAUAUUAUCAAAAACACUUUAGAAUCAUUUUUUCUAAUUAUCAUAAAAGUGUUUUUCACAGAAACACUAUAGCAGAAAACACUUCAAAUAAAAACACUUCCACUAGAAUCACUACCAAACGGGCUCUUAGAAUUUGGGAAAUCUAACCAAUACUUCACCAUACACGGGAACAGAUAGAGUCACUAUUGGUAAUGGUAAGCAUCUCUCUAUCUCCAAUAUUGGCUCUAAACAACUUCAUUCUCAUACACAUUCUUUUCAACUCAAGAAGGUGUUUCAUGUUCCCUUUAUCUUAGCUAAUUUGAUUAGUGUGGCUAAGUUCUGCUCAGAUAACAAUGCCUUGAUUGAGUUUCAUUCUAAUGUUUUCUUUGUGAAGGAUCGACAUACGAAGAUGGUUCUUGCUCAAGGCAAGCUUGAACAUGGGCUUUACAAGUUUCCUGUGUUCAACAACAAGAAACCUUAUAGUUGUAUUAAUAAUGCUUCUGCUUUUCAUUCCCAUUUUUCUAGUACUGUUGAAAAUAAAGCAGAGUUAUGGCACAAUAGACUAGGCCAUGCUGCUUCUGACAUUGUUUCAAAAGUCAUGAAUACUUGUAAUGUUGCUUCUGGGAAAUAUAAAUCUACUGUUUGUUCUGAUUGUUAGUUAGCUAAAAGUCAUAGACUACCCACUCACCUCUCAAAUUUUCGUGCAUCUAAACCUUUAGAACUUGUUUAUACUGAUAUUUGGGGACCUGCCUCUGUUAAACCUACAUCUGGAGUGAAAUAUUUCAUUCUUUUUAUAGAUGAUUAUUCCAGGUACACUUGGUUUUAUUCAUUACAAACAAAGGAUCAGGCCUUUCCCAUCUUUAAGCGAUUCAAGCUUCAAAUGGAGAAUCAGUUUGACACGAAAAUUAAGUGCUUACAGUUUGAUAAUGGUGGAGAAUUUCAAUCUUUUAUGUCUUUUCUUCAAGCAGUUGGUAUUGCCCAUCGAUUCUCCUGUCCAUACAACUCAACUCAACUCAAAAUGGUAAAGUUGAGUGGAAGCACAAACACGUAGUUGAGAUUGGGUUGGCUUUGCUAUCUCAUGCUUCCUUGCUAAUGAAGUACUGGCACUACGCUUUUCAAACAACAACUUUUCUUAUCAAUCAAAUGCUAAGCAAAGUUCUCGAGUAUGACUCUCCUUACUUCACUCUUUUUAGAAGGCAUCUUGAUUAUAAAUCUCUUUGUGUGUUUGGCUGUCUCUGUUAUCUUUUCAUUCGGCCAUACAACACUUAUAAAUUGCAGUACAAAUUUGUCCAAUGUCUUUUUCUUGGCUAUAGUUUGAAUCACAAGGGGUUUUUAUGUCUUGAUUAUGCAACUAGAAGAGUCUAUAUUACUCCCCACAUGGUCUUUGAUGAAUCAACUUUCCCACUUGCUCAGUCCAAGUCUUCCAUUUUGUCUAAUGAUACUUUAGCAGAAGGCUCUACUCCUGCCAUUAUAGCUCCUACUUUUUUUCCUACUUCAUGUCUUAUCCUAGAUUCAAAUAUCAGUCAUACUUCCAUAGAUUCUCAUUCUCUAUCCACAAGUGAAAGUCCUAUUCCUACAGACUCUUCUUCACCUCUGGACACAUCUAGUUUUUCUCCUGCUACAGAUUUGCCACCUGAAUCUGUUCCAGAACCUCAAGUCAUUGCUCCUGCUCUACGAAUGACAACAAGGUCUAUGAAGGUAUAACCAAGAAAAAGACCAUUCUUGAUCUCUCUGCCAUAAAGGUUUCAGAACCAUCUACUCUCAAACAGGCCUUCAAAGAUCCAAACUGGACUAAAGCUAUGGAAAUGGAGAUUGCUACUCUUCAUCGAAACCAUACUUGGGAUCUUGUUGAACAACCACCCGAUGUCAAUGUGAUUGGUUCUAAGUGGGUGUAUAAACUGAAACAUAAGCCAGAUGGGAGUAUAGAGAGGUAUACAGCCAGGCUUGUGGCAAAAGGAUAUAAUCAGACUCAUGAUCUGGACUAUUUUGAGACCUUUAGUCUAGUAGUUAAGGCUGCCACUAUUCGCAUCAUACUUACUGUUGCUCUCAGUUUUAAGUGGGAAAUUCGGCAGCUUGAUGUCCACAAUGCCUUCCUCAAUGGUGAGUUAGAAGAAUAAGUCUAUAUGUCUCAACCUCCUGGAUACUUCGACACUCAAUUCCUAAAUGGAGUGUGUAGAUUGAAGAAGCCUUUAUAUGGCUUGAAACAAGCCCCAUGAGCUUGGUUUCAAAGACUCAGCUCUGCUUUUCUUCAGUGGGGAUUCAGCUUGUCUCGGACUGAUAGUUCUAUGUUUCUACACUUUGGUCAGGCUACUACUUUGAUAGUUCUUGUCUAUGUUGAUGAUAUAAUCAUAACAGGCAGCUCCUCCACACAGAUUUUUUCUCUCAUAGCUAAACUUGAUUCAAUUUUUGCCUUACGAGACUUGGGUCAACUCUCAUUCUUUUUCGGUAUAGAGGUUUCUUACAAUGAAGGCUCUAUGAAUUUGAGCCAAACCAAAUGCAUUUCAGAUCUGCUUCAUAGAACUGAAAUGUUUGAUACCAAACCGGCAAAAACACCUGGUACUAUUAGGAAGAACUUGUCUAAAUUUGAUGGAGAUCCUAUGGUAGAUGUUACUCAUUAUCGAAGUGUAGUAGGGGCACUUCAGUACGUUACCUUGACAAGACCUGAUAUAGCCUUUGCUGUCAAUAAGGCAUGCCAAUUUAUGCAACAACCAACCACAACUCACUGGCUCUCAGUCAAACGAAUACUUCGGUAUCUAAGAGGAACAAUGCAAGAUGGGCUCUUGUUAAGUCCUUCAAGCAACUUGACAAUAGAGGGAUUCAUAGAUGUAGAUUGGGGUGCUCACCUUGAUGAUAAGCGCAACUCAAGUGGAUAUCCCGUUUAUCUAGGAGGUAACUUAGUCUCUUGGUCCUCUACCAAACAAAAAGUAGUGUCUCGUAGCAGUGCAGAGUCUGAGUAUCGUGGCCUUGUUUUCGCUACUGCUAAGAUUGUUUGGAUACAAGCCUUAUUUCAAGAGUUAUGUGUGCCAAUACCUGCAAUACCUCUACUUUGGUAUGAUAAUAUCAAUGCUUACCAUAUGGCAAAGAACCCUGUGUUUCAUGCUAGAACUAAACACAUAGAAAUAGACCUUCAUUUUAUACGAGAUCAAGUCAUGAGAGAAAAGAUACAACUGCACUUUGUUCCCACUGAAGAGUAGCCAGCAGAUUUAUUGACUAAGCAUCUCACAAGUUCAAGGUUCUUGUCCCUCAAAUCUCAGCUUUGUAUAGCUCUAAGACCCUUUCACUUGAGGGGGGAUGAUAAGCCAAGAAAAGAGGAGUUAGUUACUGAUCUCACGAGAUGAAGCCCACUUGUUAUUUGUUAGCUUUAUUGUUAUUGGUUUGUUAUUUUAUCAACUGUAUUUUAGUUGUACCAGCUGUUAUUACAACAUGUUUCCAUCUGUUGUAACAGAGUUCUUUGAACAAUAUAUAUAUUCAAUUUCUCUCUCUUACUUCAAAAACAAAGAGAGCAAAGUUUCAGUUUCAUCUUUUCUAUCUCGUACAAACAGGUGGAAUUUGGAAGCGCCUCCAAAAGAAAUCAAUCGAGGUUGAGAAAAAUUAAAGAAAAAAAGAAGAAAGAAAGAAAUACGACAGAUCAGGGAAAGGAUCAAAGAGCCUAAAACUCAGUUUUGAUUGUUCUACAUUUUCCGAUAAAUUGAUGAAGUGCAAGUCAAGUAAAGAGAACCAAACAAGUAGCGAAACUUAAAACUGAAAAACAUCCAAUUUUCAUUUCAUUUUCUUACAUUUUCUCAGAAACCAGAGGAGGUGAGCCACUCUGCAAUUCUUCCUUUUUUCAGUUCUCUUUAUUUUGAAUUAACGAAGCCGAAGCUAAGUAGAAAUCAAGAAAUAAGAAGCGAAAAGUCUUGAGAGUGAAAGUUCUUCGAUCUUGGCUCAAUUUUCCUCAUUUUUCUUGGCAACCAAACAGAGAAGAGACAUACUUGUUUCCACAAUCUAGAGCUUUCCACGGCUGGAGAAGACGACCACGGUAACAUUGACAUCGCAGAGAACAGAGAGCUGGCGAGGUUUCUUGAUCUAGCCAUUUCGCCUCUUGGAGAAGGUCACUUGGCGACUACUCGUCUUUGAUUCGCUUCAUCCCGACCAUAACUCUACUUCGAGCCAUAACUCAGAGAGAGAGAAAAGAAGACUUCCUACAAUUCCGAUCCCUCUUGCUCCGGUUAUGGGAUCCUUGCUCUUAACCCCCCUUUGAACAUGAGUGGAAACAAAGCUGUGGGCUGUGCAACGAGAAUUAAAUCAUCCUUCUAUUUUUUAUGUUCAGAAAAUAUAAAGCUAGAGAAAUAAAGUGAAAGAAAGUAAAAAAAAUAUAAUUAAAAUUCAUAAAUAAAUAUUUAAUAAUCUUAAUAACUUUUAAAUAAUAAGAAAAAUUUGUGAAGAAUAUUUUGAAAAGAAAAAAGUUUUCAAAAAGAACAUUUAGAAAAAAAAUAUUUAUUUUCCUUUUUAUAUAAAUAAAUAUAAAUGGAUUGAGAAGAAUUUAAAAUAAUUUUAAUGUAAAGUUAAUUUUAGAUCAUUUUAAUAAGUUGGUAUUAGAUUAAAGUAUUUUAUUUAAUUGAAUGUAUCCAAUUUAUAAUUUAUAGGUUUUCUACUAAUUUUAGAAAAUACAAAUCAUUGAGAAAAAAAUUUAUAUACUUUUACAAAAAUCUAAUUUUCAUAUUCUUACAUCACAUUUUAGGGUCGUAAAGAUAUUCUAGAAAAUAGAUCUUUUAUUGUAGUUUUAAAUUUUAGAAAUUAGUUUUGUAAGGUUUAAUUAUGAUUCAAUCACUUGAUCUCAAAGAAUAAAUAAUCAGGCAUGAUUAAGUAUUUUUUAAAUUCCACUAGCUAACGUGUCAAAAUCUUAUGGACACUGCAGCGAAUCGCAGUGCACCACCACGCAGAGGAUCCAGGUCCUUACCCAAACUUUUGAAUUAAUCUUACGUGUCGAAAUCUCAUGCACACUGUGGGAAAUUGCAGUGCACCGCAUCACAGAGGAUCCAGGCCCUCAUCCACACUUUUGAAUCCAAGCGUUUCCCGCGUCUAUAAAUAGCGAAGCAUGAACUUCUCAGAGCUCCGUUUGUGUUGUUUCUGAGGAGUGAGGAUUGAGAUUUGAAGAGGACAAAAUGGGGAAGCGAAUGAGAAGAGAGAAGUCCAUUUGCUGCUGCAACUCUCCUCUCGCUGGUUUCUCAUGGUGCUUGUACUCUCUUCAACUCUGCGAGUUUCUCUCUGAAAUCAGCUCGAAUUUCAUGAAAUUUUGAAUAUUUGGUUUGAAUUCAGCACAUUUAUCUGUAAAUCCAAACUCGAAUUUCCUGAAACUUUGAAUUUCGUAAAUAAUUUGAUGAAACUUCAUGAUAAUGUAAAAUAGUUCCAGGCAAUGAAUAUUUAGUUUGAAUUCUAUCAUAUUUGAUGUAGAAGAAGCUGUCUCUCUCUAUUCUUUCUCAAAAACUCUACCGAUUCCUCUUACAGAUCCACGGGAAUUUCAUGAAAAUUUGAAUGAUCAAUUUCAACCUUGAUACAUCUAUCAAUCGAACUCUCUUUCUGUAAUGUUUUCUUUGGAAAACAAUGCCACUCCAAAUAUGAUUUGAAGUUUGCUCGAGUUUUCAUGAAUAAGCAUAAUCAGAAAAAUGUAAACUAUUACCAGAAACUCUCUCUCCUUCAAGUUUGGUACAUUUAUGGACAACUAUCUCUCACUUCCGAUGCAAUUUGAUGCAAAAAAUCAAUGUGAAUAUGGAUAUCAUUUGAUAUUGUCUUGAACUGUUUUACAUUAUCAUAAUCAGAAGAAUAUGGAAGACUAAAGUCGAAUUUGGAUUUCCUAUACUUAUCCAUUAAUCUUAAUACAGAGAUAAUAUUAAUCUUCACUCAUUAGCACAAUCAGAAGAAUUGUCGAACACUACCAGCAGUUCUCUCUCCCUUGCUUGAGAACUCUAUGAAUUUCUCUGUCAAAUUGCUUGGAUUUUCAUGAAAUCUUGAAUGUUUAUUUUGAAUGCUGUACAUUUCAAAUAAUAAAGUUUAUACUAAUGAAAACAUUAUUUUUUUUCCUUUUUAAAAAAAAAUAUAUAUAUUUCACAGCCAUUGAAAGAAAUGAAUUUCUUUUCUGAUUUGGAUCUCUAUACCCUUUACUGUUUUAAUUUUUAUAAAAAUUAAUACUAUAUGAGUCCUAAAUUUAUUAAUACUCUAUGAGUCCUAAAUUUAUCCUUCUCUCAUCCAGAUUCCUUGCAACAAUACUGGUCAAAUGUUUCUUUUUUAUUUUGACCUUUUUAUGUGUAUUGCUUUGUAUUGCAUGCAAAAAGGUAUGAAGAAGACAUAUGGACAGAGAUUGCAAAGCACCUGGAUGGUAAAUCUCUGGUGAUGCUGGGAACAACAAAUAAGUGGUUCCACUGUCUGAUCAUGGAGGACAGUAUAUGGAAGUUUGCUUGUCUGCGUGAUCUCCAGCUACCAGAACCACAACACACAUUCCUCAAUUGGAUCAAGCUUUAUGCUUCUGCUUUCGGUAAUGAGCAGGGUGUUAAAUUUUCUCAAUAUUUCAGUUAUGUUAUGGUUCUUAUAGUGGAUUAGUAUCACCAUCUGCUUAAUGACUGCCUUGCAGAUGGAAGUCACUCUUUCAUGUUCCGUCAGCGGGAGAAACAUAUUGGUAAUUGCCCUUUCCUUUUUACUGUUAUCUGGAUUUUUUUGCCUUAGUUGCAAGAGACACCAAUUAGUUCUCAUGGUUGAAGCGGCUGCUUCCAUAGUCUUUGAAGACUGUUCUUAUGAACAAUUUUCAGUUAUUAAAUAACAGUGCACAUUGUUUAGGGAGGAGGCUAAUUCGAUGCAGUUAAGGUGACAAAUUGUUUGGAAAGCACAGACAAUAAUUGUAUACCAUCAAAGUAUUGUAACUUUUCUUACUGACGAGUCUUAAAAGAGUGAUGGAACUCAUUGUGCCACAUUAUGCCACUGCUUGUGCUUUAGCAGAGUAGAAAGGAUCAAUCCCAUGAGUCUCAAAAGAUUAGAUUAUUAUCUAGUUUUGGGUUCUGCCCUUGGAUAGGACUCAGGACGCAUCAAUUUUAAGUUUACCCUAUUUUUCAUCUACUUUUUUCUUAACAGGGAUAGACAAUUUGUAAAUUUUUUUCUCCUUAUCAUCAUUCUCACCAAACAUCAUGAAAUGCAGUUUUCAAAAUAUGAAUUCAAAGUCUAUCUCUAGAUUCAUAAUUUUUCACGCAUUUCUUUUUUUUUUUUUUCUUUUAAUGAAACCAAAUAGAUUGGAUGCGAAUCGAAUCCAAUUGCGCUCCUAGCUGAGAAGCUGAGUUGCCCCUUGAAAAUCCCACAAGGUGAAAACUUAGGGAAAACAUUGGAGUCAUGCGGCUUCUGCAUAUUGAACAAUAUCAAAACGGGGAUCUGGAUAGCUGGUACUUCUAAGCAUUGAAGGAUGUUGUGUUCAAUUACUCCGACUAGUGUCACUCCAGCUAAUUACAUAUUUUUCCUGGAUUUGUCUUUUCAGAUCUACAACUUGUUAGAUGCCCUGUCUGUGACCUCAACACAUGUGAUGGUAAGCAAGAACCCAUCUAUCAAUAAAUUUGAACUAUUAAAGAGACAUUUAUGUUAAUGCUGGUUGAAGAGUUUGAUUGUAACUUGACACACACUGGGGCUAUUUGAGCUAGUUAGCCUAAUAUAGACAAAAGGCCAAACUUUACAGAAUGUGGAACACUUCCCAUUUUUGCUGAAGUAGUUCAAGGGGUAGGCUGUUAAUAUGCUACGGGCUAGGCAUAGAGAUUCUCUAAGGAACAGAUCUUGCAGCUUGCUCUGUUGUAUUCAUUGGAGGAUCAUGCUUGGCAUUUUAUACGGAAGUGAUUGAUCCACAUUGUUUUGCUUUGUUAGUAAAACCAAACUGUAAAUUCUGAAGCUAGAGGGCAACCAGGAAUGCACCCUAAUUAGUUAUUUCUUGGUUUACAUGAGGCCAAAUUCAUUAGCCUUCCAACAAGUAGGAAACUUCACAGAGCAUGUUUUUUUGGUAUUUUUGAUUAGACAACCGUAUAUUCCACUUAAACUAGUCAUUACAGAGCAUGUUUUGGUAUUGUACUUUGGCGCACUAUUUACUGUCAUUAAAUUAUACAUAACUUUCUUUCCCUAUCAUAAAAAAAUAAAAUAAAAAAGAAAGAGAAACACUUGUUCUAUUUCUUUGUAAAUGCAAAAUACAGCAGAUGUAUAUGCAACAAUCACGAAAGGAACUACUGUUUUUUUUUUUUGGGUUCUAAAUUGGUCUUUUAUCUAAUGCUUCAUUCAACGGUCAAACCUUAAAAAUAAAUAUUCUUCUCUCUUUAAAAUCCCUUCAGAGUUUAAACAAACUAAAUACAUUAAAUAAAAUAAGAAAUGGAAGAAAAAUUGAAUUUUUAAUAUUUAACUGUUAAAUUUAAAUAAUUAAAUAAUUUUUUACUAAAAUUAAUUAAAACUAUUGGAUAAUAAAAUAAAGUCUAUUAAAAUUAUAUUAGAAAAUAUUUCCAAAACUUGUUUCUAUAAUAUAUCAAAUUCAUAAAACUUUAAAAUAAUAAUGAUGCCAAAUAUUGAAAUAUAAAUGGAAUAAUUUUAAUUAAAUACAAAUUUUGCUAAAAGGAUUUGUUUGAAUCCAUUUUAUUUUGAAAAAAAAAAAGUAUGUUUUGGGUAGAUCCCGUCAAAAACCCAAAUCCCGUCAAAAACGGUCCUCUUAUUUUCCCAUAUAUUCCCGGAAUCCCAAGAAUACGGUGAAACCUAACUCUAACCUCUUCUUGUUACAACUGGACGACGCAGAUCCAAGGGUGUGGGAUACCCAUCAUCAUCGGCUUCUUUACAUGUGCUUCAGUGGCACUGCACUUUCCAAGCUCCUUCCUUUCCAUCUCCCCUCGUCCUCUCUCUCUCUCUCUCUCUCUCUCUGAAUUGUGAUGGAGCAGCAGCACCGCCAGCAUUCUCAGUUUAAACCUUCUCGUCGAAGGACAACUGACUCUGCCUUUUUUGUUUUUUAUUUUUCUUUGCUCGUCCACAGGUAUGCUUUUGUUGCCUUUUGUCUUUUACCAUAGUAUCAAACAUGUCCAAAUCUGGGGUUCCCAUUUUGAUUUCUAGUUUUCUUCAUUUCUUCAAGCUAUUUGUGCUGUUUUCUUUUAGGGUUUUUUAUUUUUUUAUUUUUUUAUUUUAUGAAUUUAUGUUUUUUUUUGGUAUGUGUAUUUUUCUUCCAUUGCUGUGGAAAUCACAAUAUUGAGUUUUUGGUAUUAGGAUUUGGAUGUCAAAAUCACGAGAUUUUGGUGUUUGAUUAGGGUUAGGGUUUUUUAUGUUCAUGCCUAUUUUAGCACUUGUAUACGUAUGUUUAGAGAAUGUUGUUUAUUUAUGUAUUUUUCUGUACAUUUUUGUUAAGAAAUUCUUCUUUAUAUUGCGAUUCCUAUCGAAAUUUAAGGAAAAUAAAUUUUCAAUUUUACAGUUUCAUGCAUAAAUACUUGAAUUUGGUCACAUGGAGAUUGAGAUGGUAAAUAUGUAGUAUUUACAUUGAUGAAUCACAUGGAGAUUGUUUGAUUUUUACUUCUGUUUGUCUAAAUAGUUUAAGAAGACAUUUCCUUUUCAUAGCUUCUUCUUAUAUAAGCCCUUUGCUCAGCAUGAUCAGAAUUUAGCCUCUCUUUAUAUAGAUGUUGCCCUUAAAAUAUAUAUGUGCACUGCCACUAUAACCGUCGUGGUUUGGAUUGAUUCAGGAUUUGUUUUCUUCUUUCAGGGACUUGCCUAACCACAGAGGACUGCCUCUUUAAUAAAAAUAGGAACCCACAUUUGACUAAGGAGGAAAUAGAGGCUGAGCUUAAGUCCUAUCUUGGAGUCAAGAAAGUUAUUUGGUUGCCUCGCUGAUUAUUUGGUAAAUAUUUCUCCUUUGAUUGUUAAUUUCUGCCUUAGGUUUAGAACUAGUUGUAAUGAAGCACCCCACCCUAAAUAGGUCAUUCUUUUUUCUUAUAUGAAGGUCUACAUGACCCUUGUAUUUUGCUGGCAUGUUCAUGUUGAUUCAUACAAGACCACAGUCAUAGACCUUUGUUUGUCUUCCAUUUUUUAAAUAUAUUAUUAGCUUUCCGCCAAAUUGGUCUCAUGAACUCUAAUGAUAGAAAUGGAACUCUCCAUUUGAAGCUCUGAAUUCAUCUUACAAUUAUAGCUGGUUUUCUCAGUGCUUUGCAAUUAAUACCUUUUGCUAAUCUUUGUUCAACUUCUAGCAAGUAAAAUCCAAAAUUCGGUAGGGCAGUGAAGAAUUGACCACGCAAAAUUGUUUCAUUUCCUGAAAUGUAAUUAAAGUUCCAUAAUUUAACUAGUUUUUUACCUUUCAUAUUGAUCCUUUUUCUUUUCUUCUUUGUUUGGUUUUGAUUUCCUUCAUUAUGGAUCUUGUACUGCUGAAAUGGUAUUCUUCUGGGGCCACACACAUAUCAUUCAUGAGCAAUGCUUUUUUUGCUCAUAUUCUUUGAGCUUAUCACUUUUACCACUGUUCGUAAUUGGACAUCUGGUAGCCUUGCUGUAUGUGAGGCUGACCCAUAAUAACCAAACAAAACUGGUGGGCAUACAUUAUUUUUGCAUUUCAAAAUUGUAAAGAGUCAAGCUCUAGAACUAUUCAUUUUUGCCACAUUUUGGUUCUAUACAACUGCCUUCAUGGGCUUUGGUUCGGAAUGACAUUAUGGGAAGCAUCCGUGGUUUUAGACUAACUACUCAAACAUAGUACUUACUAAGAUACCAUUGCUUGAAAAACUUCACAUUCAUAUUUUCUAGAAAAUCAUUUCCUGUUUUUGAGGAUAAUGGAUCUUCGAAGCUGGUAUGGAGGAUUUAAUGUCAUUGGUCUGAAAAAAUUGUUCUCAUUAAGGGUUUUGUUUGGAUUUUAGAACCAGUACAGCUGGUGGGCACACCGUGAGGGAUUUAUAUGCUGGUGUAGUUAGCUUACAGGUAACACCAUGACCAAAAGGAAUUUUGUUUGAAAAUAUUGACAAGAGAAGCUGGCUUUUUGAGUCACAGAUGCUUCAAAUAUGAGAAAUGCAAAAAAAAAAAAAAUUUCGCUUGGUUUAUGGCAUUUUUCUAGUCUUAUUUGCAGAAAGUCAUCUUCUCUUUAAUAUUUUUUGUAAUCUUAGUCUUUGGGAUUUUUCUAAUUUUGAUGUUAUAAUCACCCAGAGGAGCACGUAAGUGAAGAAAUUUUUUUAAAUCGUCCAACUGCUGGCACACUCUUCAUGGAGGGACAGAUGCAAGCAAGGGAUCAAGAUAACAGUGGGGAAAUGCAUGACUUCAAUUUAACUACUAUAUUGACUGCUAUGAACCGCUUCUCUGAUGCCAAUAAGCUUGGAGAGGGAGGUUCUGGGCCUGUUUACAAGGUCAAGAAAGAACUUAAUUUCCUUAGAGAAAAAGGGUUCUAAGAGAUGCUACACGAUAUAUGCACAUUAAACUCUGUGAAUCUUACUUUCAUGACAUACAACAAUGCUUGGCCACUACUUGUUUGAUCGAGUUUGAAAUGCCUUCAGGUUAAGCUGCAUAAUGGGAAGAGAUAGCGGUUAAAAGGCUUUCGAGGAAAUCAGGGCAAGGUCUUGAAGGGUUCAAGAAUGAAGUUAUGUUAAUUGUUAAACUUCAACACAAGAAUCUUGUGAGGCUGCUGGGUUGCUGCAUAGGGAGAGAGGAAAAGCUCCUUGUCUAUGAGGACAUGGCCAACACUAGUCUUGAUGCCUUUCUAUUUGGUUUGCUCUCUCUUUCUCUUCUUCUCUCUCUCUCUCUCCCACACACAUGUAGCGUCAUCUUCUUAAUACUUUGCUCUUCCAGUAUCAUGAAAAACCUUCACAAGAAUGGUCUAAACCUCAAAAUUAUUAUGAGAUUUUCCCCUGAAUUUUUUUUUCUUAUGUUCUUACAAAAAGCAGGCAACUAGACUGGGCCAAGCUUGCUGCCAUUGUUGGGGGAAUAACAAGAGGGAUUCUGUAUCUGCAUGACGACUCUCGGCUCAAAAUCAUCCAUAGGGAUUUGAAAGCAAGCAACAUUUUGUUGGAUGAAGAGAUGAACCCAAGGAUCUGAGACUUUGGAACUGCUAGGAUUUUUGGUAGUAAUCAGCUUGAUGCUAACACAAACAAAGUUGGUGGUACAUUGUAAGUCAUCUCCUUCUCUUGCCAUGCUGUGUUUAACUGUUAAGCCCAAAAGAAAAAAGGAAAAACUGCACAUACAUAUUCUCUUUCUAUUAAAAAAAUAUUCCUUAUUCUAUAAUAAUAAAGAUAUUCUUUAUCAUCUAACUUGUCUAGCAUGAGACACGCGCAAUCUUAAGUCCAAGAAAGUACUACUAUUCCUAUCAAUCAAACAUCUCUCUACUAGUUUUAUGUGAAAAUAGCCGUUUUAUAGAAAAAUAUAUAUAUAAAGUUUAGUCCCUUUGUAAAACUUAUGGUCAAACUAGUCUCUUUAUUACCAAGUCUAUGUCAUAAUUUUUUUUCUUUUCAAAAUUUAAGUUAAUUGAAACUACAAUUAACAAUUGAGAUUUUAUUUUUGAACCAAAACUUUAAUUACUAAUUGAACUUCAUUAAUUUUUUUUACUUUAAAAUUUAAUUAAAAAAAUAUUAAAUUAUGUUGGAAUUAAAAAUAUAUAAUUUAAUAAUAAUAAAUUUAUAUAUUUAAAUUUAAUGAUCUAAUAUUAUUUUAAUAAAGAUAAAUUGAUAAAUAUAAUAAUAAAUGAAUAUUUUAUUUAUUAAUAAAUUAAUAAUCUUAAAAUAAUAAAAUUAUAUGAUACAUAUAUAAGAUAUAAAAUUAUAUAAUUUAUUAAUUUAAGAUAUUUAAUUUAUUUUGUUUUUAAGAUAUAAAAGUAUAUGUACUUGCUACAACUAGAAAGGGGUUUUUGGUUUUUUUUUUCAUUAUCUAAAUGUUUAGUGGAUAUUUUUUUGUAACUUUGAUGAAACUAUUGAAAAUGAUAUUUUAUAGUAGACUUUUUCUAAGUAAUUUCAUUAACUAAUUUCAAAACGUAUCUUCAAGGCAUAUAUGUUAUGUGUACAAAUAAUAGUAUUUUUUUUUUUAUGUAAAAUUAUAAACAAAUGUUUUAAAAUAAUAAAAAAAUCUAUAUAUGGAAACUUAAGAAUAUACUAUUAUUUAAAUAAAGAUAAAUUUGUCAAAAUACAAAUAAAUUAAUAUCUUAAAAAUAUAAUAAAUUAAAUAACUUAAAUUAAUAAAUUAUAUAAUUUUAUAUCUUAUUUAUGUAUCAUAUAAUUUUAUUAUUUUAAGAUUAUUAAUUUAAUAAUAAAUAAAAUAUUUAUUUAUUAUUAUAUUUAUCAAUUUAUCUUUAUUGAAAUAAUAUUAGAUCUUUAAAUUUGAACAUAUAAAUUUUUUUAUCGUUAAAUUAUACAUUUUUAAUUUCAACAAUAACUUGUAAUUUAAUAUAUUUAUUAGACCACAAAAUUUGUCCCAAUUUUAUCUUUACAUUAAUUUUGAGUCCAGUUUUGAAUUCCAAUUACAUAUAUUUUUUGGUCAACUUACCAUUUAAUAGCUUUUAUUAUUUUGUAUAUCAUUUUAUUUUAUUUUAUUACUAAUACUUUUAUUUUAUUAUUAUUAUUACUAUUAUUUUAUUAUUAUUAUUAUUAUUAUUAUAUCUUUUUUAUUUUAUUUUUUCUCUUUCUUUUCUCUCUCCUCCCUCCUCUCUCUUUCCUACCCCAACCACCCCACCCUCUUCUUCUCUCUCUUCCCAUUCUUCCCACACGGCUGCCCCCCUUUCCCCCCAUUUUUGUUUUUCUCCCCAUUUUGUUCCCUGUCUUUUCCUCCCAAUUCCCAAGAUUUUCCCCCCAUUUUUUUUCCUCUUCUCUUCUCUAUCCUUUUUCCUCUUUUUCCCUCAUCGAAACACGUCGGACCCUCCAACUCUGAUUUUUUUGAUUUAUUUUUUUCCCUUUUUGGCCGCAACCGGCCAUUGAAGAGUUUUGGCGGGGGGUGUUUUUUUCUCUUUUUUUUUGCUGCUAAGACGGGGAAUGGACCCGUUUUUUUUUUUUUUUUUUCUUUUCUUCCUCCAUUCCUCUUCUUCUUCCCACAGCCAACCCCCAUUUUUUUUCUUCCCUUUCUCCAUUUUUUUUUUCUUUUUUUAGUUUUUCUCCUCCUGUUUUCCCAAGAGAGUCGACCCCCAUUUUUAUUUUAUUUUUUUAUUUUUUCCUUUUUCUUCUUCCCCCAAAAGCACCCAACAACCAGCUCCCCCAUUCCUCUUCCAUUUUUAUUUUUUAUUUUAUUAUUUUUAUUUCAAUUUAUUUUAUUUUAUUUUAUUUGUGAUUCCUAAAAAAAAUCAUCCACUACUGCUGACAAGACCGUCGACGAGCCACCGUCGGUCGACGACCCCUUUCCCAUCUCAUCUGUUCCCGUUAUUAUUAUUAUUAUUAUUAUUAUUAUUAUUAUUAUUAUUAUUAUUGUUAUUAUUAUUAUUGUUAUUGUUAUUAUUAUUAUUGUUAUUGUUAUUGUUGUUAUUGUUAUUGUUGUUAUUUUAAUUUAUUUUAGUAGUAAUUUUUGUUUAUGAAAUUUGGAUUGUUGAAUUAAUAUGAAAUUUGGGGUUAAUUUGUUGUUGGUAGAUUAAUACAUAAUUUGAUUUAAUUUAUUGUUAGUGAAUUAAUUUGAAAUUUGUUAAUUUGGGUUUGUGGGUAUAUUGUAUUGGGUGAUUAAUUUGAGGAUAUUUAGAUUAUAUCAAUUGCAUAUUGUUUAUUUGGACUUGGGCCUAUUGUUAAAUUGUUAUUUGUUUGGGCUUAUUGAAUUGGGCUUGAAAUAUUGUUUCUCUUGACCAUGUGUUUUUUUUUAUGUGGGCUUGUUAAUUGAUGUGAAUUUUGGGGUACAUAAUGUGGAUGAGAUUUGUUGGAUUAUUUGAAUAUUUGAUAUGAGUUUGACCAAUUUAAAUUAUUUAAUUUGGACAUAGGACAAUUGUGGUGUAUAUUAAACUAGGCUUAGAUUAUAAAAUAUUAAGUUUAGGUCUAGUAGAAUUUAUUUUAAUUUAUCCAAUUUUAGGUUUGGUUGAUUGUAUUUGUAUUUUUGGUUAUUAAUUUGGAUGUUCUGGGUUAAGACCUAUAGUAAUUUGGGCUCAUUUUAAAUUGACAAAAUUUAUGGGACUAAUUUGAAAUUGGGAUUUGGGUUUCAAUAUUUGUUUGAGAUUUUAUACAUCUCUGGAUAUUUACAUUUGCGCUGUUUUUGUUUUUGCAUGAACUCAUUCUGCAAUCUUGUUGGCUUGAGUACGAAUUGAUGACACGUGAAGUUUGUUGUAAGUUUAUUUGGGUACAUAUUUUAUUUACCACUUUUAUGUGGUUUUAUUUUAAUUAAAUCUUGUAAAUAUUUGUUCGUUUAUAUUUAUUGAGUGUAUACAAAAUUGAACAUCAAACAAAUUAAAAUUUUUGUUUAAAUGAGAGGAAGAAUUCAGUAAAUAUGUUCUAAUAAAAUACUAAUUUCAAAAUAUCCUUUUUAAUAAAAGAAAGUUUUUUUAUUUUUAUUUUUUAUUUUUAUUUAUUUAUUAAUUUUUUUUUAUCUAUUUAUGAAAAUUCAAAAAAAUGCAUUUAGAAAAUCCAAAAAAAAAAAAUUGUUUUUAAUAGAAUUCGAAAAAUUGUUUUUAAUGACAUUGUUCAAAAAUUUAUUUGUUUAAUAAAAAUUGCCCAAAAAUUAUUUUGUAAAUAAAGUUGUCCCAAAACUAAAUUUUUAGUAAAAUUGUCUAAAAAUAUUUUUUUAAACGAAUUCUUUUUCUUCCUUAAUUAAAACGAAAUUAAAAGUGUUUUUCAAAAAUAGAGAAUUUAAAUAUUUGUUUUUCCUUUUAAUUAAAAUUUCUCUUGCAAACAAAGUUGUGUCAUUUUAAAUAAUUUAUAAAAAUCACUCUUUUAAAUGAAAAUGAAUUUAAAUACUUUUGUAAAUAAAAUUGUAAAAAUUUAUUAUUUUCUAGUAAAAGCAAGUAAAAAUAAUUUUUGUACUCAAAUUGAAAUUUUGUAAUAAAUUCUUUUAAUACAAUAAGUGUAAAUAGUUUUUUUGAAAAUUGAAUAUAAUUGAAAUUGAGAAAAUAAAUUGAUUUUUUUUAUAAGUAAAUAAAUGGAAAUCACUAAUUCAAGAUCAUUUUUAAUAGAAUCCUUUGAAAUUUCUUUAAUUUUUUUUUAAAUAUCUUUUAUUUAUUUAAUUCAAUAAAUCAUUUUGCAUAAUCCUCUUAUUAUUUAUUUUGUGUAUUUUUGGAAUUAGAUUUUAUCAUCGUUUUUGUGCAUAUUAAUUUUCACCAUGACUUGUAUAUUGAUUAUUUUUCUUGGUAUCUAUAAUUAAUUAAUUAAUUGUCACAAUUUCCUCAAUUUGUUUAGUAGAAGCCAUACGUAUACGGGCUUAGAGGGGUGCUACGGCUUACCACCGUACCUUCCCAAUGAGUAAUCUAACCCUCGGACCCAGAUUCAGUUUUUCACAGACUCGUUUUUUCCUUCAGGAGUCACACUUAGGGUUUUUCUUUCUUAUUUUGUUUUUCCCUUUAAAAAUAAAACAAAAAUAAGUGGCGACUCAAAGUCUUUUUCUAAAAAUCAAAUUUUCACCAAAUAAAAAGGGAGUUUCGCCAUCGAGUGGGAACACAUCGAGAAAAUGCAGGGUCCACAAAAUGGCGACUCCACUGGGGAUUUUUAGAGGGUCAAACUUGAACUUGAGUUGAGGGGAAUGUGGCGUUUGAUCGGUUAAUUAAUGGAUACCCCUCUCUAUGUGUCUUGGUAUGAUUGGUUGUUGAUUACACAUUGAGAGCUUUGAUAUGUUUGUCUGCAAUAUAUGUUUGGUUGUUAUGUUCAUUUGUGAUGUUGAUAUGUUGAUUACAUCGAUUGAUUUUCUUACCGACUUUAGCAUAGUGACUCUUCUUGUUGUAUGUUUAUCUUGCUUUUCUAGACAUGUAUAUUCUCAUUUUUAUAUCUUAUUCAUCUUGGCAUGAUUGAUUCUAUUUGUUAUAUAUUAUCUUGUUUAUCUUGACAUAUUGUCUAUUCUUGUUAUAUUCCUAUCUUGCUUAUCAUAUUCUUGCCUAGCUUGUGUGUAGAUAUGAGUUAUAUACCUGUUAUUUGCAUGACUGCUUUGGUGUAUGACUGCUAUUCUUUUAUGUGAUGCAUGUAUUGCUUGUCUGUGUGGGACACACAUCUAUCCCCUUACCUUCAACUCCCUAGACUCGGUCGACCUUGUUUCACUUGAUCUCAUAUUCGAUAUGAGACUUGUUACUUUGUUUGCUCUUCGACCGAGUUAGGGGUUAGGAGUAGGGUCUAGCGACGGGCUAUACCGAUGUUUGGGAGCAUUCUGGAGGAAAACGACACUUUGAUGUCGAUUAGAGUCUGAUCAUUGAAGACCUGUAUAGCCUGAAGCUAGGUUUCAUGGAUAUUUGUGUAAUCAGUGUGUUUCUUUUUCUAUUUUAGCUUUGUAGGGUUUUUCGGAUGCGCCCGCACCAUCACUGCGCACUCUAGCUGACCAUUGAGAGUCGAGAGUUUUGAGAGGUUUCACCAUAGGAAACCCCCUGGGAUGUCGAGGUAGUGCAUGUGUAGAGGUGAUGACCACCUUGCAUGGAAGCACCCCGCCUCUAAGGAGGCGUGCAGAGGGUUGCGUACCGCUGGAGGGUAUGAUCGCUUCUACUAAGGGAUCUUUUAAAGUCCACCUUUAUCCUUUUAGAGCCACCUUGACCUCAUAGGUUGAGCCGUAGAUCCUUCAAUUAGGACUCCCUCCCUACACGUGGGUGCAUCUGAAGGCCUUCAGAGCCUCUUUGAUCAUAGUUGGGAUUCAGUAUUCCCUCUAUUUAGUGUCUAGUGAGAGUGCACUGAGAUUAGUACGAGUUUGGGUACGGUCAGACGGUCCGUCUUUGUUUUUGAUGCCUUGCUCAUUCCAAUUCAGACUAGCAUUUCUUCCACGUUUUCCCUGUGCCUACCAUAUCUCAUGUUUCAUGCUCUUCAGGAUUGUUUCUUCAUUCUCAGUGUGGAUUUACCAUCUUGGGUUAGAGUACAGGGGAGCUUAGUUCGAUUUUUCGAGAGGUCAAGCAUAGAUCAGUAGACUGUCACAAUUGGCUAGUUCACAGACGCCAUGGAUUCUAUUAAGGUAUCUUGUGCUUCAUGCUCUUCAGGAUUGGUUUUUCAUUCUCAGUGUGGAUUUGUCAUCUUGGGUCAGAGUAGAGGGGAUAUUAGUUCGCUUUUCCGAGAGAUCAGACAUGGAUCAGUCGGUUGUCACAGUUGGCUAGUUCAUAGACGCCAUGGAUUCUAUUAAGGUAUCUUGUGCUUCAUGCUCUUCAGGAUUGGUUUUUCAUUCUCUGUGUGGAUUUGUCAUCUUGGGUCAGAGUAGAGGGGAUAUUAGUUCGCUUUUCCGAGAGAUCAGACAUGGAUCAGCCGGUUGUCACAGUUGGCUAGUUCACAGACGCCAUGGAUUCUAUUAAGGUAUCUUGUGCUUCAUGCUCUUCAGGAUUGGUUUUUCAUUCUCUGUGUGGAUUUGUCAUCUUGGGUCAGAGUAGAGGGGAUAUUAGUUCGCUUUUCCGAGAGAUCAGACAUGGAUCAGCCGGUUGUCACAGUUGGCUAGUUCACAGACGCCAUGGAUUCUAUUAAGGUAUCUUGUGCUUCAUGCUCUUCAGGAUUGGUUUUUCAUUCUCUGUGUGGAUUUGUCAUCUUGGGUCAGAGUAGAGGGGAUAUUAGUUCGCUUUUCCGAGAGAUCAGACAUGGAUCAGCGGGUUGUCACAUUGAUCAGUUCACGGCCGCCAUGGCUUCUAUUUAGGAGGCCUUGGCCAGUCUCAGGCAGGAGAUAGACAAUCAGCAGAGUAGACAGUCCUUGAGGAUACUCAUUCAUGUAUGGAUCGUAUUGAGUAGCGUAUCAAGUAGUUGAGAGUAUCUGACAGUUCAUCGACUUGGGAUGAUCUUGAUAGUAUACCAGUAGCCAGUCUACCAGCUAAGUUCAGGAUGCCUGACAUUGAGAGGUACACGGGCGUUGGUUGUCCAUGUAUUCAUCUUCGACUCUACAAUACUGUGAUGAGGGUCCAUAGGUUAUACGAGUCACAGAUGAUCACCAUGUUUCUUCUAUCUUUGAGUGGCGCAACCCAGCAUUAGUUCGCAUCUUUGGAGUCCUCGCGACGCAGGACAUGGGAUGACCUAGCUUAGGAGUUUCUGUGACAGUUUUGAUUUAGUAUUGUCGUAGAUGUGUCGAGGAGAGAGCUUGAGGGUUUCAGACAGAGAUCAGAUGAGUCCAUUUCUUUCUUCAUCUCCCGUUAGUGGGGGAAGAUAGCAGAGAUUGUUGAUUGACCAUUAUAGAGAGGUGACUUAGUCUUGAGGUUCAUAAGAGGAUUGAUUAGAGAUCCUAGAGGGAAGUUCGGACCCAGUUGGAGCGGACUUUAUUUCAUCAGGGAGUUGACCCUAGAGGGCGCUGCAUGGUUGAUGGAUCUAGAUGGAAAUCGAUUCUCAGAGCCGACCAAUGUGGAUCAGCUAAAGAGGAACUAUGUUUGAGACUGUGGUCGCAGGAUGGGUGGCCAUCAUUUCGGUUAGCCAUAUACCCUUUCACCCUUUUGAUACAUAGACCGUUGCUAGCCCAUUGAGCCUCACAUGUGCAUUAUAACCUUUCUUUCUUAUCGCCUUGCACACAUUUUUACACCGGGAUAAGGGCCCUUUAGUAUAUGCAUGCAUUGUUUGGGAGCCUCAUGAGUCUUGGACCUACAAGUGCAUAUUUCUCUCAUCAUUUUUUCCUACCAUUACAUUACUGCAUUCCAUCGUAUCUCAGUGGUUGUCCUUCAUCUUUUCUUCUUUGUUCUAUCUACUGCUUGUUUUGUUUCCUAUUCUCUCCACCUUGAGUGGUGAUCCUCCUCAGUUCAUUACAUGGAGGAUAGUCACAUCAUUUUCACUAUUUAUUCUAUGGACACUGGUUCAGAGAUUCUUAGUUUGAGAAGGUCAUUUUGUCAGAGAGAGUUUUUGUUACCUUAGUUUUGAGAGUGUCUAUCCAUCGUUCAUAUCAUCUUUGGGGCUUAUUUUGUUCAUGUUCAGGGUGUGUACAUUUGUAUAUAUGUAAAAAAAAAAAAAAUAAUAAUAAAAAAAAAAAUUGAAAAGAAAAAAAAAAAAAGAAUGAAAAAAAAACGCAGGUGUGUAUUAUUUUUUAUCAUUGAGUGUGUAUAUUGAUGUUCGAGGGUCACUUGAUUAAGUAUAUUUGUUGAUGGGAGUUCGUAUGUGAGCUUUCCGAGGCCCUCCAUGCUUUGUAUUCAUUUUUAUUGUAUAUUUCGAGAGUGAGAUGAGUGACCUUCUCCUAGGAGCUCUGGGUCAUUGUCCCUUCCAUCAUUACGUUCAUUGUUGAUGUGACUUCACUUCAUGUCUGAUUUGAGUUGAUCACUACUCCUAUUUGUGUUAUUUGUUCCAUCAUCAUCCUCGUUUUCGCUUCUGAUUCAUCAUUUUCACUUCACGUCUUAUUCUUUUCUUAUACCAACCCAUCUCGGGUUUGAUACUCUCUUCGCAUCAUCAUUACACAUAUCACAUCACUAUCAGUUCAUUUUGCUUCAUUUGUCUCCUUAUCGACAUCAUAUUCACAUUAGGCAUCCUUAGGUCCAUGGCUCACGGGAUUCACUAUACAUGUUGCAUUUCAUAUAUGAGGGCAUGAGUUUUUUAUCAUUGGGUAUUUGAGCCUAGUUUUCUUUCAUUUCUAUCACCCUAUCACCUUGACCUACGUUACGUCCUGUGUCUUAAGACCACCCUGAGGCCAUGAGAUCAGAUGUCGUCUUCGACAGCCUCUACUUGGACAGGUGUUUGAGAUCUGGUUGAUAUUUAGAUAUUAUCAUGCUUCUUCUUCUGGGAGUCGUCUCUUUGAUGUUUAGAUCUGAUUUAGCUGUGUUUGGGUUAUCGGGAUCAUGCGCUUGACGAUGGAUGAUUUGAUGUCACUUGAUUUUUCUAAUUUAUCACAUAUUCGAUGUAAUACUGGGGCAUAUUUCGUUUCGAGCGAGAUCUAUAGAUCUUCAGGGAAUUGCAUGCUUAUCCCCACUUGCGAGAUGUACGUUGAGAUGAUUGAUUGGUUCGUUAUUUUAUGAUGAUCCCUCAGUGGAGCCUCUGUGGAGCCAUUCAGUCAGGCCCACAUUUCUCAGCAUUUGGUUGUCGCCAUGCUUCUUAUCCUGGGAGACAUUUCCUAGUUGUUUGAACUUGAUUUGGAUCACGGAGGUCACAUGUUCGAUGAUAGAUGAUUCCAUGUCACCUGGUUUUUGACCUACCUUACAUUCGAUGCCAUACUGGGGCAUAUUUCCGACCUGGACGAGAUUUAUACAUCUUCACGGAGUUACAUGAUCACUCCCACUUGUGGGAUGCACACCGAGACGAUGACGUGUUUGUUAUCUUAUCAUGAUCUCCCAAGAAAGCCUCUCUUGAGUGAUUCAGUCAAGCGCACACUUUUGACAUUUAGAUGUCCUCAUGCUUCUUCUUUUGAGAUACGCCUUUUGAUAUGUGGGUUGGAUUCAACUAUGGAUUUGGAUGAUUGGGAUCACACAUUUGAUGAUAGAUUAUUUGAUGUUGUCCGAUUUCUGGCUUAUUCCACAUCUGAUUCCAUAUUAGGGCAUGUUUUCAUUUUGAUUGAGAUUUAUAGAUCUUCAUGGAGCUACAUGAUCACUUCCACUUGCGGGAUGCACACCGAGACGAGGACGUGUUCGUUAUUUUAUCAUGGUCCCUCGGUGGAGCCUCUCUUGAGCCAUCUAGUCAGACCCGUAUUUUUUGGCAUUUGUAUGUCAUCAUGCUUCUUAUUCCGAGAGACAUUUCCUUGAUGUUUGGGUUCGAUUUGGAUUACGAAGAUCGCACAUUUGACGAUUGAUGGUUUCAUGUCACUCGAUUUUUGACUUACCAUACAUCUGAUGCCAUACUGGGGCAUAUUUCCGUUUCGAUUAAGAUUUACAGAUCUUCAUGGAGUUGCAUGCUCAUCCCCACUUACGAGAUACACAUUGAGACGAUGACGCUCCAAUAGAGUCUCUCUAGAGCUAUCCAAUUAGGUCUGCACCUUUUGGCACUUAUAUGUCAUCAUGCUUCCUCCCAGGAUACGCCUCUUUGACUUGUGGGUCUGAUUCAGUUAUAGAUUCGGGUGACUAGGAUUGCAUAGUUGAUGAUUGAUGAUUUGAUGUCAGUUGAUCUUUUCGACCUAUCGCACAUUCGAUGCCAUAAUGGAACAUAUUUGUCAUCUCGAUCGAGAUCUGUAGAUCUCCAUGGAUUUGCAUGAUCUUCCCCAGUUAUGAGAUACAUGUCAGGUUGAUGAUUCGAUUUCAUUUGUCCUGAUUCUUUGGUGGAGCCUUUAUUGAGCCUUUCAGUCAGACUCAUAUUUUCUGAUAUUAUCAUGAUUCUCGAGUGGAGUUACUCCAGGCUCAUAGGUUUCCACAUCACCAUUUCAGUGGAGUACACGUCAGAUCUUUUAUGCAUCCCCAUGGAGUUAUUCUUGAGUUAUUAGGGUAGAUCGGGUACAUUUGAUGCCAUGUUGGGGCAUAUUCCUUCCUUUAGCUAUGGAGAUGAUUGUUCUCUCAUAGAUCUGUUACAGUUUUCAUCACUCGGCCAAGGGAUACCGUAUUUGCUUUACUGGUCACUAUUCUUAUGAUUUUCAUUGAGAUGAGCUUUCGGUAGAGCAUGACAUUCAGGUUGUGAUUGUCUCGCUAUCUAUGACCCCACAGUAGAUUGUUUUGAUGAGAUCGUGGUAGUUACCCUGACGGAUUAUUCUCUUGAGGCUCUCUAGUGGAUUACCCAUUUGAGAUGACAAUGGAUUCCUCCAACAGAGCAUUUCAAGAUAGAGACGUCUAACUUAUUGUGACAUCUCGUCAGGCCUCGUGAUCCAGAUUGAUGGAUUGCGAGACUAUGUUUAUAGUCGAUUUGAUCAUUUCGACUCGCUAACAGAAUAUCUUUUGAGGCUCAUGGAGUCUCUUUUAUACAUUCUCAGAGGAUAAAGAGUUGUGGAGGCACGCUACACUAGGGCAUAUUUUCCCCUAUCAUCGUUUCCUUGUCGUUUGGCAUUCAGAGUCGCCAUCCAUUCUCAGAUACAACGUACAGAGUCAUCCAUUUUUAGCUUGGCGUUCAGAGCCACCAUUUCUUCGCAGUUUGGCGUUCAGAGCCACAUGUUCAUUUUGACGUUCAGAGUCGUCGUUCAUUUUCUGUUUGGCAUAUAGAGCCGCUUUUUUACCUUGGCGUUCAGAGCCACGUUUUCAGUUUGACAGAGUCACAUUUUCAGUUUCGGUACUCAGAGCCACUAUUGUCGCUUCUCAGUUGCGACAUUCAGAGCCAUCAUCAUCACAUUUUCAGUUUGACGUUCAGAGUCGCAUUUUCAGUUUUGGCAUUCAGAGCCAUCAUCAUCGCAUUUUUUGUUUCGGCAUUCAAAGCCAUCAUCAUCACAUUUUCAGCUUGGCGUUCAAAGCCAUCAUCAUCACUUCUCAGUUUCGGCAUUCAGAGCCAUCAUCAUCGCAUUUUUGGUUUCGGCGUUCAUGAGUCAUCAUUAUCGCUUCUCAGUUUUCGGCAUUCAGAGCCAUCAUCGUCACAUUUUCAGCUCGAUGUUCAGAGUCACAUUUUCAGUUUCGGCGUUCAGAGCCAUCAUUAUCGCUUCUCAGUUUUCAUCAUUCAGAGCCAUCAUCAUCGCAUUUUUGGUUUCGGCACUCAUGAGCCAUCAUCAUCACUUCUCAAUUUUGGAGUUCAGGGCCAUCAUCAUCGCAUUUUCAGUUUGGCGUUCAGAACCACCAUUUUUUUCAGUUCGGCGUUCGGAGCCACUAUCUCUUCUCAAUUUUAGGUGUUCAGGGAGUCGUCGUUCUCACAUUCAGGUGUUCAGAGUCAUCAUCUCUCCACAGUUUGACAUUCAGAACCAUCAUCUCCUCUCGGUUUGGGUAUUCAGAGCCACCAUUCUUUCUUAGCUUGACAUUUAGAGUCAUCAUCCUAUCAUGAUCGGACGUUUGUCGCCACCUUUUUGGCGUUCAGAGUCAUCGUCCACACUUAGGCGUUCAGAGCCAUCGUUCAUAUUCAGGCGUUCAGAGUCAUCGUUCACAUUCAGGUAUUCAAAGUCGUCAUUCACAUUCAGACGUUCAGAGUCAUCAUCUACAUUCAGGCGUUUAGAGCCACAUUACUAGCAUUUAGGAUUGUCGUCUUAUUUUAGAUUAGCAUUCGAAGUCAUUCUUAUUGUUCAGAGCCGCAUCUCCAGUUUCAGCAUUCAGAGUCACAAUUUCUGCCCAGUUUGACGUUCGGAGUCACCAUUCCUUUCCAGUUUGGCAUUUAGAGCCACCUUCUUUUUUUGAUUCAGCGUUCAGAGCUGCAUCGUCGCCUUGGCAUUCAGAGUCGUAUCUUCAGUUUAGCGUUCAAAGCCGUUGUUUUUCUUUAGCUCGAUAUCUAGAGUCGUGUUCUCAGUUUCGGCUUUCGAAACCAGAAUCAUUUCUUAGUUUGACGUUUAGAGUCACAUUCUCAAUUUUGGCGUUUAGAGCCAUCAUCGGUUUUCAGUUUGACGUUUAGAGUCGCAUUUUUUAGUUUCGGGGUUCAGAGUCACCAUCAUCGGUUUUCAGUUCAGCGGUCAGAGCCAUCACUUCUCAAUAUUGGCAUUCAAAGCCAUCCUCAUCGCAUUCUCAGUUUUGGCGUUUAGAGUCGCAUUCUGAGUUUCGACGUUCAGAUGUCGCAUUCUUAAUUUUGACGUUCGGAGCCAUCAUCAGUUUCCAGCUUGACGUUCAGAGUCACAUAUUUAGUUUGGCAUUCAGAGUCGUCAUGAUUUAUCCACAAUUCAGGCAUUCAGAGCCAUCGUCCACAUUAAGGCGUACAGAGUCAUCAUUUCUCCACAGUUUGACAUUCAAAGCUGCCAUGAUUUAUUCAUAGUUUAGGCGUUUAGAGCCGUCAUGAUUUAUCCACGGUUCAGGCAUUCGGAGCCAUUGUCUACAUUUAGGCGUACGAAGUCAUCAUUUCUCCAUAGUUUGGUAUUUAGAACCCAUCGCUCACAGUUUGGCAUUCAAAUCCAUUGUUCACAGUCAGGCAUACACCAUUUCCCAACAGUUUGGCUUUUAGAGUCAUUGUAUCCUUAGAUUGGCAUUCAGAGCCACCAUUUCUUCAUAGUUUAGCAUUUAGAACUAUCGUUCAUGGUCAGGCAUUUAGAGCCAUCAUAUCUUCAGUAUUUAGAGCAGUUAGCUUGGCAUUUAGAGCCAUUAGUCAACUUAGCAUUUAGUGCCUUGAGCUCACGACCUCGAGUCAUUCUUCUUAUUCACGGCCCAGAGUCAUUCUUAGCAUUUAGAGCCUUGAGCUCAUGACCCAGAGUCGUUUUCACCAUUUAGGUGUUCAGAGCCACUACUUUCUUUCAUGGGUGUUUAGAAUUGUAGGCCUUCAGAUCUCUCUUUGGCAUUCAGAGCCACAAUUUUUAUUCAUAAGCGUUCAAAGUCAUUCAUUUUAUCAGUUUUAGGCAUUCAGAGUCGUGUCUUCAUUUUGGCAUUCAGAGUCAUUGUCUAGCUUGGCAUUUAAUGUCAUAUUCUUCCUUUAGUUUUGGCGUUCAGAGUUGUCGUGCAUACUCAUUCAGGCACCUAGAGUCACCAUCUUUCCUCAUUUUGGCAUUCAGAGUCAUUUUUCCCUAGCCUUAUCAUUCGAGAGAGCCCAUGUCAUACUAGGACAAAUUUGGCGGUCUUUCUUGUUCUUCGGCAAAGUUCACUUCGUUUCGUUCGUGUAUACACUCACUUUACUCGUGAACUCUACCGAAUAGGGGCAUAUUUGUAGACCCCAAAAUUUGUCUCAAUUUUAUUUUUUAUAUUAAUUUCGAGCCCGGUUUUGAAUUCCAAUUACAUAUAUUUUUUGGCUCACUCACCAUUUAAUAGUUUUUAUUAUUUUGUAUAUCAUUUUAUUUUAUUUUAUUACUAAUACGUUUAUUUUAUUAUUAUUAUUACUAUUAUUAUUAUUAUAUCUAUUUUAUUUUUUUUAUUUUUUAUUUCUUUCUCUCCUCUUUCCUCUCUCUUUCCUACUCCCCAACUACUCCACCCUCUUCUUCUCUCUCUUCCCAUUCUUCCCACAUGGCCGCCCCACCCCCACUUUCCUUUCCCCCCAUUUUUGUUUUUCUCCUCAUUUUGCCCCCCGUCUUUUCCCCCCCAAUUUCCAAGAUUUUCCCCCCAUUUUUUUUUCCUCUUCUCUUCUCUCAUUUUUCCUCUUUUUCCCUCAUCGAAACACGCCAGACCCCCUGAUUCUGAUUUAUUUAUUUAUUUUUUUCCCUUUUUGGCUGCAGUCGGCCAUUGAAGAGUUUUGGGGGAGGGGGGAGGUUUUUUUUCUUUCUUUUUUUUUGGCUGCUACUCCCUCUGGAGACGGGGAACAUAUCGUUUUUUUUUCUUUUCUUCCUCCAUUCCUCUUCUUCUUACCACAGCCAGGCCCCAUUUUUUUCUUCCAUUUCUCUAUUUUUUUUUUUUAGUUUUUCUCCUCCUGUUUUCCCAAGAAAGUCAACCCCCAUUUUUAUUUAUUUUUAUUUUUUUCCUUUUUCUUCUUCCCCCAAAAGCACCCAAGAGCUAGCUCCCCCAUUCCUCUUCCAUUUUAAUUUUUAAUUUAUUAUUUUUAUUUCAGUUUAUUUUAUUUUAUUUUAUUUGUGAUUCCUAAAAAAAUCAUCCACUACUGCCAGUAAGACCGCCGGCCGGCGACCCCUUUCCUAUCUCAUCCGUUCCUAUUAUUAUUAUUAUUAUUAUUAUUGUUAUUAUUAUUAUUGUUAUUUUAGUAGUAAUUGUUGUUUAUGAAAUUUGGAUUGUUGAAUUAAUAUGAAAUUUGAGAUUAAUUUGUUAUUGGUAGAUUAAUACAUAAUUUGAUUUAAUUUAUUGUUAGUGAAUUAAUUUGAAAUUUGUUCAUUUGGGUUUGUGGACAUAUUGUAUUGGGUGAUUAAUUUGAGGAUAUUUAGAUUAUAUCAAUUACAUAUUGUUUAUUUGGACUUAGGCCUAUUUUUAAAUUGUUAUUUGUUUGGGCUUAUUGAAUUGGGCUUGAAAUAUUGUCUCUUGACCAUGUGGUUUUUUUUUUUAUUUUUUUUUUAUGUGGGCUUGUUAAUUGAUGUGAAUUUUGGGGCCCACGAUAUGGGUGAGAUUUUGUUGGAUUAUUUGAAUAUUUGAUAUGAGCUUGACCAAUUUAAAUUGUUUAAUUUGAACAUAGGACAAUUGUGGUGUAUAUUAUACUAAGCUUAGAUUAUAAAAUAUUAAGUUUAGGUCUAGUAUAAUUUAUUUUAAUUUAUCCAAUUUUAAUUUUAGGUUUGGUUGAUUGUGUUUGUAUUUUUUGUUAUUAAUUUGGAUGUUCUAGGUUAAGACCUAUAGUAAUUAAUUGACAAAAUUUAUGAGACUAAUUUGAAAUUGGGAUUUGGGUUUGAAUAUGAGAUGUAUAUUUACAUUUGCGCUGUUUUUGUUUUUGCAUGGACCCAUUCUGCAAUCUUAUUGGCUGAGUACGAAUUGAUGACACGUGGAGCUUGUUGUAAGUUUAUUUGGGUACAUAUUUUAUUUACCAUUUUUAUUUGGUUUUAUUUUAAUUAACUCUUGUAAAUAUUUGUUCGUUUAUAUUUAUUGAGUGUGUACAGAAUUGAACAUCGAACAAAUUAGAAAUUUUGUUUAAAUGAGAGGAAGAAUUCAGUAAAUAUGUUCUAAUAAAAUACUAAUUUCAAAAUAUCAUUUUUAAUAAAAGAAAGUUUUUUUAUAUUUAUUUUAUUUUUAUUUUUUAUUUUUUAUAUUUAUUAUUAUUAUUAUUAUUUUUAUCUAUUUAUGAAAAUUUAGAAAAAUGCAUUUAGAAAAAUUAAAAAAAAAAAUUUCUUUGUUUAAUAAAAAUUGCCCAAAAAUUGUUUUGUAAAUAAAGUUGUCCCAAAAAUUAAUUUUUAGUAAAAUUGUCUAAUGAAAUCUUUUUCUUGCUUAAUUAUCCUGGCAAACCUUGCUCUGCCGGCUCCAUACGGGGGGAACGGGUUGUUAGGAAUUUUUCGAUUGAAAAAAGAACAAAAUUUGAUUUUCGCAUAGCAAACUCCACUUUAGUAAACUCUAUACCUUAGGGAGUAAGGAAUAAGGCCUCUCAAGCAGGGCAUUAAUUAAACUCUGGCAAGUCAGGAAGCAAUAGAAAAUAGAAUAAGGGAGUGGAAAAGUCAAAGCCAUCAUACACAUAGACGUUGAUUGGUGGUGGAAAAAUAAGAAUAUCUGGAGACAUUCUGUUAUAUGAGAGCUAAUUCGUACUGAUACUGAAUCGAAUGAUCUGAUACAAGAAGUUGGGCUAUUAUUAUAAUUUGGUGUGAACAUAGAUAAUGUCAUGUAUCUACGAUUCUGGCCCUUCUAGAUCUUUUGUGGUUUCACUUUUGAUGAUAUACUUUCUCUUUCUAUUUUUUUAAUAUAAUAUGCAAAAGAAAAUGUUAUUGCCUUUAUUUAAAACGCCUUAUCCAUCACCCCCAUUCCUACAAAUUCUGGUUUCUUGCUUUCUAUCGAUUCCUUGUCUCUCUGGUAAUUAAGAUGAGGACCUUCCAGCUACUUGGUACUAAGACAUUGGUGCUGGAUGAAGGAGAAGCAAUGCGGCAUACCCUUGAACGCAUGGGGGGGCAUGACCUGGCUUGGGCGAUGAGCAAGACAAUCACAGCAUCCGAUACGAAGAAGGGUCAGAGUAGGCUUCUCAUCCCCAAAGAGAAGGGGCUGUGGGACCAGUUGUCGGAGGAGGAGCAGAUGGAGCUGCGGAGAAGAGGCUACGUUGAAGUUGAAGUGGUGGAUCCGAGAGGGAACAGGCAUGAGAUGAAGUUGAGUCAAUGGCCUGCUGGGCGUAAUCUUGUGUUGAAUUCUGGAUGGAACGACCUUGUGAGGGAUAAUAAACUGGAAGCGGGGAUCCAUUGUACGCUGUGGAGUUUUAGAGUGGGUUUGAGGCUUUGCUUUGCAUUGUGUGUCUAGCUAUAAUGCUACAAGACUAUAAUUGCAGUUCUGUUUGGUCCUUUCGGUUUGCUUAAGUUGCUUUGAUGUGGAGUCGCUCCUGUUGGGUUUUUUUUUCUUCGGUUUCCUUUGUAAGCUAUGGGCUUUAGGUAUGAUUUUUUCCUAUGGUUGCCGUUGGGACUUCUUCCAAACGAUCUGGAAGAUUAUCUAUCUUAUUUGUUCUAUUUUCUUCCAUUAAUUUCAUGUUUAAUUUUUUUUUUUUAAAAAAAUUUAAAUGUAUGGGGGGUACUCUUCUUCUGUGUCACUGAAUCCUUUGCGUGGCAAAGUGGCCGAGGGCAUGAUUGCUCGAGGCCACGUGCGGUCCCUUUUAGACCCAGCUCCUGGGAACAGACACGGAUGCAAACUUUUAUCCUAUUCUACCUUUCCCCAAAAAGAUUACGGGGGAAAGCAGGUUGAACCCAUAAGUUUUUUAAUGGGAGAACUGUGUUUUAAAAAUUAAUAAAAAAUCCUUCAAACACCUAUAAUUGAUUGUAAGGAUAUAAGAUUGGAAUAAACAAAAAUACCCCUUUUUACUUACACCCAUCAUUUUGUCUUUAUACCACCACUCUUUACAUGCCCCAUCCAUAAAAUUCUCCUUUAUUUAAUCAUUUUUUUAUUUUUUAUUAUUUUUUAAACUCCUUUAAAAAUAAUUGAAAAAUCAACAUUAUUUUCUAUUUUUAAAUUAAUUUAAAUGAAUAAAAAUUAUUUUUUACAUUUUACAAGUAAAUAAUUUAAUGAUUAAAACACUAUUUAAAAUAAAUAUAUUUACUAUUUUUUUUCUUUUAUACUAAAAAGUAUUUUAAAGUUUAUUUUUUUUAUUAUUAUAAAAUAAAAAGUUUAAAGUUUUUUUUUUAAUCUUUUUCUUUCCAUAGUUUAAUAAUUUUUUGAACAUAGACUUUUGUAAUAAGUUAUAUGAAUGUUCCAAAUUUGUUUAUUAAGGAAUUUUUUUAAUGAUUUGAAUUAAUUGAAAAUUUAUUGAAAUGAGAAAAAAGAAAAAGAGAGAAAGAGGAUAGAUAGUUUUUAUUAUUUUUUUAUUUUUAAAAAUUAUUUUUAUUUUCUAUAUUGUCUCUUUUUGAAAAUACAUUUAAUUAAAAAAAUGAAAAAUAUUUUUAAAAAUGAAAAUUGAAGACCUUGUUUAAUACUAAGAUAAUAAAAAGAAUUAAAUUUCAUUUGUUAAUUAUUCUUUUUUAUUUUUAAAAUAUAAUAUGUUCACAAUUAAAUAAAGGAAUUAGUCAAUCGUAUAUUUUUUUUUCACAAAAAUGUAAUAUGUUCAUAAAAAAAUUGGAUUGAAGUUUUUCAUCAUUUUUUUAAUCAAACUACUAGAAUCAUGUUUAAUACAAAUAUAGGCAUAUAUGCACUACGGGAAUAUGAAAUUUGUGUCACUAUAUAAGAGUAUUUACUAACUGUAUAAGGGAAAUGUACUAAGUGUACAAGCAGUGUAUAAGAUUACCAUUUAUAAAAGAUUUCAAUCUAUUUUGAACCACUCCUUUAUUUUCCUUGUCACCCACAAAUUGCAUACUCAUGUCAUGCACUUUAUUUAACUCCUAUAUGGAAAUUCCGAUACUUUCCCCAAUAAUGAUGUUUGGGAAAAAAAAAAAACUAACCCUAAUUCAUCCAUCCUUUUAUUAGUUAAACCAUUAGAAAUAUGGUUAACAUACCUACAUGGACAUAUUAAUUAGGAUAGAUAUAUUGUACAAUGGUAUUACACUAAUUGUACAAGGGAAAUGUACUAAGUGUACAAGGAAAAUAUACUAAGUGUACAAGGGUGUACAAGACUACCAUCUAUAAAAAAAUUUAAUCGAUUUUGAAUCACUUUUUCAUUUUCCUUGUCACCCAUAGAUUGCAUACCUAUGUCAUGCAAUUUAUUUAACUUUCACAUGGAAAUUUCGAUACUUUUCUUAGUAAUAAUGUUUGGGGAAAAAAAAUUUAAUCCUAAUUCAUCCACCAUUUUGUUAGCCAAACCAUUAGAAAUAAGAUUAAUAUACCUACAUGGACACACAACUUAAGAGGGAUAUAUUACACCAUUCUACAAUGAUGUUACACUAACUGUACAAGGGAAAUGUACUAAAUGUACAAGGGAAAUAUACUAAGUGUACAAGGGUGUACAAGGUUACCAUUUGUGAAAGAUUUUAGUUAAUUUUGAAUCAUUUCUUUAUUUUCUUUGUUACCCAUAAAUUAUUUAUGAAAUUUGCACUAUUGUAUAAGGGUGUUACACUAACUAUAAAAGAGUAUUCCAAAAUUAAAGUGUUUAUUACAAGUAAACCGAAUAAAAUAUAUAUUUUUACUAUUUUGCCUUUAUAAACAUAAUGUUAGUAGAUAUUAAAAAAAUCAUAUUUAAAUAGAAUUAAAAAGGAUAAAAAAUUAUCUUUGUAACAUUUGUAAUUUUUUUUAUAAAAAAUCAUUAAUUUAAAUUAUCAAGUUAAUUUAAAAUAUUUUUUUUGUUGUAAUUAUAGUUUUGAAGAUUCUACGAUUUUUAUAUUAUUACUUUUAAUUUAUUUUCUUUGAUUUUUUAUUUUAAAUUUCAUCUAAACUUGUUUUUUCUUACAUUUAUAUGUUUUCUAUUAUAUCCUUAUUUAAAGUGAUUUUCAUCUAAUUUGUGUUCCAUUAUAUUCUCUUUUCAAUUUUAAUGUGUUGUUAUGCCUCUUUACAUAACAAAAGAUUUUGUUAUUUUUCAUCUACAAAACUUUAUACAAAAGAUAUCAUGUACGAGGAAAAAAAAAUAAAAAAAAAGAGAAAAUUAUGAUAUAAUUUACAUACACAUCUCUUAAUAUGAUACAUUUGCUUAACUUAAUGACAUCAUGCUUUAAUAAUUUAAACCAUGUCAAGUCCACAUCUAUUUUAGAUUUAAAAGGGCAUUUGAAUAUUUUUCAAAUUAUUAAGUUAUAAUAAAUUAUUCAAUUAAAAAUUAAUUAUCACCAUUAGUUAAAAAAUAAUCAUGUUACAAAAUAAUAUAUUAAGAUAAUAUCAAUGUAUUGUCCAAAAAAUAGAGAAAAUAUUCAAAUAAUUGUCUACAACCUUAAAGAUAUUUAUAUAUAUAUUGGAUAAAAAAGAAUAAUAAUAUUUUUUAAGGUGUUUAAAAAAUAUUUAUUAUAUAUUUUGUAAGUUUUAAAAAAAAAAAUAUGAGGUAUUUAAAAAAUAUUUACUUUAAAAAUAUAGUAAUAAUCAUUUUCAACCAUUGAUUUCCAAUAUUUAAUUUAUUAGGCAUGGUUUUUGGGAGAAAAAUAAAUGAUGAAAAUAGUAACACUUUUCUAUAAAAGAAUUAAUUUACAUGUCCCACCAAUUAAUAUGUGAGAGAAAAAGACAAGGUGAAUGAUGAAAGAGAGGGAAAAAAGAAUGAAAGAGAGUAGAAAAUUAGUUGUUUUCUUUUUCUUUUUGACAAUAAAGGGCAUUUUUGGAAAAUUGAAUGUUUCAUAUCCUUCUUUUCAAUUUGUAAACUUUCUUUAUGUGUUGGGCUUAAAUAUGGAACUUAUGAGGAUCUUUUAUUAAUUUUUGGGCCCAACUGGGCCCAAAACACAAUUCUCCCUUUUUUAAUUAAGAGAUAAAAGUAUACGCAACAUAGAAUCUACCAUUUACAAAAUAUAUUUGAAACAUAAAUAUACUUACAGCAAUCAACACUCUUCACUUUUUCCUCUUGAAAUUUUAUGUUUUAUGUACUUUUUUUUUUCUUUUAAAAAAUGUGUGGGAUUCUCAAAGAUGGAAAGAUGUGAUCUGUCUUGAUGUUGAGAUCCCAUGUUUAUAAGUUAUAGAAAGAUGGGAUGUGUCCCAAAAAUAUCUUUAAAUAGUAGAUUCUAUGUUACAUGUUGUCACGCCCCAAGACCCACUUCAAAGGCGUAACAGUCAUUUCACACUUCAAACCCGAAUGCUUACAGUGUAACCUGACCCAAAUACUUAUCUUGUAAUCGGAAGUUACCAAUUACCAAGUACCUAUUCAGAGUAGCGGAACAAAUCUAAAAUCCUCAAUAUUCAAUUUCAAAACUAAAACAUCCACUAUCCAAAAUCCAUUGUCCAAAUAUUUGCAAACUUAAACAAUUCAAGUACUAGAACAAAUUUCAAAAUCUCCAAAACUCAACUUUGAUCUAAUAUAAAAUUUGAAGGAUCAAUAUCCAAAUAACUUCUAAAUACCAAAAGAUCCAAAUGAACACAACUAACAGUUAAAAAAUCCAAUAUAAAAUCCUAAGUCAAAUUCUAAUGAUGACCAUUCCUCAGCCUAGCCAUUACUCCUCACCCGAACAAAGGGUACCUGAAAAGUAGUCAACAAAUGGGAAUGAGCUCACAGCCCAAUAAGGAACAUUAAUGCAGUCCAUGGAUCAAACAUUUCAAACUCACUUGCAAAAUAGGAGAUAUUGUAAUCAAUCAUUUUCAUAAAGCUGUGAGCAAAUUUUUUUUUUUUUUUUUGCCAAUACAUUCAAAAUUUCUAACUAUAUGCAUUUAUUUCUAAUUCAAACAAUUUCAUAUCAAAUUUAGUCAAAACAUUCCAAUAAUUUAUUUACUCUGGUCAUCAAACAUUAAAGGGUGCUCAGUUAGGUGAGACUUUUCAAAUGGGUGGCUAGCCUCAAAUUGUUCCUUUAAGGUGGACGGAAUCAAACACUACUAGUACUAGUAACAUCUAACCGAAACCCCUAGAGGCUGGGGUUCAAAUCAAUUACAUUUCCCACCAAGAAAUGUAAAGGUCAAUUAUUAUAUCACAUUGACAAAGGCCAAAAGUCAACUAUUAUAUCCCGUUGACAAGGGCUAAAUAAACCAGAGUCAAAUAUUUAUUUCAUUUAUUCAAAUUUACAACAUAUAAUAUCUCCACAUUUAUUUGUCAAAAACAUAAUAUAAAAUUCUAACAUACUUUUCAUGCAAAACAGGUUUGAUCCAUGCAUAAAACGGAAUAUACCUCAAACAUUUUCAAAUAAUGUAUAUAUAUAUAUAAAUUGUUUUAAAAAAAAAGAAUUUAACAACUGCAUUAAUUUCCCUUACCUCAAAAGAAGUCCUUAAAAACUUUGGAGAAAAAUAAUCCUGAAAAUCUACUCUUCACCUAACAAAACAUAAGAGAAACAAUUAUUACUAUUUAUCUAAAAUUAUAGGUUUGACAAUCCUAAAAUUUUAGGUAUUCAAAUUAUUAUUAUUAUUAUUAUUAUUAUAUAUUUAUGAAAGGUAAUUUAAUCUAUUCAUAUUUUAAAAAUUAAUAAAUUUCUAAUUCAUAUAAAAUUGAAUUUAUUUAUUUAUUUUAAAAUUUAUUUCUUGGGACACAACUUAAUUAAACUAUAAUUUAUUUCAAUAAUUAAUUUCUAUGUUAUUUAUUAACUUACGCUCAUAAUUAUAAUAUCAAAAACUUUACUUUCUUUUAUUUAAAACUUCUAUUUUCUCGUUUUUUUUUUCAAACAUAAACUUUAUCCAUUAUUGUCAAUAUAAUAAUAUAUAUACAUAUAUAUACAUUAACUACCAAACACCAUCCAUCCCUCCAUCCGUACACACACCCACACCCCAUAUAUAUAUAUAUAUAUAUAUAUAUAUAUAUAUAUAUAUAUAUAUAUUACAUAUAUAUUUUUUUUCAUUCUCCAAGUGUGCACAUGCGUUCUCUAUUUUUUAUUUUUUAUUUUUUAUUUUUAUCCUUAAGCCAUUCUCCAAUUCCAUAGUGUGCACACGCGUCUUCCAGUUUUUUUUUUUCUAAAAGCUUAAGAAUUUCCGAUUUCCAACAAUAAAUCAAAAUCUUAAAUUUUCACUAUUUUGAUAUUAAAACGAAAUAAUAAUAAUAAUAAUAAUAAUAAUAAACUAACCCUAAUCUAAAUCGAAAUCUUCACAGGAAUCUUUUGUUUUUUUCUAAUAAAAAAAAAACUUAAGAUCUCCCCAAUUCCAAUAAUAAAUCAAAAUCUUAAAUUUUCACUAUUUGAUAUUAAAACGAAUUAAAAAAAUAAUCUAACCCUAAUCUAGAUUUGGGGUUUUCCAAAAAAAAUAUAUCUAAUGUGCUUGAAAUUAACUAAUGAAUCUAAAAUAAUAAUCUAGGGGUUAGAAACUUACCUAUAGAGGUUUGUUCUUCAAACCUUGAAAUCUAACCUCAACUUCAUGUUCUUUGGAAACUCUCUGCGAAUAGGAAUACGAUUAAAAAAAAGAACAGGAAGAAGAGAAUUUUCUAUUUAUACCUAGGGUAUUAUUCGUAAAAUUACCUUUUCACCCCUCUUCCAUUUUAUUAAAUUAAUUAAUUAAUUAAUUUAAUAUCAUUAUUAAGAAUUUCCUAAAUUACCCUUUAAAAAGAAAACUUGGGCGUUACACAUGUACUUUUAUCUCUUAACUAAACAAUUUAUAGUUUGUCAUGACGUGCAAUCACCCAUAAUCAGUGCCACUGAAUGCCUGAUCCCAUUCCCUCCUUCCAUGCUCUUGUAAUCUGUAUAUAUCACACAUGAGUGACAGGAAAAUAUAUAAGUUCAAUUCCUCAUAAAAAAAAAGUCGUACUUGUCAGUAGUACCCUUCUUUCUUUUUUGGGAAAAGGUAGAAUAGGAUAAAAGUUUGCACCCCGUCUGUUCCGGGAUGAAAAAGGCACUACAAAAAAAUCUGAGCGCCUACAACCGAGAAACAUUGGCUGGUGUUGUAGGCUUGGGAGCUGGGGCCCAAAAAGGACCUCACGUGGCUGCAAUAAACUGAUCGGAACAAUCUUGCCCUCAGACAUUGUCCGUUUUAGCCCAAGGGCCUCACGAUUUUAAAAUUGGGAAAGUUUUGUUUUCAUGGGCCAAUAUGGUAAUAAUAUUGUUUUUGGAACCCAGGUUUGUGAAAUAUGAAAAACAUCUGUUAAUGUGGAAAGUUAUAUCAUUUUCAUGCACUCUGAGUCGGUUGUAUUUUUUCUACCGAAAUUGCCCCUCUAGGUAUCCAGGUCAGCAGCCCAUCUCAGCACGGGCUGAAAUUGAACCGGUUGUCUUGUGCAAAAUCAAAUAUUGAGCUUCCCACAAAAACACCCUGGGCGACCGACCGUUCAUCCUCCAUUUCUCUCAUUUGGUACCCAUUCCUCUCAUCUUUAUACAGUCCGUCACCAAGGCGAAGCAGAGGUUCCCACAAGAAAACCCUAUCUGAUCGACCAUUCUUUCUUCCCUCUCUCUCAUUUUGGCACCCAUUCCUCUCACCUGUCUUCACUCGGUCACCAAGGAGAAGCAGAAAAUCCCAUAAAAAUAGUGUAGCCGAGGGUUCUUUCUUCCCUCUCUCUCAUUUGAUACCCAUUCCUCUCAUAUUUCUUCAUUCCGUCACUGAGGCGAAACAGAUUUCAAUUGAGAAGGCCUUAAUCUGAUUUGUCACAUCUUAGAUUUUCUCUGUCAAGGUAAGCCAUUCGUUCCAUGUUUUGCAUUCACAUUCUCAUUCAUGAAAAUCUGCUGUUUGUGUGGGUUUUUUUUGAACCAGGUGUGGCUCAAAUGUUGGCAUUUAGGAGUUGGUAUUGAAAUUUUAAAUCUGUUGGUAAUGAAUCAUCAUCGUCUUUUUCAAAUCUGAUUUUGUACUGUUUUAUUUGGAUUGGCAAAUUAUCGCAACUCUGUUGUUUUGAUAUAAAGUGAAGGCAAGAAUAUGGGUUGGGAAUUGUUUCGUUGAAAAAGGCAUUUGUUUUGGUUUUGGUUUGGAACUGAGAAAAACAUAUUUUGAAUUGAUUAGCGAAAAAGGAAUUUUUUUUCCCAGUGGUGUUUUUGGGUAUUGGGAAACAAUGCAUUUUUAGUGAAACCCAUUUAUUGGAUUGUGUUUUUGGAUUGAACUAUGCAGUGGAUGACCAAAAGGGAACAUUUUUUCGGGAUGAAGUUUUCAUUUUGAGAGCGAAAAAAGUUCUUAAGAAAUGGUGAUUUUUAGAAAGAUGAGGACCUUCCAGCUACUUGGUACUAACAUAUUGGUGCUGGAGCAAGGAGAAGCAAUGCGGCAUACUAUUGAAGGCAUGGGGGGGCGUGCCCUGGUUUUUGUGAUGAGAAAGACACUGACACGAUCCGAUGUGGCUGUGCAUCAGGGUCGGCUUUUCAUCACCAACGAUAAGGUGCUUCGGGGCCAGUUAUCCGAGGAGGAGCAGACGGAGCUGAAGACAUCAGAAGGGUACGUUAAUGUUGAAGUGGUGGAUCCGAGAGGGGAGGGGUAUGAGAUGAAGUUGAAGGAAUGGAAGAGUCUCAAGAUGUUUGUGUUAACUUCUGGAUGGAACAGGCUUGUCAACGAUAAUGAGCUGGAGGCGGAGAUACAUUGUAUUGAGCUGUGGAGUUUUAGGGUGGGUUUGAAGCUGUGCUUUGCUUUCGGUUUGCUUAAUUUGCUUUGUAUUUUGAUGUGGAGUCGCUCCUGUUGGGGUUUUUUUUUUUCCUUCGGUUUCCUUUGAAAUAUGCAUGUGUGAGUGAAAUAUGCAGAAUAACGAUGAAGAUUGUAAGCUAUGGGCUUUAGUCAUGAUUUCCGUUUUUAUGUUAUAAAUAAUUAAAUAGAUGAUUGCUGCAACGUUAAUUUGAUUCGUUGGGACUUCUUCUUCUGUCUAUAUCUCACUGAAUCGUUUAUUUUGUCCUCACAUGACUUCGCCUCACCUCACCCCUUUUUCUUAGUGAUUGAAGAUUGGACCAAGAUGUUCCCUAUACGGUGGAGACCAAUUGGCUUCACUUUUCAGAUGGAUUUUCUUUGUAUCAAAAAGGAAAGAGAGACAUGGAUAGAUUUCCCAUGGAUAUUAUCCAAAAACCCAAACAGUACGUUCACUACCUCUACAGCGAUUUUAAACCCUGUGUUCUACCCUUUCCAAAGCUUCAAUAUUUCACUGACUGAUGGGGCCAAGGGAUCAUUCUUUUGAUGCAACAGAUGCUUGAGUUUGUACAAAGUAAUUUCUUAUACCCAAAAAGGAGACUUACUAUUUUGGUCAAAAUCUCUUCCUAUAUUUUUUCCUAAUUAUAAAGGAAUAUAGAAAAUAAAGUGUAUAAUUGUCAAAGAUACAUUUUCCUAAAAAAGCUAGGAUAUUACACUUUCAAUAAUAUCUUAUAUUAGGAAACUAUCAAUAUCUUUUCAAAUCGACUCAAAAUACAAUUUAAGACACUUUCCAACAAUCUCCACAUUGGCUCAAAUUCCUAAGAUUUAAGCAAACUUGAAAGUCUUUCAAGUUACUUCGCUCUCACACCCCAUAAGGGCCUUCAGAUACUACUAACACCAAUUAAGUUCAAGCAAUGCUUGAACUUAAUCAUAGGAAUGGAUUUAGUCAUCAUAUUUGUGGGAUUGUCCACCAUAGGGAUUUUUUUCAGUACAAUAGCACCCUAUGCAAUCACAUCCCUAAUAAAAUGCAUUCUGACAUCAACAUGUUUGGUCUUCUCAUAGAACAUCUGAUUUUUAGUUAAAUGUAUGACACUUUGGCUAUUAAAAUACACAAUAGUCAACACUUGUUGUAAGCCUAAAUCACCAACCAAACCCUUAAGCCAAAUAGAUUUUUUCAUUGCUUCUAUGGUUGCCAUGUAUUCCGCUUCAGUGGUUGACAAAGCAACUAUAAAUUGCAGAGUUACUUUCCAACUAAUAACACUACCACAUAAAGUAAAUACAUACCUUGUUAGAGAUUUUUUUUUUGUCCAAAUCUCCGGCAUGAUCAUAAUCAACAUAACUAACAAUUUCUCCAAAGAUGUCAAUAUUUUUAUCAUAUACUAAGCCAACAUGUGAUGUUCCUCUCAAACAUCAAAGUAUCCAUUUCAUUGCUUGCCAAUGGAUUUUUUCAAGGCGAUCCAUAUAUCUACUCACCACACUAACUGCAUAUGAAAUAUUUGGCCUAGUGCAUACCAUGACAUACAUAAUGCUCCCAAUUGCACUAGCAUAAGGAACAUGUGACAUGUGCUCCCCUUCUUCUUCAAUCUGUGGUGAUAAAGCACUAGAAAGUUUGAAGUGAGUUGCUAACAGAGUACUUGCUAGUUUUGACCCUUGCUUUAACACUCUCUCAAUGUACUUUUUCUAUGAUAAGUACAAUUUCCCUGCUUUUCGGUCUCUAUGAAUCUCCAUACCCAAUAUUUUCUUUGCAGCUCCAAGGUUUUUCAUUUCAAACUCUCAUUGAAGUUGAGUUUUCAACAUGUUGAUCUCAAACAUAUUCUUGCAGGCAAUUAACAUGUCAUCAUCAUAUAACAAUAAAUAAAUGAAAUAACCAUCAAACAAUUUCUCAUGAUAAACACAAUUAUCAUACUCACUCCUAUGGUAGCCAUUACCAAUCAUAAAGGUAUCAAACCUUUUAUACCAUUGCCUAGGAGAUUGCUUCAAACCAUAAAAAAAUUUCUUCAAUAAACAAACAUGGUAUUCCUUCCCAAAAUAAUAAAUCCCUUGGGUUGAUGCAUAUAAAUUUAUUCUUCCAACUCACCAUGUAGAAAAACAAUCUUAACAUGAAGUUACUCUAAUUGUAAAUCAAAUAAAGCAACCAUAGCAAGUAAUACCCUGAUUGAGCUACGUCUCACCAUGGGAGAAAAUACUUCAUUGAAAUCCACACCCUCUUUUUGUGUGUAGCCCUUUGUCACCAAGUGUGCUUUGAACCUAGCAUCCUCCAUUCCUAGAAUUCUUUCAUUUCUUUUGAAGAGCCAUUCGUAAUCAACAAUCUUUUGAUUUUUAGGUUUCUUAACUAGUUGUCAAGUGUGGUUCUUUUGAAGAGAUUCAAUCUCCUCAUUCAUAGCAACAAUUCACUAUGUAGACUCUCUACUAGUGAUGGCUUUAUGAUAAGUUUGAGGUUCCUCAUUUUCAAUGCUCUUUGCCACACUAAGUGCAUAAGCAUACCUUUGUAGUGUUUUAAUAUGCCUACUUGUUCUAUCUCUAGCCAAACUAUAUUGUUGCUCUUGUGGUGCAUUUUCUUUAUCAUAAAGAAGUUGCACUUCUUCCUCCUUUAGCUUUAUUGAAAUUGUUUUUUCUAUGGUUUCUGAAGCUUUAGUCACAAAAUCCACUUUUUCUCUCACACCGAGGUUGUUUUCUGUAUGAAGUUGUUCCUUCCUAGGACUCAACAUUGUAGACUCAUUAAAAGUCACAUCCCUACUAAUAAGAAAUUUGGAGAAUUUUGAAUUUGGGUUCCGUAUCUUGUACCCUUUCACUCCAUCAACAUAUCCUAAGAAUAUGCACUUCCUUGCCCUUGGUUCCAACUUACUUUCAUUCACGUGAGCAUAAGCAAGACAACAAAAAAUUCUUAAAUUAGCAUAAUUAGAAAGGGAACCAUACCAUACCUCUUCAGGAGUCUUACAAUUAAUAGGAAUUGAAGGAGAUCUAUUCACAAGAUAACAAGCUGAAUUUACAGCUUCAACCCAAAAUUCCUUUGACAACCCUCAUUCGAAAGUAUGCAUCAUGCUUUCUCUAAAAGAGUUCUAUUCAUUUGUUUUGCAACACCAUUUUGCUCUGGAGUAUGCCUAACUAUGCGGUGUCUCACAAUACCUUCAUUCUUGCAAAACUCAUUGAAUUCUUUCCCACAAAAUUCCAUGUCAUUGCCAGUUCCCAAGCACUCGAUCUGUUUUCUAGUCUACUUCUUAAUCAUGGCUUUCCAUUGCUUGAACUUCCCAAAUACAUCAUUCUUAUGUUUCAAGAUAUAUACCCAAACCUUUCUAGAGUAAUCAUCAAUAAAAGUCAACAUAUAUCUUCCACCACCAUGUGAUACAACUUGAGAAGGCCCCCAAAGAUCCGAAUGGAUAUAAUCCAAAGUACAUUUAGUUAUAUGAACACCUUUAUUGAAUUUUACCCUGCAUUGUUUCCCGAAUACAUAAUGCUCACAAAAAUCUUGUUAUGUAUUUUCUAUCCAUCAAGCAAACCUAGUUUGCUCAAAAUUGUCAACCCCCUGUCACUCAUACGCCUAAGCCACAUAUGCCAUAAUCUAAUAGUCUCUAUAAUUAAUUCUAAGGUUGAAACUGUAGUUGCACUUGUAACCGUGCCACCUUCAAAUGUAUAAAGACCAUUAAUUUCCUUUCCUUUCAUCACAACAAGAGCAUCAUUUAAAAUCCUUAAAACUCCACCUCUAGUUUUAUAUGUGCAUCUGUUGGAGUCAAGUAUCCCUAAAGAAAUCAAAAUUUUCUUCAAUUCUGGAACAUGCCUUACAUCAAUUAAUGUCCUUAUAAUGCCAUCAUGCAUCUUAAUUUGAAUUGUGCAUAUCCCAACAACCUUAUAGGCAACAUUGUUUCUCAUUAGAACCUUCCCACCGUGUAUGGGUUGGUAGGUAUUGAACCAAGCCCUAUUGGGAGACAUAUGAUAAGAGCACCCUAAAUCAAGAAUCCACUCAUCAACUAAGUUUAUAAUAGUAACUGAAAAAACACCUGUAGUAUCUGAAUUUUCUUUUGAGACAAUGUCUGCAUAGGCAUUCAUUUUAGAGACGGAGACUUUCACCCCAUUCAUCUCACAUCUCUUUUUUCCAAAAUUAAUGAACUAGAAACCUAUCCUCUCUCAUCAUCCCAUCACCAGUCAGAUUUUGUAAACAUUUCCAAAUUCAUCUUCAUUAAAGGAAAGAUAAAACAGAAGCCAUAUAUGACUCUCCAUAACUAGAGGUGAGAAUCCAAGCACACAGUAAAUAGUCGAAGAAAGUUGUUUAAACUUCCAUAAAUCUUUUUUACACAAUGUGUGAUAAUCUUUAUAAUUUUAUUGUUUAUGUUAAUUUUCUUAAACAACAUCAUUCCAAAAGGUGAAAGAAUCACACAGACCAUCCUCAUCAUGGGCAAAUGAGUAAUCAAUAUACAAGAAACACCCUCUUUUAUGAUAAUUAAAAACUGAAUAAUAUAUCAUAUACAAAUCUUUGAUAUAUAAGACAAUAAAAGGCCUAUAAAUAAUAUUUCAUUACCUUCAAUUAUAAUCAAUAAUAACAUUGUGGCAGCAUUACAAACCAGGAAUUUGCUAGUGUGGUUACAAUAAAAAGAAUCAGAAAAAAUAUUUUUUACAUUAUGAUUUAGAGAGAGAAAGCACACCUUGUCUCUGAAGCAAGUAAGGAAUAGUAGGAGCCUUGGUGUUCAUUUCCUACCUCCAUUACUGAUGUGCCUUUUCAGCUUGGAGGGUGGGCAUUGCUUUAAAGGGUUUUAUUGCAAGUGAUUCAUACAAUACAAGCAGCUUACUGGGAUUACAUGUACAAACUGCCAUUCAUCAUCUCAUUUUCUAGUUGCCACAAGGGAAAAGUUCUCAACUACUACUAACUUCAAAUGAGUGAGACACAAUCUUGAAUAUUGAUAAAGGGCAUUCGAAAAUGCUAGUCUAACAACCUUCUUUACCACCUGCUGAUGUGUGUGACAUUCAAUGUCACCAGAAUAGUAAGUAGUAAUUUAUAUUUGAAAGUGCGUUAAUUAGUACACUAAAAUCAAUAUCUAUCAGUAAUUUGUAUUAUUUUUCUACAUAACCAAUCAGUGUUGAUUAAAACAGAAACUAGAGCUACAGAAUCAAGGUUCAAGUUGUCCAUUUUGAAAUGGUAAACCUUUAAUCUCCUUCAUUAUCAAGUUAACAAUAGGUAAGUGUAAUGGCCAAACAGGUUCUUAACUUCUAGAAGCAUAAUCAUUAUCAAGUUAACAAUAGAUAAUAAGCUCUGCAUGUUUCACAAGUAGAAAUAUUGUCUCACCUGAAGCAGUACGCAUAGUGGCAGUGCAGCUCAUUUUUAUCAUACAAUAUAUUUCAAGGCAUAAAUCAAUUAUCCCAUGCUCAUGAAAGGUCAAAGACCACUUAUCCAUCAUCACAUGCAAUCAGAAUUAGUAACUGAGACUCAGGCAUUGAGAGAACCAUGGGCAGAACUAUUGGUUACUGUUCAAAUUGAUAAAUGAUAGUUUUUUCAUUCAUAUUUUCAUUCGUUCAUGUACAGAGUAUAUAUAGAGGGUAUCGCCAUUCUAAGAAUGGGAAAGAAUGAUACAAGGAAAAAAUGACAUAAGGAAAUAACAAUUAAUAUCCUAAUAUCUCAACUUUCCUAAUAUCUCAAUAUUCCUAAUAUCUCAAUAUUCAUAAUAUCUCAACUUUCCUAAUAUCUAAACAUUCCUAAUAUCUCAACACUAAAUGAUAUAAGGAAAUAAUGAUAUAAGGAAAGCAUUCCUAAUAUCUCAACACUCCUCCUCAAGUUGGUGCAUAGAUGUCACACAUGCCCAACUUGUCUAAAAAUUUUGAGAACACUUGACUUGAAACAGCUUUGGUAAGGAUAUCAGCCAAUUGAUCUUCUGAUCAAAUCUUAUGCAAUUCCACAAUCUUAUCAUCCAACUUUUCCUUAAUGAAGAAUCUAUCCACCUCGACAUGCUUUGUACGAUUAUGUUGUACUGGAUUAUGAGCAAUGUCACACGCGGCUUUAUUGUCACAAAACAAUCGGAUUGGUUGCCUAGAUAGGUAACCUAAAUCCUGUAAGAGGAGUCUUAGCCAUAAUGCCUCACAAAGUCCUAGAGUCAUACCUCUAAAUUCCGCUUCUGCACUUGAACGAGCGACGACAUUUUGCUUCUUACCUUUCCAUGUUACAAGAUUACCACCUACAAAGGUAAAGUAACCAGAUGUAGAUCACCUAUCAUCCACUACACCAGCCCAAUCAGCAUUAGUAUAUACUUUUAUACUUUGAUGAUCAACAUUUUUAGCGAACAAAAUUCCCUUCCCAGGAGCAUUCUUCAAAUACCUCAAAAUACGCAUGACUGCAUUCAUAUGUUGCUCUCCAGGAUUAUGCAUGUAUUGACUCACUACACUCAAUGUAUAAGCAAGAUCUGGUCUUGUAUGAGCUAAGUACAUUAAUCUCCCCACAAGUCUCUGGUAUCUUCCCUUAUCGGUUGAUACUUGAUUAGGCUCAACACACAAUUUCAGACCACCUUCUUCUAUUGGUGUAUUAACAGGUUGACAUCCCGACAUUCCAGUCUCCUGUAAAAGAUCUAAGGCAUACUUUCUUUGAGAUAGAAAAAUUCUUUCACUUGAUCGAGAAACUGCAAUCCCAAGAAAGUAUUUUAGAGGACCUAGAUCUUUCAUUUCGAAUUCUCUAGAUAGAUAAUUUUGUAGAGCUUUUCUUUCUUCGGGAUCAUUUCCUGUAACUACCAUGUUAUCCACAUAUAUGAUGAGUGUCGUAAUCUUACCAUGUUGCUUUUUCAGGAACAAAGUGUGAUCUGAAUUACUUUGACGAUAGCCAAAAGCUCUCAUUAACUUUGUGAACCUUCCAAACCAUGCUUCGGGGAUUGCUUCAACCCAUACAAUGACUUCUUCAAUUUGCACACCUUCUGACAUUGCUUUUCUGACACCAUGCAUCCUGGUGGAAGAUCCAUAUAUACUUCUUCAGAUAACUCGCCAUGUAGAAAGACAUUUUUCACAUCAAAUUGUUGUAAUGGUCAAUCUAGGUUUGCAGCUAAAGACAGUAAUACUCGAACUGUGUUGAUCUUAGCUACAGGUGCAAAUGUCUCUGUGUAGUCAAUUCCAUAAGUUUGAGUGUACCCUUUUGCUACCAGUCUUGCUUUAAAUCGUUCAAUACUACCAUCUGCCUUGUACUUCACAGUAUAGAUCCAACGACACCCAACUGGCUUCUUUCCUGGUGGACAUUCUACGAGUUCCCAUGUUUCAUUCUUCUACAAUGAUUUCAUCUCUUCAUUCAUGGCUGUUUUCCACCUUGGAUCAGCUAAGGCAUCCUACACACUGUUAGGAAUAGCUACAGUAGAUAAUUGAUUUACAAAUGACUUGUUUGAUUCAGACAAACGAUGGUUAGACACAUAGUUGCUCAUGGGAUAUUUGAAUUUGGUAGACAAUUCAGGUUCAUAUGUGGGUUUAGGAAUACCUCUAUUAUGACGGUGUGGUAACCGUUUCAUGAAUGGAUCAAGUUCCAAAUUAAGAACACCCUCAACAGAAGACGAUUGGUUUGGUAUUUCAGUGAAGACAUCUUCGGACCCAAAUUAUUGACCACUCAUAUCCAACUCACCCAAUUUUUGGUUCACUAGUUCAGAUUGUCCAGAUUCAUCUUCCUUAGAUAUAUGAUAAUCAUAAUCGAGAGUCUGAAUUUCCUUAUGGUACUCCCCCUGAAGUUCAGACUCAGAUGAAAAAUACAUCGAAUCUUCAUGAAACACCACAUCCAUUGUAAUAUACAUUUGUCGAGUUGGAGGAUGGUAACAUCGAUAUCCCUUUUUGUGCAAUGCAUAUCCAACAAACACACAUUUUAAUGCAUGAGAAGUUAACUUGGUGCGUUGGUGCUUGUGUAGAUGCACAAAUGCCACGCAACCAAAAACACGAGGAGGUAGAUGUGGGACGAUUGGGGCAAUUACGGCAUUAGUAAGAGCUUGGAGUGGUGUUUGAAAGUUAAUUGAGCUAGAAGGUACCCGAUUGAUCAAGUAUGCGGCAGAUGUGAUUGCUUCUCCCCAAUAAGAUAUCGGUGUUUUUGCUGCUAUCAAGGAAACACGAACAACCUCUAACAAGUGCCGAUUUUUUCGUUCAGUGACUCCAUUUUGCUGGGGUGUAUUGGAACAAGUAGUUUGAUGAAUGAUGCCAUGUCCUUCCAAAUACUUUUGAAGAUCAGAACUUUGAUAUUCUCCACCAUUAUCACUACGCAGAACCCGAACCUUUGCAUUGUACUGAGUUUCAAUCACUUUAUGAAAAUUUUGAAACAACAAGUUCACUUCAUCUUUGGUCUUCAUCAAGCAUAACCAUGUCAUUCUGGUACAAUCAUCAAUAAAAGUAACAAACUAACGUGAGCCACUCAAAGUUGGGACUUUGGAUGGGCCCCAAACAUCAGAAUGUAUAACCAUAAAAGGAAACGAACUUUUAUUUAAAAUUAACGGAAACGAAGCACGAUGACUUUUAGCCAAUUCACAAAUAUCACAACGGAAACCAGAAAUAUCACUCUUUGCAAACAAACUAGGAAACAAUUUUUUUAAAUAACCAAAGGAAGCAUGUCCCAAACAUCGAUGCCACAACCAAAUUUCAGAUUUUUUCUUCUCUCCCUCAGAUUCAUCUACCAUCAAGGCUUGUUGCAACUUAUUUGAAUCCUUUGACUGCAAGUCCAAGUAAUAGAGUUUUCCCCGCUUAAUACCACAACCAAUCGUCUAUUUUGUUUGGAUGUCCUUAAUCACACAAAAUUCAGGCCAAAAAAUGAUAAUACAAGAUAAGGCUGCAGUGAUUUGAGAAACUGACAAAAGAUUGUAAUCUAAAGAUGGAACAACUAAAACAGAAUCCAAAUUCAAAGUAUCAGUAACAGUUAAGGAUCCUUCCCCAAUGACUAGGGUUGUGUUACCAUUGGUUGUGGAAACAAUUUUUUGUGAGGAAGGUCUAAGGGUUGAAACCUGUCUAGAAUCAAAAGUCAUAUGAUCUGUAGUACCAGAAUCAAUUAUCCAUGCACUAUUAAUAACAGGUGUAAAAUUAUUUAAAAACUUACCACCAUGAUCUGUAGUGGCUACCAAUGCAGAGGCUUUCUCAACAACAUUAGCCUCUGUUUUUAUUUCGGUAAUAGUUGCAGUCGAGGUUUUCUUGGAAUCCUUCUUCCGUUGAUCACGAUUAUUAUCAUUAAUAACAAAGUGUUGAUAACCUAAACAUGAUUUAAAGGUCCAUGGUUCAAACCCUUGAUUCCCCAUUUUUUUUCUUGAUCAUACCAAGAGUCGUUGCUUUGAAAUUGUGGGAUAUCCAGACUGGUGGGAUCAUUCUUAUUGCAGUGAGUGCAUUUGAAGGUUGACUUAUCAAUAUUAGGGCUUGUCUUAGGAUGGUUAAUCGCUGUCGGACUACCAUAGCGACAAAAUAUCCAGGAUUUCAGUUUCAUGGCUCUGAUACCAUGUUCAAAUUGAUAAAUGAUAGUUUUUUCAUUCAUAUUUUCAUUCGUUCAUGUACAGAGUAUAUAUAGAGGGUAUCGCCAUUCUAAGAAUGAGAAAGAAUGAUACAAGGAAAGAAUGACAUAAGGAAAUAACAAUUAAUAUCCUAAUAUCUCAACUUUCCUAAUAUCUCAAUAUUCCUAAUAUCUCAAUAUUCAUAAUAUCUCAACUUUCCUAACAUCUAAACAUUCCUAAUACCUCAACACUAAAUGAUAUAAGAAAAUAAUGAUAUAAGAAAAGCAUUCCUAAUAUCUCAACAGUUAUAUCACUAAAUUCUGAAGUUUCGUACAAACAGGUGGAAUUUGGAAGCGCCUCUAAAAGACAUCAAUUGAGAGGUUGAGCAUAAUUAAAGAAAGGGAAAAUAAAUAAAUAAAUAAGAAAAGAAAAAUGACAGAGGGAAAGGAUCGAUGAGCCUAAGACUUAGUUUUGACAGUUUUACAUAUUCCGAUAAAUUGAUGAAGUGCAAGUCGAGUAAAGAGAACUAAACAAGUAGCGAAACUUAAAACUGAAAAACAUCUGAUUUUCAUCUAAUUUUCUUACAUUUUCUCAUAAACUAGAGGAGGUGAACCGCUCUGCAAUUCUUCAUUUUUCCAAUUCUCUCUAUUUUGAAUUACCGAAGCCGAAGCUAAGUAGAAGUCAGGAAAUAAGAAGCGAAAAGUCUUGAGAGUGAAAGUUCUCCGAUUUUGGCUCAAUUUUCUCCAUUUUCUUGGCAACCAAACAGAGAAUAGACAUACUUGUUUCCACAAGCUAGAGCUUUCCACAGCUGGAGAAGACGACGACGGUAACAUUGACAUCGUAGAGAGCAAAAAGCUGAUGAGGUUUCUUGAUCAAACCAUUUCGCCUCUUGGAGAAGGUCACUUGGCGACUGCUCGUCUUUGACUUGUUUUUGAAAUUCCGCUAGCUAACGUGUCGAAAUCUUAUGCACACUACAUCGAAUCGCAGUGCACCACUACGCAGAUGUCCAGAUCCUAACCCAGACUUUUGAUUUAAUCUUACGUGUCAAAAUCUCAUGCACAUCGUAGAAAAUUGCAGUGCACUGCAUCGUAGAGGAUCCAAUCCCUCAUCCACACUUUUGAAUCCAAGCCUGUCCUAGCGAAGCAUGAACUUCUCAGAGCUCCGUUUGUGUUGUUUCUGAGGAGUGAGGAUUGAGAUUUGAAGAGGAGAAAAUGGGGAAGCGAAUGAGAAGAGAGAAGUCCAUUUGCUGCUACAACUCUCCUCUCGCUGAUUUCUCCUAGUACUUUCUCUCUGCAUUCUGCGAGUUUCGCUCGAAAAUCAGCUCGAAUUUCAUGAAAUUUUGAAUAUUUAGUUUGAAUUCUGCACAUUUAUCUGUAAAUCUAAACUCGAAUUUCCUGAAACUAUGAAUUUCAUAUAUAAUUUGAUAAAACUUCAUGCUAUUGUAAAACGGUUCCAGGCAAUGAAUAUUUAGUUUGAAUUCUGCAAUAUUUGAUGUAGAAAUCUAAGGAAACUAGAAGAAGUUGUCUCUCUCUACUCUCUUUCAAAAACUCUACGGAUUCCUCUUACAGAUCCAUGCGAAUUUCAUGAAAAUUUGAGCGGUCAUUUUAAACCUUGAUACAUCUAUCAAUCGAAUUCUCUUUCUCUAAUGUUUGCUUUAGAAAACAAUGGCACUGCAAAUAUGAUUUGAAAUUUGCUUGAGUUUUCAUGAAUAGGCAUAAUCAGAAAUAUGUAAACUAUUACCAGAAACUCUCUUUCUCUCUGUGAAAAAAAAAAAUUGGCUUUUGGACAUUUAUUAUCAUAACAGAUUUUACAGUAGGUCAGUACGAUUUUUUCCUUCCCAUUUUCUGUUUCGAAAAUAGUAAAUAGGGGAUUUAUUUCCUUAUGGUUGAUUGGGUAACUAAUUAGUCAAAAUUAGUUUUGGGAAACAAUAUGGAAUAAGAAAGAAGGUCUAAAUCAAUUGGGUAACUAGGUUUGUUGCCUACAAUUAAGGGUGGCAGAACACAAAGAGAAAAAUCAGGCAAGUGAGUUUGUGAUUUUGGGCUUGUAAUUUGGGGUUUACCUUGGGAAAAGUGUUCUGGUAUGUUUUUCGCCUUGUAUCAUUGACUGUGAAAUAGUGAAAUUGCUGCUACAAUCCCUAGAUGUAACUCAGUUUUGACUCUUCUGUGUUACGUGGGUAGUUUUGCAGCUGCAAGGAGUUUGUGCAUUGAAUUUUAAUAAGUUGGUUGAUUAUUUCUUUUUCAUAUUCCCACACUCUCCUUCACUUCAAGUUUGGUACAUUUAUGGAUAACUAUCUCUCACUUCCUGUGCAAUUUGAUGUGAAAGUGAAUAUAAUUUGAUGUUGUCUUGAACUGUUUUACAUUAUCAUAAUCAGAAGAAUGUGGAAGACUAGUGUUGAAUUUGAAUUCCCUACACUUAUCCAUUAAUCUUAAUACAGAGGUAGCAUUAGUUAAAGGUACUUGAAUCCUCACACAUUAGCAUAAUCAGAAGAAUUGUAGAACACCAGCAGCAGUUCUCUCUGCCUUGCUUGAGAACCCUAUGGAUUUCUCUGCCAAAUUGCUUGGAUUUUCAUGAAACCUUGAAUGUUUAUUUUGAAUGUUGUACAUUUCAAAUGGUAAAGUUUCUAAUAAUGAAAACAUUAUCUUUUUUCCUAAAAAAAAUUAUUUUCAGGGCCAUUGAAAGGAGUGGAUUUUUUUUUCUGAUUUGGAUCUCUAUACCUUUUACUGUUUUAAUUUUUAUAAAAAUUAAUAUUAUAUGAAUCCUAAAUUUAUCCUUCUCUCAUCCAAAUUCCUUGCAACAAAAUUGGUCAAAUGUUUCUUUUUUAUUUUGACCUUUUCUGUUUAUUGCUUUUAUAUUGCAUGCAAACAAGUAUGAAGAAGACAUAGGGACAGAGAUUGCAAAGCACUUGGAUGGUAAAUCUCUGGUGAUGUUGGGAACAACAAAUAAGUGGUUCCACUGUCUGAUCAUGGAGGACAGUAUGUGGAAGUUUGCUUGUCUGCGUGAUCUCCAGCUACUAGAACCAUGACACACAUUCCUCAAUCGGAUCAAGCUUUAUGCUUAUGCAUUUGGUAAUGAGCAGGGUGUUAAAUUUUCUCCAUAUUCAGUUAUGUUAUGGUUCUUAUAGUGAAUUAGUAUCAACAUCUGCUUAAUGGUUGUCCUACAAAUGGAAGUCACUCUUUCAUGUUCCGUCAACAGAAGAAACAUAUUGGUAAUUAUCCUUCCCUUUUUACUAUUAUCUAGAUUUUUUUGCCUUAGUUGCAAGAGAAACCAAUUAGUUCUCUUGGUUAAAGUAGCUACUUCCCUACUCUCUGGAGACUGUUUGAUUACUACUCAAAAAGAGCAUAUUUUAAAUAAUAAUGUUCAUAAGUUUCACAUCUUUUGAGUUGUAAUAAUGCCUAAAACACUCAAUUAACAUGUUGUUGCCCUUGCAAGAGUUACUAGCAAGUUUUAUGAAGUUUUGGAAUCAUUUUAAGAUAUGAUUUUGAUAAAUUGGUGACAAAAGAGAUAAAUCAAAUUGAAAUGAACAAAUAAAGUUGAUGAAGAUCCAAAUGCAUAAUGAUAGAAGUAAUGUAAUUGGUUUGAAUCGGGAUUUGGAGUUGAUUUGGAGGUGGUUGAGGUGGAUUCAAAGGAAAGAAAUGACAAAAAGGAGUUGAAAAAUAAAGUCAUGCAAAAUGGACCAAAAGGCAUUUAUACUGCAAACCAAAGGGAAAUCUCAAAGCUAAUUUUGCAUGACCAUGCGAAAAUUUUGCACAGUCAUGUGAAAUGCUCCAAGAAGGUGAAAAUUGGUGUUGAUGCAUUUUUUACUUUGCACAAUCAUGUGAAAUUGCUGGAUCUCGUGCGAAAUGGUCAUUUUAUUACUAAACUCUAGAUUUCUUGGUGAAAAAGCCUUCAGAAGACCUCUUAAAUGAUGCCAAGUAUCCACUUAACCUUGACCUAUAAAUAGAAACUUGAUUUUCUCAUUUAAAGGACUUUUAGCCAUUUCUAAUUGGAGAAUUUCCCAGAUUUUCUCUCUUUCUAUAGAAUUCUCUACUUUCUCUCAUUUUCUCACUAGCCAAAUAUGCCUUGUGAGACCAAAUCUCCAAGCAUGAGUGGCUAAAUCUCGUUUUUCUAGGAGGAGUGAGGAUCUAGAGGUAAGAUCUAUGGUGAAUUAGAGAAAUGAGCUUGAAUUGCAAAGGUAAUUUGAUCCAAGUGAUUAAUUAAUUGAAUUUUGGGGAUUUUUCUCUUCAAAUUGUCUUGGAUGAUUACUACAAUGCAAACUAGGUAGAUUCAUUAAAUUCUUAUAGUUAAAUUUGAUGAGAUUGAAUAGUUGCAUUGUGUGAAUCAUUGGAAAAUAAUUUAAGAUUAAUUGAAUAUAUGAUUUGAAUUGAUCUCUUGGAUUAAAUGACCUAAUUUGAACAGAAAUUAGAUCUAGAUCUAAAGCUAAAUAAAAAAAUUGCUUUAGAUGAAAAUUUAUAUUUUCAAUCUAACUUGAUGAAAAUUAGAUUUUAACAUCUAUUCACCAUGGAAAUUGUUUUCUAGAAAAUCCUAACUCCAAGAAUUUCAUUUUCUAUUAAUUUUCUUCUGUUUCACAUUUCAUUUUUCUUCUCAAUUUGAGACCAUUGUUAAAUUGAUUUUUUUUACCAUGAAUUUUCAAAUCAAUUUCACUUGAUUACAAUAAUUUCUUAUCCUCUCAUUCAAGCCUUAAUUACCAAGGAUAAUCCAUCCUAGUGGACGACGCCUAAAAACCACUAUACUACGGUAGUUUGUACUAAAACCAUUUUUGAUCGAGUACAAGCUACUCUAGAAUAGUGAAUUAGGUUAUAAAUUUUGUUUUGAUGCAAUAAAUGACGAAAAAUCAAGUGAUCACUGUUCUUAUGAACAAUUUUCAGUUAUUCAAUAAUAAUGCACAUUGUUUAGGGAGAAGGCUAAUUCAGUGCAGUUAAGGUGAGAAAUUGUUUGGAAAUCAUAAACAAUAAUUAUAUGCCAUUAAAGUAUUGUAAUUUUUCGUAUUGACUAGUCUUAAAAGAGUGAGAUGACUCAUUGUGCCACAUUAUGCCACUGCUUGUGCUUUAGCAGAGUAGGAAUGAUCAAUCUCAUGAGUCUCAAAAGAUAAGUUAGAUCAUUAUUUAGUUUUGGGUUCUGUCGUAGGGCAGGACUCAGGAAGCACUGAUUUUAAAUUUACCCUAUUUUUCAUCUACUCAGGGACAGACAAUUUGUAAAAAAAUUUCUUCUUAUCAUCAUUCUCACCAAAUAUCAUGAAAUGCAGUUUUUAAAAUAUGGAUUCAAAAUCUUAUCUCUAGAUUCAUAAUUUUUCAUGUAUUUUUUUUAAUGAAACCAAAUAGAUUGGAUGCGAAUCGAUGUUCUUUUAUUUUUCAUGCAUUCUUUCAUUACUCCUUUUAAGUAAACAAGUCUAAAGAAAAUAAAUAUUUUGAAUAUAUUUUAAGUAAAAAAAUUUAUUGUUCUUCAUUAUUGGAUUCCAAACGGAUAAUUAGAAUUAUUAAGGUAAUGUUUAAAUAUAUUUUUUAUUUUUAAAUAAAAUUAGUAAUAAAUGUCUUAUAUAAAAAGUAGCAAUUUAUAUGUUAUAUUGUUAAAAAUCUUUAAGUUGAUGAUGAAUUUGAAAAAGAUAAAAUUUUAAGUUAUCUUUUAGUUUGUGAUUUUAAGUAUUCACAAGGGUAUUUUUGGAAAUAAAAAGUGAAAAACACAAACAGCUUCUACGCUAUACUUUCAUUGCUAUGCGCGCAUUGCACCACUUUUUGCUUUGUCGUUCAAAGUUUGGAAAUUAAAGGUGAACUUGUUGGGUCCUGGGAAACCCACCAGCACUUUCCACCUCCAUAGCAUGGCACAACUCAAGGCUUCUUCGUUCUCUCAUCUUUUCUAUCAACUCCUCUCUUCUUUCUAUGAAUUCUUUUUGUCUCUGGUAAUUACAUGACGACCUUCAAGCUCUUUGGUACUGAGAUAUCGGUGUUGAAGGAAAGAGAAGACGAGAUACCACCAAUCCCAUCACCUCUCUCCCAAUUGCCUUGUCCAAUCUUGACUACUAUUGAAGGCAUGAAGGGGCGUGGAUUGGUUUCGGUGAUGAGAAAGACACUGACAACAUCCGAUGUGUUUGUGCAUCAGAGUCGGCUUUUCAUCACCAAGUGUAAGGUGUUGUGGAGCCAGUUAUUGGAGGAGAAGCAGAAGAAGGUGAGGGCAAAAGAGCACGUUGAAGUUGAGGUCGUGGAUCCCAAGGGGGGGGAGGACUGGGAUGAAGUUGAGGCUGUGGAAGAGUUUGAAGAUGCUUGUGUUGAAUUCCGGAUGGGUAAAGUGACAAAAGUUGUGGAAUAAAGGCUGAAAAUUUCUUAUUCUCCAGAAUGUGAAACACAUAUAACUUAUAUAGGAAGAGAGGUGGAUAUUUACAUAAAGAGUCCUACUCCCAGUUUAACUAAAAGGACAAACAUUCCUACUCCUAGUUUAACUAAAAAGAUAAACAUUAUAACUGAUAAACGUUUACAACAGAUGGACAUUAUCACUUAGUGGCUAAGUAUUAUAUUUUCUGUUACUCCCCCUCAAGUUGGUGCAUGAAGAUCUCGAACGCCCAACUUGCUUGAUAAGAAAAGAAAUUGUUGUCUUCCAAGUGCUUUGGUGAACAUGUCUGCUACUUGCAGCUUUGAAGGAAGAUAUGUUGUCACUAUCUCACCUGAUUGCACUUUCUCUCGAACAAAAUGACAGUUUAUUUCGAUGUGUUUGGUCCUCUCAUGGAAUACGGGAUUUGUUGCAAUGUGUAAAGCAGCCUUAUCAUCACAGUAUAAUUUCAUUGGCUUAUCAUGAAGCACCCCUAAUGAUGCAAGAAGUGAUUUUAGCCACGUUAACUCGCUUGCUGCCAUUGCCAUGGAACGGUACUUUGCUUCUACUGAAAAUCUUGAUAUAGUUCCUUGUUUUUUGCACUUCCACGAAAUUGGUGAUGUCCCAAGUUUAAUGCAACAUCCGCUAAUUGAUCAUCUUGUUAAUGGACAACUUGCCCAGUCCGAAUCUGAAUAAAAAUAAAGUUGAAGAUCAUUUUCUGCUUUCAAAACUAUUCCUUGACCUGGUCCUUUCUUCAUAUAUCGAACGACUCUAUAAGCUGCAUCUAGGUGUUCUUCCCGUGGGCUUUGCAUGAAUUGUGACAAAACAUGAACAACAUACGUCAGGUCUAGCCUUGUUACAGUCAAGUAUAUCAAUCGUCCCAUAAGUCGCAUGUACAUUCCUGGGUCAUUUAGCAAUCUCCCAUUAGCAAGUGCUAGUUUGUGGUUUUCUUCCAUUGGAAAUUCCACUAGUCUCGCUCUUAACAGCCCAUAUUCCUCUAUAAUGUUUAAAGCAUAUUUUCGUUGUGAUAAAAAUAAUCCAUCCUUGCCUCUUGCCACCUCGAUUCCAAGAAUGUAUUUCAAUUGUCCCAGAUUCUUGAUUUCAAAUUUUCUGUCAAGAAAGUUUUUGAAAGCUUCGCAUACUUUGUUGUCAUUCCCAGCCAAUAUUAAAUCAUCCACAUUAACCAAUAGGUUCAUCACUAUGUUUCCACGUCGAUAAGUAAAGAGUGAAUAAUCAGCCAAUGAUUGUUGAAAACCAUAUUAUUUCAAAGUUGUCGUGAGUUUCGCAAACUAUUGUCUCGAUGCCUGUUUCAAUCCAUACAACAAUUUUUGUAACUUGCAAACUUUGUUCUUUCCAGUGGCCUUGAACCCUUGUGACAACUUCAUAUACACUUCUUCUUCAAGGUCUCCAUGUAGAAAUGCGUUGUCCAUUUGGUGUAAUUCCCAUCUUUUCACCACUGCUACAGCUAGAAAGCACCUUACACUUGUCAUUUUUGCCACUGGAGCAAACGUCUCUUGAUAGUCUAUUCCUUCAAUCUGUGUAAAUCCCUGCGCCACUAACCUCGCUUUAUACCGCUCAAUUGAUCCAUCUACGUUGUAUUUUAUUUUGUAUAUCCACUUGCAUCCUAUUGCUUUCUUUUCUGGCGGUAUGUCAACUACUUUCCAUGUUUGAUUAGUCUCUAAUGCUUCAAUUUCCUUUGCCAUGGCUUCUCUCCAUCUGUUGUCUAUAACCACUUCUUUGUAAGUUCUUGGUUCCUUUUCAAUAUUUAUUGCUGCAAGAAAAGCUCGAUGGCCAACAUAAAAUUUUGUAUAAGUCACAUAAUUCGCAAUAGGAUAAGGCUCACCUGAGGGUACCUUUUGGAUUGAGCUUGCCUUGGAACAAAGUGUACUUAAGCUUCUAGCUGAAUAACAUAUAUAAUUUUGGAGAUGUCUCGGUUCUUUGUGUUGUCUAUGUCCCCUACCAAGCAUCUCCCCCUUGCUUUGAUCCUCUCAUGUCUCCAUAUUUUCUUUCCCUUUCUCCCUUUCACUAUUUUUUUCACUCUCUCUUUCACAUGUUUUCUUUACUAUGACAUCAUCAUCUUCAAUGUAAGAUUCUAUGUUCCCAUUGUUCUGGAAUUUUUGUUCUUUAUCUCCCUUGCUGCUUUGACAAAAAGGAAAAAUUGUUUCAUGAAAUAUUACAUCCCUACUCUCAAACUGUUCUUUGGUUUCUAGAUCGUGAAGUUUCCAUCAUUUCUUUCCAUAGGGAUAACCUACAAAUACGCAUCGUCGGCUUCUAGCAUCAAACUUAUCAUUAUUACGUGACUUUUUAUGGGCAUAACACAAACUACCAAAGACUCUCAAGUGCUCAUAAUUCGGUUUCUCGCCAAAUAAUAUUUCAUAAGGCGUCUUUCCAUCUAAUAUAGGUGUGAGGGUUCGAUUUAUCAAGUAUGCUACCGUUAAAACACAUUCUCCCCAAAAAUCUAUUGGUAGACAAGCUUGAAAUCGCAAUGUCCUAGCAAUAUUUAAUAUGUGUUGGUGUUUUCUCUCCACUCUCCCAUUUUGUUGUGGGGUGUUUACCAGGCUACUCUCCCUUAAUAUUCCUUCUCUCUUAUAAAAACUCAUCAUUUGUCCUGAGCAAAAUUCUAAUCCAUUAUCACCUCUGAUGCAUUUAACCGGUUUAUCAAAUUGCGUUUUGGUCAUAAAACAAAAAUUUUGUAAAAUAUCUUUGGUUUCGCUCUUUUCUUUCAUGAGAUAUAUCCACACCCCUCUACUAUGAUCAUCUACAAUGGUAAGAAAAUAAUGUGCCCCUGAAGUAGUGGGAGUUCGAUAUGGACCCCAUAUAUCUACAUGUAUGAGAUUAAAAACUUCAGAUGCUCUUUUAUUACUCAAUUGAAAAGAAUUUCGUACUUGUUUUCCACGACAACAUGAAUUACAAACAUAGUCCUCAAUUCCUUUCAUCACAUUAUUUCCUAAACUAUGAAUGAAAGCUAAAACACGAUCUGAAGGAUGCCCUAACCUCCUGUGCCACAAUUCAUACUUUUCUUCUACUUUCACUGCGUUCACCUUCUCUUCUUGUAAUGGCUUGUAGUAGUACACUCCAUUCCUCAACUCACCCACUCUAAUCGGAUUCCUCGAAGUGCGGUCCUGUAUCACACAAAACGAAUUAGUAAAUAUGACUGUAUAAACUUUUUCUUUUAAUAAUUGGCCUAUAGAGAUUAAAUUGCAUUUCAAGGUAGGGACGUAUAGAACAUUUUUUAAGCAUAAAUCUUUAGAGAGCUUCACAUAUCCCAUUUCAUUUGUUAUGGCUUUUGUUCCAUCAAGCAGUCCCACAUAUGCUGUCUCCCCUUUACGUAGUCAAUCGAACAAAUCUCUCAUUUCUGUCAUAUGCAUGGAUGUACCACUAUCCAAUAUCCAUUCUUCCAUAAUUUUAUUCUUAUCAGUCAGUUUUUCUGCAUUACUGCUUCCAUUUCUGAGUAGAGUCAUGAGUUUUUGGAAGUUGUCAUCAUUCAGUCCUGGGAUUAUACUAUGUUCCACAUCAUGUCCAACGCAUUGUCCUUUUUCUUGCGUAUAUGCUUCAGCAACUGCAUUUGCAUAAUGAACACGUCCUGAAGUUGCUCAUCUUCCAGCAUAACUGUUGCGGCCAUGUCCACGUCCCCUUCCUCAUUCCAUUUGGCAUGUUGGCCACCAGUCGGGAUAUCCUUUUAGUUGAAAGCAAUCUGCAACAUCAUGUCUCGUCUUUCCGCAAUGUGUACAGCUCCCACUUUUAUUUGUUUGUCCCUCAAGUUUCUCUGUCUUAGCUGCAAAAACUGUUAUUUUAGCACGAUCAGCUCCUCUGCCUAUGCUACGAUGGCGUUCUUCUUGUGUAACCAUUGCAUAUAUUUUUCCCAAAGUAGGUAAGGGAUCAAGGGCUAAGAUAGAUGAUCUCACGGUCCCGAAUGUAGUGUCAUCUAGACCCAUGAGAAACUGAUGUGCCUUCUCAUCUUCUCUGCUUUUCACUAUUGCUUGAGUUGUUCCACGAGUGCACUCAGGUAUCUCGAUGUAUUGAUUUAAUUCAUCUCACAUGCCUUUUAUUUUGGCAUAAUAUGCAGCAACUGUCAUUCAUUCUUGUUUCAAGUUCACGAUUUCACUUCUGAGUUGAUGAACCCUCAAAGCAUUUCCAACAACAUAUCUUUCUUUGAGAUCCUCCCACAUGUCUUUUGUAGUCUGCGCAUAGGCUACACUCAAAUGUAAACUCUUGUCGAUCACAUUAAACAUCCAUGAUAUAAUCAUCGAGUUACAUGCUUCCCAUGCAUUCAAUUCGUUUCCAUUUUCUCCUUUUGGUUUGUUUACUGUCCCAUCAAUGAUCUCAAGCUUGUUUUUCGCUCUCAAUGCAUUUCUAACAACCUUCUCCCACAUAUCAUAAUUUUCACCAUUGAACACACAUGUCGUGAUGGUUGCCCCUGGAUUAUCAAAUGGAUGUAGGUAAAGAGGUGAAGAUGGUUCUAUCAUCUUUGUGUGAGUCGAAGGUUUUUCUACCAUGAUACAUUUUCUUCAGGUAUCUGGCUCUGAUACCAUGACAAAAAUUGUGGAAUAAAGGCUGAAAAUUUCUUAUUUUCCAGAAUGUGAAACACAUACAACUUAUAUAGGAAGAGAGGUAGAUAUUUACAUAAAGAGUACUACUCCCAGUUUAACUAAAAGAAUAAAGAUUAUAACUGAUAAACGUUUACAACAGAUGGACAUUAUCACUUAGUGGCUAAGCAUUAUCUAUUCUGUUAUAAAUCUUGUGAAGGUUAACAAGCUGGAGGCGAAGGUGCAUUGUAUUGAGUUGUAGACUUUUAGGAUGAGUGACAAGUUGUUCUUCGCUUUGAAUGUCGAAAGACAACGACAAUACCAUCCAUGAUGAUGAUAUAUCAUUCAUUCUGAAGAAUCUAAAUCUAGCUAUAAUGGUAUAAGUGUGUUUGGUCCUUCAUAUUUGUGGAUUUUGGUUUGCUUAAUUUGCUUUGUAUCUUGAUUUGGAGUCGACCCUAUUGGUUUUUUUUUUUUCCUCCGAUUUCCUUUGAAAUAUGCAUGUGUGAGUGAAAUAUGCAAGAAUGACGACAAAGAUUGUAAGCUAUGGGCUUUAGUCAUGAUUUCCGGUUUUAUGUUAUAAAUAAUUAAAUAGAUGUUUGCUGUAACAUUAAUUGUAAGUCGAUCAUUCCCCAAGGCAGAUUUCCUUGUGGAUGAUGGAUUUUGUUACUUCAUUAUUAAUGUUCUUUUCAUGAUAUUCCUAAUCCUUAAAUUUCAACUAACGAACAUGUUGCUACAGCUGUUUAUUAUCAAUGAGCAACAACAGGGCCAAUAUCCAUUCAGUAGAAAGAAAAAAAAAAAUUGAAAAGUUGAAGUGCUCACACAUGCCGCCUUCUUGGUGGCACUCCCCCCUUGUGUGAGUGGAAGUGUGAACACCUUUCCAUGGGACUAUCACUGUUGUGGAGUAUACUCUCCAUGUAGAUUUUGCUUGUGAUAAUGAUCACUCUUGCCCUUUUAGCCAUGGAAAAUAAUAUCUUUCUCUCUUUCUCUCUUCUUCUUUUGGUCCUCUUGAUUGCGCUCCUCCUCAUUUUAGGUCGCUUGGCUUCUUGUUCUUUAGGAAGCUCCAUCUUCAUUUCUUCUUCUAUUUUAUUCGGCGACAUCUCCACUCCAAACUGUCUGAUGAUCUUCACUUAUUCUUCGUCGAGGCCUGACUCAAUCCGUAAGGGAUUGGUGUGGGAUGUGGAAAUAGAAAAUAUAUAUAUAUAUAUAUAUAUAUAUAUAUAUAUAUAUAUAUAUAUAUAUAUAUAUAUAUAUAUCUUUUGUCAAAGUUGCCUGCAACUUUCAAAGGUUUUUUUGUCCUUACUAAAUGUAGCCGAUGAAUUUUUAAGGGGAAAAGCCAAGAUGUUAGGACUAUGGGUCCAUGUCACGUGUGUUUGGUUUCGGCCUGAAGUUGUUUUCUUACACUACAAUAUACAGGUGCAGAUAUGGAAGACCGCAACUAAGUGUCACCAUAGAUGGCGCAGAUAAAUCUUAUAAUUGCGGCCUCAUACAAUUGUGCAAAUAUAAUGUUCAAGUUAUAGCUGGGCCAAUCUUUUUCCACCACCAAAUCGCUUAUAUAGCUGCUGCUCCUUGUAACCGCUACCAUAAGGCUGCUACAACAUUGCCAGAGUGCUCUAUGGCACAAACAAUUACUGAUUCUAAUGCCCUAUCAUGUUCAAAUUUUGCUCCUUGGAUCUAGAUUCCGAAGUGUUUGACCAUAUGACAAGUUUUUCUAAUCUUUUUUUUGACAUCCUUAUCAUUUCUUAUGAUGUCAAUAUCCACUUGGAAAGAAAAUAUACUAUCUAUGACAAGUGUAUUUCAAUCUCAUUUUUCUCCAUAUAUAAAUAGAUAAUUGAGAUCUUAUCAUUAUCAUCUACUUAUACCCUUUUAAGAGCUAAUUGUAAAAUAUAUACCUCUCCAAGGGCUAUUUGUUUAAACUAUAUCUCUUCAGGGGUUAUUUGUUUAAAUUGUACCUCUUCAAAGGUUGCUUGAAAAUGAUUAGUCCUUUUAUAUGCAACUUCUUCAAGAGUGUCACUUUUUUUUUAUAUAUUUCCUUGUGUUUUCCUCUUCCACGAAAUGUGUUUGCCUCUUCAAUGUCUACCACGUUUUAGGUGUGCCUUAAACUUAUUAUUUAAUUGUUUUUCAAGGAUAUCAACUCAUUAUUUAAUCGUCUUUUAGGAACAUCAAUUCAUAUUAGAAUAUUCUCAAUUAGUGAUAAUGAUUGUGUCACUUUCCUUGCAUCAAUGAAAGCAUUUGGUGGUUAAUUUGCAAGUCCUUGCAAACGAAUAAUCUUUUGAACUUCUAGUUCACAUUAAUUAGUAUAAGGAUCAAGAUGAGUCAAAGUCAAUGCAUUUCAAAUAAUUUCACGUCGUUAUUUUGGAAUUGGUUUUUCUCCCUUUAAAAGUGGGAAAAUUGUCUUAUUAAAAUGAUAAUCUGCAUAACAUGUCAUUAUACCUUUCAAGUGAAUAGGUAGACUAGUCACUAAAUAAAAACUUUUGGUUUUAUAAUGUAUGUUCAUACGACUUUACAAAGAAUUAAUGCAUUAUCUUUUACCUUAGGGGACAAAGUUGAUCUUACAAGAUUCUUCUGGAUCUAACAUAUUAUAAAGUGUCAUUCACAUGGAAUCAAAUACCAGUGACAUAGUAUAAGCUCUUCUAAAACUUUUAAUAAGGUUUCUAUCACUUGAUAGUUUUAACAUUGUUUGUCAUCAAUGUUGUGCAAUUAAUGAGUCAAGAGUUUCAUCAAAAUAAUAAGUUAUAAAACAUGUCAUAAAGACCUCACCUUUAUAGAGUUAAAGAAAUAUUAUCAUAAAGGAAGAGUUAAAAUUAACAAGAAAAUAUUAAUCAUCGAUGAUGACUUAGCUUAAUAAGUUGUGUAAAAUCAAUUAGAGCAUAUAUAAGACAACAAAACAAAUAUGAAAAAGAUAAUUUAAGUCAUAUACUUUUUAAAUAUCUAAUAGAUUUAAUUUUAUAAGUGUGGAGCAAGUUACACAUGAAAUAACUAAGAAGUAUUUCAAUAGUCAAACUAAUUGUAAUGAUUGAUCAAUAAUUUUAUUCAAAUAUUAUUAUGAUUUAAAUCAAUGUGCAAAAUUUAAUUCAGAGGUCAAAUUUUCAAGUGAGCAUAUAAGGAUUUAAAGUAUCUUGCAAUUUUUCCAUGUCUCAAAACUUUAAUUGAUACACUAGAAAUCCAUCUAAAUAUAUAUAUAAAGAUAAAACAAAAUAUAUUAAAACCAAUAGUUGAACUUAUUGUAAUUUCAAAAUUAUUCUUGAAUAAUAAAAUUAUUGCAUUAAUAAAAAUAUGAAUGAUACAUUCAAAUCCAAAUCAUAGAAAAUUAAGGACUUCAAUAAUUAAACUCUUGAAAACAAAAACAAAAAUUCAUAUUUUAUAACUUCAGACUAUAAAAAUAUUUAAAAUUCUUAUACCUCUAAACUAUAGGUGAAACAACAAUGUUUAUAUUAUAAUACUUAUAAUAAUCUUUAUUUAUAUAUAACAUAUAUUUUGUUUCACAUAUACGACUUUAGGUCACAAAUUUUCUAUAUAUUAUAGUCAUGAAAGAUUAUUAAAUUAAUUAUUCCACUUAGGUCUUAGUUAUAAGAAAUUAUAUAAUAUUAAUUUUAUUUUAUUUUAUUUUUUAUAUAGCUUUUAGCUAUAAUAGCAUAUGAAAUGAAAAUCUCUAUAGUUUUCAUUUAUAGGAAAUACAUAUUUUCUUUCACAGGACUUCAAGAAUAAAUUUAUGAGAACUCCUAGUCAUAAUUUUAUUACGAUAAAAUGAAAAUUUUGCAUAAUAUCAAAUUAGAAAAUAUUCUUUGUAUAGCUUCUAGCUAUAAAAUUUCAUAAAAUUAUUAAUUGACAAUUUAGUUUGUAUAACUUCUAGCUAUACAAAAUUAAAAUGCCAAUAUUUUCAUGUUUCUAUUUGAAGUACAAAAAAAUAUGUCUUAUAUAGCUUCUGGCUAUGAAAACAUUUUUUGUAUGGUUUCUAUUAUACAUUCUAUUUUAUUGUACUAUAAAUUUAUAAAUUUAUACAUAACUUCAAGUUAUGAAAUAUUCAUUGUAUAGUUUUGGCUAUAAAAUUUUGUUUUGUAUAACUUUCGGCUACACAAUGUAAUUAAAAUAAAUUUAAAAGUUAAUAUCUUUCAUAACUUUAGGCUAUGUGUGGACCCCGCAUUUCGGCUCAUGCGUUUCCCACUUGAUGACGAGCUCGAUUUUUGUUUGAAAAAUUGAUUUUUAUUUAUUGUUUGAAAAUGACUUGGAGUCGCCACUUAUUUUUGUUUUAUUUUAAAAGGGCAAACAAAAUAAGAAAGAAAACCCUAAGUGCGACUCCUUAUUUUGAAAAAGGUGAUCUACGAAAAACCGGAUCGGCUUCGAGGGUCAGGUUACUUAUCGGGAAGGUACGGUAAAGACCGUAGCACCCCUUUAAGUCCCUAAAGUCGGGCCUCUACUAAUGAGAUGAAGCAAUUAUGACAUCUAAUAAGGAAAUCAAUGAAAACUCGAAUCAAUCAUGCACGUAUUGAGAAUUAAAACAAGUAUAAGGAGUGACCAUGAUGUGAGAAAAUACGUACCUGGGUGGCGAACCGAUAUGCGCUAUCAAGAGGGGGGUUAGUAAAUCAAUUUAUUGGAUGAAUAUAUACGUAUCACAAAGCAGAACAAAUCAAUCACGCCCAACAAUUAAAUCAAUCAAUCAAUUAGUCAAUUAUAAAAUCAUAUAUGUCGGGCCCCCACCAAAGCCCGUUUAUUUUUGCAUGAAUUAAUUCCGUAAAUUCCAUCACUCGGAAUUACAGAAUUUAAAUUCAUGUUUAUUUUAAAAUAUUUUAAAAUUAUGAAAAAUUCGAAGGUGGCUCGCCGAAAAGAAAAUGGCGGCCAAAUUUUAUUAAAAAUGGGAUUUUUGAUACCUAAGAAUUCUAAAGGAUGGCAAUUUUUAAGACUUGAAAGUAUUUUAAAACCAGAACUUGGAAAAUCAUUUAUAAAACGAGGUUUGAAAAAAUCAUUUUCAAGAUCAAAAUGGGAAAGUAGGGGAUGACAUGUGGCUUAAAAAGAAAAGUUGCAUGCCAAAGGUGGCCAUGCAACUAGAAGUAUGCAACUGUAGGCCCAGGGAAGAAUGAUUUUUGAAGUGGGCUUUAGUAGUAGGCUGAUUUGAAUAAUGAGACAUGGUUUGGAUCAAGAGGCUGGCCCACAUUGACCGCAUUUACCAGUGCUUUCACAGUCAAAUCGCCUUUAUUUGAGAAGGUUUCUUUCUUAAGAACUGAUUCGUUCCCACUUGGUGUAUCAGCUGAUUCAUUUCCAGCUGGUGCUCCUUGAUUGAGGUAGUAAUCAACAAAAUUUAUAACCUAUUAUACCAUGAACUAGGGUAGCAAAGACAAAGCUACUAUAGCAUAGUGGCUCUAGGAUCGUUCACUGGGAAGGGUUUUCAACUCACAACUGAUACCAAUUCAAAGCUGAGUUGGUGCCUUUUCAUUUCAAGGUUAGCUUUAAAAGAAACCAUAAAGAUGUUUGAGUGAAAAGGGUUUGGUCUUAAACUAACCAAAAAGAAAGUAAUGGAAAUUACUUAUGAAGAAAAACAUUCCUUGGAGGUUUAGGUUCAUAGGGGAGGUUCCUUAUGCAAAAACAGAGCUCUGGUCAUUUGGUUCAUUUCCUCGCAUUAGAGAAUUAACAUAUAGUCAAUUCUCUAACCGGUGUGGUAUAGCUGCUUCCCUUUAAUGGGUUAAAACACUAAAUCCCUCUCACUGAUGCAACUUGCAAUGGCUCGUGCCUCUCACCUAGCAUUUGUCAUUCAAGGUGAUCUUUAACCUUGGACUUCCCUUCUCAAGCUCGCAAGAGAUAACUAAUGGAUGUCUCCUUGGAGUCCAAAAGCUUACCAAGUGUUGGCAAUUCUAGAAAAUCCUACCUCCAAGUCACUUCCCAAAAGCUCGCAAGAGAUAAACAAGUGCAUCUCCAUGGACGGAGAUCACGUGCCUUACCAAGUGUUGGCUCAAGUGACUUGAAGGUGUUUUAAGUUAACUAAAAACAUAGAAAUCAUUAAAGAAUCACACUUUCUCUUCAUUAAUGACUGAAACCACAAAGCUACUAAUUCUUGCACUUGGAACCUUUCCCGGCAACCUUAACUCCAAGGAACUAAAAGUCUAGCCACUCAUUCUCUGAGGAAACUUCUUUAAAGCUUGUUUGGCUAGUAAGAAAACUAACGAGAAAACAAUUAUAUGAAGGAAAAACAGAGCAAGUGCUCUGUGAAAUAUAUUUCUUUCUUCCGUCGAUUACAUAAUAAAUAUAUUUGUAAAGAAAAUUACAAACUAUAUAUAUGAGGUUAUUCACCUUUUGUACUUACUUAAAGACUAAGGAAUCCUAUGAUAGGUGGGUUACAAGGAGACUUUGGGGAUUUAGACAACAAAUAUCUAAAGCAAAAUAUCUCAAAACGUCGGUCGGAAAUAUCAGGAAGCUUCAGGAGAACACCGCUGCACAGUAUACUGAGAGAAAAACUCUGUGGGUAAGCGUUAUCAGAAAGUCCGGAUAUGUCUAUCCGGAGAAGUUGAAACGUCCUCAUUUCCCAUCCGACUGUGAGAUAUCCGGAUGUAAAAUGUCGGCGCACGGAAUUCCGGAUGUGAAAUGUCCCACACCGCUAAGAUAUCCGGAUCAAUUCCAUCCAGAUUCCCCAAGCGGAAAGGCGGCGCAAUGCUAUCCGGACUCUCUCAGGGAGAAGCACACGGCACUCGUGAACAUCACACCCGGACAAUAGCAUAUCCUAUCCGGAUAUGUUGUCCGGAUGGAAAACAUUGACUAAAGCGAGCAAGCCUUGCUACAGCCUACGUUCCGCCGCUCUCCAAUGGUGUGUCCGGACGCCUUGUCCGGACAUCUUUGCCAAGGAUUCCAAAGAACUCUCCUCAAUAUCUUAUUGCUUUGGUGAUAAAAAAGCUAUCAAAACACCAAAACUUAACACAAUUUUAUUAGAAUUGAUUGCAAGGGUCCUUAAUAUGUUAAUUGGGUUAAAAGGUGAUAACUACUACUCAAAAGCAUUUAAAAGAGUUAAUUAUUGGCUAUCAAAUAGCACUUUUUGAGUAGUAAUCAAGAACGAACUCUUCUUCAUCUUCUUCCUCCUCUCCCCUGGGUUUCUUUAGCUGAAGCUGGCUGUAUCAUCUCCAUGAAGCUCUAGUUCUUUUGCCCAGAUGGCUGAGAGGAUGAGAGAGAGCCGAAGCUGCUACGAUGGUUGGAAAGGGAUUGAGAUGGCCGCUUCGAUGUCUAUUGCUCCAAUUUCACCACCGACUUUAUUCUAAUGAAUUUUUCUACUACAUUCUUCUUCCCUGCCUUUCCUUUCUUUACUGUAGUUUCUUCCCACAAGGUAAAGCCAUUUCCAUAUAUGAUCAAGUAUGUACUCAUCUAUAUUUGUAUCAAAUCCAGAAAAUUGGCGACUGCUCCCCGGAACAAAGUUUCCCAUUGUGUCCAUGGUGGUUGUCAUUGAAAUAGAUAAGGCUUGCCCUUGGUCUCCUGAUGCUGAACUGAUGGUAUGCUGAGCUGUAACCAUGUGAUUAGUACAUCCCGCCUCCAUCAGACCUUGUUUCAGUUGGAGGAAAUUGAAUUUCUCUAGCACAAACAGGUGACCUUUUCGGGACUUUGUAGGGAUAUCCAACUCAACUUCUGAAUUUCUAAGCAAACCAUGUAUUAAAGACCCACUCCAACAGCCAGUUGCCACAAUAACAGCUUUCUAAGCUAUCUCCUUGCCAUAGCUGCAAUCUUUGCCUUCAUGUCUAUGCCGUCAUUCAAAAUAUACAUCUCACCCUUAGCAUUAGGUUCAGACUUCAUUCUUCCCAUAUCUCUAGCAUUUGGUUCAGCCCAUUCUCUUGAAACUUUAGCCACAUAACUCAUGAAGUUCAUGGCUUCCUCUGCUAUCUCGUAUUCAACAUGGCAUGCACAACUAGCAAUUUAUGAAUUAAAAACAGAGAAAACAAAAGAAAACAAAAGAAAAACAAUUCUAAAAAAAAAUUAAGGUAAACUAAAAAUUUAAUAAAAGGUAUACUAAAAUAUGAACAAAGGAAAAUAAACAAAUAAAAAGAGUUAGUAAAAGGAAAAGAAAAGUCACCAAACUUGUGAUGAAGAUCACAAGUACUUUGGAAAGGUGAUAUCACUGUAAAGUGGCACCAUCCCCGGCAACGACGCCAUUUGAUUCGUUCCCAAUUGGUGUCUCAGCUGAUUCAUGUCCUCUCAAUGGUCCCUGACAGUGGUACCAUUUGAUUCGUGUCCAACUGGUGUCCCUUGAUUGUGGUCCUCAGAAAGGAGUAAUCAACAAAAUUUAUAACCUAUUACACCAUGUACUAGGAUAGCCUUAGCUAGCAUAGCAUAGUGGCUCUAGGGUCGUUCACUGGGAUGGGUUUUCACUCUACAAUUAAUAUUAAUUCAAAGCUGAAUUGGUGCCUUUUCAUUUCAAGGUUAGCUUUAAAAGAAAACAUAAAAAUGUUUGAAUGAAAAAGGUUUGGUUUUAAACUAACCAAAAAUAGUAACUGAUUUUACUUACAAAGAAAAUUGUUUCUUGGAGUUUAGAUCACUAGGCUCAGGUUCCUCAUACAAAAAGGAGAGUUUUGGUCACUUGUUUCUUUUCCUCGCAUUAGAGAAUUAACAUAUAGUUAAUUCUCUAACCGAUGUGGUACAAAUGAUUCCCCUUAAUGGGUUCAAACACUAAAUCCCUCUCACUGAUGCAUCUUGCAAUGGCUCAUGCCUCUCACCUAGCAUUUACCAUUCAAGGUGAUCUUUAACCUUGGAUUACCCGUCAAAAGCUUGCAAGAGAUAACUAAUGGAUGUCUCCUUAGAGUCCAAAAUCUUACCAAGUGUUGGCUAUUCUAGAAAAUCCUACAUUCAAACCACCUCCCAAAGGCUCGCAAGAGAUAAACUAGUGUAUCUCAAUGGACGGAGACCACUUACCUUAUCAAGUGUUGGCCCAGGUGAUUUAAAGGCGUUUUAAGUUAACUAAAAAGAUAAAAACCAUUAACGGGUCACACUUUCUCUUCAUUAAAAACUAAAAUAACAAAAAUUCCAAUUUAUGCAUGAGGAAACUUACCCGGCUUUCUUCACUCCAAGAGACGAAGAGCCUAGCCGCUCAUCCUCUGAGAAAACAUCCUCAGAGUUUGUUUGGCUAGAAAGAAAACUAACGAGAAAACAAAAAUAUGAAGGAAAACUAGAGCAAGUGCUCUGUAAAAUAUAUAUCUUCCUCCCGUCGGAUUACAUGAUGAUAUGAGAACAACCUCCCGACUCCUCUCUUAUAAAGAAAAUUACAACUAUAUAUAAGAGGUUAUUCACCCCCUUUGUUCUUGCUUAAAGACUAAGGAAUCCUAUGAUAGGUGGGUUACAAGGAGAGUUUGGGGAUUUAGACAUCAAAUAUCUAAAGCAAAAAAUCUCAAAAUGUCGGUCACACAUAUCGGGAAGCUUUAGGAGAACACCGCGGCAUUGUGCAAAAUGGCUGCGAAAUUUUUGCAGCAAAAGGACAACAUUUUCGCAGCUAAAGGCUGAUUUCAUAGUCGUGCACCAUUUUGCCUUCAACUUGGAGUGAUCUUCUUACAAUGGUUGUAACUCCUUCAUUUCAACUCCGAAUUGUGCACCGUUUAAAGCAUUGGAUUUUUGACUUCCUGAUCUUCGAAACAACAUAUAGAAUGCAUAAAUUGGACUUCAGUAAGUGCUCCAAAAGUGGCUGACAUGACUGUCAUCAAGAAUGCUUCAUGUUAGAUUUCUCUUUGCUUCCCCUCCUUGCAUUCCGGAUUUCCUUAUGGCAAAGGACUUUAAAGCUUUGGUUCUUCAUGUUUUUGAGCUUUCCAUUGCUUUGCCAUGGAUUCCAAAGAACUCUCCUCAAUCUUGGAUUGCUUUGGUGAUUAAAAAUCUAUCAAAACACCAAAACUUAACACAAUUUGAUUAGAAUUGAUUGCAAGGGUCCUUAACAUGCCAAUUGAGUUAAAAGGUAAUAACUACUACUCAAAAGUGUUUAAAAGAGUUAAUUACAAGCUAUUAAAUAGCACUUUUUGAGUAGUAAUCACUCCCCCCAACCGACAUAUUGAUCUAACUCUCAACAUCAUGCUAAUCAAAAAACAAUUUUCAAGUGGCAUAAUGAUCUAACUCUCACAUGGAACAUUAAAGAAAUAAAACUCAAACUUUAACAAGAGUUAUCAAAUAACUUGUCUAAUCACAAUUCUUAAAGAGAAGACAUUAUGCAAAUUUAAGCUUUAAAAGAGUUUCCACUCCCAAAGGGUCAAACCUUACUCUUCCACAAAAAUCUAAGUGUUACUUAUUAGUUUCCGAAUAUAGUAUGUUGAACUAAUCUCUCCCCCCAACCUAGUUCUUUUUCAAAGCUUAGUAAACUGAUCAACCUCCAAUAGGUUAAGAACGCACCUCUUUUUUCACAAUUUUUUUUCAUUGUAGGAGUACAAGGCUAAAGUUAUUCUUUUCUAAAUUUUCCAUGUAAUGGGGGUCCAUCAAUGACUCCCAACCAAUUAAGGUUUAGGGCAUCAAGCUUUAAGGAUCUUUCAACCACUAACUCCUCGGAUUUUACCCCGGACUUUUGAGAAUGAAUUUUUAAUACCUAAGCACCUAUAGUAUGUUAAACUCCACCUAUUCACCCUUGUAACGAGCAUUGAGGUCGGUGACUCCCAACCAAUGAAGGCUUAGGGCACUAGGUUUUAAAGAUUUUCACCAUAUACCCCUCAGACCUUGCUCGAGUUUCAAGGCAAGCAAACAUUUUUCUUUCUUUCUUUUUUUUUCAAAAGCUCAUUGGCCUUUUAUAAGGUGUCCCAACACUAUUAAAUGAAGUCAAAGGUACCAAGUCUAAAAUUUUCCUAAGUCAAGAGGGAAAUAGUUUUUCAUCUUAUAAUCGGAACCUAUUGUACACAGUGUGUGAAUGGCUUAAAGUGGAAGAACUGAGGUUGAUUUCAAUAGAAGUUUCAACAAUUCAUCAACUUUAGUAAGCAUAAUACAAACUCUAAGUCAAGUAAAAAGAGAAAAAUUCAAUUUCUCCCUUUUCAUUUUGAAAAUUUUUCCUUAAUAACCAUGGCGAGUAGAAUAAAAAACUUUAAAAAUUUUAAAAUUUAAGCAAAAAGCAACUAAAUUACCAAAAUAACUUAGCAUUAUUAAUAAUACUUACUUUCUCAACUCUCCCCCCAACCAAGCUGAACAUUGUCCUCAAUGUGACAAAAGCGAUUGAAAAAUAGGGAGGAAGUGGUACCUCCUGAGUGACAUGGAGUCUAAGUCAUAUAGGAGAAACCACAUGUUUCAAAAAAAAACAAAAGAGUUAGUGAGUAGAGGAAAUAGAAAAAUGCCAAGUUGAAACAAAAAAUGAUGUCUAUAUAUGAUGCAUCAUCAGUAAUACAUCCAAUCCCAGAAUAUAAGACAUCAAAACAUGGAAUUAUGUAUACUAAUAUGUAAAUACAAAAAAUGAAGAGAUGAUCAAGUAAUGGUAGAGUCCUGUGGAGCUGAUGCAUCUGUGGUGGCCUCUUGAGUGGGUUGGAUCAGGACUUUAGCCUCUGUUCUAGUAGUCUCCUUAGAUGGCAUAGUCUCCUUAGCUGGAGCUCUCAGUUAGAGCUAUGGGCUUUUGAUGGUUUUAGGAGGUAAGAAAUGGAAUGAGAGGCUUUGUGUGUGAUCUCAGUGAGAGGGCUCUCCUCUUUAGAUGCAUGGUUAUGUGGCUCUAUUGGCAUUUUUACAAAUUCCUUUGGCUUUGCUAGGUGUUUUUGCAAACCUCUCUUCAUUUUGGAAGUCAUUUUUAUAGCUUGGAGGUUAAUUCGUAGCUUAGAGAUCAUCUUGCAGUCAAAAGGAAAAAAGAAAAACAUUUUCCACAACCCAAGGGGAAUUUCACAGGGGGAAAGUGGAAUUUUGCAGCCCAUUUUGAUGCCAAAUGCCAUUUUGGCAGCCAAUGGAAAAAAUAGAAACAUUUUAGCAGCCCCUUUUGAAGCUUGGAAAUCAUUUCGUAGCCAUUUUGAAGCUUGGAGGCCAUUUUUGCUGUGGGAGGAGGAUUUCGUAGAGAAGGGGGAUUUUCGCAGCCUAUUUCAAAGUUUGGAAAUCAUUUUGCAUCCAUUUUGAAGCUUGGAGAUCAUUUUGUAGCCAUUUCGAAGCCAAAGGGGAAAAAAGAAACAUAAAAAAGAAGAUCGCAUCCCAUUUUUGAAGCUUGGAGAUCGUUUUCGCAGCGGGAAAAGGAUUUUGUAGAGGAGGGGAUUUUCGUAGCCCAUUUCGCAGCUGUGAAAUGGGCGUACGGCGCUGCGAAGUGGUACUCGUGUGCCAAAGGGUGGUUUCGCAGCUGCGAAACACCCUUCGAAAUGGGGGCUUGGCUGCGAAAUUCCCGCCCAACUUUGCGCGCUCAUCUUCAAACGGCCAUAUCUUUUUCGUUUCAACUCCAAAUCAUGUAUCGUUUGAAGUAUUAGACUUCUGACUUCCCAAGAUUCGAAUCGACAUAUGGUAUGCAUAAUUUGAGCUCCAUGAAGUGCUCCAAAAAUGUGUCCAACAGUAGCGAAAUGGGGUACGGCUGCAACAUUUCCGUUCAACUUUGCACAGUCAUCUUCAAAUGGCCAUAACUUCUUCAUUUCACCUUCAAAUCAAGCACCGUUUGAAGCUCUGGACUCCUGACUUCCCAAUAUUUGAAACAAGAUAUAGUAUACAUAAUUUGAGCUCCAGGAAGUGCUUCAAAAAUGUAUCCAACAGUAGCGAAAUGGGGUGCGGAUGCGACAUUUCAGCUCAUUGUUUGCACAGUCUUCAAACGGUCAUAACUUCUUUGUUUCAACUCCAAAUCAAGCACCGUUUGAAGCUAUGGACUCUUGACUUCUCAAUAUUUGAAGCGAGAUAUAGUAUGAAUAAUUUGAGCUCUAGGAAUUGCUUCAAAAAUGUGUCCAAUAGUAGCAAAAUGGGGGUGCGAAUGCGACAUUUCAGCUCAAUUUUGCACAGUCGUCUUCAAACGGUCAUAACUUCUUCAUUUCACGUCCAAAUCGAGCACCAUUUGAAGCUAUGGACUCCUGACUUCCCAAGAUUUUAAAUGAGAUAUGGUAUGCAUGAAAUGAACUUUGGGAAGUGAUUGAAAUAUGUCCAGCAGUUGCCUAAAUGGGGGUGCGGCUUCAUGGUGUGCGCGCUGAAGGAUUUUAAGGCAUGGAGGAUUUUGCAACCAUUUCGCAGCUGCGAAAUGAGUGUACAGGGCUACAAAAUGGCACUCGUGUGCCAAAGGGUGGUUUCGCAGCUGCGAAACACCUUUCCAAAUGGCUCAUCGACUGCGAAACGGAGGAUCUCAAGGCGUGGAAAGCUCGCAGCCAUUUCACAGCUGCGAAACGGGUGUACUUGGCUGUGAAAUGGCACUCGUGUGCCAAGGGGCCUCUUCACAGCUACAAAAAGUUUCGUAGAGGGCGCUUGGAGGCUGCGAAAUCAUUUCACAGCGAGGGCGCGAUUUUCGCAGCGGCUCACUUUUGCUGCGAAAUUUCGCAGCCCAUGCUUUCUCCUUACUUUUUGAGCUCCUCUUGAUUCCCAACUUCCUUCUUUCACCUUUUUUGACAUUCCUCUUGAUAUUGAUCAUCCAAAAACCUAUAUUACAUCAAAACAAAUGAGAAUUAAAGCAUUGAAAUCAAAAUUAAAUCAUUGAAAUCAAAAUUAAAACAAGUAAUAAGCAAAACAAAAAGAUAUGGACUAGCUAGUCUUUAGAAAGACUAAGUCCAUCAAAAAAUUUGAUCCUGAUUUAGCUUGCCCGGAUCUCAUAUGAAGUUUGCAUCCCUCACUUGAGACUUGCUUUGUAUGAUUUUCCCAUACAAAGCUUGGAUGAAAGGUGGAGGCAUGUGUUUCAUCAUUUCUUCCUUGAUGACUACCCUUUGUGGUUCUCCUUCUAUAUUAACAUCAUAGCCAUCUUUCUCUAUGCUUUUCCCCUUUCUCUUUCCUUUGAUUUCCUCCCUCUUUUCUUUAUCUGUUUCACUCUCUUCCUUAUGCUCUAGCUUGGAUGUGGGCAAAUCAACCUCUUUAUCUCCCUCCUUAGCCUCCAUUUCAUGGAUACCCUUUUGAUUUUGAUGAGGUUGAGAAGGAGAGUUUUCUUUCUCUUGCACUGUGUUGAGGUUGGCAAACCUUGAGAUAGAAUAUUGGAGAGUAUCUAUCUUCUGAGAUAGAUCAUUUUGCACUUCAUCCAUCUUUUUGUUCAAUGAACUCUCUACACUGUCAAUUCUUUGACUGAUAUGAGCAUUGAUGGAUUUCUGAGCUCCAACAAAGUCUCCCAUAACCUUGCUAAGAUUCACCAUAGCUUAAUCAAGGUUUGAGGCUUGCGGAAGUGCUUGAGCGGGUUGCUUAUGCUGAGGUGGCUGUGGUUUCCAAGAGAAAUUUGGAUGGUCUCUCCAAUUGGAAUUGUAGGUGUUGCAAUCACCAAACAUUUCCUCACGGCUGGAAUGGUAGGACACUCUUCCACCAAGUGCUCAUAAGAUAGACAAAUGGCACAAGGCAUAGCUUGCAAUGGUGUUUGAGAGAUGGCUUGCACUUCUUGCAUCUUCUUCAUUUCUAGCUCUUCCAAUCUCCUUGCCAUAGCUGCAAUCUUUGCAUUCAUGUCUAUGCCGUCAUUCAAAAUAUACAUCUCACCCUUAGCAUUAGGUUGAGACUUCAUUCUUCCCAUAUCUCUAGCAUUUGGUUCAUCCCAUCCUCUUGAAACUUCAGCCACAUAACUCAUGAAGUUCAUGGCUUCCUCUGCUAUCUCGUAUUCAACAUGGCAUGCACAACUAGCAAUUUGUGAAUUAAAAACAGAGAAAACAAAAGAAAAAAAAAGAAAAACAAUUCUAAAAAAAAAUUAAGGUAAACUAAAAACUUAAUAAAAGGUAUACUAAAAUAUGAACAAAGAAAAAUAAACAAAUAAAAAGAGUUAGUAAAAGGAAAAGAAAAGUCACCAAACUUGUGAUGAAGAUCACAAGUACUUUGGAAAGGUGAUAUCACUGUAAAGUGGCACCAUCCCCGGCAACGGCGCCAUUUGAUUCGUUCCCAAUUGGUGUCUCAGCUGAUUCAUGUCCUCUCAAUGGUCCCUGACAGUGGUACCAUUUGAUUCGUGUCCAGCUGGUGUCCCUUGAUUGUGGUCCUCAGAAGGGAGUAAUCAACAAAAUUUAUAACCUAUUACACCAUGUACUAGGAUAGCCUUAGCUAGCAUAGCAUAGUGGCUCUAGGGUCGUUCACUGGGAUGGGUUUUCACUCCACAAUUAAUAUUAAUUCAAAGCUGAAUUGGUGUCUUUUCAUUUCAAGGUUAGCUUUAAAAGAAAACAUAAAGAUGUUUGAAUGAAAAAGGUUUGGUUUUAAACUAACCAAAAAUAGUAACUGAUUUUACUUACAAAGAAAAGUGUUUCUUGGAGUUUAGAUCACUAGGCUCAGGUUCCUCAUACAAAAAGGAGAGUUUCGGUCACUUGUUUCUUUUCCUCGCAUUAGAGAAUUAACAUAUAGUUAAUUCUCUAACCGAUGUGGUACAAAUGUUUCCCCUUAAUGGGUUUAAACACUAAAUCCUUCUCACUGAUGCAUCUUGCAAUGGCUCAUGCCUCUUACCUAGCAUUUACCAUUCAAGGUGAUCUUUAACCUUGGAUUACCCGUCAAAAGCUUGCAAGAGAUAACUAAUGGAUGUCUCCUUAGAGUCUAAAAGCUUACCAAGUGUUGGCUAUUCUAGAAAAUCCUACCUUCAAACCACCUCCCAAAUGCUCGCAAGAGAUAAACUAGUGUAUCUCAAUGGAUGGAGACCACUUGCCUUAUCAAGUGUUGGCCCAGGUGAUUUAAAGGUGUUUUAAGUUAACUAAAAAGAUAAAAACCAUUAACGGGUCACACUAGCCGCUCAUCCUCUGAGAAAACAUCCUCAGAGUUUGUUUGGCUAGAAAGAAAACUAACGAGAAAACAAAAAUAUGAAGGAAAAACAUAGCAAAUGCUCUGUAAAAUAUAUAUCUUCCUCCCGUCGGAUUACAUGAUGAUAUGAGAACAAGCUCCCGACUCCUCUCUUAUAAAGAAAAUUACAACUAUAUAUAAGAGGUUAUUCACCCCCUUUGUUCUUGCUAAAAGACUAAGGAAUCCUAUGAUAGGUGGGUUACAAGGAGAGUUUGGGGAUUUAUACAUCAAAUAUCUAAAGCAAAAAAUCUCAAAAUGUCGGUCGUACAUAUCGGGAAGCUUCAAGAGAACACCGUGGCACUGUGUAAAAUGGUUGCGAAAUUUUCGCAGCAAAAGGACAACAUUUUCGCAGCCAAAGGCUGAUUUCGCAGCCGUGCACCAUUCUGCCUUCAACUUGGAGUGAUCUUCUUGCAAUGGCUAUAACUCCUUCAUUUCAACUCCGAAUUGCGUACCAUCUGAAGCAUUGGAUUGUUGACUUCCUAAGCUUCAAAACGAAAUAUAGCAUGCAUAAAUUGGACUUCAAGAAGUACUCCAAAAGUGGCUGACAUGAUUGUCAUCAAGAAUGCUUCAUGUUAGAUUUCUCUUUGCUUCCCCUUCUUGCAUUCCGGAUUUGCUUAUGACAAAGGACUUUAAAGCUUUGGUUCUUCAUGUUUCUGAGCUUUCCAUUGCUUUUCCAUGGAUUCCAAAGAAGUCUCCUCAAUCUUGGAUUGCUUUGGUGAUCAAAAAGCUAUCAAAACAUCAAAACUUAACACAAUUUGAUUAGAAUUGAUUGCAAGGGUUCUUAACAUGCCAAUUGAGUUAAAAGGUAAUAACUACUACUCAAAAGUGUUUAAAAGAGUUAAUUACAAGCUAUCAAAUAGCACUUUUUGAGUAGUAAUCACUUGGAGAUAGACUACAACGAGGCAUUUGAAAAACUUGUGCGCUUCAAUGACAACCUCGGUAAAUGGGUUGCGGAAAACAAUCCGGAACAUUGGGCAAUGUCAAAGUUUCUAAAAAAACAAUGGGAUAAAAUGACAAGUAACAUUGUAGAUUCCUUCAAUGCGUGGUUAAGAGAUGAGCGUCACAAAACAAUUUAUACGUUAUUGUUAAUGCACAUGGAUAAGCUUGUAGCCAUGUUGGACACCCAUAUGCGUGGUACAGAAAAGUGGAAGAGCAUGGUUGGACCGAAAACUGAAAAGAAGCUAAUGUCAAAUAUCAUGAGGUCUGGUCCGAUUAGUGUGUUGCCAUAUUUGGGGGGGGGGGGGGACGUUUAAGGUGUUUAUCGGGGAGGUUUAUUUGGUUGUCGAUAUCAAUCAACGUACGUGUACUUGCAUGACAUGGCAAAUGUCCGGCUUGCCGUGUUCACACGUAUGUGCUGUCAUCCGCACACUCAGACACGACGUGUAUGACUAUAUUGACCCAUGUUUUAAUGUCUCCAUCCAACAUUUGAUUUACUCUGGUCAGUUUCAACCAUUUCCAACACACAAUAUGCUGAAAGUUUGUGAGGAUGGGAGUCUGCAAGAUUGCGCCGAUAACUUAUUUUUUGCUCUCCAACCCCCUCAUGUCAGACAUCCUCCAGGAAGGCCCCGCCAAAGACGCAUUGAGUCACAGUUUACUCAUAAGAGAGCAAUUCAUUGCUCUCGAUGCAAUGGCAUAGGUCACAACCGCUCUAAAUGUAAUAAUCCGUUGCCAUGACAUGUGGCUUGUAUGUGCUUGUACGAUUCUCAUACUUUGUAUCAACCCAUACAUUCUAUUGUAGGGUAUAUGGUACGGUAUUGUUGUUUUUCAUUCAUAUGUAUUGGCCUGGUUAUAGCCACGAUGCACUAUCUUGUUAUUUUCAUGAUUUAUAGUUGCUUUGUUUAACCUACUUAAUUAAAAGUGCAAUUUGAAUGUGGUUUCUUUUAAGUUGUUAUUUAAUUCCAUCAAUGUGUCUACAUUAUCAAGCAUUUGUGGUUCUACCUACUAAAAAAUGUCUUUCUAUUUGUCUUAAAUGAGAUAUACUUGUUUCACACGUUGUAAGCAUUGCAGUUAUUAUCUUGUAAUUUAUAUGAUCUGUUGGCAGUAGCAUAGUACUUCACUCACAUGUUUGCACCCAAACUGUUAGCGCUUUCCUCAAAUGGUUUUUUUUUAUUUUUUUUAUUUAUUUUUACCUUAUACAUCUGAAUAUGGUAUAGCCUUACGAAAUUUAUCCAACUGAUUAAUGGUACGAUAGUGAAAUGACCUUUCCCUUUAUUAUUAGUCUCUCCAGCUCAUCGAUAACUACUAUAGUACCCUUUGGAAGUUACCGAUUAUUCUAAGGUUCAAACCUCCAACAAUAAAUUCAUUCUUCAAUGGCCACUGUGGAGGUAUUGCAUUAUUUCUUCGUUAUUAUUUUUCAUUACUUAUUUUGGAUACUUGAUAUUUUAACCUACUUAACACAAUUACUUGUUAUGGGUCUUACAUAUUCAUUAUCAGAUAAACAUCGAGUUGUAAAUUAUUCAUCCACAUUAUUUUGUUUGUUAGUUCAUUCAAUUGUAUUUCUUUUUGCACCACGUUUAUGUAUUCAUAUUAUCUUUUUUAUUUUUAUGUUGAUUACUAAAAUGCAUGUGUAAGAUACUAAUUAUGUCCUUCACUUUUAAUGCAGCCCACAAGAUUGUUCACACGUUGUUCAUCUUCGAGAUUCUUAAAACUAUGCAACAGGCUGCCAGUUGAUAAAUUAGAAGUUGUUCGAGACCUUCAGUUUGGAGGUCUUCUCAACUUAAAUUGUAAGGAGAUACGCCAUAAUAUAUGUCUAUGGUUGAUCGACCAUUUUAACGUUGGCUUCAGAUGCAUAGACAUAUCAUCCAACAAAAGCUAUGAUCUGACUGCUACAAAUGUUGGCCUUGUAUUUGGCCUCCCGAAAAGUGGACGGAUUUUACAAAUUGCAUCAACCCCAUCUGAGCAUCCAUUCGGUACACUCAACACUUGUGAGGAGAGACUCCUCAACUUACCUGUCGGGGAGGAGUUCCGUAGAUGCUUCCUUUACUACGCAUGUACGACGAUAUUGGCGCCAAUGUCAAGGAUAGAUGGAUGCCGAAACUUAUGGCAUACCAUCCAUGAAGAUGGUUUUCGAAACGAUGUCAACUGGGGCCAAUUUGUUGUUGACCAGCUGGUUGAGGGUAUUAGACGAUUUAAACAACGGAAGAGUGUUUGGGUACAUGGUUGCAUCCUCUUCCUCCAGGUAUUGCCCUUCUUUUACAUUGAUAACUUGGUCACUUUUACAUUGUUCACAUCACUACCAUCAAGUAACGAAUCCACAUAUGUUUAUUUCCAUUGUGCAGUUCCACUACGUAAUUAAAUUCAAGAUUCCUUCAGUUCAUGUUCCCGUGACAGUGUCCCUUCUCUCUGCAUGGUCAGAUGAGUUGAUAAAUGAGCGCUUAGCUGCUAAGAUAAGUCAAUUUGGUAGUUUCGGACAUGGCAAGGUAGCCAUUUACUCUACAUUCAUUUUGUUAUGAAAUUUGAUGACAUCGAAAUUGAAUACCUUGAAGGUUUAUACGUUCUUAAUUUGCGUCAUGAAAUCAAUUGUAGGGGUUUGAUAAUUCGUCACCGCCUCGUACACAUGUGGAGUCUGAUAGUGGCCCAACAAGUAGUCAUGUACGGAUAUUGUUUGUUACUUUAUGAAUUAACUCUGUCUGAAUGCCAUUACAAUUAGGUUUACUGACUCAAUUGUUUUAAAUCAUUGGUUAUAAAUAUUUUCUUCAAUAUUUUUAUAGUAAUUUAUGUGCAAGCUAUUCAUUAACAUGUCACAGGAACUACUUGAACAAUACUAUGGAGCAGAACAUGCAAUAAAUCAAUAUCAAAAUGGCAUUCAGCACCAGCUAGGCGUCUUGCAUGGUCUAAUGCAUACAUUGGAUGGCCGAAAAGAACGAAGUCGACCUUCGCUUGCCGCUGGUGACUUAAGCUAUGCAGCCCAUGAAUUUUCGGAGCCCGAACCGCAUUCAGACUAUGGCGGAGAUGACAUGGCAUCCCAUGGCACUACAGACGUACCUGACACACCAAUUCGGCAUCCAUCAGUUAUUGGUAACAGUAUGUGGGACAUUCAUUACUGCAUGAAUGUGUACAUAAUAACUCAUAUUAUAUUACUCUACAUUACGAAUUAAUUGUUGUUACUCCAAACUAAUAGCCGAUGAAAAAGUAGUCAUCCUUGAACAGUUGCCUUUGUGUUCUAUGGUUGUGGUUCCAUCUUAUAAGAGUGGGAGGCGACGAAGAGUGCAUCGGUUGGCUCCCAAUCUAUUGUCGCCAUUCAUAGCACAACCACAAACCCGUCAGUCUACCAUCAAGAUGGACCUCAAACAAGCAGCUGCAAUUGUUUUUUAUGGGGCCUUGGACCCGAGGUUUGACUUAGCAUAUAAUACUCCACUUUCAAAUGUAUUCACCUCCACAUAUUUGGUAUUACCCUAACGUUGAUGGUUUUUUUGACAGUGAGGAACUUGUUUCAAUGCAUGACACGAGUUUAAGCAGAGGCAACCUCGCCUCUUUCCAAGGAGACAGCUAGAUUGGCAAUCAUGUUAAUAUAUCAAUUUCUCCAUUACUUUGCAAUAUUUUUAAUUUAAUAUUCAUGUACCAUCUUGUCAUUAGUGGCUCUGAAUAUUGCUUACAUAUUAAUCACUUCUUGUCUUAGGUCGUGGAUACGUAUUGUAGAAUGUUGCAAUUCAACGAUGUAUCAAGGACCAAACUCUUUCUUUCGCCAUACAUAGCUGUAAUGGAGGGCUUUGAUGGACACUACAAUUCAAUGUUUUGUUGUUAUAACAUGUCAACAAGUUUCCUUACCCUUUAAAGCUUAAACUUUUUUCAUAUCAUAUGCAGAAAAUGGUCAUGCAUUCCAACGCCAAACAUUUGACGCACGAUGCAGUAAUUGGCCGUUUUGAGCCAUAUUUGUAUCCCUUAGAUGUUUCCUAUCAGAAUGUUAAUGAGGUUAGCUUAAAUGCAUUGUUCGAGGUUUCUACACUUGUCAUCUCCUUCACCCAAUAUAUGUUGUAAUCCAUUCUGAGUGGCAUCAUGCAGGUCUACUUACCGGUUCUUCUCAAAAACCAUUGGACGCUUUAUGUUUAUGACUUGCAUAACAAACGAAUCCAGCUCUUGGAUUCUCGACUAGGAAGGAGAAGGAGUUGUAUGAGUGGGAUACAACAAAAUUUGGUAAAGUAGUUAUUAGUUCCAUAAUAUUUUUUGCUUCCAUUGUACCUAAGAUGGGAAGUUUUAAUGCAUCUACAUUCUUUAUUUAAGGCCAAGGUUGUUCUAUGGCUUGUUGCCUACAAGAAACAAAUGGUGGAUGUAGACUUGAAGAUGUUCCGUUUUGUCAUGCCAGAUGUAUCAAGUCAACCAAAUGAGUUAGUGUUUACUUUGCAGUCUGUGACUAGAUUUAAAUUUUAUUGCAAGUCAAUUUAUGUAUAUUAUCGUUGCCAUGUCACGCCUAAUAAGUAAUUACCCGUUACGUUGUGUUUUAGCAAUGACUGCGGAGUAUUUGUUAUGAAAUUCAUGGACAAUUGGUUAAAUGGAGGACUCUCCAAAUCCAUCGAUGUGGUAUGUCCGUACACAAUUUUAAUAUACCAUGAUUAUAUCAAAGUUGCAUUCCAUGGCCAAAAUAUUUACCAUUUCCUAAUAUGCCUUUUAAACAUUAAUGAAUGCAGGGCAAGAUUAAGAAGUAUAGAUUGAAGAUAUUGGGGAGAUUGUUGCUUUCAUCACAUAAUGCACAUCGACAUCGCUUUCUCGUGGAUUGAGGGACACUAUUCAAUUGGCUGUGCCAAGGAUAUUUUCAAUUGAUUGUACAUUAUUUUGUGAAACCUAACUAUUUUCAAUGUAUUGCAUAUAGAAGUUAGUGAUGAAUGCAUAGCUAAGGUUAACAACAGUACGAUUCAUGUUUAAACCAAACAAGUUAAGCGUUGAAAAGCCUUUGGCUUCAAAAGUAUUCACAAAUGAAAUUGGGAUCGCUACUUCAAAUGUAUACAUUAUACAAAAUUGCGUCGGAAUAAGAGUCGUACUUUAAUUGGUCAUUGCAUGGAUCACACAUUGCUACUUCAGUUUACAUUUUUUACUUAAAUCACAUCUUAUUUCGCACACAUUUUUAUGGUAUAGGGAUCGUCGUCGGAGAUCGACCGGUUCUCGACCUAAUGCCCUUUUUAAACUUUAAGACCAAGAUCAGUCCCUAUCUACAAUAGAAAAGAAAAGAAAAGAAAAGGAAAAAAAAAACCAGGAUGUAAAGGGUCAUCUUAACUUAGGCUUCUUUUUGUCUUUUUUUUUUUUUUUUUGGUAGUCAGUACAAAUUGAAUCUUUUUCUCCUAUCAAAAACUUAAAAGAAUAUACUCAAGGGAGCUAAAAGAGAAAUAAAAAAAAAUGAAAAUAUUAUCUAGGGCCGAGAACAGUUUUCUCUUAUUUAAAAAUAGGAAAACACGUGUAAUGAUUAAAAACUGUUUUUUAUAAGUGCUUUUAGACAACAUCUUUUUUUAUGACUGUUUAAAAAAAUAAUUAUACAGAAUAUAUAAAAUGAUUAAAAAUAAAAUAUUAGAUAUAAAAACUAUUUUUAAAACAUAUUUAAAAAUAUUAAAAAUAAAUUUAAAAUAUUUUAAAAUUUCAAAUAAACUUUUAUUUUAUGAAAUAUUAGAUAAUAAUUCAAAAAGACUUUUAUUAAAAACUAUUUUCAAAAACUUUUACCAAAUAUACCCCUAAUUUCCAUUUUCAUAAAAUUGAAGAAUAAAGCUUAUUCUCAUCAAAAUUUGGAUUUACAUCAUGGGUUAUCUUUCAUUUUAUUUUUAUUUUUUUAUUUUUUUAUUCUUGUUUGCAUGAGACAAACACACUCCAUAUGGGUGUUUAUAUUCUAUGGUGAAAAAAGAGAGGAGAUAAAGGUGGGGUCAGUGUCUACCCUCAAAGUUGAAUAUCGAAUGUUCAAACAUUUCAGCUAUGCCUAGACCUUUUUGACUAAUAGUCCCUCUUGUUGGUUUGAUCUUCUUUCUCAAGACCCAUGGUAUCUUAAGCAGGAGUUGAUGGACUACUUCUCUUGAAAUUGAAUUUGUAAUACAUAUCUUAACUUCCCAGGUCGGCCAGUCGUUUUUGUGAUAGGCCUCACCAAGGAAGGAGUAUUAAUUAAUUAAUUAAAAAGAUAUUGGCAAGAUUUUCAACCGUUGGUAACACUUUCUUUCUCAAGACCCAUGGUAUCUUAAGCAGGAGUUGAUGGACUACUUCUCUUGAAAUUGAAUUUGUAAUACAUAUCUUAACUUCCCAGGUCGGCCAGUCGUUUUUGUGAUAGGCCUCACCAAGGAAGGAGUAUUAAUUAAUUAAUUAAAAAGAUAUUGGCAAGAUUUUCAACCGUCGGUAACACACUUUUUAAAAAAGAUCUUUUAAAAGGGCUUAUAAAAAAAUUGAGCUCAAGUCAUCAUUAGGAAGUCCUUAUUAUUAUUGGUCAAGGCUUCAACGAUUCAAGUCGAUAGAGCUUUUCAAACAUCAAAAGUAAUAUUUAAUGGUUAAAUAUAAUUUUUAAGAAUGUUCAAAUGAAAUUCUGAAUCAUGGAUCUUAUACUUCUAAAUGUAAUUUAUCGGGUUUUAAAGAAGUUUAGAAACCUAUGCUUCCUCUAUGAGGUGGGAGAAGCUUGUUUUUAUUUGAUUAAAAAUUUUUAAAAUAUCAUAAUUAUCUUUGUAUUUAACAAAAAUAUUUUAAAGAUAGUCUUUUAAAAGUAUAAAAUUUAAUCACGGCAAAGUACUAAUUAUUUGUAUUUCUACUUAUUUUAUUAUUAAAAAUUAAAUUUUAUCAGAGAUAAAAACGAGCUUAGAAGUCUAAAAUCAAAAUAUUAUUAAUAUGGUUUGAUAUGGCAUUAUGGUAAGUUUAUUCAAAGCUAUAUUGAUUCCGAAAUCAAAUGAUAAUUUAACAUAUUAUAUUCAUUGAAUUCAAAGUUAGAUGAUAACUAUCCAUAUGUUGUAUUUUAAAUUUUUUAUUAUCCGCUCAAUUAUUUUAUUUGUCACGGACCAAAAAUUAUUAACAUGAUGAAAACAUUAAGACAUGUCUCAUUGUCUUAUUUGUAACACUAAGUUUAACCUAACAAUAGUGUUUGACAUAUAUGAUUCUUGUUUGAUAAUUUUAAUCAAACUUUGUUAAACAAUGAAUAAAAUUUAUUUCCUAUCCCAUGAUAACAUGGGGUUUUGUCCUUUAUAUCACAUGGUCCUCGACCAAUUAAUUGGAAGCGAGGCCAUGUGAUUGAUUAGGGUUCAUUAAUCCGUAAGUAAGUUGAUUACUAAUCCUAAAGAAGGGAAACCCAUUUUUUUUAUGAUAUUGAUAAGAAGUUUUUUUUUUUUGAAUAAAUAAUUUUAAUUUAAAUAUGAAAAUUGUCUUUUAAGAAGAUAAUUUCAAAAUUCUAAUGAAAUUGUUUCUAUUUUUUUUUUUUAACCUUUAACGGAUUGCAAAUUUAAAAAAAAAAAUUGAAUUAUGAUAUUUUAAAAAUUAUUUUUAUUUUUAAAUUAGUGUAUAUUUUUUUAAAUGCUUGAAUUCCGCAUGUUUUACAGAGAGAAGAUGCCAUCGUCUUUAUUCUUCAGCACAGCAAUGUGAAUUCUACUUGUUCUAGAGAGAGAAGCUGUUGUUCUUCACUUUUUUCCACAGAGAAGCUCACGUCCUCUUACUUUAGAGGGAAAGCAAAAUCUGAGAUGGAUGCAGCUACACUCAAGAACCUAAAAUACCUCAACCGAAAGCCCUAUAAAAACCAGUCUCUCCGUCCGCUUGAACUCCACCACCAAUCAUGUCUUAUAGGAAGAUUUUAUGGGCUGCGAUUAUUAUAAUCUAACAUCUAUUUCUUUUUUUUUAUUUUACCAUCCAUAAAAUGAAGUUAGAAAAGAGUGCAUAAAAACAAUAAUAUUUUUUCUUUUUGACAAUCAAAUCUCCCAAAGAAAAAAGUGCAUAAAAAUAAUAAUAUUUUUUCUUUUUGACAGCCAAAUCUCAUAUUCUAACCAAUUUGAAACAUCUCAUAUUCUAACCAAUUUGAAACAUGAAGUUCCCAACUUUUAUCCUAUUGGACCUUUUCCCAAAAAAAAGAUGGUACGUAUUCACUUGUACGUCACUCGCCAACUCACUAACAAACUAUUUAUGAGGAAUUGAAAUUGUUUCCUUUUAUUCUUCACAAUCAAUUAAAUGAAAUUUAAAAAGAAAAUAAUUAAAGUUAAUUUAUUUUAUUAUCUUGUUUUUCUCACAGAUUUUUACGUAGAUGCUUAUUAAAAUUAAUUUAAUUAAAGCUAAAUCGUAAAAAUAAUAAUAUGUAAUACAUUCCUACAACAGCACAAAAGAUCCGGAAUAUCGCCCACGUUUGUUUUCUUCAGUGCUUGUACUCUAGUUUGAAUAUGUCGAUUCUAUUUCAAAUAGUCCACCAAGACUGCUAUGGGACCAGAAUGACAGAUUUCGGUACCACGACGUGGUACGAGAGAGAUCACGGUGACAGUUGACCAUGAACUGAUGUUUCUUCCAUCCAACUCCACACACUCUCUAUAUAAUCCGCCUAGGCCAGAAGAUGCCAGCCAUCAAACUCUUCAUUCCUCUAUUUGUUUCUGUCUUUUAUUCUUUUUCUUCUGGGGAGAUGAAGCUGUUUGGCGUGGAGAUGAUACCGCAUGAAAAAGGCAAGACAACAAAGAAGAGGAAGUCCAUAAGGCUAUUUGGAAAGGAUUUGGUGCCUCAGAGGAGAAAGAGCAGGAUAAAGAAAACCGGAAGCUCAUCAACUGCCUCCCCUCCAGAUUCGCUGCCUUUUGCAUUACUACAGACUGCUCAAGGCAUGGGGGGGGNNNNNNNNNNNNNNNNNNNNNNNNNNNNNNNNNNNNNNNNNNNNNNNNNNNNNNNNNNNNNNNNNNNNNNNNNNNNNNNNNNNNNNNNNNNNNNNNNNNNGGGGGGGGGGGCGUGAUUUUGUUUUCCUGACAAGAAAGAUAUUAGAAAGAUCCGACGUAGAUGUGCAUCUCAACCGCCUUUUCUUACCCAAGACUCUGGUGCUGUUAGGGGUGCUGUCGCCUGAGGAGAGGAGAGAGGUGGGAGGAGGAGGGGGUGUUGAAGUUGGGGUGGUUGAUAUGAGGGUGAAAGAUACAGUAUGAUGUUGAAGAAGUGGCCGAGUUUGGAUCAAAUUAUCUUUAAUCGUGGGUGAAGAAAGCUCGUCGAAAACAAUGGGUUGAGGGCAGAACUCGACACUAUCGAACUAUGGACUUUUCGGGCGGAUUUGAAGCUGUGUUUUGCUUUGAAUGUCAAGAGCGAGGGAGACCACCAUUAAUCAUUGAUCAUCUUUGAAGAUGAAGCUAAUAAUGAUGUUAAGUGCAGUUGUUUUAGUUACCUUGAUAUGGAGUUUUAAUUAUUGUUUUCUGUUAUUGUCGAGUCUCCUGUAGUUUGUUUUUUGCAUCUUUGUAGCAGUUGUGUUCGUGUUUGUUUUUGAAUUAUUGUUCAAUCGAUUUCAUGUGGCAUUUGAAUUCUUGUUUUUGUUCGUCUUUUUUUGUUUUUUUUUUAUUUUUUUUAUUUUGAUGUAGUUUGGAUGGUAUAAGAAAAAACGUCAAUAUAAACAUAUGACAACCUUAGCUUGAAUAAUCAAAUGCUAAUAUCAAUUUAUUUGAUCGGGAUUUAAUAUAUGAACUAUAUAUAUAUAUUUUUUAUUAUUUGUCAAGGCUCUCUAAUAUAUACAAGGGAAGACUUAUGCUUUGCCUAUUAAAUUCCCUAAAAAACCUGGAAAUCACACUACCCUUCAAACCCUUGUUCACUAAAAACCCAUCUUGACUUAAAUCGCCAAGUUAAACCAAUCCAACCUCAAGGUUCUUCGGUUUGUUCUUCAAUUUAUCCAAAUUUGCAGCACAAGAAAGCCAUGGAAGCAAGAUCUAACCUUGCUAGGGUUCUGCAUAGGAGCUGUUUCGAGGAUGACGAUGAUAAGCUUCAGUGGCUGAGUUGGAAUUUUUGUGGGUUAGAAGGUUUUAAUAUCAGCGUAUUGUUGUAUAAAUUUAGGGGGCCUCCAGAUUGGGAAUAGUGAAUAGUAGAACUCCUUCAUCUUUUGACCAUGGAAAAUAAUCUCUCUCCCUCUCUCUUCUUCUUCUUCUUGAAAUGAACUCCUUAACUCAGAAACAAACUAACACAAUGAUCUAAUUUCUUGGGAUAUUCAAACAGCCCAAAGAUGAAUUUGUCAUCCACAGCUAGCCUUUGAUGAUGGCAUGCUGAUAAGGAAAAUAAUGCUCCAUAGCUGUUAUCAAACACUGAUAAUAUACCCAUAUUACAAUGAAAGAUACAGAAGCUUGUGGCAUUCAUACAUGCUCACUUGCGCUGGCUGUUCUUGUCCCCGCCUGUUCUGGGACACAAAAGAACACGGCAGAAAAUCUGGUGGCCACCUAAAGCGAAUGCAAAGAGGCUAGUAAAAGGAGGGCCAAGGAAACCACGGGGCUAUGGAAGUGGAAGAAAGGAAACUUUUUUUAUUGAUAUCAAGGUGAGUUUGACAGGCUCACUGUUAGUAGCCAGUAAUACUAGACUAUAAUAGGUGGCUAUCACUAUCAGUUGGGCAUCCCAGCCUUUUUUUUUUCUUUUCUUUUUUUUAAUCACUAUCGAAAAUAGUAAGAGAAGAAAAAUAAGAGGGAGAGAAUCAAAAGAAGAAAAUUAGAGAGAGAACCAAAAGAAAAAGAAAAGAUCGUGCGUGUUGCUUGGGCUGACAUCUCCUGGAUGUCAAUAAUGAUUUAAAAAAAGAAAAGAAAAAAAGUCUAGGUAACAUCUUUGAGAGAAUUCACAUCCUCUUGUUGAGCAAGAGGAUGUCCCCCCAGUGUUCUGGGAUGAAAAAGGACCAAACAAAAAGCAAGAAUUUAGAGAGAAUGAAAAGUUUUUUGGCACGAGGCGUUGAGGCCAGACCAUAAAGCUUUGAUUAGAUAGUGUCAAGCGCGCUGACAGCGGCGUUACGUAUGCCGCAUCGGUUUUAUUUUUUUAUUUUUUUAUUAUUAUGAUAUUCGUUGAAGGCUUUUAGAGAUAUGAUGAUGUUGUUCGCUUGCUUGUUAGUUAGUAGGGGAAUGCCAUACCGGUCUGUCCUUUUGGGAAAAACUAGAAUAGGACAAAAGGUAUCCCCUAUUCUUCUGGGAUGAGAAAGGACCAAGCAAAAAGCAAGAAUUUAGAGAGAAUGAAAAGUUUUUUAGCACGAGGCGUUGACGCCGGCCGACAAACAGUGACUGUGUGGUGGGCCCGGGAGCUGGAUUCUCUUGUCUCGUGCUUUCUAUUAAUUCACAAUUUGCAUCCAUACUUCACAAUUGUGUGCAGUGUAGCUCAUGUGCUUAUUCUCUCGUCUCUUGCUUUCUAUCGAUUCCUUGUUCUCUCUGGUAAUUAAGAUGAGGACCUUCUAGCAACUUGGUACUAUUUUCAAUUUUAUACUACUUUGAUAUUAAAAAUAUGGUUUUUAAAAAUAUUUAAUAAAAUAUAUUAAUUUUUAACUAUUUUCAAAUAUAAAACAUUUUUUUAUGAUAUUAAUAAGAAGUUUUUUUUUGAAUAAAUAAUUUUAAUUUAAAUAUGAAAAUUGUCUUUUAAGAAGAUGAUUUCAAAAUCGUAACUAAUUUUUUUUAACCUUUAACGGAUUGCAAAUUUAAAAAUAUUUUUGAAUUAUGAUAUUUUAAAAAUUAUUAUUAUUUUUAAAUUAGUGUAUAUUUUUUGAGCUUGAAUUCCGCAUGUUUUACAGAGAGAAUAUGACAUCGUCUUUAUUUUCCAGCACAACAAUGUGAAUUCUACUUGUUCUAGAAGAGAGAAGCUGUUGUUUUUCACUUUUUUAGAUUAUUUUAGUAUCUAUUGAUCUCUUAAUUAAUUGUCACGUUUGUUUCACCUUAUUUAAUAGAAACUCGGUGCUUUCGGUAUUUUUUACCGUAUCUUCUUAAUAAGUAACUUGACUCUUGAGUCCAUACUCGAUUUUUCACAGACAUAUUUUUUUUCUUUAAUAUUUUUAUUUCUUAUUUUGUAUUUCUCUUAAAAAAUAAAAUAAAAGUAAGUGACAAUUUUAAGUCUUUUUCAAAAAAUCAUAUUUUUCACAAAAUAAAUAAAAAAGAGAAUUUGUCAUCGGGUCAGGAAUGCAUCGAGCAAAAUGCAGGAUCCACAAUUGGGUUUUGAAAUGUCUAUUAUUUUGGGAUUAACAGCUCAUAAUGUAUUUUCCCAUAAAUUUUUAAUUUUAUAAAAAAAUAAAAAUAUGGGCCUUAUUAUCUUCAACAAUUCUAAAACAGAAAUCAAUAACAAAUUUUUUUUAAAAGAGCUAAAAGUAUUUUCUUUUCCAUAUUAUAUUAAAAAAAUAUAAAGAGAAAAUGAUUGAUGUGUAUACUUUAUACUCUUUUUUUUUAUAACUAAUAUCAUGUAUCCAUUCAAGUCUCUCUUACUUUUAUUUUUUUGGUAAAUAUAUUUAUCUAAAAUUCUUUAAUUUUGCUUUACAUUUUUUUUUUUAUGUAAUUUAAUACGUGACCCCAUCGUCAAAAAUUAAAGCAAAAGAUAUUCAAAAUAUUUUAACAUAAUUAUAUAAUCUAGGAAUCUUUUAAGAGGUAGGAAGUCGGCAUUGACGUGCACUACGGGAGAUAAGGUCGCAUUCAUUCCCGACACACAUGAUGCAUAACGACGUAUACCUUUCUGCAGGCGUUUUCCUGACAGAACAAUCAUAAGGCUAACAUAAAAUCUCGUGUUUUCCUGUACACCUUUUGUCGCAUUCAUUCCCUACGUGAAAGUACUAUUAUUCCUAUCAAGCAAACAUCUCUUUCUACUAGUUUUAAAAAUUAUAAUUAUAUGCUUUAAAAUAAUAAAAAAAAUCUAUAUAUGGAAAGUUAAAAAUAUAUUAUUAUUAAAUAAAGAUAAAUUUAUCAUAAUAUAAAUAAAUUAAUAUCUUAAAAAUAUAAUAAAUUAAAUAUUUUAAAUUAAUAAAUUAUAUAAUUUUAUAUCUUAUUUAUAUAUCAUAUAAUUUUAUUAUUUUAAGAUUAUUGAUUUAAUGACUUUUAUUGUUAAAAUAUAUAUUUUUAAUUUUAAUAAUAAUUUUUAAUUUAAUAUAUUUAUUAAAAUGUCAUGGUUUUGACACUAUUUCCAAAUUUAUACUACUUUGAUAUUAAAAAUAUGGUUUUUAAAAAAUAUUUAAUAAAAUAUAUCAAUUUUUAACUAUUUUCAAAUAUAAAACAUUUUUUUAUGAUAUUAAUAAGAAGGUUUUUUUUUUGAAUAAAUAAUUUUAAUUUAAAUAUGAAAAUUGUCUUUUAAGAAAUAAUUUCAAAAUUCUAAUGAAAUUGUUUCUAAUUUUUUUUUUAACCUUUAACGGAUUGCAAAUUUUUAAAAAAAAUUUGAAUUAUGAUAUUUUAAAAAUUAUUUUUAUUUUAAAAUUAGUGUAUAUUUUUUGAAAUGCUUGAAUUCCGCAUGUUUUACAGAGAGAAGAUGCCAUCGUCUUUAUUCUUCAGCACAGCAAUGUGAAUUCUACUUGUUCUAGAGAGAGAAGCUGCUGUUCUUCACUUUUUUCCACAGAGAAGCUCACGUCCUCUAAAAUCUGAGAUGGAUGCAGCUCCACUCAAGACAAAAGUUAAUAACCUGUGCUUGUGUUGAAGUGGUGGACCCGAGAGGGAACAGGAAUGAGAUGAAGUUGAGGUUCUGGAAUGGCAAGAAUGGCAAGCCUGUGUUUGUGUUGAAUUCGGGCUGGCUCCAGCUUGUGAGGGAUAAUAACCUGGAAGCGGGGGUCGAUUGUAUGCUGUGGAGUUUUAGAAUGGGUUCGAAGCUGUGCUUUGCUUUGGAUGUCGAGAGACAAAACAAUCCGUGAGAUUAAUUUUGAAGAAUCCAGCUAUAAUGGUACAAGACUAUCUCCGUCAUAUGGCUUUCGGUUUGCUUAAUUUGCUUUGUAUUUUGAUGUGGACCUGUUGGGUUUUUUUUCUUCGGUUUCCUUUGAAAUAGGUAACGCGUGUGUGAUCGGCCUUAUCUAUCUUAUUUGUUCUAUUUUCUUCCAUUAAUUUCAUGUUUUAUGUUUUGUUUGUUUUUUUUAAAUUAAAAUGUAUGGGGGUACUCUUCUUCUGUCUCACCGAAUCUUUUAUUUUCUCCUCACAUGACUUCGCUUCACCUCACCCUUUUUUCUUAUUGAUUGAAGAUUGGACCAGGAUAUCAUGAUUCCCUGUACGGUGGAGACCAGGAUAUCACGAUUCUUUACAUCGAUAGAUUUGCCUCACCUCAGUACCUUACACAUUAUUUUAUUUUUUUGACAAAUAAAUAAAAAAUUAUCUACAUAAAAUCAUAUGGACCAAUGGGAGAUGAUUAAUCCACCCUCUGCCUUAUUAAUUUUAAUUUUAAUAGAAAAAAAUGUAAAUCCUAAAACAUCAAAUCUAAAAACUAUUAUAUUUCUAUAAAAUCUAUUAGAAAGAAGUCUAAAGAAGACAGGAUUAAAAAUUAUAUAAUUAUGUUAAAAUAUUUUGAAUAUCUUUUGCUUUAAUCUUUUAUGUACCAUGAGUUUACAGAUUAAAUUACAUAAAAAAAAUGUAAAACAAAUUAAAGUGGUCAGUAAUACUAGGCUACUAUCAGUUGGGCAUCCCAGCGUUUUUUUUUUUUUUUGUAUUUUUUUUUUGUUUUUGUAAAUCAAUAGCGGAAAUCUUAAGAGAAGAAAAAUAAGAGGUCAAUAAUGAUUUUUUUUUUUAAAAAAAAGUCUAGGUAACAUUUUCAAAUUCAGAGUUUUUGAUCAAAGUAAUCUAAUAAUUUUAAAAAUAUCUAGAAAUAUCUACCAAAGUAGUGCAAUCCUGUACUAUUAAGUUUCACUUCAUUAAUUUUUAUUUUAUUUUUCUUUUUAAAAUAACAAUUGAUUACUCUGGUUUUAAUUUUAAAUUUAAAACCACAAUCACCAAUUAUAAUUUAAAAAAAGUUGAAGUGGCAUAUUCAAAUUCAGAGUUUUUGAUCAAAGUAAUCUAAUUUUUUAAAAAUAUUCUAAAAAUAUUUAUCAAAGUAGUACAUUCCUAUAUCAUUAAAUUUCACUUUUUCAUUUUGUUAUUUUAAAAUCAUAGUUAGUAAUUGCAUCAAUGAUAAUUUUUCACAUUAAAAAAAAAAGUCAUAUGAAUGAUUACGUGACGGUAAAGACUAGAUUAAUAAAUAUUUUAGACAAAGAGUUAUUUUCAUUGCUUUUUUUUUCUUUAAAAACACUAUUUUGGCCCAAAAAAAGAGUAUCUUGUAAAAGUUGCUUGGUAACUCCCCAAGUUAUAUGUGAGGACAAAGAUUCAGAUAUUUACAAUGAAAGAAAAGUAUCCUCACAUUUUUUAAAAUUUUUUUACAUAAAAUAUGAAAUUAAUAGGAGAAAAUAGCACCAACAAUGGUCCAACGAAUUACAAUUAAUGUUAGGCUUGAUUCCACUCCACUAAAAAAAGGACAAACAACCAACUUUUUGUAUCAGAAAAUCAUCCUAUUCCACUCCCCUACAUAAUGUUUUCUAAACUUUUCUUAUCUAAGCAAGAGGGAAGGAAAAGACAAAAAGAAAAAGAACAAAAAAAGGGGGACAAACAACCAACCUUUUUUAUCAGAUCAAAAUCAUCCUAUUCCACUCCCCUACGUAAUGUUUUCCAAACUUUUCUUAUCUAAGUAAGGAGGAAGGAAAAGAGAAAAAGAAAAAGAAAAAGAAAAAGAAAAAGAAAAAGAAAAAAACAAAAGGGGGCCCCGGGACAAACAACCAGCCGUUUUUUAUCAGAACCAUCGUACUGCAUCAUCCAAAGUCCUACCAUCUUCAUCAUUAUUCUCACACGUUUCCAAGGAAGAGUAUCCCCACGUUUUAUUUAAAGAAAAAAAUGCAUAAAACAUAAAUAUAUCAGGGGCUCGAUCGAUUUCUGUCAAACUUUCAGCGUUCUCAAGCGUGCAUGCCGACAGAUGAAAGACCCUAGACGCCAAGUGAAGUCAUCCAAGAAAGGUUUGCUGGCAUCAAUCAACGUUACUCUUAUCUAAUAUGUUUGACUUUUUCAACGACAACUCUAAGGCCUCCAAACCAUACCAUUAUAAGGUACAGAAGAGAUUCUUGAUUGAAAGGGAUGGUAGUACUUCCUUGGACUUAAGAUCGUGUGUGCCACAUGCUAGAUAAGUUAUAGAAAGAUGAGUCACAUCCUCAAAGAUGGAAGAUGUGAUCUGUCUUGAUGUUGACAUCCCAUCUUUAUAAGUUAUAGAAAGAUGGGAUGUGUCCCAGAAUAUCUUUAAAUAGUAGAUUCUAUGUUACAUGUAUUUUUAUCUCUUAACUAAACAAUUUAUAGUUUGUCAUGACGUGCAAUCACCCAUAAUCAGUGCCACUGAAUGCCUGAUCCCACUCCCUCCUUCCAUGCUCUUGUAAUCUCUAUAUAUCACACAUGAGUGACAGGAAAAUAUAUAAGUUCAAUUCCUCAUAAAAAAAAAAAAGCCGUACUUGUCAGUAGUACCCUUCUUUCUUUUUUGGGAAAAGGUAGAAUAGGAUAAAAGUUUGCACCCCGUCUGUUCCGGGAUGAAAAAGGCACCACAAAAAUAUCUGAGCGCCUACAACCGAGAAACAUUGGCUGGUGUUGUGGGCCUGGGAGCUGGGGCCCAAAAAGGACCUCACGUGGCUGCAAUAAACUGAUCGGAACAAUCUUGCCCUCAGACAUUGUCCGUUUGAGGCCCAAGGGCCUCAAGAUUUUAAAAUUUCAUGUAAUUUAUCCAAAAAAAAAAUUGGGUUUGAUUUCUAUAUGUUUUCUGUCUUUUAUUAUCAAUAACAAGAAUGAGAUGUCUUAAAAUAACAUUUUUAGUUAUUUUUUAUUAUUAUUUUAAAAAGUAAUUACAUAUGUCAUUUUCAAUUAUCUUUUUAGAAUUAUUUAAAGGCCAAACCUUUAAAUUUUAUCUUUUGAUCCAAAAUUUGAAUAACAUAUUUAUUCGAAUCUGUCAAGUUCAGUCGAUGAAUCCACCCUCAGUGGGAUUUUCUCAAUCCAAAGUGGACUUUUGAGUCAAAUCGCCAAUAAUGUAAGGAGAAACGAUUUAUGAGAAAAUCAUGUAGUUUCCUUUUAGACUUAUAUUGGCACGUGCCAUUUUUGUGAAUUAGGGCAUUUCCUCCGCAUAAUCAUAAUUAGUUAAUACCUCAUAUACUGCUUUCCCUUCUCAAUGGAAAUAAAAGAUAGAAUAAAAAUAUGAAUACAUCAAUAAGAUAAGAAUUGCGACUACCCAAGGCUUGGUUUAGCGAAAGAUGGGAUUCGCUACUGAUUAAUCUCCCUACGCUAUUAUUUUAUUGAGAAUGUCUUCCUUUGGAUUCAUAAAUUGAACUUGAUAGGUUCGGACAAAUGUGUUAUUCAAAUUUUGGGUCAAAAAUAAAAUUUUAAGGUUUGACGUUUUAUAUUUAGGUAAAAUAUUGAAAAAUAAAACCUAAAUGAAUAGAUCAUGCUAAAGUAUUUGAAAUGCAUUAAGACUUCACACUUCCAAAAAUAAGUAGGUCUUAGAUUUUAAUAACAAUAGGAAAUAUUUUUAUUGUGUAAUAAUUAAAACAUUGACAGGGCUUUAAGAAGUCAUUGUUAUUUGUAGAGUUAUGUGAGGAAUUCAAUAUAAAUAUUUAUUAAAAUGUCACGAUUUUGAGACCAUUUUCAAAUUUAUACUACUUUGAUAUUAAAAAUAUGGUUUUUAAAAAUAUUUAAUAAAAUAUAUCAACUUUUAACUAUUUUCAAAUAUAAAAACAUUUUUUAUGAUAUUAAUAAGAAGUUUUUUUUUAAUAAAUAAUUUUAAUUUAAACAGGAAAAUUGUCCUUUGAGAAGAUAAUUUCAAAAUUCUAAUGAAAUUGUUUCUAUUUUUUUUAACCUUUAACGGAUUGCAAAUUUAAAAAUAUUUUUUAAUUAUGAUAUUUUAAAAAUUAUUAUUAUUUUUAAGUUAGUGUAUGAAAUCCUUGAAUUCCGCAUGUUUUACAGAGAGAAGAUGCCAUCGUCUUUAUUCUUCAGCACAGCAGUGUGAAUUCCACUUGUUCUAGAGAGAGAAGCUGCUGUUCUUCACUUUUUUCCACAAAGAAGCUCACGUCCUCUUGCUUUAGAGGGAAUGCAAAAUCUGAGAUGGAUGCAGCUACUCUCUUUGAAAAACUCUACGGAUUCCUCUUACAGAUCCAUGCGAAUUUCAUGAAAAUUUGAGCGGUCAUUUUAAGCCUUGAUACAUCUAUCAAUCGAACUCUCUUUCUCUAAUGUUUGCUUUAGAAAACAAUGGCACUGCAAAUAUGAUUUGAAAUUUGCUUGAGUUUUCAUGAAUAGGCAUAAUCAGAAAUAUGUAAACUAUUACCAGAAACUCUCUUUCUCUCUGUGAAAAAAAAAAAAAUCGUAACAGAUUUUACAGUAGGUCAGGACGAUUUUUUCCUUCCCAUUUUCUGUUUCGAAAAUAGUAAAUAGGGGAUUUAUUUCCUUAUGGUUGAUUGGGUAACUAAUUAGUCAAAAUUAGUUUUGGGAAACAAUAUGGAAUAAGAAACAAGGUCUAAAUCAAUUGGGUAACUAGGUUUGUUGCCUGCAAUUAAGGGUGGCAGAACACGAAGAGAAAAAUCAGGCAAGUGAGUUUGUGAUUUUGGGCUUGAAUCCUCGCACAUUAGCAUAAUCAGAAGAAUUGUAGAACACCAGCAGCAGUUCUCUCUGCCUUGCUUGAGAACCCUAUGGAUUUCUCUGCCAAAUUGCUUGGAUUUUCAUGAAACCUUGAAUGUUUAUUUUGAAUGCUGUACAUUUCAAAUAGUAAAGUUUCUAAUAAUGAAAACAUUAUCUUUUUUCCUAAAAAAAAAAUUAUUUUCACGGCCAUUGAAAGGAGUGGAUUUCUUUUUCUGAUUUGGAUCUCUAUACCUUUUACUGUUUUAAUUUUAAUAAAAAUUAAUAUUAUAUGAAUCCUAAAUUUAUCCUUCUCUCAUCCAAAUUCCUUGCAACAAAAUUGGUCAAAUGUUUCUUUUUUAUUUUGACCUUUUCUGUUUAUUGCUUUAUAUUGCAUGCAAACAAGUAUGAAGAAGACAUAGGGACAAAGACUGCAAAGCACUUGGAUGGUAAAUCUCUGGUGAUGCUGGGAACAACAAAUAAGUGGUUCCACUGUCUGAUCAUGGAGGACAGUAUGUGGAAGUUUGCUUGUCUGCGUGAUCUCCAGCUACCAGAACCAUGACACACAUUCCUCAAUUGGAUCAAGCUUUAUGCUUAUGCAUUUGGUAAUGAGCAGGGUGUUAAAUUUUCUCCAUAUUCAGUUAUGUUAUGGUUCUUAUAGUGAAUUAGUAUCAACAUCUGCUUAAUGGCUGCCCUGCAAAUGGAAGUCACUCUUUCAUGUUCCGUCAACAGAAGAAACAUAUUGGUAAUUAUCCUUCCCUUUUUACUAUUAUCUAGAUUUUUUUGCCUUAGUUGCAAGAGAAACCAAUUAGUUCUCUUGGUUAAAGUAGCUACUUCCCUGCUCUUUGGAGACUGUUUGAUUACUACUUAAAAAGAGCAUAUUUUAAAUAAUAAUGCUCAUGAAUUUCACAUCUUUUGAGUAGUAAUAAUGUCUAAAACAUCCAAUUAACAUGUUAUUGCCCUUGCAAGAGUUACUAACAAGUUUUAUGAAGUUUUGGAAUCAUUUUAAGAUAUGAUUUUGAUAAAUUGGUGACAAAAGAGAUGAAUCAAAUUGAAAUGAACAAAUAAAGUUGAUGAAGAUCCAAAUACAUAAUGAUAGAAGUAAUGUAAUUGGGUUGAAUCGGGAUUUGGAGUUGAUUUGGAGGUGCAUGGUUGAGGUGGAUUCAAAGGAAAGAAAUGACAAAAAGGAGUUGAAAAAUAAAGUCAUGCGAAAUGGACCAGAAGGCAUUUGUAUUGCAAACCAAAGAGAAAUCUCAAAGCUAAUUUUGCAUGACCAUGCGAAAAUUUCACACAGUCAUGUGAAAUGCUCCAGGAAGGCAAAAAUUGGUGCUGAUGCAUUUUUUACUUUGCACAAUCAUGUGAAAUUGCUGGAUCUCGUGUGAAAUGGUCAUUUUAUUACUAAACUCUAGAUUUCUUGGUGAAAAAGCCUUCGGAAGACCUCUUAAAUGAUGUCAAGUAUCCACUUAACCUUGGCCUAUAAAUAGAAACUUGAUUUUCUUAUUUAAAGGACUUUUAGACAUUUCUAAUUGGAGAAUUUCCUAGAUUUUCUCUCUUUCUAUAGAAUUCUUUACUUUCUCUCAUUUUCUCAUUAGCCAAAUAUGCCUUGUGAGACCAAAUCUCCAAACAUGAGUGGCUAAAUCUCAUUUUUCUAGGAGGAGGGAGAAUCUAGAGGUAAGAUCUAUGGUGAAUUAGAUAAAUGAGCUUGAAUUGCAAAGAUAAUUUGAUCCAAGUGAUUAAUUAAUUGAAUUUUGAAUAUUUUUCUCUUCAAAUUGACUUGGAUAAUUACUACAAUGCAAACUAGGUAGAUUCAUUAAAUUCUUAAAGUUAAAUUUGAUGAGAUUGAAUAGUUGCAUUAUGUGAAUCAUUUGAAAAUAAUUUAAGAUGAAUUGAAUAUAUGAUUUGAAUUGAUCUCUUGGAUUAAAUUACCUAAUUUGAAGAGAAAUUAGAUCUAGAUUUAAAGCUAAAUAAAAAAUUGGUUUAGAUAAAAAUUUAGAUUUUCAAUCUAACUUGAUGAAAAUUAGACUUUAACAUCUAUUCACCAUGGAAAUUGUUUUUUAGAAAAUCCUAACUUCGAGAAUUUCAUUUUCUAUUAAUUUUCUUCUAUUUCACAUUUCAUUUUUCUUCUCAAUUUGAGACCAUUGUUAAAUUGAUUUCUUUUUUACCAUGAAUUUUCAAAUCAAUUUCACUUGAUUACAAUAAUUUCUUAUCAUCUCAUUCACGCCUUAAUUACCGAGAAUAAUCCAUCCUAAUGGACGACACCUAAAAACCACUAUACUACGGUAGUUUGUAUUAAAACUAUUUUUGAUCGGGUAUAAGCUAUUCUAAAAAUAAUGAAUUAGGUUAUAAAUUUUGUUUUGAUGCAAUAAAUGACGAAAAAUCAAGUGAUCACUGUUCUUAUGAACAAUUUUCAGUUAUUAAAUAACAAUGCACAUUGUUUAGGGAGGAGGCUAAUUCGUUAAGGUGAGAAAUUGUUUGGAAAUCACAGACAAUAAUUAUAUGCCAUUAAAGUAUUGUAACUUUUCGUAUUGACUAGUCUUUAAAGAGUGAGAGGACUCAUUGUGCCACAUUAUGCCACUACUUGUCCUUUAGCAGAGUAGGAAGGAUCAAUCUCAUGAGUCUCAAAAGAUAAGUUAGAUCAUUAUUUAGUUUUGGGUUCUGUCGUAGGGCAGGACUCAGGAAGCACCAAUUUUAAAUUUACCCUAUUUUUCAUCUACUCAGGGACAGACAAUUUGUAAAAAAAUUUCUCCUUGUCAUCAUUCUCACCAAAUAUCAUGAAAUGCAUUUUUUAAAAUAUGGAUUCACAAUCUUAUCUUUAGAUUCAUAAUUUUUCAUGUAUUUUUUAUAAUGAAACUAAAUAGAUUGGAUGCGAAUCGGUGUUCUUUUAUUUUUCAUGCAUUCUUUCAUUAAUCCUUUUAAGUAAACAAGUCUAAAGAAAAUAGGUAUUUUGAAUAUAUUUUAAGUAGACAAAUUUAUUGUUCUUCAUUAUUGGAUUCCAAACGGAUAAUUAGAAUUAUUAAGGUAAUGUUUAAAUAUAUAUUUAUUUUUAAAUAAAAUUAGUAAUAAAUGUCUUAUAUAAAAAGUAGCAAUUUAUAUGUUAUAUUGUUAAAAAUCUUUAAGUUGAUGAUGAAUUUGAAAAAGAUAAAAUUUUAAGUUAUCUUUCAGUUUGUGAUUUUAAGUAUUCACAAGGGUAUUUUGGAAAUAAAAAUUGAAACACAAACAGCUUCUAAACACUACUUUCAUUGCUAUGCGCGCAUUACACCACUCUUCACUCCGAAGUUCAAAGUUUUGAAAUUAAAGGUCAACCUUUUGGCUCCUGGAAACCCACCAGCACUUUCCAACUCCAUAUAUAUAUAGCAUGGCUCGACUCAAGGCUUCUUCGUUCUCUCCUCUUUUCUAUCAACUCCUCUCUUCUUUCUGUGAAUUCCUUUGUCUCUGGUAAUUACAUGACGACCUUCAAGCUCUUUGGUGUUGAGAUAUCGGCGCCGAAGGAAAGAGAAGACGAGAUACCACCUCUCUCCCAACUGCCUUGUGCAAUCCUGCAUACUAAUAAAGGCAUGAAGGAGCGUGGCCGGGUUUUGGUGAUGGGAAAGACACUGACAAGAUCCGAUGUGUCCGUGCAUCAGAGUCGGCUUUUCAUCACCAAUAGUAAGGUGCUGUGGAGCCAGUUAUUGGAGGAGGAGCAGUUGAAGUUGCUGGCAAAAGAGCACGUUGAAGUUGAGGUCGCGGAUCCCAAGGAGGGGAGGACUAGGAUGAAGUUGAGGCUGUGGCAGAGUUUGAAUAUACUUGUGCUGAAUUCCGGAUGGGUAAAGCUUGUGAAGGUUAACAAGCUGGAGGCGAAGGUGCAUCGUAUUGAGUUGUGGACUUUUAGGAUGGGUGACAAGCUGUGCUUCGAUUUGAAUGUCGAAAGACAACGACAAUACCAUCCAUGAUGAUGAUAUAUCAUUCAUUCUGAAGAAUUUGAAUCUAGCUAUAAUGGUAUAAGUGUGUUUGGUCCGUCAUAUUUAUGGAUUUUGGUUUGCUUAAUUUGCUCUGUAUCUUGAUUUGGAGUCGGCCCCGUCGGUCUUUUUUUUUCCUCCGGUUUCCUUUGAAAUAUGCAUGUGUGAGUGAAAUAUGAGAGAAUAACGAUGAAGAUUGUAAGCUAUGGGCUUUAGUCAUGAUUUCCUUUGAAAUAAUUAAAUAGAUGAUUAUUAUCAAUGAGCAUGUUGGUUAUUAUCAAUGAGCAUGUUGGUUAUUAUCAAUGAGCAACUAAUGAACAUGUUGUCUACAGUUGUUUAUAUCUUCAUUUCUUCUUCGUUGAGGCCUGACUCAAUCGGCAAGGGAUUGGUGUGGGAUGUGGGAAAAAAAAAUUAUAUAUAUAUAUAUCUUUUGUUAAAGUUGCCAGCAUCUUUCAGAGGUUUUUAAUUUCCUUACUGAACUUGAACGUUGAAUUUUUAAGGGGAAAAGCCAAGAUGUUAGGACUGUGGGUCCAUGUCACGUGUGCUUGGUUUCGGCCUUGAGUUGUUUUCUUACACUACAAGAGAAUAUAUUUACGGCUGCGGCUAGAACCCGCAGCCAAGGGUAACAUAAGCGUGACUCUAAUAUACAGGUGCAGAUAUGGAAGACUGCAGCUAAGCGUCACCAUAGAUGGCGCAGAUAAAUCUUACAAUUGCGGCCUCAUACAAUUGUGCGAAUAUAAUGUUCAAGUUAUAGCUGGGCCAAUCUUUUUCCACCACCAAAUCGCUUAUAUAGCUGCUGCUCCUUGUAACUGCGACCAUAAGGCUGCUACAACAUUGCCAGAGUGCCCUAUGGCACAAACAAAUACUGAUUCUAAUGCCCUAUCAUGUUCAAAUUUUGCUCCUUGGAUCUAUAUUCUGGAGCGUUUGGCAUGACAAGUUUUUCUAAUCUUUUUUUUGACAUCCUCGUCAUUUCUUAUGAUGUCAAUACCCAUUGGAAAGAAAAUAUACUAUCUAUCACAAGAGUAUUUCAAUCUCAUUUUUCUCCGUAUAUAAAUAGAUAAUCGAGAUCUUAUCAUUAUCACCUACUUGUACCCUUUUAGGAGCUAAUUGUAAAUAUAUACCUCUUCGGGGGCUAUUUGUUUAAACUAUACCUCUUUAGGGGUUUAUAUGCCACUUCUUCAAAAGUGUCACUUUUUAUAUAUCUUUCCUUGUGUUUUCCUCUUCCACGGAAUGUGUUUGCCUCUUCAAGGUCUAUCACACUUCAAGUGUGCCUUAAACUUAUUAUUUAAUUGUCCUUCAAGGAUAUCAACUCAUUAUUUAAUUAUCUUUCAGAGACAUCAACACAUUAUUUAAUCGUCUUUUAGGGACAUCAAUUCAUAUUAGAAGAUUCUCAAUUAGUGAUAAUGAUUGUGUCACUUUCCUUGCAUCAAUGAAAGCAUUUGGUAGUUAAUUUGCAAGUUCUUACAAAUGAAUAAUCUUUUGAACUUCUAGUUCACAUUAAUUAGUAUGAGGAUCAAGAUGAGUCAAAGUCAAUGCAUUUCAAAUAAUUUCACGUCAUUCUUUUGGAAUGGACUUUUCUCCCUUUAAAAGUGGGAAAAUUGUCUCAUUAAAAUGACAAUAUGCAUAACAUGACAUUAUACCUUUCAAGUGAAUAGGUAGACUAGUCACUAAAUAAAAACUUUUGAUUUUAUAAUAUACGUUUAUAUGACUUUACAAAUAAUUAAUGCAUGAUCUUUUACCUCAAAGGACAAAGUUGAUCUUACAAGAUUCUUCUAAAUCUAACAUAUUAUAAAGUGUCAUUCACAUGAAAUCAAAUACUAGUGACAUAGUAUAAGCUCUUCUAGAACUUUUAAUAAGGUUUUUAUCACCUGAUAGUUUUCUCAUUGUUUGUCAUCAAUGUUGUGCAAUUAAUGAUACAAGAGUUUCAUCAAAAUAAUAAGUUACAAAACAUGUCAUAAAGACCUCACCUUUAUAGAGUUAAAGAGAUAUUAUCAUAAAGGAAAAGUUAAAAUUAACAAGAAAAUAUUAAUCAUCAAUGAUGACUUAGCUUAAUAAGUUGUGUAAAAACAAUUAGAGCAUAUAUAAGACAACAAAACAAAUAUGAAAAAAAUCAUUUAAGUCAUAUACUUUUUAAAUAUCUAACACAUUUAAUUUUAUAAGUGUGGAGCAAGUUACACAUGAAAUAACUAAGAAGUAUUUUAAUAGUCAAACUAACUAUAAUGAUUGAUCAAUAAUUUUAUUCAUAUAUUAUUAUGAUUUAAAUCAAUGUGCAAAAAUUAAUUCAAAGGUCAAAAUUUCAAGUAAGCAUAUAAGGAUUUAAAGUAUCUUACAAUUUUUCCAUGUCUCAAAACUUUAAUUGAAACACUACAAAUCCAUCUAAAUAUAUAUGUAAAGAUAUAACAAAAUAUGUUAAAAAGUUUAACCUAUUGUAAUUUCAAAAUUAUUCUUGAAUAAUAAAAUUAUUGCAUUAAUAAAAAUAUGAAUGAUACAUUCAAAUCCAAAUCAUAGAAAAUUAAGGACUUCAAUAAUUAAACUCUUGAAAAAAAAAAUUCAUAUUUCAUAACUUUAGACUAUAAAAGUAUAUAAAAUUCUUAUACCUCUAGACUGUAGGGGAAACAACAAUGUUUAUAUUAUAAUACUUAAUUAUAAUAAUCUUUAUUUAUAUAUAACAUAUAUUUCGUUUCACAUAUAUGACUUUAGGUCACAAAUUUUCUAUAUAUUAUAGUCAUGAAAGAUUAUAAAAUUAAUUAUUCCACUUAGGUCUUAGUUAUAAGAAAUUAUAUAAUAUUAAUUUUAUUUUAUUUUUUGUAUAGCUUUUAGCUAUAAUAGGAUAUGAAAUGAUAAUCUCUAUUGUUUUCAUUUAUAGGAAAUACAUAUUUUCUUUCACAGGACUUCAAGAAUAAAUUUAUCAGAACUCUUAGUCAUAAUUUUAUUACGAUAAAAUGAAAAUUUUGCAUAAUAUCAAAUUAUAAAAUAUUCUCUCUAUAGCUUCUAGCUAUAAAAUUUCAUAAAAUUAUUAAUUGACAAUUUAGUCUGUAUAACUUCUCAUUAUACCAUAGCUAAAAUUUUCUAUAUAACUUCUAGUUAUACAAAAUUAAAAUACCAAUAUUUUCAUGUUUCUAUCUAAGUACAAAAAAAUAUGUUUUAUAUAGCUUCUGGCUAUGAAAACAUUUUUUGUAUGGUUUCUACUAUACAUUCUAUUUUAUUGUACUAUAAAUUUAUAAAUUUAUAUAUAACUUCAAGUUAUGAAAUAUUCAUUGUAUAGUUUUGGCAAUAAAAUUUUGUUUUGUAUAACUUUCGGCUACACAAUGUAAUUAAAAUAAAUUUAAAAGUUAAUUUCUUUCAUAACUUUAGGCUAUGAUUAUUUUGUCAGAACAAGAAAAUGUGUAAAUGUGUACAUAACUUCAGAUUAUGAACUAUUUUCAUGUAAAUUUGUACAUAACUUUAGGUUAUGAACUAUUUUUAUGUAAAUUUAUGCAUAGCUUUAAUUUAUGAACCAUCUUUUUAUGUAAAUUUGUGCACAACUUUAGGCUAUGAACUAUUCAUUAUAUAAUUUUGUACAUAACUUCAGGUUAUGAAUUAUUCAUUGUAUAGAUUUAUACAUAAUUUUAAGCUAUGAACUAAUCAUUUUUAUAACUUCUAGCUAUAAAAUUUUGUUUGGUAUAACUUUCAAUUAUAUUGUAUAAUUAAAAAUAAACAAUUAGGGAUCAUAUACAUAACUUCUAGUCAUGUAUUUAUAAUUUUGUAAUUUACCCUACAACUUCUAAUUACAAAAAUUGCACACAUUUUUCAUAACUUUUAGUUAUGAAUUUACUCCAUAAUUUUGUAAUUUACCCCAUAAUUUCUAGUUAUAGGCAUUACACAUAUUUUUUAGCUACAUACCUAUAAAAAAAUUUGUAAUGAAUUCUUUUCUUUUUCUAUUUCGAGAUUCUUCUAUUUUUCUACAUACUCAGAGCAUCGUGCUGAUAAUGUGUUGUAAAAUAAAAGAAUGAAAAAAAGAAAAAAAAGAGAAAGAAAUUCUCAAAGAAAAGUAUAAUAAAAUAUAGGGAGAAAAUUGGAUCAUUUUUUAUUAGAGUUUCAUCCUUUUAUAGGGAGUCACAAAGAGAUAUACAUCAAUAUAGAUAAUCAUUACAAGUUACCAUUAUGGUACAAAAUCUCAUAAUUUAGAACAAGAAUGACUUUAUUGGAAGUCUUCUAUUUUUAGACCAAUAUAGAAUGUAACCAAGUAAAAUUAUAAAACUUGAGAUUGGUUUAUAAUUUACGCCUAAUUUAAAUUAAAAGGAAAUAACUAGAUUGUGGUUUUUUCCAUUUCUCAUUUAAUCUAGUGUAUUUAAUUUAGAGGAUGUAGAUUUUGUAUAUAUGGAUUUUGGGAAGUUAAAAAUAGCUAAUUUUAUUGGCUAAUUAUGAAGAUAUAAGUUAGAAAAUGAUCUAUAUAUCAUAUACAAAUCUUUGAUAGAUAAGACAAGGAAAUGCCAAUAUCUAAUAUUUCAUUACCUUCAAUUAUAAUCAAUAAUAACAUUGGUGCAAGCAUUAGAAACUAGGAAUUUUCCAGUGUCGUUACAAUGAAGAGAAUCAGAAAAAAUGUUUUCUACAUUAUGAUUUAAAGAGAGAAAGCACACCUUGUCUCUGAAGCAAGAAAGAAACAGUAGGAGCUUGGUGUUAAUUUCCUGCCUCCAUUACUGAUGUGUUUUUUCAGCUUGGAGGGUGGGCAUUGCUUUAAAGGGUUUUAUUGCAAAUGAUUCAUAAAACACAAGCAGCUUACUGGGAUUACAUGUACUAACUGCCAUUCAUCAUCUCAAAUACUAUUAACUUCUAAUGAAUGAGACAAAAUCUUGAAUAUUGAUAAAGGGCAUUUGAAAAUGCUGGUCUUACAACCUUCUUUACCAUCUAUUGAUGUGUGUGACAUUAAAUGUCACCAAAAUAGUAAGUAGUAAUUUAUAUUUGAAUGUGUGUUAAUUAGACAUUCAAAGAUAGACUCAAAUCAAUAUCUAUCAGUAAUUUAUAUUAUUUUUCUGGUCUACCAAUCAGGGUUGAUUCAAACAUGUAGAAACUAGAGCUACAGAAUCAAGGUUCAAGUUGUCCAUUUUUGAAAUGGUAAACCGUUGAUGUCCUUCAUGAUCAAGUUAACAAUAGGUAAGUGUAAUGGCCAAACAGGUUCUUAACUUCUAGAAGCAUAAUCUUUAUAAAUUUCAGAUGGCAUAGGAAAGAGAAAAGACAAAAAAAGAAAAAGAAAAAUGACACCAAAAAGAUUUAAAAUGGAGGAAAAAAAAAAGAGGCAGCAAAUCCAGUUACCUUAUUGAUAAUAAGCUCUGCAUGUUUCACAAGCAGCAAUAGUGUGUCACCUGAAGUAGUACCAAUAGUGGCAGUGCAGCUCAUUUUUAUCAUACAAUAUAUUUCAAGACAUAAAUCAAUUAUCCCAUGCUCAUGAAAGGUCAAAGACCACUUACCCAUCAUCACAUGCAAUCAGAAUUAAUACCUGAGAGUCAACUAUUAAGCGAACCAUGGGCAGAACUAUUAGUCACAUCACUAAAUUUCGACGUUUUGUACUGAUAAGCCAAGAAAAGAGGAGUUAGUUAUUGAUCUCACGAGAUGAAGCCCACUUGUUAUUUGUUAGCUUUAUUGUUAUUGGUUUGUUAUUUUACCAACUGUAUUUUAGUUGUACCAGUUGUUAUUACAGCCUGUCUCCAUCUGUUGUAACAGAGUUCUUUGAACAAUAUAUAUAUUCAAUUUCUCUCUCUUGCUUCAAAAACAAAGAGAGCAGAGUUUCAGUUUCAUCUUUUCUAUCUUGUUAUCAGAGCUCAUGUUCCAGAUGUGAUUUUUCUUUUCUUUCUCACUUUCUCUCUGUUUCUCUCUAUCCAAACAUGGCCUCUACUUCGACACAAUCUUCUUCUUCCUCUAGUUCGAUCAGAUCUGGACAAAGCUCAACAAUGACGUCCAUUCCUUCCUAUCAGAUGCUUAAUCACACUCUGGCUGUGAAACUUGAUUAGACGAAUUACAUCCUAUGGAGAUCUCAGAUUGAUAAUGUCGUUUUUGCUAAUGGCUUUGAGGAUUUCAUUGAUGGAACCUCUAUCUGUCCGGAGAAAGAUCUGAGUCUAGGAGUGACCAAUCCAGCUUUUGAUGCUUGGAGGAGACAAGAUUGAACAAUCCUCAGCUGGAUUUACUCAUCACUCACACCAAGUAUCAUGGCAUAGAUCAUAGGCCAUAAUACUUCUCACUCUGCUUGGAAUGCCUUGGAAAUUAUUAUUUUUCAUCUUCUUCAAGAGCUAUGAUAAUGCAACUCAAACUCGAAUUACAAUCCACAAAGAAAGGAUCAAUGUUGAUGAUAGACUACAUAAUGAAGAUCAAAGGAGCUGCUGAUAAUCUAGCUGCUAUUGGAGAACCUAGCUCAAAACAAGAUCAGGUUAUGAAUCUUCUUGGAGGUCUUGGAUCCGACUACAAUGCUGUUGUUACUGCUAUCAACAUUAGAGAUGAUAAGAUCUCUCUUGAAGCUAUACAUAGUAUGCUAUUAGCCUUUGAGCAUCGUCUUGAGCAACAAAGCUCGAUUGAACAAAUGUCUGCCAAUUAUGUCUCUUCCUCUAAUAACAGAGGUGGUGGAAGGAAGUUUAAUGGAGGUCGUGGACAAGGCUACGCUCCAAAUAACAAUAAUUACACCUACAGAGGUCGUGGACGUGGAGGUAGAAAUAGACAAGGUGGAAGACAAAAUUCCAGUCUAAAUGAGAAACCUCAAUGUCAGUUAUGUGGUAAGUUUGGCCACACUGCUCAGAUCUGUUAUCACAGGUUUGAUAUCUCUUUUCAAGGUGGUCAGAUUACUACUUCUCCUUCUUUGAAUAAUGGGAAUCAAAACAAUAUACCUGCUAUGGUUGCUUCUUUUUCUAAUAGUCCUGUAGAUGAGAGUUGGUAUUUGGAUUCUGGAGCAAGUCACCAUCUGACUCAGAAUUUGGGAAAUCUAACCAGUACUUCACCAUACAUAGGAACAGAUAGAGUCACUAUUGGUAAUGGUAAGCAUCUUUCCAUAUCCAAUAUUGGCUCUAAACAACUUCAUUCUCAUACACAUUCUUUUCAACUCGAGAAGGUGUUUCAUGUUCCCUUUAUCUCAGCUAAUUUGAUUAGUGUAGCUAAGUUCUGCUCAGAUAAUAAUGCCUUGAUUGAGUUUCAUUCUAAUGUUUUCUUUGUGAAGGAUCGACAUACGAAGAUGGUUCUUGCUUAAGGCAAGCUUGAACAUGGGCUUUACAAGUUUCUUGUGUUCAGCAACAAGAAACCUUAUAGUAGUAUUAAUAAUGCUUCUGCUUUUCAUUCCCAUUUUUCUAGUACUGUUGAAAAUAAAGCAGAGUUAUGGCACAAUAGACUAGGUCAUGCUGCUUCUGACAUUGUUUCAAAAGUCAUGAAUACUUGUAAUGUUGCUUCUGGGAAAUAUAAAUCUACUGUUUGUUCUGAUUGUUAGUUAGCUAAAAGUCAUACACUAUUGUAGACCCUCAAUUUUGUCCCUUUAACACAUGUCUUUAAAAUUCGUUUUCAAUGCUUCACAAUAGUUCCUUGGUGGCCCAUAGCUACUCAUACCACUUACCCUUUUUUGAGCCACCUCGGAGAUUUUGGUUGAGGGAUUAUUUGAUCCCUUAUUGUGACCCUUGGCAGCCCUAAUUUAGACUUAGACUUUUCUUAUUUUUUUAGGAUAGCUUUUAGAUACACUUGGCCCUUUAGGCACCACCUUAGGCCUACUUAGUCUCACCUUAGGCCCGUUUAGGUAUACUGGGUCUAUUAAGAUUUUUUUUUUAGCGUGACUUAUAUGACUUGCAUGUUUGCAUGGCUCAUAGGGCCCAUUUUUUGUUAAUUUGUUUAUUUUUAUUUUAUUUUAUUUUAUUUUCCUCUUUAUAUUAUUUUCCCUAACUUAUUUAUUUAUUUAUUAUUUUUACCAUUUUCUAAUUUAUUUACUUAUUUAUCUAUUCAUGCAAUUAUUUAACUUCUAAAAUUUCAUGUUUUUUUGCAAGGAAACUUACCAUUGGAGUUUAAGGAAAGUGGGACUCUCCUUGGAAGGUUUUGGAGGAGAAUUUGAAGUUAGGAAGAUUGCUUUUGAAUUGAAAGAUUUAAAAAAGGAUAAGGAGAAAAGAAGAGAGAAAAUAGGAGAUUUGGCCUUUUUUUUUAGGGAGAUUUAGGUUUUAGGGAAGGAGAUAUAUAUACGUGAGAGAGGAAAAAAAAAAGGGAGGAGGGGAAAAGCUUUUUUUUAUUGAGGGAGGAGAUUCUUCUUGGAGCAGCACACAUUGGAGGAUUCUUGGCGGAACAGCACACAAGAACGAGAAAAUGGUGAUUGCAGCCAAGAUUGUCCAGGUACGCUUCUAGUUACUCUCGAUGUUUUUAUCCAUAUUCAAUCUCUCCAUUUGGUUGUUUAUGAAAAUUCAAUGUAUUGUUGAUUGGUGUGGACGAAAAGGGCGACAAUUUGUUUUGUUGAGAUUGGUUGCUUGCUUGUUUGCCUUGUUUAAUUUUUGGUGUCAUUGAUGUCUUCGGAAGUAUAUAACUCUAUGCUUGAAUGUGAUCACGUUCUGUUUUUCGACUGAAUUGUUUUGCAUUUUUUUUCCUCUGUUCUUAGCCCAUGGAUUAACACAUGAAGUGGGGGCUAUCUAUGUUUAUGGAUCAACACUUUCGGUUUUGGUUUUUUUUUUUAAUUUUUUAAGUUUUACUUCAAUUUUAUUUUAUCUAUAUUCUUUUUCCCGCAUUGGUGUUCGAACCCUUGCUUUUGUAUUUGGGAGUAGGUUGAGGAAUGAAUGAUGUGAGUGUUGAUACGCAGGAUGAAUCGUGUAGUAAUCCCACUCGAAUAUUUGAUAACUGAUUCUGAGAAUCUCAGUUCCCGGAGUUAUCUGCAAGCGUAUCUCCCAAACGUUUCUGUCCGCAAGAAUAGUGGUCUCAGAGAAAACAGUUUGACUUGUAGAGCAGAGGCAAAGAGGCUUACUGCAUCUUGUCGGUUCCCACUAUAAAGAACAGAGUAGUUGAAUAGCUUCAAUUCCUUGGAGAAAAUUCAACCCAUCUAUCAGGCCACCCAGAUUCGUCAUGCCAAUUUGCUACUAGAAUUGUGUCGGACGCAUGAAAAGCUGAAGAUUGAAAUUCGAAACCCUAGCCUCACCCGAGCCAUUCUGCAAACCAUCGUAUUGCGGAUUUGGGGCUGAGGCGGUUGAAGCCGGAUGUAGGUGUCAAUGGCGGCAGUGGAAUUAAUGCAAAUAAGGGAGAUGUGAUUUUUGAGGAAACGGGGUUCGUGUGUUUGAGGAAUGUAGCUUCAGAAUCUCCAGAUAUUUUGAUGCUCUGUGUUGGAAUAUUCAGAGGUAGUUUCAAUGGAUCAAAAAUCUGAUACAGGUAUAGCAAUUACUUUGAGAAACGAAUAGAAGGGAGAAUUCUCUUCUUCUUGGACUGUUGAAUUUCCUGAACAAGCACCCCUUUUGCAGUACUUGAUGUCUCCAAGUCCAUCUGAUCGUCCAAUUUUGAGCCUUUCAUGUGAUGAUCCCGGUUCAUAGAACAAGGAAAAUUCUGAAACUUGCUGAUUAUUUGUGGAAAAAUCAGGGAUUGAAGUUCCACUCAAGCUAUUGCCAUGACUUAACCUCACCCAGUUUUCUGCAGUAAUGUCUAUUGUUCUACAUAAUAUCUUGGUCUAUAGAAGGCUUCACUCAACAUCAGCCUGCCCCGCCAGUCAUUAGUAUUGCGAAGAACUGGACAGUUUCACAUUUGUACAUGGUUAUAUUGAGCCUGUGAUGAUAAUUUUUCAUGAGAGGGAGUUUACUUGAGUUGGGCUGUCUCAUGAAAGCAUCAUACUUGCAUGAUUCCUGCGCUUAGUAUUAGUACAACUUUGGAGCAGCAUCCUCUCAUAUGGUUUGCUAUUAAUCUCCCACAUAAUGCUUACAAGCUUCUUCCAGUGCCUCCUCCAAUUGAUAGCAGCCAAGAGAUACCCAAGUCAAAUUUUUAGUGUGGAGCUUGAUGAUGCCAAUGCAACUUGGUUAUCAAAUGAUAUGGCUAUGCUGUAAACGAAAACAGGAGAGUUACCUUUUUGCUGACACUGGUUUGUGAUGGACGGGUUGUUUACAGACUCGGUCCUUUAAAGUCUAGGGCAUCAGUGUUUACUUCGGGAAUUGCUGCUAUUGGAAGUUCAUUAUCUUUUCUAGGCAGUCAGUUGGGAGAUAGUUUGCUUGUGCAAUUUACUUCCAUACCGUCUUCUAGUGUGGAGAAAAAGGUUGGAAAUAUUGAAGGUGAUGUGCCUUCAGCAAAGCGAUCGCGCAGGUCCUCUUCUGAUGCUUUGCAAGAUAUGGUCAAUGGUGAUAAGCUGCCAUUGUAUGGUUUGGCUCCAAAUAGCACAGAAACAUCACAGAAGACAUUUUCAUUUUCAGUGAGUGAUUCACUCAUCAAUGUUGGUCCGUUGAAAGACUUCUAUGGUCUCCGAAUUAAUGCUGACCUAAAAGCAACUGGCAUUGUUAAACAAAGUAAUUAUGAACUGAUGUGUUGCUCGGGUCAUGGAAAGAAUGGUGCUCUCUGUAUUCUGCAACAAUCAAUUCGUCCAGAAGGGAUCACUGAGGUUGAACUUCCUGGUUGCAAAAGAAUUUGGACAGUUUAUCACAAAAACACACGUGGUCAUAAGGCUGAUUCUACCAAGAUGGUUACUAAGGAUGAUGAGUAUUGUGCGUACUUGAUUAUAAGCCCGGAAUCUAGAACGAUGGUACUAGAAACAGUUGAACUUCUUGAUGAAAAUGACUUUGCUCUGUCUGUGGCAAUGGAUCUAGCUGCAAGUGUUUCUGCCAUAGAACAGACUUCUAGGGCCGCUUCUGUUAGUUUCAUGCGUAAAUUUCUGUAUAAAAUAUCUGGGCAGGAAUUAGCAAUAAUGGGCAUUUUGAAAAUGCUGAGAUCGCUAGAAUGCGCUGUUUAGUAGCACUUGGUAAACUGGUCAAACAAGGAUCAGAGCACUGCCUUAGAUCUGAAAAUGGAAUUCAUCACCUUAGAAAAGCUCUUCACAUGUUCCUUAAACAAUGUUUUGAUGAGGAAUCUUCUCGGUUAUUCUUUACUAUUCUCUCACAAAGGGGAAGAUGCUCAUAAUGCUAGUAGAUGCUGUAUUGUAGACCCCUCCCAUUCUCCCAAUAAAGAGAGUUCAAAAUCAGCAUUUAAGAUCCUUGGUGCUAGAGCAGUUGUUUAUUUUGCCAGUGGCAGUGAGCAACCAGAAAUUCUCUUUCCCAACAUGCAAAUACUGGUGCAUGAGUAGACCAGAGGCAAUACCACAGCUACAGAAGUGUUUACAUAGAGAGUCUUGGAACCAUAAUGCGCGUUACUUGUUGAUACUUAAUUUUCUACAGAAGGCACAUGAAGAGGGAUUUCUAAGACAUUUUUGUAUUGUAAUUGGACAGCUAAAUUUUGUGGUUAAUCCCAAUCACUUAUAUUUAAAGAAUGAUACAUGUUGCCAACAUCGAAAAUUCCAGUUGCUACUUUGUGCCUCGGAAAUCAGCUCGCAAGGUGGUGAUUGUCAUAGCUAUGUCAACCAUGCUAAAAAUGCUUACUAGCACAAAUACCGAGGACAUCCCACCAAACUGCUUUGAUAAAUUCAGUGUAGAAAUGAAUGAGAAACAUAAUGUGAAUUUUCUGAAGCUUGAUGGUCUAGUGCAGGGAAGAAAGUUGUUUCUUGCCAGCUUGUAGCUUAUCAAACGAAUCCUUCUCAAGUACUUUUGACCGUUUCCUCCUAAGACCGAGGUUCCAGAUGUGCCCUGUUCGCGAAGUUACUUCUCAAGCAUUCAGUCUCAUAUGGAUUUAGAGGAGAAAUAAUUGUCGUAUUCUUGGUAUGCAUUUUAUCGUGUUUCUGAAAUAGACUUGCUGAAUAUAAAGGGUUACCAUAUACUCCUUGAAGGAAUUGGGGAAAAUAUUGGGUGGAGGUUCUCACUCUGAUGCAGGGAAUUCUUGUAAUCAUUCACAAAGAAUCAGUGGUCAAAUUAUGAGUGACUCAUAUGAAGAAGUGGACUCCUAAUGAUUCCGAGAAAUUGGAUUUUGAUAACCAGCUUCAGAAACCAUAAAAUAUAUAUGAUGUUGGGUCAAGUGUUGACAAAGAAACUUCCAUUGGAUUCAAUAUCCUUAGAAUAGAGAGAAUAGAGAGCUUUUGGGCAUAGGAUGUCACCACUGUGGCCGUUACGAGAGCCACAUUCUACAGACGGGCUGAGGCAUUCAGGCAUCAGUACAUUUAUUUCAGAUCAUUCAGAAGGGUACCCUACUGUCAGUAGGUUGUCAGCAAAUGCAAGUUCUUCUCUGGCCGGGACAGGCUUUAGACCACUGAUGGGGUCAUCUCAUGCUGGAGCAUCAGAUUUUGGGCUUUUGACAAAUGCUAGUUCAGGGUCUACUACUGGUACUGCUGGACAACAAUGGCUUGUAGGAGCUGCAUCACUAUCUAAACAGUCACCAAUGCACCAGCCAGAACAUCUACAAGUUCAUUCUUUGCCGCUCCCGAUAUAAAAGCCUUUCAAUAUAUUCAAGACAGUUCAACGUAAGGUCUCAUACAAAGAAAGGCACAUCCCCAGAAACUCUUUCUGCCCACUCAGUUUCCAUUUUGGGUACAAUUUCAAAGAGUGUAAGAUCAUGAUUCAAGCAGCAGACUCAAAUGGCGAUGAAGCCAAGAAAGCUCUACAGGAAUCUCAUAAAAUAGUACAUGGUGCUCUCUAUGUUAUUUGGAAGAGAGAAAGGGGACCGGGGUUCUUUAAGAAAUUGCAAGCUUAGAUCCUGAAAACCAUACUAAGCCCAGCAUUUCUUUUGAUGAUCAAGAAGAAAAUUGCAGCAGGCAUUUGAGUACUAAUACUUGCAGCCUCCCCCAACUAAGCAAGAGCUGGAAUUGUCACUUCCUUUUAGUUUCCACUGCCACCCAUGAUUAAAUAGAGCCCUCAAGCUCUCUUCUAGAAGUGUCUUUGAUAUCAAAUGCCCACCAGAAUCCCCAUUCAGUAACUGCUUUAAUGUGACCUCAUGGAUCAAAGAAGGGAUUGAAUGCAAUGGGAAGCCCUGAUGCCACUAUUUGAUUUGUUGGAAACAUGGACGAGACAGCUGUAUCAGAAUCAACUACAGGGAAAGAUGUCAUGGACUCUGCUGUCAUUGCUCGCCUUAUUGAAAUUUUAAAGACCCCAUCCCCAAAUUUGCAGAGAAAAGCAUCUUCUAUCCUUGAGUUCCUGACAAUUAUUGAGCAACACUUGAACACAAUCCUCUCAGCAGACAUUGAAUCUGGUUUGGAAGCUGUUUUCCAACAGAAGAUUUUGGACGAUACAGAAUCUGAUAUGGAUGAUCUGGAGCUUACAUUCAGGAGUGGGAAAACUUGUGGUUAAGGUUUGUAUAGGAUUUAGUCUGGUAAUAUAAGAACAAGAGGAAAGCAAUCCAGCGGAUCAUCGAACAUUUGGUGACUCAUUGAAACUGACAUGCAUGGAGCAUGUCUUUAGAUUAGAAAAGACUGCAGAGUUUUGGCUCUCCAUGACUCCAUCUUCAUCAUUGGAAACCAGUCCAUAAGAAAGAGAAAAGCAGAUCAGAACUCCAGCUUUCCAGUGUGUAGAAAAGGACAGAAUGGCAGAUGCAGUCGCUGAAGAAAUGUUGAUUCAAAUUGAAUUCUGCUUAAUACAGGAUCGGGCAGCCCACUGUCAAUCCCAUGAAAAACUGGUAUGUAUCCUUAAGAAAUAAGCCACGCAUUGGGGAAAGUGGGGGGUGCAAGUUUGAUUCCAAAAAGGUGCAGCCGCACCAUGGAAUUGCAUAUAGACAUAGCAAGCUCUACUCCCUCUUGGCCACCUUGCCACACAUCAUACUCCCAAUGAUUCUUCUUCUUUUUUGUGAUCUUAUACACUUUAAAUUUGGAUUUCAAAAUCCUUUUCAUUAAAACAAUUUCAGUUUUCUUCAAAUUCCAUCCUUAGGGAUUUUUAGGCAUAAAAUUUAGAUUUCAAUGAUCUUUUGCUACCACUUUCCUUCAGGCAUGCAUUUUCAUUAUUUUCUUUUAUUUUUCAUGGUUUUCUCGAUUUUCAACAAGCAUGAAUAAACUUCAUAAUUCCAAAUCAUGGAAUUUAUGCAAUCAACUCAUGCGAAAUUAGUUAGGGCUUUGGUGGGGGCCCGACAUUUAUGAUAUUAUCUUCAAUAUUGUUUGCUUGAUAUCUGAUUGAUUUUUUAUUCUUCUUGAUGAAAUACUUGAAUUCACUUAAUAUUUAUUGUUGAGAUGCUCUUGUUUCCCAUAGAGGAAUACUAGCUUGCUAUCCAGGUACGCUCUCUUCUCAUCUAUUUUUUUAGAACUCUAUGGACUUGUAUGUCAUUAAUGACCAUUUCCAUAUUUGACGUGAUUCUUGAAUGUCUUGAUAUAUGCCUGAUUUGCUUGAAUAAAACAAAUGUUGUGUGAUGUAUCUCCAAACUAAUCUCUUAUGUUUUAUGAUAGUGCUUGGGAAGCCGUCCAGGUACGCAUUUUUAACUCUCUUUAAUUGUGAUUUGAUCUUGUUUGAUAUGUUAUGUUUUUGGAAUCACCUAGCCUACUUAGGUAUCCAUGAUCGACCAUUUAAUUGCCACGCUUCCCUUAACUUAGUCAGUAGAGAUCUCUUUAGGGCUUAGAGGGGUGCUACCUCCUAGAGGUACCUUCCCAAUUAGUAACCUGAUCCCCGGACCUAGACUCGGGUUUCUCAAAGACAUGCUUUUUUCCAAAACUAUGGAGUCACUUUUUAGGGUUUUUCUUUCUUGUUUUAUUUUCCCUUUAAAAUAAAAAUAAAAUAGGUGGCGACUCCAACUUUUUUUUAAAAUUAAUUUUUCACAAAUAAAAAGCGAGUCUCGCCGAUCGAGUGGGGACGCACAUGAAAAAUGCGGGUCCACAACUACCCACCCAGUUCUCAAAUUUUCGUGCAUCUAAACCUUUAGAACUUGUUUAUACUGAUAUUUGAGGACUUGCCUCAGUUAAAUCUACAUCUGGAGCGAAAUAUUUCAUUCUUUUUGUAGAUGAUUAUUCCAGGCACACUUGGUUUUAUUCAUUACAAACAAAGGAUCAGGCCUUUCCUAUCUUUAAGCGAUUCAAGCUUCAAAUGGAGAAUCAGUUUGACACGAAAAUCAAGUGCUUAUAGUUUGAUAAUGGUGGAGAAUUUUGAUCUUUUAUGUCUUUUCUUCAAGUAGUUGGUAUUGCCCAUCGAUUCUCCUGUCCAUACAACUCAACUCAAAAUGGUAAAGUUGAGUGGAAGCACAAACACGUAGUUGAGACUGGGUUGGCUUUGUUAUCUCAUGCUUCCUUGCCAAUGAAGUACUGGCACUACGUUUUUUCAAACAGUAACUUUUCUUAUCAAUCAAAUGCUAAGCAAAGUUCUCGAGUAUGAUUCUCCUUACUUCACUCUUUUUAGAAGGCAUCCUGAUUAUAAAUCUCUUCGUGUGUUUGGCUGCCUCUGUUAUCCUUUCAUUCGGCCAUACAACACUCAUAAAUUACAGUAUAGAUUUGUCCAAUGUCUUUUGCUUGGCUAUAGUUUGAAUCACAAGGGGUUUUUAUGUCUUGAUUAUGCAACUGGAAGAGUCUAUAUUACUCCCCACGUGGUCUUUGAUGAAUCAACUUUCCCACUUGCUCAGUCCAAGUCUUCCAUUUUGUCUAAUGAUACUUCAGCAGAAGGCUUUACCCUUGCCAUUAUAGCUCUUACUUUUUUUCCUACUUCAUGUCUUCUCCUAGAUUCAAAUAUCAGUCAUAGUUCCAUAGAUUCUCAUUCUCUAUCCACAAGUGAAAGUCCUAUUCCUACAGACUCUUCUUCACUUCUGGACACAUCUAGUUUUUCUCCUGCUACAGAUUUGCCACCUGAAUCUGUUCCAGAACCUCAAGUCACUACUCCUGCUCUACGAAUGACAACAAGGUCCAUGAAGGUAUAACCAAGAAAAAGACCAUUCUUGAUCUCUCUGCCAUAAAGGUUUCAGAACCAUCUACUCUCAAACAGGCCUUCAAAGAUCCAAAUUGGACUAAAGCUAUGGAAAUGGAGAUUGCUGCUCUUCAUCGAAACCAUACUUGGGAUCUUGUUAAACAACCACCCGAUGUCAAUGUGAUUGGUUCUAAGUGGGCGUAUAAACUGAAACAUAAGCCAGAUGGGAGUAUAGAGAGGUAUAAAGCCAGGCUUGUGGCAAAAGGAUAUAAUCAGACUCAUUGUCUAGACUAUUUUGAGACCUUUAGUCUAGUAGUUAAGGCUAUCACUAUUCGCAUCAUACUUAUUGUUGCUCUCAGUUUUAAGUGGGAAAUUCGGCAACUUGAUGUCCACAAUGCCUUCCUCAAUGAUGAGUUAGAAGAACAAAUCUAUAUGUCUCAACCUCUUGGAUACUUCGACACUCAAUUCCCAAAUAGAGUGUGUAGAUUGAAGAAGGCUUUAUAUGGCUUGAAACAAGCCCCAUGAGCUUGGUUUCAAAGACUCAGCUCAGCUCUUCUUUAGUGGGGAUUCAGUUUGUCUCGGAUUGAUAGUUCUAUGUUUCUACACUGUGGUCAGGCCACUACUUUGAUAGUUCUUGUCUAUGUUGAUGAUAUAAUCAUAACAGGCAGCUCCUCCACACAGAUUUCUUCUCUCAUAGCUAAACUUGAUUCAAUUUUUGCCUUACGAGACUUGGGUCAACUCUCAUUCUUUCUCGGUAUAAAGGUUUCUUACAAUGAAGGCUCUAUGAAUUUGAGCCAAACCAAAUACAUUUCAGAUCUGCUUCAUAAAGUUGAAAUGUUUGAUACCAAACCGGCAAAAACACCCAGUACUGUUGGGAAGAACUUGUCUAAAUUUGAUGGAGAUCCUAUGGCAGAUGUUACUCAUUAUUGAAGUGUAGUAGGGGCACUUCAGUAUGUUACCUUGACAAGACCUGAUAUAGCCUUUGUUGUCAAUAAGGCAUGCCAAGUUAUGCAACAACCAACCACAGCUCACUGGCUCUCAGUCAAACGAAUACUUCGGUAUCUAAGAGGAACAAUGCAAGAUGGGCUCUUGUUAAGUCCUUCAAGCAACUUGACAACAGAGGGAUUCACAGAUGCAGAUUGGGGUGCUCACCUUGAUGAUAGGCGCAGCUCAAGUGGAUAUCUCAUUUAUCUAGGAGGUAACUUAGUCUCUUAGUCCUCUACCAAACAAAAAGUAGUGUCUCACAGCAGUGCAGAGUCUGAGUAUCGUGGCCUUGUUUUUGCUACUGCUAAGAUUGUUUAGAUGCAAGCCUUAUUUCAAGAGCUAUGUGUGCCAAAACCUACAAUACCUCUACUUUGGUAUGAUAAUAUCAAUGCUUACCAUAUGGCAAAGAACCCUGUGUUUCAUGCUAGAACUAAACACACAGAAAUAGACCUUCAUUUUAUAUGAGAUCAAGUCAUGAGAGGAAAGAUACAACUGCACUUUGUUCCCACUGAAGAGCAGCCAGUAGAUUUAUUGACUAAGCAUCUCACAAGUUCAAGGUUUUUGUCCCUCAAAUCUCAACUUUGUAUAGCUCCAAGACCUUUUCACUUGAGGGGGGAUGAUAAGCCAAGAAAAGAGGAAUUAGUUACUGAUCUCACGAGAUGAAGCCCACUUGUUAUUUGUUAGCUUUAUUGUUAUUGGUUUGUUAUUUUAUCAACUGUAUUUUAGUUGUACCAGCUGUUAUUACAACAUGUCUCCAUCUGUUGUAACAAAGUUCUUUGAACAAUAUAUAUAUUCAAUUUCUCUCUCUUGCUUCAAAAACAAAGAGAGCAGAGUUUCAGUUUCAUCUUUUCUAUCUCGUAUAAACAGGUGGAAUUUGGAAGCGCCUUCAAAAGAAAUCAAUCGAGAGGUUGAGAAAAAUUAAAGAAAAAAAAAGAAAGAAAGAAAUACGACAGAUCAGGGAAAGGAUCGAAGAGCCUAAAACUCAGUUUUGAUUGUUCUACAUUUUCCGAUAAAUUGAUGAAGUGCAAGUCAAGUAAAGAGAACCGAACAAGUAGCGAAACUUAAAACUGAAAAACAUCCAAUUUUCAUUUCAUUUUCUUACAUUUUCUCAUAAACCAGAGGAGGUGAGCCACUAUGCAAUUCUUCCUUUUUUCAAUUCUCUUUAUUUUGAAUUAACGAAGCCGAAGCUAAGUAGAAAUCAAGAAAUAAGAAGCGAAAAGUCUUGAGAGUGAAAGUUCUUCGAUCUUGGCUCAAUUUUCCUCAUUUUUCUUGGCAACCAAACAGAGAAGAGACAUACUUGUUUCCACAAUCUAGAGCUUUCCACGGCUGGAGAAGACGACCACGAUAACAUUGACAUUGCAGAGAACAGAGAGCUGACGAGGAUUCUUGAUCUAGCCAUUUCGCCUCUUGGAGAAGGUCACUUGGCGACUGCUCGUCUUCGAUUCGCUUCAUCCCGACCAUAACUCAAAGAGAGAGAGAAAAGAAGACUUCCUACAAUUCUGAUCCCUCUUGCUCCAGUUGUGGGAUCCUUGCUCUUAACCCCCUUUUGAACAUGAGUGGAAACAAAGCUGUGGGCUGUGCAACGAGAAUUAAAUCAUCCUUCUAUUUUUUAUGUUCAAAAAAUAUAAAGCUAGAGAAAUAAAGUGAAAGAAAGUAAAAAAUAAUAAUAAUUAAAAUUCAUAAAUAAAUAUUUAAUAAUCUUAAUAACUUUGAAAUAAUAAGAAAAAUUUGUGAAGAAUAUUUUGAAAAGAAAAAAGUUUUCAAAAAGAACAUUUAGAAAAAAUAUUUAUUUUCCUUUUUUAUAUAAAUAAAUAUAAAUGGAUUGAGAAGAACUUAAAAUAAUUUUAAUGUAAAGUUAAUUUUAGAUCAUUUUAAUAAGUUGGUAUUAGAUUAAAGUAUUUUAUUUAAUUGAAUGUAUCCAAUUUAUAAUUUAUAGGUUUUCUACUAAUUUUAGAAAAUACAAAUCAUUGAGAAAAAAAUUUAUAUACUUUUACAAAAAUAUAAUUUUCAUAUUCUUACAUCACAUUUUGGGGGUCGUAAAGAUAUUCUAGAAAAUAGAUCUUUUAUUGUAGUUUUAAGUUUUAGAAAUUAGUUUUGUAAGGUUUAAUUAUGAUUCAAUCACUUGAUCUCAAAGAAUAAAUAAUCAGGCAUGAUUAAGUAUUUUUCAAAUUCCGCUAGCUAACGUGUCAAAAUCUUAUGGACACUGCAGCGAAUCGCAGUGCACCACCAUGCAGAGGAUCCAGGUCCUUACCCAAACUUUUGAAUUAAUCUUACGUGUCAAAAUCUCAUGCACACUGUGGGAAAUUGCAGUGCACCGCAUCACAGAGGAUCCAGGCCCUCAUCCACACUUUUGAAUCCAAGCGUUUCCCGCGUCUAUAAAUAGCGAAGCAUGAACUUCUCAGAGCUCCGUUUGUGUUGUUUCUGAGGAGUGAGGAUUGAGAUUUGAAGAGGACAAAAUGGGGAAGCGAAUGAGAAGAGAGAAGUCCAUUUGCUGCUGCAAGUCUCCUCUCGCUGGUUUCUCCUGGUACUUGUACUCUCUUCAACUCUGCGAGUUUCUCUCUGAAAUCAGCUCGAAUUUCAUGAAAUUUUGAAUAUUUGGUUUGAAUUCGGCACAUUUAUCUGUAAAUCCAAACUCGAAUUUCCUAGAGCUUUGAAUUCGUAAAUAAUUUGAUGAAACUUCAUGAUAAUGUAAAAUAGUUCCAGGCAAUGAAUAUUUAGUUUGAAUUCUAUCAUAUUUGAUGUAGAAGAAGCUGUCUCUCUCUAUUCUUUCUCAAAAACUCUACCGAUUCCUCUUACAGAUCCACGAGAAUUUCUGUUGGGUUGGGUUAUUUCCUUCUUGUGGAGGAAAGCCCAAAACCCAAACAUUUAAGGCUUCUUAGGCCUUAAUGUAUAAAAGGGAAGAAGAAAUCCUUUUCUCUUUUUCAUCUUCAUCUUUGCAGCCCUAGGAGGAGGAGAGUAAGAAGAAAAAAAAAGAGAAAGUUAGAGAGAAAAAGAAAAAGAGCCACUGAAUUUUUGAAGUUAGAGAGAAGAACAACGCUGAUUUCUUUUCUUUUCUUUACUGUCCAGAUUUCAUCAAACGGUCGAUCCCGCUUCGUGUGUGGUCCGAUCGACCUAAAAUUUGAGGGAGAGAUUUUCAACUCAUUGAUCUCUAAUCUGAACGGUGGAGAUCGGAUUUGGAGUUCCGAAAGGUUGUUGUUUCAGUCCGUGAACAGUGCGUCUUUGUCGCUGAUUUCUUCUCACCCGGGCAGUUCUGAUCUUCAGCUUGAUCGAGAUUAAUCCGUGGUCUGAUCGAGAUGAUUUUUGGUUAGCACGUUCUUAACUCAUUGAUCUUCAUUUUGAACGGUGGAGAUUGGAUUUGGAGUUUGGAACAGUGGUGAUUUAUGUCCGGGAACAUUGACUCUAUUUUGGUGAGAUCUCUCUAUUGUUUUAUGCAAGUUGUUUUGUAUUUGCCAAGACUAAUUGUCUUGAGAUAUGGCUGAUGUAAACCUCUAGUUUCAUCUAGAGAGAAUUGUGUAACCCAUUGAUUAUAUUAGUGGAGGGUUUAAGUGGCCUAAGGGUCCCAUGGUUUUUACUUCUCACAUUUGGGAAGGUUUUCCACGUUAAAAAUUGUUGGUGUUCAUAUUCUUGUUGCAUUGGGUGAAUUGUUGCUACUCUAUUAAAUUGAUUCCUAUUAGGUUCUCACAAGAGGGGAUAAAAUCUGGUUGUGCAUUGUUUGCGUUUAUCCCAUCAAAGUGGUAUCAGAGCUUUGGUUCAAGAUAAUUUGUGCCUUGUGUAGAACAAUGGAAAGCAAUACAAGUAGAAUGAUCACUCUGAAUGGUUCCAAUUAUCAUGUUUGGAAAGGAAAAAUGGAAGACUUAUUGUAUGUGAAGGAUUAUUAUUUGCCUGUGUUUGCUUCUGAAAGGCCAGAAAAUAAAACUGAUGCAGAAUGGAAUUUACUUCAUCGACAGGUUUGCGGUUAUAUCAGACAGUGGGUAGAUGAUAAUGUUCUCAAUCAUGUUAGUGAAGAGAAACAUGCAAAGAGUCUAUGGAAUAAGCUCAAACAGUUAUAUGCUCGAAAGACUGACAAUAAUAAAUUGUUUCUAAUCAAGAAGAUGAUGAGUUUGAAUUAUCAAGAUAGAACUCCUAUGACAGAUCAUUUGAAUACAUUCCAAGGUAUUAUUAAUCAGUUGGCUGGAAUGAAUAUCAAGUUUGAGGAAGAGGUGCAAGGGUUGUGGCUUCUUGGUACAUUGCCGGACUCGUAGGAGACGUUUAGAACUUCUUUGUCUAACUCAGCCCCAGAUGGUAUUAUGAAUAUGGACUUAGUUAAGAGUUGUGUUCUAAAUGAAGAAAUGAGAAGAAAGUCACAGGGCUCUUCUUCAUAGUCAAAUGUCCUAAUUAUUGAGAAGAGGGGGAGGAGUAAGAGUAGAGGUCCGAAGAACAGAGAUAGAAGCAAAAGCAAGACUAACAAGUUUGCCAAUGUUGAGUGCCACUACUGCCAUUUGAAAGGGCAUAUAAAAAAAUAUUGUCGCCAAUUGAAGAGAGAUAUGAAACAAGGGAAAGUGAAGGAAAAGAAGAAUGACAAUGGUGGUGAAGAUGAUCAAGUUGCCACUACUACUUCAGAUUUCUUUAUUGUUUAUGAUAUUGAUGUUGUUAAUUUUGCUUGCCAGGAAACCAGUUGGGUGAUUGACAGUGGUGCCUCCAUCCAUGCUACACCUCGGAAGGAUUUCUUUACAUCCUACACAUCCGGUGAUUUUGGAAGUGUUAGGAUGGGUAAUGAUGGCUCAGCUAAAGCCAUUGGUAUGGGAGAUGUACGUUUGGAGACUAGUAAUGGUACUAUGUUGACUUUGAAGAAUGUUAAACACAUUCCGGAUAUUCGCAUGAAUUUAAUCUCCACAGGAAAGCUUGAUGAUGAAGGGUUCUGCAACACCUUCCGUGAUAGUCAGUGGAAGCUCACUAGAGGUUCUAUGGUGAUAGCAAAAGGAAAUAAGAGUUCCUCAUUGUAUUUGAUGCAGGCAAAGGUAAUUGAUUCCAGUAUCAAUGCAGUGGAUGAUGAUAGUACAUUUGAGCUUUGGCACGACAGGCUUGGUCACAUGAGUGAGAAGGGCUUGAUGAUUUUGGCUAAGAAGAAUCUUCUUUCUGGUAUGAAGAAGGGAUCUUUGAAGAGGUGUGCUCAUUGCUUAGCAGGAAAGCAGACCAAGGUUGCAUUCAAAACACUUCGCCAUACAAGGAAGCCAGGUAUGCUUGAUUUAGUGUAUUCUGAUGUGUAUGGCCCUAUGAAAACAAAAACACUUGGUGGAUCUCUAUAUUUUGUGACUUUUAUAGAUGAUCAUUCAAGAAAGAUUUGGGUUUAUACCUUGAAAACAAAAGACCAAGUGUUAGACAUGUUUAAGCAGUUUCAUGCGCUUGUUGAAAGACAAUCUGGUGAAAAGUUGAAAUGUAUCCGGACUGAUAAUGGGGGUGAGUAUUCUGGUCCUUUUAACGAGUAUUGUAGACAACAUGGUAUUCGACAUCAAAAGACACCUCCUAAGACUCCUCAGUUGAAUGGGUUGGCUGAGAGAAUGAAUAGGACACUGGUUGAAAGAGUAAGAUGCUUACUUUCGCAGUCACAGUUGCCAAGAUCUUUUUGGGGUGAGGCUUUGAAUACUGUUGUACAUGUUCUCAAUCUUACACCAUGUGUUCCUUUAGAAUUUGAUGUUCCGGAUAGAAUUUGGUCAAAUAAUGAAAUCUCUUAUGAUCACUUGCGUGUCUUUGGAUGCAAGGCUUUUGUGCAUAUUCCCAAAGAUGAGAGAUCUAAGCUUGAUGCUAAGACAAGACCUUGUGUAUUUAUUGGCUAUGGUCAGGAUGAGCUUGGUUACAGGUUUUAUGAUCCGGUGCAGAAAAAACUUGUAAGAAGCCGAGAUGUUGUGUUUAUGGAAGACCAUAUUAUACAGGAUAUUGAGAAGACUAAUCCAAUGGAGUCUCAGCAUAGUGGUGAUUUGAUUGAUUUAGAUCCAGCCCCUCUGACAAAUCUUCCUACAUAGGUUGAAGAUGAAGCACAUGAUGACCAACAUGACAUGGGCGAUGUUGAAACACCCACACAGGUUGAAGAUGAAGCACAUGAUGACCAACAUGACAUGGGUGAUGUUGAAACACCCACACAAGUUGAGGUGGAUGAUGAUGUUCAUGAGCAGUCACCAGCAGCAGAGGCUCCAUCAGAUAUUCCACUUAGAAGGUCUACCAGAGACCGACAUCCUUCCACACUGUAUUCUGUUGAUGACUAUGUAUUACUAACUGACGGGGGAGAACCUGAAAGUUAUGUGGAAGCCAUGGAAGAUGAAAAUAAGAUGAAGUGGGUUGAUGCUAUGCAAGAUGAGAUGGAGUCAUUGCAUGAGAACCAUUCUUUUGAGCUUGUCAAGUUGCCAAAGGGAAAAAGAGCUUUGAAGAACAGGUGGGUUUACAGAGUGAAGCAAGAAGAACAUACUUCACAACCUCGUUACAAAGCUAGAUUGGUCGUCAAAGGGUUCAAUAAAAAGAAAGGUAUUGAUUUUGAUGAGAUUUUUUCUCCUGUUGUUAAGAUGUCAUCUAUUCGUGUGGUUUUAGGUUUGGCAGCUAGUCUUGAUUUGGAGAUUCAGCAGAUGGAUGUUAAGACUGCAUUUCUCCAUGGUGAUUUAGACAAAGAAAUUUAUAUGGAACAACCAGAGGGUUUCGUACUAAAAUGGAAAGAGGAUUAUGUGUGUAAGCUGAAGAAAAGUCUUUAUGGCUUGAAGCAAGCACCGAGGCAGUGGUAUAAGAAGUUUGAGUCAGUUAUGGGGGAGCAAGGCUACCGAAAAACUACUUCUGACCAUUGUGUAUUUGUGCAGAAAUUCUCUGAUGAUGAUUUUGUUAUAUUGUUGCUCUAUGUUGAUGAUAUCUUGAUUGUUGGUAGGAAUGUUUCAAGAAUUGAUAACUUGAAGAAGCAGUUAAGCAAAUCCUUUGCCAUGAAGGAUUUAGGGCCAGUAAAGAGAAUUCUUAGCAUCAGAAUUGAGCGGGAUAGAGCAUCCAAGAAGCUAUGUAUGUUACAAGAGCAAUAUAUUGAAAAGAUGCUUGCAAGGUUUAACAUAAGCAAAGCCAAAGUGGUUAGUUCUCCUCUAACUAGUCACUUUAAGCUAAGCAGCAGACAUAGCCCUUCUACAGAUAAGGAGAAGGAAGACAUGAGAAGAGUUCCGUAUGCCUCAACAGUAGGAAGUUUGAUGUAUGCCAUGGUAUGUACUAGACCAGACAUAGCUUAUGCAGUUGGUGUUGUUAGCCGUUUUUUAUCAAAUCCAGGAAGACAUCAUUGGGAAGCAGUCAAGUGGAUUAUGAGAUAUUUACGAGGCACUUCCAAGUUGAAACUCACUUUUGGAAGUAGGAAACCAAUACUUGUUGGAUACACUGAUUCAGACAUGGCAGGGGAUGUGGAUAAUAGAAGGUCUACUUCAGGCUAUUUGAUGACAUUCUCAGGAGGUGCUGUGUCUUGGCAAUCGAGACUACAGAAAUGUGUUGCACUUUCUACAACAGAGGCAGAGUACAUUGCAGCAGCAGAAGCAUGUAAAGAGUUGUUGUGGAUGAAGUGUUUCAUGCAAGAGCUCGGGUUUAAACAACAGCGCUAUGUGGUAUACUGUGAUAACCAAAGUGCUAUUCACCUCAAUAAGAAUUCUACCUAUCAUGCAAGAUCAAAACACAUUGAUGUGAGGUAUCAUUGGAUGAGAGAUGCUCUCAAUGACAACUUGUUUGAAAUUGAGAAGAUACAUACAGAUAACAAUGACUCGGAUAUGUUGACAAAGACACUACCAAGGGAGAAGCUUGGAGUUUGUUGUUCCAUCGCUGGGAUGGUGAGUCCCUCCACAUAGUCAGAAAGGGGGAGAUUUGUUGGGUUGGGUUAUUUCCUUCUUGUGGAGGAAAGCCCAAAGCCCAAACAUUUAAGGCUUCUUAGGCCUUAAUGUAUAAAAGGGAAGAAGAAAUCCUUUUCUCUUUUUCAUCUUCAUCUUUGCAGCCCUAGGAGGAGAGUAAGAAGAAAAAAGAAGAGAAAGUUAGAGAGAAAAAGAAAAAGAGCCACUGAAUUUUUGAAGUUAGAGAGAAGAAAAACGCUGAUUUCUUUUCUUCUCUUUACUGUCCAGAUUUCAUCAAACGACCGAUCCUGCUUCGUGUGUGGUCCGAUCGACCUAAAAUUUGAAGGAGAGAUUUUCAACUCAUUGAUCUAUAAUCUGAACGGUGGAGAUCGGAUUUGGAGUUCCGGAAGGUUGUUGUUUCAGUCCGUGAACAGUGCGUCUUUGUCGCUGAUUUCUUCUCACCCGGGCAGUUCUGAUCUUCAGCUUUGAUCGAGAUUAAUCCGUGGUCUGAUCGAGAUGAUUUUUUGUUAGCACGUUCUUAACUCAUUGAUCUUCAUUUUGAACGGUGGAGAUUGGAUUUGGAGUUUGGAACAGUGGUGAUUUGUGUCCGGGAACAGUGACUCUGUUUUGGUGAGAUCUCUCUAUUGUUUUAUGCAAGUUGUUUUGUAUUUGCCAAGACUAAUUGUCUUGAGAUAUGGCUGAUGUAAACCUCUAGUUUCAUCUAGAGAGAAUUGUGUAACCCAUUGAUUAUAUUAGUGUUGUUGCAUUGGGUGAAUUGUUGGUGUUCAUAUUCUUGUUGCAUUGGGUGAAUUGUUGCUACUCUAUUAAAUUGAUUCCUAUUAGGUUCUCACAAGAGGGGAUAAAAUCUGGUUGUGCAUUGUUUGCGUUUAUCCCAUCAAUUUCAUGAAAAUUUGAAUGAUCAAUUUCAACCUUGAUAAAUCUAUCAAUCGAACUCUCUUUCUCUAAUGUUUUCUUUGGAAAACAAUGCCACUGCAAAUAUGAUUUGAAGUUUGCUCGAGUUUUCAUGAAUAAGCAUAAUCAGAAAAAUGUAAACUAUUACCAGAAACUCUCUCUCCUUCAAGUUUGGUACAUUUAUGGACAACUAUCUCUCACUUCCGAUGCAAUUUGAUGCGAAAAAUCAAUGUGAAUAUGGAUAUCAUUUGAUAUUGUCUUGAACUGUUUUACAUUAUCAUAAUCAGAAGAAUGUGGAAGACUAAAGUCGAAUUUGGAUUUCCUAUACUUAUCCAUUAAUCUUAAUACAGAGGUAAUAUUAAUCUUCACUCAUUAGCACAAUCAGAAGAAUUGUGGAACACUACCAGCAGUUCUCUCUCCCUUGCUUGAGAACUCUAUGAAUUUCUCUGUCAAAUUGCUUGGAUUUUCAUGAAAUCUUGAAUGUUUAUUUUGAAUGCUGUACAUUUCAAAUAAUAAAGUUUAUAAUAAUGGAAACAUUUUUUUUCCUUUUUUUUUAAAUAUAUAUAUUUCACAGCCAAUGAAAGAAGUGAAUUUCUUUUCUGAUUUGGAUCUCUAUACCCUUUACUGUUUUUAUUUUUAUAAAAAUUAAUACUAUAUGAGUCCUAAAUUGAUCCUUCUUUCAUCCAGAUUCGUUGCAACAAUACUGGUCAAAUGUUUCUUUUUUAUUUUGACCUUUUUAUGUGUAUUGCUUUGUAUUGCAUGCAAAAAGGUAUGUAGAAGAUAUAUGGACAGAGAUUGCAAAGCACCUGGAUGGUAAAUCUCUGGUGAUGCUGGGAACAACAAAUAAGUGGUUCCACUGUCUGAUCAUGGAGGACAGUAUAUGGAAGUUUGCUUGUCUGCGUGAUCUCCAGCUACCAGAACCACAACACACAUUCCUCAAUUGGAUCAAGCUUUAUGCUUCUGCUUUUGGUAAUGAGCAGGGUGUUAAACUUUAAAAUAAUAAUGAUGCCAAAUAUUGAAAUAUAAAUGGAAUAAUUUUAAUUAAAUACAAAUUUUGCUAAAAGGAUUUGUUUGAAUCCAUUUUUGGGUAGGCAAUAGGCAAAAUAUAAGAAACUGGAAACUCAACUCUUGAUUUUUCAAGUGCCGAUUCCAAAAAUAUAAUUUGGGAUUGAUGCGGUUGCAGCCUAGUUGUUAUUUUAUACCCGAAUUGCCCUCUCCUUUCCUCCAGCUCAGCUUCCACACCGGAUAAAAAAAAAAAACAAAAAACUGAAAACACUCUCACUUUUCUCUCCCUACCCUGCCCUGCCCUGCCCUGCCUCACACUAACACUGAACAGAAACUCCAUCCUCCAUCUGCUUCUAUCCCUCUUCAAACCCAAAAAUCCAGAAACCCCAACACCUUCCUCGUGUUGAUCUCAAUCUGAAAAACCCAAAUCCCGUCAAAAACGGACCUCUUAUUUUCCCAUAUAUUCCCGGAAUCCCAAGAAUAUGGUGAAACCUAACCCUAACCUCUUCUUGUCACAACUGGACGACGCAGAUCCAAGGGCGUGGGAUACCCAUCAUCAUCGGCUUCUUUACAUGUGCUUCAGUGGCACUGCACUUUCCAAGCUCCUUCCUUUCCAUCUCCCCUCGUCCUCUCUCU